AAAGAAACAGUUGCUACACCAAAAAGAGCAAGCUACUCCAACACACACAAAACAACACAAAAAGGCAGUCAGUCAAGUUCAGUCAUCAAAAACAACCCUAUUCCUCCAGAUAUUGUCAAAGAAUUCCUAUGGAGGAUGAGGAGGUAGUGGAAUAUCCACAGCCAAAACACCAUUAGCUUUCUCCCCUUCAGAAUUCAGACCUACAUCUGGAUCACUCCACAUCUCAUAAUCAGGAACAGAAUCAUCACUGUCAUAAUCAUAGUAAUAUUGUUCAUACACCCCUUCAUCUUCACCAUCACUGUCUUCAGGGAAAUUGAUAUUCCACACAGGAGGAGGUAUUUCAUACUCAGAAUCAGAGGAAGAAUAUACAUCUUCCACAUCACCAAAAUAUUCCAGGGCCUCCACAUUCAUAUUCUGCUUCCUCAGCUCCCUCAUUCUCCUAAGAUUCUUGGUGUGCCUUCUCAUCAAUCUCCUUGCUCUCCUCUCAUUUUUAUCUACAAAUGGAAACAAAAAAUGAUGAGUUAAAGAUAAAAGAUGGAAGCCCAUACUACAUAUCAAGUGGUGACAACCCAAGCUCAGGCUUGGUUACAACUCCACUCAGUGGACCAAACUAUCAAACAUGGGUAGUAGAGAUUCAGAGAUCACUGUCUACCAAAAACAAAUUAGGAUUCAUAAAUGAAUCCAUCACCAAACCCAGCAACAACACAGACAACUACUAUAUCCCCUGGACCAGAUAUAAUGACUUGGUCACUGCAUGGAUACUCAAUAGCUGCUCAAAGGAAAUCAGAGGCAGUGCAAUCUUCAUAAAGGAUGCCACCACCCUCUGGGAAAACCUCAAGCAGAAAUACAGCAGGGCCAAUUCACUGGUUAUUUCACAACUGAAAAGACAGAUUGCACUCUGUACUCAAGGGAGUGAGUCUGUCAGCAACUACUAUGCAAAAUUACAAGGUCUAUAGAAUGAAUUAGACAACAAUCAGAUUUUUGAAUACUGUGACAAUCCUAACUGCAUCAAAAAGGAGAACAUGGACAGAUUGAUCACUUUUAUAACUGGUCUAAAUGAUACUUUUCUAUCAAUAAGAGGCCAAAUACUCAAGAAGAAGACACCUCCAUCUGUGGACGAUGCCUUCAGGAUGGUACUUCAAGAAGAGACACAAAGGAAAUGUGUCUAUCCUGAAGAAGGAACUGCCUUGGCAACACAAUCUCAAAACAACUUCACACCCAAACCACAAAAUCAAAGUGAAGACUCUAAACCAUAUUGCAGAAGAUGCAAAAAGCACAAUCAUAGCAUAGAAAGUUGUUUUUAUAAACAUGGUUUUCCACCUGACCAUGGACUCCAUGGGGUGGAUUUCAACAAAAGGAAAGAAAACUCCACUAGGUACAACAGCAAGAAAAAUUACAAAUCCAACAAAGGAUAUAAAAAAUACCAAAGCAACAAUGCCAGCACAGAGGAAGAAGCCCAAGCUUUUGAAAAUACACAGACUCCAGGAAACUACAUCACCAGAGAAGAGCUGAUCUCCAUACUCUCCCAGGGAGGAAUCCAGAAGGAAAAUCAGCCACAGGCUUACAUGACAUCUGGGAGCUCAUUUGGUAUGAUUUACUAUAAAAACAACACAUGUUUUAACCCACAUUACUCACUAAACACCACAACAUGCACCCAAUCACAAAAUGAUCAGUGGAUCAUUGACACAGGGGCAAUAGACCACAUGUGUUCCCCCAACACCUUCUUAAACAAUGUUAAAGACCUAUUAUACCCUAUAAACAUCCAUCUCCCAAACUCACAAAACACUAAGGUUUUAGUUAGUGGCUCCACACAAAUCACAAAAGACAUUACGCUAAACAAUGUCUUAAAAAUCCCAUCCUUUUCAGUCAACCUAUUCUCUGUAAGCCAACUAACAAAAGAUAUGAAAUGUUCAUUCACUUUCCACCCUACUUUCUGUUCUAUACAGGACCAACAGAGAAACCAGAUUGGUGGGGGUGAGAAGAAGAAUGGACUCUACAUCCUAAAGCAUGACAAUCAGGCCAACCAUAGGUCCAUAGCCAACAGAAUGAGACAAAGGAUGAAGAGAUAUGGCACCAGAGACUAGGACACCCUGCACCAUUUAGAUUUUAUCACUUGAAUAUUAUAAAUAAAUGUAUUCCAAAUUAAGAAUUUCAAAAAAAAUUUGUAAUACAUGUCCACUGUCUAAACAGAUCCCUUUUUCCUUAAGUUUAGAUAAAACAACAAGAUGUUUUCAAUUACUACACUUAGAUAUAUGGGGAAAAUUCCAUAUACCCACACAUCAAGGAAAUAACUAUUUCCUGACCAUAAUGGAUGAUUACUCAAGAGCAACUUGGGUCUUUUUAAUGACAAACAAAGCAGAAACACCCACUAAGUUCAAACAAUUUUUGAUAAACAUCAAAAAUCAACAUCAAACCACUGAUCAUACCAUAAGGUCAGACAAUGGAACAGAAUUUUUAUCCAAAGAGUUCCAAAACAUAAUUAAAACAGAUGGAAUAGCCCACCAACUAUCAUGCCCAUAUACCCCACAACAGAAUGGGAGAGUCGAAAAGAAGCAUCAACAUAUAUUACAAGUGGUUAGGUCACUAAUGAUCCAAUCCAACAUUCCCCUAAAAUUUUGGGGGGAAUGCAUCACAACAGCUGUCUUCCUAAUAAAUAGGACCUCAGCUGUCGUAUUAAAUAAUGAAACCCCAUUCUUCAUGCUAUUUGGGGAACAACCAAAUCUAGACAUCAUAAAAGUCUUUGGGUGUAUAUGCUAUGCCAUAAACAAUAAAACAAAAUCAAAAUUAGAAAACAGAUCAAUAAAAGGAAUAUUCAUUGGAUAUUCCUCUCAAAGAAAAUGAUAUAACAUAUUAGAUAUAUUCACACAAGAAAUCUUCACCAACAGAGAUGUAAUUUUCUUUGAAGAGAUAUUCCCCUUCAAAAAACAACCAGAACGGUACCAAGAGGAUUUUUUUGACGAUAAUAUCAUCAGAAACUGAUAACACAUCAAAAGAAAAUACAUACACAAUAACACCCCUUCACAAGAAGAAUACACUGAAGAGAUACAAACAUGAAACAGAAGGAGAUACACCAAGUAUCCCAGAAGAGGAUACACCAAGACCAAAAAGGAAAAGAAAAACACCAUCAUAUUUGAAAGAUUUCUCCCUACAACUGGCAUCCACUAGAUAUCCCAUAGAGAACAUGCUAUCUUGCCAAAACUUCACCCCUGAACACUCUGCAUUACUAGCAACAAUAAAAAAAAACUUAGAUCCAUUUCCUCUAAGGAAGCAUCCAAACACACAAAAUGGAACAAUGCCAUGCAACAAGAGCUACAGGCUCUUGAACAUAACCAAACUUGAACCAUCAAAAGCAUGCCAAAUGACAAAAAAUCCAUUGGUUGCAAGUGGGUCUACAAAACCAAAUUUAACAGUGAUGGAAGCAUUGAAAAAUACAAAGCUAGACUAGUGGCAAAAGGCUAUAACCAAAUUGAAGGCAUUGACUUCAUAGAAACAUUUGCCUCUGUCUUCAAAAUGACAACCUUAAGGACUGUCAUAGCUAUGGCAGUAGCACAAAAGUGGGGCAUGCACCAAAUGGAUGUCCAAAAUGCUUUUCUAUAUGGAAAUCUAGAAGAGACCAUAUACAUGAAAAUCUCAUUGGGAUUAGAAUUACCCAAGAAUGCACCACAUAACCCCAUCUGCAAAUUAAACAAAUCACUAUAUGGUUUAAAACAAGCAUCAAGAGUUUGGUACCAAACUCUGUCAAAUGCCCUAUCCAACCUUGGAUACAAACAAUGCAAAACAGACUACUCUCUGUUUAUAAACAAAAAUAAACAAGAUCCAGGUGAUCUUUAAAUAUAGACCUCCUCCUGUCUGAACAUGAUAGUGUUUGAUAUAGAUGAUAUGAUCAAACAAUCAUAUAGAUAUGUAAUACUUAAGCAAUGCAUUUGAAUGAUGAAUGAAAUAUAUGAUGCUUAAGUAUAUGUAUGUAAAAAUAUCGAUACUGUUGGAUGAUCGAUUGAUUGGAGUGUAGCUCGAUUAUCCAACGAAUGAUUUGCAGGUUUGAUGAUGGAGUUGCGCGGAAGUCACUACAAGAAAUAAGACAUUGUAUGGCGGUCUUUAGAUGGCGGAUUUCCGCCAUCUAAAGUGAUCCUCGGCGGAAAUCCGCCAUCUAAAGCCCGCCAUCUUGGACACCGCCAUUAAAACCCAUAAACCGCCAUCUAAAGACCGCCAUCUAUUAUCCAUUUCCAUUUCCCACCAAAAAUAGUAUAGAUGGCGGACUUCCGCCAUCUAAUCUGAAAAUUUUGGCGCGAAUUGAAAAGUUUUAGAUGGCGGAAAUCCGCCAUCUAAAAUAUGGCGCGGGAAUAGUUUGGCGCCAAUUCAUUGAUGGCGGUUAAUUUCAUUGACGGCGGAUGUCCGCCGAUUAUCCCUGGAACUUUAGAUGGCGGAUUUCCGCCAUCUAAAGUUACGCAGUCGGUUUCAUUAGUUUAUAGACGGCGGAUAUCCGCCAUCUAUUCGUCGGAGAGGGCGAUUGUGCCCAGCCUUAGAUGGCGGAUUUCUGCCAUCUAAAAUUUAGUAGAAGAGUUUAGAUGGCGGAAAUCCGCCAUACAAUGUUUGUUACAUUUUUUUUUUAAAACAGGAUUCUAUAUUGUGCGUUCGAAUCGUCGUUUUUUGAAAUAAAAUCUAUAUUUGAGAAAACGAUUUCGUAAUAGAAAUUGAAAUCGAUGUUUUUUAUUAAAAAGAAAUUAAAUUACAUAAUCGUUAAACAUUCGAAAUUUUAAUAAGAAAAAAAAAAUUGUUUAAUCAACACUCGUCUGAAAGCGAGUCUUCUGAAUCAGAAUCAGAAUUAUCUGAUCCGAAUGCAGACGGUAUUGUUGACUUUGAAGUAGAAGCCAUCUGCGUCAUGUCUAGUCCAGAAGUCUUCAAAGUCUUGUUCAGUUUCUUCAUAUAUGAUUUCAUAGCAUUGAACUUCUUCUUGUAUUUGGAGACGUCUUUUUGACUCUCGUUACACUUGUUCUGAAAAUGAAAACAAAAAUGAGUUCGGUAAUCAACAAAAUUAUUGAAAUAUAUUGUAAAUACCUCCAAUGCUUUGAAUUUUUCCGACCAAACUGCAUCUGGUGUUGCAUCAACAGUCGUGCUUUCUGAGAUCGGCUCUUUUCCUUUUCAAUUUGGAGAAGCCCAUCUUUCGUUUGUUGUGCUCACCAUACUGGCAGCUUCUCCAAUUCCUAUUAUUCGAUUCUUCUUAUUUUUGCCGAAAGUCUUGUUGACCGUCGCUUCGAAAAUUGCUGCAUUAAAAAAAAAAUAAGAAAAACGAAAUAUAAUUAAAAUAAUCAAUGGAACUUACAAAUGGAGUCAUUNNNNNNNNNNNNNNNNNNNNNNNNNNNNNNNNNNNNNNNNNNNNNNNNNNNNNNNNNNNNNNNNNNNNNNNNNNNNNNNNNNNNNNNNNNNNNNNNNNNNNNNNNNNNNNNNNNNNNNNNNNNNNNNNNNNNNNNNNNNNNNNNNNNUUAUAUGUCAUUUGUAAAGUCUCUGACCAAGCUUCGACUUCACUCCUUCCUUGUUGCAUCUAUAUUCACAUAAAUCAUUAAUAUAUAAAAAAAAAGAUUUAAAUUAUAAAUAAAUUACCAAUUCAUGACGUCUUUGCGCUAAUCUUUUUGAACCAGCGUGAUGUGUCAUUUGAUUCGCUCGGUUCGCGGUAUUUAUCUCGGAAAUUUGCUGAAAUUAAAAAAAAUAAUAAGUUUCAAAAUUAAUUAAUAUAAUAAAUAUAUAUAUAUACAUAUACGUACCUUUCCUUUUUCCGAACGAUGCUGUCUCAAUUUAUUUAGAAAUUGUGGUUUGCUGACAUACGGUGGAAGAGUCGUUAAAAUGUCUUCUUCUCUCAUAUCAGGAUCAGAGCCAUAAGUUUUAAUUAAAGAAUUAUGGUUGCUCCUCCAGAGUUUGUUCAGCCUGCCAUUGAUAUAAGUUUGUGUAGCUUUGCUUCCACUUAAAUCAUAUUCAGCCUACAUAUUCAAAACUUAUAAGUUUUGAAAAAUUAAUAAAUUAUAUAAAAAAAUAUAUACUUACAGUUAAUAUUUUUAACGCGUCUUGAAAAUUCUGUUGUAAUUGAUGACGCCACUCAAUGUCGUACGGGAAGAGAGUAUGGUCUUNNNNNNNNNNNNNNNNNNNNNNNNNNNNNNNNNNNNNNNNNNNNNNNNNNNNNNNNNNNNNNNNNNNNNNNNNNNNNNNNNNNNNNNNNNNNNNNNNNNNAAUUUUUUCGCCAUUUCAUCCGUUGCUUGGUUUGUGUUGUCAAACAUAACCGUCCACUUCGUACCUUUCUCUGGAUGGUUAUGGGGGUGGUCUUUUGUACGACCACGACCCUUCUUUUGUGGAGGCACAUUUGAAGUGGAUGGCCUCGCAUCUAAUUAAUUUACAUAUUUAAGAAUUAAUUUUUUAUAGAAACAAUGAUAAUAUUUAAAAUAUAAAUAAUAAACUGACCACUCGAACUGGACUCCUCGAAAGAGCGACGGGAUGUAACCAUCGCCAGUGCCAGAAAUGGCGUGAUAACACCAAGCAGAACGAAAACAGUAAACAUAAUCUGAAAUAUUUAAAUUUGAAAAUAAAAUCAGUUAUUUUAAAUACAUAGCCAGACACCCGUAUAUGGGGUCUUGGUCUGACACAACAACCAAACAUUUUUCCUAUUGUAAUUUACAUUCUUUAUUAUUAAACACAACAAAUCUUCGAAGUCGUCGUGAGAAGAGUUGUAUUCGAUUUUGAAUGAAUGUGUGCCACCACAAUCAUUCAACACUCUAGCUUCGUAUCCUAACACUAAAAUCUGACCGGUUUCCAUUGCUUGAGGAUUUGUCGACCAUAUUUUUGGACAGUUCUGAAAAUAAUGACUGUUGACUCCGCAACGGAAACAAGCAAAAACACGACAAUAAUAAUCUAUGUUUUUGUGAAAACUACGUUGAAUCUGUUUAAGUCGCUCUAGUCGUUCAUAUCGUGCAACGAUUGCAAGUAGUUGACUCAUUUUUUACUGAAAAAAAGAAAUAUUUAUAAUCAACAUGAUAUUACAUUGAAAAUAUGAAAUUAUACUGUAAUGUAAUACUUUAUAAUUUAAUUACAACAAUCAUCAUUAUCAACAUCGAAAAUAUCUCUAUUUGGUAUUUUAAGGACUGAACUCCAUUCAGAUUCUACCGGAUCUUGAAUGUAGAAACAUUGUUGAGCCUGAUUUGCCAAAAUGAAUGGUUCCUUUCCAAAUUUCCCCCGUGUUGUGUUGACUGAAACGACACCAAAAUCAUCGACUUUAGUACCUGCUUUUCCAGGAUCAUACCACUUACAUUCAAACAGACAAUAUUUAGUCGUGUGACCGUAGCAAAUNNNNNNNNNNNNNNNNNNNNNNNNNNNNNNNNNNNNNNNNNNNNNNNNNNNNNNNNNNNNNNNNNNNNNNNNNNNNNNNNNNNNNNNNNNNNNNNNNNNNGGAAUCACUUCACUAUUCGUGCAGGACGAGCAUGGACAAGGUAAAUAACCUUCUGGGUGAGUCGAAUUCGAAAUGACGAAAUUAGUGAAAGCUGUUAACCCUUCGCCGUAUUCUUUCGAAAACCGAUCUAAACUCAUCCAAGCUUUAUCGGGUACUUUCUUAACGUUCGACAUUAUCCUAAAAAUUUAAAUUUUUAUCGAAUUAUAAUUAAUUAGAUAAAAAUUAUUUGACUAUUACAAUAUUAGUUAUAGUUCAAUUUUUUGGGAAAAUCUAGCUAAUUAUUGAACUAGGUACGUAAUCUAGCUAGUUCAAUUUUUUAUAGGCCGGUGAUGGGUGAACCGGGAGAUAAAACCGGAAAGCAUCUUGGGGAUUGGGUGGUAAAGCGUCCUCCGACGAGGUAAUUGCUUCACUCUACGUGGCAUUUCUAAAAUCUAAAAAAAUAUUAAAUUAAUUAAUUUAAUAUUUUUUAAACAAAGAAAUAAUUAAUUAAUUAAUCAAUACAUGGAAAAUUAAUGAUUAUUAUUUCAAUUUAAAAUCAUUUAAUUUAAUAAUUAUUCAUUAUGAUUUCUAUAAUUACAUGCAAAUUAUAUUCAUUAACAUUUCAAUUUAAUAAUUACUAAUUAAUUAACAAAUUUUUAAUUUCAGGCAAAUUAAUCAUUAACAUUUCAAUUUAAUAAUUACUAUUAACAAAUAAUUAGCAAAUUAAUAAUUUUUAUUUCAAUUUAAAAUCAUUCAAUUUGAUAAUUAUUAAUUCAAUCCAAAUUUAUUGGAUUCUUGAUUUUUCAAAACCUACAUCAAGUCAACAACAUCAAGUCAAAUAAUUUUUUAAUUAUUUCAACAAAAUUAUUAUUUAUUUAAUUUAAAAACAGAAAAUAAUUAAAACAAAUUAUUUUUUAAUUUCAAACAUGAAAAUAAUUUAUUUUUUUUUUAAACAAAUUAUUAUUUAUUUAAUUCAUAACAGUAAAUAAUAUAAAGAAUUUCAGUAAUUUUAAAAUUAUUUAAAACAGUAUUUUAAUUAUUUUAAUAACUAAUUAUUUUAAUUUCGAAAUAUUAAGAAAUAAGAAAUAAUUAUUUUAAUUAUUAUUAAAAAUAGUAAUUAAAAAAUCGAGGCGAGCAAUUCGAUUUUUUAAUGUAUUUUAAUUAUUAUUAUAAACAGUAAUUAAAUAAUUUCUAAUUAUUUAAUUACCAAUUUCAUUAACAAAUUAUUUUGAUACAAUUUAAUAAUUAUUACUUAACAAAUUAAAAUUUCAUGGAAAUUAAUUAUUUACAAGUAUAAGACAAAAAACUAAUUUUAUUACUAAAUUUAAUUUUUUUUUUUUUAAACAAAUUAUUAUUUAUUUAAUUCAUAACAGGAAAUAAUAUAAAGAAUUUCAGUAAUUUUAAAAUUAUUUAAAAACAGUAAUUUAUUUAUUUAAAUAAAUAUUAAUUAUUUAAUUAUUUAAAAAUAUUAUUUUAUUCGCGAUUUCAUCAAUAAAUGAUUUCUAUAAUGUUACCAAAACGAACAAUCGAGGCGAGCAAGGCAAUCGGACACGAGCACGGCUGUCGGAGGAGGCGGAAAAACUAACACAAUACAUUAAAAAAUUACUAAAUAACUAUAAAGCAAUAUAAACAUGUAAAAUUAUAAACCCAAUCAACUAAUAAACAUUAGACAUAAAAUUAAAUAAAAUCAUAAAAUAUAAAUCGAAUAAUAAAUCUUUUAUAUAUAAAUGACAGUAAACAUCAUAAAUUAAACAAGACAUCAAAUAUUAAACAAGUCAUAUAAACAUCCAUAUCUAAAUCAAAUAAAAUCAACCAUAUCUAAACAUCCAUAUCUAAAUUCAUCCAUAACUAAACUAUAUAAAAUUCCAUAUAAACAUCCACAUUAACAUAAACAUCUAUAUAAACAUUCAUCAUCCAUGUAACUAAUUCCUAUAAACACUAGAAAUCACAAUCUAAAAACACUAAUAAUAACAUGAUUAUACAAACAAUCAAUAUUAUUCUACAAUACAAGUAUCAAAUACUUACAAUCAAUACAUAAACAUUACAGUAGACAAAAUAAAUAAAUUCUUACAAUAAAACAAAAUAAAUUCAUUACAGUAGACAUAAACAUUAUAUCAUUACAUAAAACAAAAUAAAUCAAUCAUUACAGUAGACAUAAACAAAAUAAAUUCAUAACUAUAAAAUCGAUCAUUACAUAAACAUUAUAAAAUCGAUCAUUACUAUAAUCAAUAAUCAAAUAAUCAAUAAUCUAAACCCAUUCACAAUCAUAUCUUCAAAUCCAAUCAUAUCUUCAAAUAAAUUAAACCCAAUCAUCAAUAAAUCUUAUCAACACAAUAAUCAUAAACAAAAAACCAUAAAAAAACAAAAGAAAAUAUAAAACAAACCUUCAAACAAACAAUAGAAGUGGAGAUCACGGCGAGGACACGGCGACUGGGAGUGGAGACAGGCGACGACGACGGCGGCGACGACGACGGCGACAACGGCGACGAGUAGGCAGCGGCGGGGAGAUCGGCAGCGGAGUCGGCGGAGGGAGGCAAAUCAGAACAGACAACGCGUCUGUUCUGAUUUGGGGUUUUUAAUAAACCCCAAAACUUACAUGGCGGAUUUCCGCCAUGUAAGUACACUUAAGUGCCGCCAGCACUUAAGUGCUUUUUCCGCCCGAGUCCCCGAAUACUUAAGAUGGCGGAUUUCCGUCAUCUUAAGUCAAUUUAAUCGAGUAAUCGGGCUGGAAAUUGGGGGCCAUUCGAAAUUUUGGGCGGGAUAGUUUAGAUGGCGGAAAUCCGCCAUCUAAACACCGCCAUCGAAAAAAAUUUCGAACCGCCGUCGAGCCAAAACGUUUCCUCGGCGGACUGAAAAAAUAGAUGGCGGACAUCAGCCAUCUAAACUAUUGAAGUAUUGAUGGCGGAAAUCCGCCAUCUAAAGGUCGCCAUACAAGUCCUUUUUUUUGUAGUGAGUGUUGAGCAGCAGCAGAAUGUGUUGUUGAAGAUCAGUGUGUGUGUUAUGAAUUAUAGAUUGUAAACAGAGAGUAGUCUCACCUUAAACGUUCUUCAAAUACCAAGAACAGAGAUGGUUCAUCAAAAAUUAAUUUAAAGAUGCGGUAGAGUCUGAAAUUAAUGAAUAAAAUCAGUCAUUUGGGGAAGACAAUGGACCCAUGAUUUCCAUAGAAAAGUGAGAGAUCUAGAUAUGAAGUACAUGCAACAACAGCAUAAGUCAUGCAUACUACAAAAUACGUACGUAAAGAUCCAGAAAUGAUCUUGAUUCAGUCCGUCCGUGAUAGAAGAUGAACUUGUCGUAGGUGGUUUAAUUCAACUUUCCAGAAUUAUUGUCCGAUCUUCACAUGCGUUUCCAAUAAUUUCCGCAAGCUUCCACAGACGUCGUUUUCUGUUGAAUCACCGAGUGUGUUCAUCGGUAGCUUCGUUUCUCGGGAGCAAGCUCCAAUUACCACCCAAUAAUUCUGCAGUCUCAUGCAUUGGACAUCUAUCUGGACACUUAGCUGUGUUUUGUUUGUGUCGGAUUAUAUUAGAAUUAUAAAGUGUUAAACCCUAGAUUGAAUCUAAAUAAUUAACGAUAUAUUAAUCUCAGUACUCCCAAUUGAAUCUCACUGGAAUAGAUCGAGCAACGAUGGCAGCUUCUAUUUCUUCUCUUUUCUUUAUGCUGGUGAUCCAAGCUGCAUCGAUGGCAAUCGCUGGUACUCAGACGAUGAAUGUUAUAAAAUCCACAUGCAGAUCCACACCCCACCCGGAGCUUUGCAUCAAAACAUUGACGGAUCCAUCCGUCAUCUUAUCUAUACCCAUUGAUCCAACACUAAUCAACUUCGCAGCGCACACGCUUGACUCUGCAAUCACCAAAGCAAAAAAACUCUCGUCUUUCUUAGCAGACACCGGUUCCGGUGGAAUUGGUGGCAUCGUUCAAGUUCAGAAAGGCUGUGUUGACGACUGUAAGGAGCUUCACCAAAUCAGCAUAGCUUGUCUUCAGAGAUCCGCCGCUAUAUGUGACAAAAAAGGUGGAACUGCUGCAAGUUUGAGUACGAGAGAAAUGAGUGAUAUCAACAUUUACCUCUCGGCGGCGUUAACUAACAAGAAUACCUGCCUCCAAGGUCUGUCCACGGCUACCGGACCAAAGAAGGACAGUCUGGUCAGUUAUUUCACGGAUGCGUACAAAUAUGUAUCUAACUCGCUUGCCAUCGUUGCCAAAUCAAAGGCUUCUAAGCUGCCUCCUCAUCCCACGUCGGUUCAUAAUCGGAGGCUAAUGGGAACGAUGAUUCCGUCGUGGUUACCGUUAAGAGAUCGGAAAAUUUUACAGCUUGGACCGAUUACCAUUGGUGGCGGCAGUAAUAACGAGGGUAACAACGAAGGUAACAACGAGGGUAAUAACGAUGGCAAUAACGACAAUAAUGACGACGGCAAAGGUGAUGAAAAUACGUUGACACUCAAGGUAGCAGCCGACGGUUCUGAGACUUACAGAACUGUAAGUGAGGCCGUUCUUAAUGUGCCGGAAAAAAGUAAUUCCAGGACGAUUAUUCAGAUCAAGGCCGGAGUUUACGAGGAGAACGUGGUAAUUCCCUCAAAUAAGAUAAACAUCGCAUUUGUCGGAGAAGGUAGCGAUGUCACUACAAUCAGUGGGAACAGAAGCGUCGCCGAUGGGUGGACGACGUUCCACAGUGCAACUGUUGGUAAGUUCUCCGAUCUUGUUAAUUAACCCAAACUUUUUAGUUUUCACAGUCACACCAUGAAUGAAGAAUCAGAUCUAGAUCUACAUUUGCAUUCUGCAAGAUGCCAAAUUGAGUAAAACAAAAACACUGCACAAUUUACAAAAUUUAACUCUGACGGUAAGACGAAUGGUCAUUUAGGUCACGGGCUAGAUGAGAUUUCCAUGCAUGCAUUAUUUAAGCCAUUUGUAUUCAAAUAUUCCUAUUUAUUUAUUUAUUCAUUCAGCUGUUUCCGGUAGUGGUUUUCUGGCAAGGGACAUCACGUUCGAGAACUACGCCGGACCGGCAAAAGGGCAGGCAGUGGCUAUAAGGAUAAAUGCAGAUCUGACGGCUUUCUACCAUUGUAACUUUCUCGGAUACCAAGACACACUCUACGUCCACUCCUUCCGCCAGUUCUAUAGAGAAUGCAACAUCCUCGGAACAGUCGACUUUAUCUUCGGAAAUUCGGCGACCAUCAUCCAAAACUCCAACAUCAUAGCCCGACUACCUCUCCACGGCCAAUACAACACUAUCACCGCACAAGGCCGUGACGACCCGAACGAAGACACGGGAAUCUCGAUACAGAGGUGUUCGAUCUUGGCAUCACAAGAACUUGCCCAAAACCCCGACAGCGCCAAGACUUACUUGGGCCGGCCAUGGAGGAUAUACUCCAGGACCGUGUACAUGGACUCGCUGAUCGAUCGUCUUGUCGAUCCGGCUGGGUGGAAGAAUUGGGAUGGUGAUAGAGGGUUAGAUACGUUGUACUACGGCGAGUAUGCGAACACUGGACCGGGAUCGAACACCGAUGGUCGAGUGAAUUGGGCUGGAUAUCAUAUCAUGGACCGCCAAGAUGCUUCUCCGUUCACCGUGUCGGAGUUCAUCCAAGGGGAUCAGUGGCUCGAUUCAACCAAUUUUCCUUAUGAUAAUUCUGUGUAAUCGGACCGUCAGAUUUUAUAAUGUUUAUAAAAAUAAAGAUGGUAUAAAUGGGGUUAUUUUUAUGAUAUAAAAAUAAAAUUCACUGACCCGUUUUCAGAACGAUAAGUGAUCGCCUAUUACGGUCGACUAUGUUAAUAACCUAAUUAAUAUGUUAUUAAUAGGUCAAAUCCCGAUGUUACAGUGUCGUCCGAUGACCAUCAAUUCGUCAAAUCAUAAUUUCCGUUACGGUUCUGAAAACAUCGUGUAUAUUCAAUCUUUUAUACUUUUAUAAUAUAUAUUUCCAAAAUGUGAUAACAGAUUUUUUGUAACAGUAGUCUAGAUCAAAAAAGAGAUUGUUUUUCUUAACAACCUAUUUAAGGAUUUUCUUAAUAACCUAUUAAUACAAAUAAUUAUAAACUUGUCAUCUUUUAUAAACCUUAAUUAGUUAAUUUUAUAUCCUAAAAUUUAAAUCCUAAUUUUAUUUUUCUCUCCUCUUCCACUUUCAUUUUUCCUUUUUCGUCGUCGUUGGCUCUCCCCUCACUGUCGUCGGACCUCUUCUCACCUUCGUCGGACUUCUCUAUCUUUAAACCAUUUUAUUAUUUAAACAACAAGAUUUUUUAUACAAAAUAUUCAAUCAAUUUACUAAACCCGAACCCGACAUCUAAACCGGGUCUGUGUUCAAUAUUUUGUGACCUUCUCGGGUUUUGAUCCGAAUCCGAUUUGAAAACUCAGGUUCGAAUCCGGAUCCGAGUCUAGGUAAACUCGAGGGAAACCCGACCCAUGCCAAUCCUAAUGACAGUAUGUCACGACUCGAAAAGAGAUAAUAAAUUAAAUUCAAAUACUAAAUGUUCUAAAAAUAAAUGGUAAACAAAAGACAUUAAAAUGAACAUUUGUAGACAAAAACAAAAUAACAUUAAAAUGAACGAUAAAUACAUAUGUGAUUUCAAUUAAUUAAAUGAUAGUGAAUCACAAAGUAGCCGUGAUAAAAAAAAUAAAUAAAAUAAAUAAAAUAAAUAGUUAACUAAUUUUCUAAUUGCGUACUUUAUUAAAAUGGAAAACUGUUAAUUAUAGUGAAACCAAAUGUUAAAUAGUUACCGUUAAUAUGACUAAUCAGUUAAUGCCUAAUAGAGACACCUAUACAUAUUAGGCAAACAGUUAGUUUACUUUCUCGAUCGGUUUUAUCCUUUCCCGACUCCGGCCAUCGACGCACCGACCAUCUUGCAUGCCUGACUAGCUUUAUUUCUCGAUGAUACUGGAGGCCGGUUGAACCAAUAUAGAAUCCGUACAACAUAAUUUAUAAAUAUAGAUAAUGCCGGCGUUUCAAGACUUCGGUCCGUGGUCGGAUCGGCGUAAAGCCGAACUGAACCAGAAGAGGAAGAAAAAUUUCAUAAUCUUCGGCUCCAUUGCUCUUAUCCUCAUCAUUUCGUUCUCCAUUGCAGUUGUGUUUAUCAUUAUGAAUAUGACGCAGAAAAAGUGUUCUCGUCCCGUCACUAGUACUAAUUCAUCCACUUCUUCCGACGCCGCCGGCAAAGCGCUUCCCUCAACGACGUCAAUCAAGACCGUUUGCUCCAAGACCGACUAUAGAUAUCUGUGCGAGAAGGUUCUGAAGGAAUCCGUCGGAGAUUCAAAAAAUAAAUCUUCCGACCCAAAGGCACUCAUCGGGUUUUCGAUAGACGCCAUUAGUUCCGAGCUAGAAAAGGUCCAGAAUAAAUCAAAAUUAAUCAAAAGCACCGACCCACUGGUUUCCGGUGCGGUCGAUGACUGCGACGAGCUCUUCGUCUACGCAAUGGAGGAUUUACAAAGAGCGAAGCAAACCGUCGACGAGAAGGAUUUGAAUCAACUUCAGAACCAAACCCAUGAGCUCAAGAACUGGCUAAGUGCGGUGGUUUCCGAUCAGAUGACAUGCGUCGAAGGGUUUCCCCAAGGCGAGUCCAAGGAACGGAUGAGGAAAGAGGUAGAAACCUCCAGGAAACAUACCAGCAAUGCUCUUGCUAUUGUUGAUCAGAUGGUUUCGCUUAUAUCGUCUUUCGAAAUCAACGAUCUAGGAUUCCAACACAGGUUGACGGAACAAUCAUCGGAGAGCAUCGAAAACGAUCAGCUCAUCGUCACUGACACCGGUGACAUAUUACCUUCGUGGGUGCCGGAAGAGGAUAGGAGGAUUUUGAAGGAGAGAAAAGAAAAAGAGAUUGAACCAAACGUCGUCGUUGCCCAAGAUGGCAGCGGUAAAUUCAAGACUAUAACUGAAGCUCUGGCUGCUAUGCCAACGAUAUAUGUCGGAAGGUAAUCAGAUCCAUAUACCAAAUCUCUUGAGUCCUGAAUAUUGAUUUUGUUUGAACUUUUUACAAUCAUGAAAGUUAGGUAUGUGAUUUACGUGAAGACUGGUGUUUACGAUGAAAGUCCUAUCGUGACGAAGAGGAUGGAGAAUGUGACCAUGUAUGGCGAUGGAUCGAAGAAGACGACCGUCACCGGCAAAAAGAAUGCUGUUGAUGGAACACGAACAUUCCAGACUGCAACUUUCGGUACACAUGUACUAUCACUAGCUUCUCCGAUCGAAUCGAUCGAGAUUACAAAUUGAAUUAGUUUAAUUUUCGAGCAAAAGAAAUUGAUUUACAGUGGCCGUCGGAGAUCGGUUCAUGGCAAUAUCCAUGGGAUUCGUGAAUACCGCCGGUGCAAAAAAACAUCAAGCAGUGGCACUUCGAGUACAGUCUGAUCGGUCACUUUUCCUCAACUGUCUAAUGGAUGGAUACCAAGACACCCUCUAUGCCCAAUCCCACCGUCAGUUCUACCGAACCUGCGUCAUCAAAGGUACUAUCGACUUCAUCUUCGGCGACGCCGCAGCAGUUUUCCAGAACUGCAAGAUCACCGUCCUCCGCCCACUCGACAACCAAAAGAACAUCGUCACUUCCCACGGUCGAAGCGACCGUCGGGAGAGCACGGGAUACGUUCUCCACGCCUGUAAGAUUUUCCCCGAUGCCAAAUUUUUGCCGGAUACGAGGACAAAAAUCAAAACUUAUCUCGGUAGACCAUGGCAAAAGUACGCUCGGACGGUUAUCAUGGAGUCCUCUAUCGAUGGAUUCAUCGAUCCCGAAGGCUACUUACCGUGGAACGGAGACUUUGGUCUGAAAAGUCUUUACUACGCCGAGUACGGCAACGACGGCGAAGGAGCUUCGAUGGGCAAUAGAGUGAAGUGGCCGGGAGUCCGAGCCAUUAAGAAGAGUAAAGCCGAAGAAUUCACUGUAGCCGCUUUCAUCCAGGGAGGAGAAUGGAUUAAAGACAUGCACGUACAUUCUCCGGUGCGUUUAGGGUUGUAUAAUAAAUAAAUGAGAUAUUUUUCCAUUCAUGCAUGGAAACAGAGUCCGUACUAUUUCAAUCUAUUUAUUACCAGAGUUAAAAAAAAGUAAGACAAAAAUAUUUGAUUUAAUAUUUAUAAAUCAGUGGUAAGUGUUUCUUUCAAACAGGCCUUAGGCCCAUUAGAGUAAUACUGAAAAUAUUUAUAAAUUUGCAAAAACAACCUACCAGAAUUACAGCUUUGUAAAACAUAUAUUUUGAUUUUUGACAUGGUGUACAUUUAUUUAAUGAAGUCAAUCUGAUUAACUUAAAUAAGUUUAAAUCCAUGUUGCUAAGCAUUCAAGGAUGCCUUGAACCUCGAUCCGGUGUUUUGUUUUUCCUAUCGUACAUCCCAUCUCGUGUUUCUCUCCUUCCAUUGGCAAACUCGAUCCUAGAUUUUUAGGAAUCGACCCGACUGCUUUGUCCGAUCAUUGUCUCGUCAAGUUCAGACUCAAGUUUCCCUAUGGAUUCAUAAUGAACAACAACGGGGAGAGAAAAAAUCACCCUACCGAACCCAUUUUCGCACUUUGAUGAUGGUUAAUUUGGUUGAGCCCUAUACGUACCAGAGCGGAAGAGGAUCGAUGCGGAAUUGAGGUAUGACUGUAUCAUCUCCCUAGCUAAACUGCACAUUCAAUUUAGGGAGAUGAUACGGUCAAUGUCUUAACUAAGAACAACAAGAAUUACAAUAAGGUAUGAAAAGUAAGAAUCAAACUAAAAACCAGCACAAAACAUAACAAUAUAUAUCCGCAAACUAAGAACAAUUACAAAAACGGAUAUAUAAUUUUAAAAGAAAGACAUUAGGUACACGUAGCAAAUGAAAAGACAUUGUAUCACCCUUAGGUGUAAAACAUAAAGAAAAAGCAGUCACCAAGAUAAAGUGUUAGGCCUAAUUCAGAUUUAAAAUUGGGAUAAUAACCCGGAUCCGAUAACAGUGGAUCCAUUUAAAUUGAAUCAAGUAUAACAAAUAACGAAGGUAUAUAUAUAGAGACAAAGAUGGUUGAGCAAUUACCGGAAAAAAAAUUCUAUUCCAUUUGUGAGUAUCGAUUUUCUGCUCUUCUCAAUCAUUCUCAGUUCUUGGACUCGUCUUCGUUUUCAUCUAGUAAUUUUUUGUUUGCUGUUCAUCUUUCUCAGGUAUCGAUUCCGGUUUUUUCCAAGCAAGUUCCUGUUUCAAUAUUCCUGUUUUAAUCUCGAAAUCAAAUCAUUUUUUAAAAUUCAUGUUCUGUAAUUGUAUUGUAAAAUAUUGAUGUACAUUUCAUCAUCAGAUAUGAACAAAUUGAAUUCUGUCAUAUUCUAUUUUUUUUUAGUUUAGUUGAUACACUUUUCUGUUCCAAUUUCCUUAAUUCAGUUUGUCAUUCAUCAAUCCAUUUCAGUAAAAGUUUCUGUUAUUUUUUUAAUUCUUUUGUAUUCAACUUUUCUGUUCCAAUUUUCUUAAUUCUGUUUGUUAUUCAUCAAUCCAUUUCAGUAAAUGUUUCUGUUAUUUCUUUUGUAUUCAUUUUCUGUUCUGUUGAAUUAGUUUUGUUCAAAUAAAUAAACCAAUUCUUGCUUGCAUAAUCACAAUAUUCUGAACUGUACAUUUUGUUUCAAUCAAGUUAAUAUUCAUGGUAUGUUUAAAAUUCAGUUAAUGUCUGUUUGAAGUUUCUGAUGAGUUUUCUCACCCCUCGGCCGGGAUCAUCACAAGCGUUCUUGUUCUCAGAAGAUAUCUCUGGCUCCAACGAGGGUUUUCGUUCGGGGGGUUGGACGUUCCCCCUGACAGCAUACCUGUCCGGGAGUUUGAAAUGUGAUCCUUUGACGCUCUCUUGGGCUUCGAGCUUGUGAAGAACGAUCAUUUCCUGGGGACCAUCUUGUCAUCACCGAAGUGGAGCUUAUAAUUUUAAAAGAACGAUAUUAGGUACAAGUAGCAAAUGAAAAGAAAACAUAAAUGAGGGAAUCCAUAAACCCUAACAUAAUAUGAUAUUGAGUGAAUAAAUAAAUAAGGAUCGAGCAAAAAAAAUGAUAGAAUAAAAAUAGAUAUAGAUGUGAAAUAGAAAAAAGAGUACGAUACAAGAGAGAGAACAAGAAGACCUAAAGGGUGGAGGAAGAAAGAAAAAUAACCUGGUCGAAAGAAGAAGAAAAAUCAAAAAAAGAUGCUAUGAGAUAUUUAAAAUAUUUUAUCCGUCUGUUUUUUUCUGGAAAUGUAGUAUUAGCUUAUCGAACAUAAGCUUUACACUCGAACUCUGUUGGUUGGGCUCGCGAAUCCAAACUUAGCCAGCCGAACUAGAGCUUUAUUUAACACCCUAGUUGCCUAUAUAUAUAUAUAUACGGUGCGUUUUUCGAACGGCCACUUACUAAACGGAUCAUUUUGCGGACGGUGCAUCUCACCGUCAAUUCUGCGAAAUUUUUUGCACCAUUCAUUGUGUUUGACCAUCUACGUACAUCCGACGGGAUGUAGCCUCACCGUUUCUCUGCAAAUUCCGUUCACUAGCCCAUACCCUCCACUAUUCCACCGUACCUCACUGACUUCGUCUGUCCCGAAGUUUCGAAUUCGUAUAAAGAAGUUUUCAUGUCGUUCGUCGUCACUGCCAUUGCAUUCCGCGUUCCCCUAAAUAUUACCCCAAAUAACAUACGCCUCUACAACAUUCACUUCUUACGCCUCGCUCAUCAACGGAUUGGCAAAAAAUCACUUCCAGCAGAUCCCCUCGUACAGGGCAUCUUUAAAUCACUCCGAGUUUCCUCAUAACUAUUCCGUAUGUUUUUCACAUUUGACCUACCUUACUCUAAAUGUUUCAGUAAACUCGUAUGUUCCGGCAACUUACGAAAUCAACACAGUGAAAAAAUCGCAAGUAAUACUACAUGCCAUUUAUCGAAUAACAAAUGAUUUGUUGUAUUUCUGAAGUUCACGAUUUUGAAAAAUCGAAAUCCUAAGAGGCAUCGAAUCAAGCAUCAAUCGAAAUCCCAAUAAGUUUAUCAAAAAAUGAAUAUACACUGUUAAAGGAAAAUCAAAAAAUAAAUAGAUUUUCAUUUUCGAAUAUAAUUCUUGUUUCCUUAGAUUCCUAUUAUACAUGUCUUUCUUAACUGUCUACCUUUUCUUUUCUGACCCCAAACCUUAUCUAUUCAUUUAAUCAAUUCUUGGACAAUGAAUGGUAUGGAUUUUAGUUGAUUCUACAAGAAUGAAACUUUCAUCUCUUCUAUGAACGGUAGAUUAUACAGUUCAUCUUAGUUAUAAGCAUCUAUUUUCGAUGGCCUCAUCUUUAGAAAUCUAGUACUAAAUUAAAAUCUGCGUAUCGUAAUUAAACUAGGUAUGUGGUACCCCCAAUUCCACCAUGAUAUUUGUUUGUGUUUUGUUCGAAAUCUUUUUUUAAGUAUAAAAUCACUGUUAUUCAAACGAUAUCUGUGUAGAACCCCUUUUUACCUUGAUUAUAAUUUUUUUUUCAAUAUAAUAUUUACACUGAAUAUAGUUGUAUUUCUGUAAUUUAUUAUUUUACACCUAUGAUUUGUGGAUCCUUAUUUAUUCACCGCUGGUUUUUUGUUUAUAGUAUCAAAUUAAAAAUUGGGUCUAUAAUCUUUUUUUCAGAAAUUCCAAAUGACCAUGUAUGUUUUAGGUAUGUUCUGUUGAUAUUUGAUUUCAAAGCAUGACAUAUUCAUUGAUCUGUUUUUGGAAAUAAUGUCCAUUAUGCUCCUAAUGUUGAUCUAUAUAAAGUGGCGUCAUUUUCCAAAUUUUUUUAUCGUAUCUAAUAUUGAAAUUAAUUUGUUAAUGUCGUACCCAAGUUAUUUACUUAUAUUAUUCUGGUUUUUGCCUGAUUAUUGUUCAUUGUUUAAUUUUAAUGAUAAUUCUAUUUUUAUUCCAACGAUAUGUUUGUACAUACCUUUUUACCUUGAAUUUAAAUUUCUUUCCUAAGUUAUAAUCUACAACUAUUAGUUGAUCGAGUUCAUAUCUGUGUAUGGAAUUUGUAUAUUAAUAUGUCGAUCAGGGUGAAACCUUCGUUUCGGAAUCUAAUAUUCCCCUCAGCUUUCGAUAAAAUCUGCCCUGGGCAUGAGUGAUUGAUGACCAGCCAAUAGACAAUUUGGUAUCUGCCACAAUUUGAGAUGAAAUUACCAUGAACUCUGGAGGAAUUUUUCUCUGUAGUUUGUUAUCUGUUUCUAUUGUGCAGUGUGUAUUAUCGAAGGACUAUCAACCUUUUUUUUUACUAAGCAGAAAUGAUAUUUCUGAUGGUUUAUAUUGUAUUUGAUGAAUUCGCAAAAAUCUAGCAAUUAUUGAUCUGUUCGUUUUUGUAGGCUGGUAUAGAUUGCUUACUACAAUGUAUUGUAAUAGGAUUAUUAUAUUUACCGUCUAGACCAUUGUAUUUUAUUCUAUAGAUUUUUCCACAUUUCAUCAAGCUUAGUUGCUAUGUUCCAAUAAUCUAUUAUUCUCCCGCUACAUUGUAUAAUACGUAAGUGGAGAAAUAGAUUAUCCGACCUAAUUUGAUUGAUCGAAUACUAAAUGGUUUGUAGGAUUUCUGAAAUCCUAUAUCCCAAGUUCAUGAUGGACAUCUCAAAAAUUUUUGAACAAAUGAAUAUCAAAUAUUAAUGGAAAAUCAACAAGUAAAUUGAUUUUCCUUUUCGGAUUAUACUAUUGUUUUCGUACAUUCCUAUUCGCCAUAUCUUUCUGAAUUAUCUCAUUUUUUUCUUCUGAUUCCAAACCUUAUCUAUCGAUGUAAUUAAUUCUUCGACCAUGAAUGUUAUGAAUUUUUGUUGAUUCCACCAGUUUCCAAUUAUCAUAUCCUAUAGGAGCUGUAGAUUUGAUAGUUGCCCAUAAUAAUAUCCAUCUAUUUACAAUGGCCUCAUCUUCAGAAAUCUAGUAUGAAAUCUAAAUUCGCGUAUCGAAAUUAAACUAGUUAUGUUUAACCCCUUUUCCAACAUGAUUACUGUUUUGUAUUUGUUUUUUUUUGUUCGAAAACUCUUUUUGAUCAUGGGUUGUGUUUUUUUAGUUUAUUAUUUCACACAUUAGGUUUGUCGAUCCCUUUCUAUUCCACGCUUGUUUAUUUUCCAUAGUACCAAAUUUAAAUUUCGGGCUGUAAUUUAUUUUUCAUAGCUUCUGAAUGACCAUGUAUAUCUUAGUUAUGUUCAGUUCUUAUUUGAUUCCAAAGCAUGACAUAUUUACUGAUCAAUUCUGGGGAAUAAUGUUCAUUCUCCUAAUAUUGAUCUAUUUACCGUGGCUGCAUUUUCAAAAUUUUAUUGUCAUAUCCAUUAUUCGAUAUUGAAAUUAAAUUUUUUUAUGUCGAACCCAAUUUAUUUCAUUAUAUUAGUCUGGUAUUUGCUUAAUUAUUGUUCAUUGUUUAAUUAUAAUUCUAUUUAAAUUCCAACGACAUGUUUGUACAUUCCUUUUUACCUUCAAUUUACAUUUCUAUCCCAAGUUGUAAUCUUCAACCGAUAAUUGAGUUCUUAUUUAUUGAUGGAGUUUGAAUAUUAAUUUGUCAAGUUGGUUGUAGCAUUUGUUUCGAAAUUUAUUAUUCUGCAUAGCUUAGGAUAAAAUUUUCCCUGGGUCAUCAGUCAUUGAAAACCACCUAAUAAACACUAAGGUAUCUGCCCCCAUUUUAGAUUAAAUUAUUAUUAACUCGGAUGGUUUUUUCUCUGUAGUUUAUUAUUUGUUUCCAUUUUGUCGCGUCUGCCAUCAAACUCUGUCAGUACCAAACAGAAAUGAUAUUUCUGAAGAUCAAUAUUGAAUUUGAUGAAUUCACGAAUUUCUAGUAAUUAUUGUAAUGUUCCUUCUGUAGGCUGUUCUAAAUUGCUAGUUAAAAUCUUCAGUUAUAGGAUUUUUCCAAUUACUGUCCAGAGCAUUGUCUUUUAUUCUUCAGAGGUUUUCACAUUUUACCGAGCUUAGUUGCUAUCUUCCAUUAAUCUAAUAUGCUCCUAUUACUUUGUAAAACACCUUAGUGAAGAAUUCGAAAAUCCAACCUUAUUUUAUUGAUCGACUGGACGUCCGGCUUUAAGACAAAAUUAAAGCGGGAACGGCCGGUCGACGAAGUCUGGACCGACGGAUUGCCAUCCGUCCAUCGUCGAAUGAGUGUUCGUCUACGAACCAUGGUGUGUGUGUAUAUAUAUAUAUAUAUAUAGGGCGCGAUUCUGGGACGGCCGAUUUUUCGAACGGUCCCUUUUGCAGACCUCCGAUCCGUCGUCCGUUAGCUAGAGAUUGAACUGGAGAUUGAAGCCGGUCGUUCCGAUCGCAACUGGAUCGCGAGUUCCGAUCUCCAGUUCCGCGAUCGGAACCCAUCGCGAGUUCCGAUCUCCAGUUCCGCGUUCGGAACUGGAGAUUGAACCCAUCGCGAGAUUGAACUGGAGAUUGAACCCAUCGCGAGUUCCGAUCUCCAGUUCCGCGAUCGGAACUGCGAUCGAGUUCCGCGAUCGGAACUGGAGAUUGAACCCAUCGCGAGAUUGAACUGGAGAUUGAACCGGAGAUUGAACUGGAGAGUGAACCCAUCGCGAGUUCCGAUCUCCAGUUCCGCGAACGGAACUGCGAUCGAGUUCCGAGAUUGAACUGGAAAUUGAACCCACUACAAAAAAAAGGACCUUGUAUGGCGGACUUUAGAUGGCGGAUUUCCGCCAUCUAUACUUCAAUUGUUUAGAUGGCGGAUGUCCGCCAUCUAUUCUUUCAGUCCGCCGAGGAAACGUUUUGGCUCGACGGCGGUUCCAUUUUAUUUUCGAUGGCGGUGUUUAGAUGGCGGAAAUCCGCCAUCUAAACUAUCCCGCCCAAAAUUUCGAAUCUCCCCCAAACAAUAACCCGAUUACCCGAUUAAAUUGACUUAAGAUGGCGGAAAUAAUUCGGGGACUCGGGCGGAAAAAGCCUGAAAAAGCCUGCCCAAAUUUCGAUUGGGCGGACUUUCACUUUAGUGUUGGCGGCACUUAAGUGUACUUACAUGGCGGAAAUCCGCCAUGUAAGUUUUGGGGUUUAUUAAAAACCCCAAAUCGACAGAACGUGGCUGUUCUGUCUGAAAUUGAAGAAAUCGCCGCCGCUGCCUCCCUGCUGCCCCCGUCGUCGUCGUUCCUCGCCGUCGGUUGUUCCUCGCCGUCGCCGCAUCCCGCCGCAUCCUCGCCGGUUAUCUUUGAAGGUAUCAUUUUGAUAAUGGUUGUAAAUGGGUUUUUAUAUUUGGGUUUUGUUAAUUUUUUUAUUUUGUGAUUGUUUAUUGUUUUGAUUUGGGUUUUGAUUUGAUUUGUGUUUUGUCUAUUUUUUGUGUUUUGUGUAUUGAAUGAUGAUCUCUUAAUCUAUGUAAAUGAUGAUCUCUUAAUCUCUUAAUCUAAUUAGAAAAUACUAUAUUACUGUGAAUGAUCUCUUAGUCUAUAUGCGUUUAUGGUUUGUGUUUCUAUAUAUAUUACUGUGAAUGAUGAUAUGUUAAUUAAGAAUCCAUGUUUGUAAUAGAAUUUUGAGUGUAAUUGAACCCUUAUACUCCUACACACUCGUCGUAUUCCAAUUGUUCCUUUCUAUUCCCCGAUGACCUUCAUUGCUUAAAUACCACUUCAAGUUAACUUCAUUGGGAUUUGAUUUGAAAUAUGCUUUGAUUCUUCCGAAUCUUCGAUCUUCUAUUACAAACAUGGAUUUUUUUUGAUAUGUUAAGAAUUUCAAUGAUUUCAUAAGAAUUUCAAUGAUAUGUUAAGAAUAUCAUUUUGUUUUAAUUUCAAUGAUUUAAUUUCAAUAAUAGCCGUUUCCGCCGACUGCCUCUCGUUGUUUCUUCGCCGACGCCGGUUCCGAGGUCGCCUCCAGUAGCCACCGCCUCCGUCCUGCCUUGAUUACGUCGCCUCGAUUGUCCGUUUUGGUGAGAUUUGAAAAAUCUUUUUAAUUUAGUUAAAUAAUUAUUAAUUUUUUAAAAUAAAUAAAUAAUGUAGAAAAUUAAUAAAAAUAAUUAUUUUAUUUAAAUAAUUAAUUAUUUAGUUAUAUCAUAAUUUAAAUACCAUGUUUUGAAAUAAAUUAAAAAUAUUUAAUAUUGUUCUUAAUUACUGUUUUGUAAUAAAUUUAUUAAUUAUUUCAUUUUCUGAUUAUAAAUGUUUUAAUUAAUUAUUUAAUUGAUUAUUUGUAAAUAAUUUAUAAAUUGAUUUAAUUAAAUAAAUAAUUUAUAUAAUGUUUUAAUUAACUAAUUAAAUUAUUGUUUUGUUGACUUGUUAUAUAUAGGUUUUGAAAUAUCAAGAAUGUAAUUAUAAAUUUGUUAAUUAGUAAUUAUGAAAUUGAAUGAUUUUAAUGAUUUUAAUUAAAUUCUAUUAAUAAUGAUUAAUUUGCAUGAAAUUAUAAUUACUGUUUCUUAAUAUAUAAUAAUUAGUCAUAUUUGAAAAUAAAAAUAAUAAUUACUGUUUCUUAAUACUGUUUUUAAAUAGUUAAAUAAUUAAUGUUUUUCAUAUUUUAAAUUAAUCAAUUAUUUUAAAAUUAUUUCAUGAAUUAAAAUAAUUAUUUCAUAUUUUAAAUUAAAAAAAUUAAAUUUUUUUUUAAUCAACUUAUUUGUAAAUUAUUUAAAUAAUUGUAAUUAAAUAUGAAUUUAAUUAAUAAUUUACAUGAAUCUAUAUCUUAAUUAAUUAUUUGCAUGAAAUAAAUUUGUUUUCAAUAUUUUAUGUUUUUAAAUUAUUUAAAAAAUAAUUAAAAUAAUUAAAUAAUUUAUGAUUUUAAAUAAUUUAAAAUUUAUAUAAAAUAAUUAAUGUGUUUUUAUUUGUAAUAGGUUUUUUAAAAUCAAGAUUGAAGUAAGUUUUCGAUUGAAGAAAAGCUAAUUUGCGGUAAAAAUUAUAUAAUUUGAUUUAAUCAAUUUAUUUUCAAAUUAUUUAAUUUAGUGUUAAAAUAAAUGAUUAAAUUAUCUGAUUGACAAUUCUAUUAAUAAUUUAGUGUUAAAAUAAAUAAAUAAUUCUAUUAAUAUUUUUUUAUUAAUUGAUUGACAAUUAUUAAAUAUUAAUUUUUUAGUAAUGAAAUGUUAAUGAUUAAUUUGCAUAAAUUAAAAAUUUGUUAAUUAAUUAAUAAUUAUUAAAUUAAAAUGUUAAUGAAUAUAAUUUGCAUGAAAUUAUAGAAAUCAUAAUGAAUAAUUAUUCAAUUGAAUGAUUUUAAAUUGAAAUAAUAAUCAUUAAUUUGCCAUGAAAUGACUAAUUUAUUAUUUGUUUGUUUAAAAGUUAUUAUAUUAAUUAAUUUAAUAUUUUUUUAGAUUUUAAGAAAUGCCACGUAGAGUGAAGCAAUUACCUCGUAGGAGGGCUCUACCACCCAAUCCCCUAGAUGCUUUCCGGUCAAUUAAUUUUUAUCUAAUUCAUUAUAAUUUGAUAAAAAUUUUAAUUUUUAGGAUAAUGUCGAACGUUAUGAAAGUACCCGAUAAAGCUUGGAUGAGUUUAGAUCGGUUUUNNNNNNNNNNNNNNNNNNNNNNNNNNNNNNNNNNNNNNNNNNNNNNNNNNNNNNNNNNNNNNNNNNNNNNNNNNNNNNNNNNNNNNNNNNNNNNNNNNNNAUUACCGAACUCAUUUUUGUUUUCAUUUUCAGAACAAGUGUAACGAGAGUCAAAAAGACGUCUCCAAAUACAAGAAGAAGUUCAAUGCUAUGAAAUCAUAUAUGAAGAAACUGAAUAAGACUUUGAAGACUUCUGGACUCGACAUGAUGCAGAUGGUUUCUACUUCAAAGUCCACAAUACCGUCUGCAUUCGGAUCAGAUAUUUCUGAUUCUGAUUCAGAAGACUCACUUUCAGACGAGUGUUGAUUAAACUAUUUUUUUUUUCUUAUUAAAACUUCGAAUGUUUAACGAUUAUGUAAUUUAAUUUCUUUUUAAUAAAAAACAUCGAUUUCAAUUUCUAUUACGAAAUCGUUUUCUCAAAUAUCGAUUUUAUUUCAAAAAACGACGAUUCGAACGCACAAUAUAGAAUCCUGUUUUAAAAAAAAAAUGUAACAAACAUUGUAUGGCGGAUUUCCGCCAUCUAAACUCUUCUACUAAGUUUUAGAUGGCGGAAAUCCGCCAUCUAAAGUUCCAAGGAUAGUCGGCGGACAUCCGCCGUCAAUGAAAUUAACCGCCAUCAAUGAAUUGGCGCCAAACUAUUCCCGCGCCAUAUUUUAGAUGGCGGAUUUCCGCCAUCUAAAACUUUUCAAUUCGCGCCAAAAUUUUCAGAUUAGAUGGCGGAAAUCCGCCAUCUAUACUAUUUUUGGUGGGAAAUGGGGAUGGAUAAUAGAUGACGGUUUUUAGAUGACGGUUUAUGGGUUUUAAUGGCGGUGUCCAAGAUGGCGGGCUUUAGAUGGCGGAUUUCCGCCGAGGAUCACUUUAGAUGGCGGAAAUCCGUCAUCUAAAGCCCGCCAUACAAGGUCGGAUUUCUUGUAGUGACCCAUCGCGAGAUGGAACUGGAGAUUGAACCCAUCGCGAGUUCCGACCUCCAGUUCCGCGAACGAAACUGCGAUCGAGUUCCGAGAUUGAACUGGAAAUUGAACCCAUCGCGAGAUGGAACUGGAGAUUGAACCCAUCACGAGUUCCGAUCUCCAGUUCCGCGAUCUCCAACAGGAGGCGAUAACCUGGAGGUGGUCUGGUUCGAUCCCUUCACUCGCUCCAGAAUAACCGGAGGUUCUUUAGGAGGGUUUGUUGCAUCUUGAAGGUGAGAUUUGAUUGGGGAAGGUUAUAGAAGAGGGGGAGAAGAAAUCGACGGAAGAAUAUAAAUAUACCGGAGUGAUUUAUAUUUUAACACUUCACUCCGGUUCACAGACGGUCCGCAUGGGACGGAUACACGUCUGUGAUCUGGAGUGUAUAUAUAUAGUGUAUAGUUAUUAGAUAGAUGUAGUUGAUUUGGUAGAUGAUCGCUUUCCAAAAAGCGUUGGGCACGCGAAUGUCAUUUCGCUAUUGACUUUGUGUACUAGCUUGGAUUGUAGGGUUUUGUCGGACAUGGCUGACAUAUUCAAAUAUCUAUAUUUAGAUAUAUGACAUUAGACAUUAAUUAUUUGAUUCAUUUGGUGAGACUAAGUUGUCAUUGAUUUGGAAUUAUAGUAUUAAAAUCUAGAAUUUAGACUUUUAGAACACUAUUUGGCGAUAUUGUAUCUAGAACUUGAUCACGAUACACCAACAACUAAUUAAAGACUCAAAUAGCCCAAGAUGAAUUGAGCCACCCUUAUAGGUUUGAGGAGGUUCCAAGUCAACGUUUGAGAAGGUUGGACUUCAACAGAAGUCGACUUUACCCAACUCGACUUUUUUAGAACUUGACUUUCCCAGAGUUCGACUUUCUCAGAAGUUGAACAGGAAAAGUCGAACUGGAAAAAGUCAACCUCUGAGAAAAUCGAUUUCAGAAAGUCAACUUGAAACCAGAUCUAAACAAAUUACAGUCCAAAUGGUCAGAUUACCUCCAUAAAAGUUCUAUAAAUAGAGAGCACCCUUCAGUCAUCAAAGCAAGUCAUAAUUCAGUGUAAAGAAGUCUCAGUGAAACAGAGCUCUGAGCAAUUGAGAAGUUAAUUCGGUCUGACUUUCCCGCAGAGUUUCUCACCUGACGCUUGUUCGAAGCGUUCAAAAAAUCUCGUCCAAAUUUACAUUGACAGAAUUUCCGUUAAUCAUAAUUAGUCUAAUUAAUUUUCAAUGAAAUUCCAACGUACGGUUGUGUCUUUUUAAAAAAUUGGCGGAAAUUUCAUCAAUUAUAAUGUUUUAUUUUUGUAGCGAGAGAAGACAUUGACUAAUUAAGCUGUGAUAAAUUGUGGGAUUAUGAUUUUAAAUGCGAUUAAUUGUGAAUGUAAUUAAUUGUAAAUGUGAAGAUUUAAUAUGAAUUGUAAAUGUUGUAUGAAUUUUUUCAACAAGAAUUUAGUAACUUUGUUACGAGAAUCAAUAAACAAAUUUAAUGAAAUUUUUUGUCUUCUUUGAUUCAUUAAUAACCGUCAUUAGUAACUACCUACUAAUUACAUGUUUGUAACCGCCAUUAUUAACCGUCAUGAGUAAGUUUCAAUUUAGUUUAAAUAAUCGAUAAUUUCCAUACUUAUUAAGGAUAUAAUUGAAAAUAGGGAAAUAAGUUUUUUAAUUGGUGCCGAAGAAUUCAUAAAUGUCUUUUUCCCUGAUAUUUUUUUUAAAUAAGUGGAUUUAUAUAUUAAAAGAAAAAAAUUAAAAUUUACAGAAAUUCAAAAUAAAGACAAUUUUUUUAAAUAUAGUUAUACUUACUUUCUACUUAAUCUUUAUCUAAGGAUAAUCUCUGCAAUAGUAGACGGCGGCGGUGGGGGGCGCUUAGCAUUUAGUUCGUUCUUAUUAAUAUAUUUCUAAAAAAAUGAAAUAAAUGCAUGGAGACUUGAAAUGAAGCUGGGGCAGUUGAUAGUGUCUUAUAACCUACUUUUUUGGACGAUCAUUUGGAAACAGAGACUAAAUGACUAGUCCAGCGAAUCAAUCAAAAUAUAUAUAGACACAUCAAUUUCAAUAGAAAUCGAAUUACCUAUGUACACAUGAUUACAUGAAUAAACGACAUUAAUGAAAACGAUACAUGCAUGUCAGCAUAAUAUUGAAAACGAUGCAAUUUUUCAAACAAUUUGUCAAAACCUUAAACCAAAAUUUAACAUUACAUAUCAAAAUUAAGGAUAUUUUUUAGAGAUGUAAAAAUAUCAAUCUCAUAUCAAAAUUCAAAAUCAUAUAUAUAAUAUUAUCAUCGAUUAAACAGACACAACAAUCAUCGAUUAAACCUUGAAUCUUAAAUUUUUUUAAUAGUUAUUGUUAAGAGGCUGCUGGCAUUAUCUAAAAAAUACGCAAAUCGAUCGAACGUUAAUUUAAUAGUAGUUAGCUAGUCCAAUUUUAAUAUUAUUAAGUUUCAAUUUCGCCGGUGACUGUUACACCGGCAUUUUCGGUGACUGUUACACCGACAUUUUCGGUGACUGUUACACCGACGUCAGUUACUCUUGUAGAACCUAACCGAGAAUCUAAUACCAUAUUAAGUUUUGAUCUCUAAAUGAAUGAGAAUACUUGAUUGAUUACUUCAUUAUUAACCAAAUGAUUAUUAACUAACUAAUUGACUAUUUUACUAUUCUGAUUAACAAUUUCAACUAAUUCUUUAUACUAAUUUGACCUAAUUAAUUGGUCAAUCAUGAUUCAUAAUUUGUUAUCAAUGCGUUAGUUCGGGUGAUGACUUAAACUCGUCAUUUUUUGAAUUAUAAAUUAUAAUAAUGCACGCACAUCAUGUCAUGCUUUAUUUAAAUCCAAUCACCAAAUACUUACUCUUUAUAUAACCAUUUCCAAUUUAACUAUUUAUUUUAAUCUAGUGAGAUAAAAUAAUUUAUAUACAGUAUUAUAUAGUUGCUAGUGCGAAACUGCAGAUUGAUUUUGCUUCGUAUAUGUGUUGGUGUUUUGUGCAGUAAAUUAUUUUACGUCGUACGUGUGUUAAUGUUUUAUUUAGUAUAUUAUUUUAAUCAUUGAAUUAAAUACUAAUAGAAACGAUUUGAUACGUAUUCAUGUUACAUCAUUAUUAGUUUCUUACUCUUGAUAUUCAUUUUUUAUUAGAAAAUAAUUAACUUCUUCUUUAUCACGAGAUUGAAAUAGAUGGAUAAGAUUAAGAUAUCUCAAAAAUGUUAUCAUUUUUGUUUUGUUUUUAUAAAAUUAGAAAAAUUAUAUUCACAAGGGGUGGACGUGGGUCGGGUCAAAUCCGAAUAUGUCGGGUCCGGGUUUGGGUAAAUAUUUUCGACUAUGAAACCCGAUAUGAAAGACUCGAAUCUGAGUUUUUUUCAUCCGAUUUUUUCGGGUCGAGUUCGGAUAAAACCCGAACAUGUCGGGUCUGGGUUUAGGUAAAUAUUUUCGACCAUUAAAUCCGAUAUAAAGGACCCGAACCUGAGUUUUUUUUCAUCCGAUUUUUUUUCGAGUUGAGUUAGGGUAAAACCCGAACUGAAAUUAGAAAAAAUUUAUACAAAAAAUCUUAAAAUAUAAAUAAUUAAUUAAAUUUUUAUAUAAAAUAUUUUAUAAUUUUUUUUUUCUAUUCUAAAAUAUAAACCUUAAAAUUAUUAUCAUUUUCCUUUUUUUUUACAUUUUUAUCUUUUCUGGUCGUCAUUUUCGUCGGAUAUAUUUUCAUAUUUGAAUCUUUGAUUAAUAAUUAUUUAAAAAUGAUUGACUAAUAAUUAUUUAAGAUUUUAAAAAUGAUUUGAUCGAUUUAUAAUUUUAGAUGUUCAUGACCCAAAUUCGAUUCGGGUUCAGGGUAGGGCAAAUUCGAACGGACCCAUAUACAUUCAUAAUCGAAACUAAAAUGACUAGUUGAGAUUUUGACUAUGAUUGCAUGCAUUUGAGAUUUGUGCUCCAACUAAUUAUGAGAAACAACGUAGUCGAAUCGAAUCUUACUUCAAUCAUUAAUUACUCAUUUACUCUUACUCGUUCUGUUAAUAUUUUGGACAAAGCUGAAUAAGACAUAAACGUCGAGUCGGGUGAGUCAGUCAGUUUGUAAACGUCGGUCUGUCUGUCUUCCAUUCAUUAUAAAUUAAUCCCCAUCUCCGACUCUUCUUCAAUCCAUCCAUCGAUUGAAUUCAAUAAUUUUAUUGUCGAUCUUUCGAUGAUGCGAAUGAGAGAAAACAGUUUCUUGCAGUUGCUUCUGCUAUUGGCAGUGAUGGUGGUAGCGGCGGUGCCAUUUGCCGGCGGUCACACUGACACAUUUGGGUCUAACACACUCAUGAUCGGCAACGCAUGCAAAGAAACGCAGUACCCUGAGAUGUGCACGUCGGCAUUAGCAGCGGUGGGUGCAGAAAAGCGGGCAAAGAAACCCAGGGAUUUCUUCGAUAUGUCCCUGGAAUUCGCAAUAACUAAAGCUCACCAUGCACGUGUUAUCGCGUAUAACCUUACCUUCCCUAACCACGACGCCGCUAUGUACCCACCCACCGGAACAUACGACUGCGUCGAGCUUCUUGACAAUACUCUGGCACUUCUCGACGAUGUCACCAAGACUCCCUCCGAUGAGGAUAUCGAGACGUGGCUCAGUGCUGCCUUGACCAAUCAGGAAACUUGCUCCGAAAGUCUUGCGAUCAAACCACCUACUAAGAAGGAGGUUAUCGAUUCCGAGGCUGAGAGGAUGACGCACAUCAUCAGUAACUCUCUUUCUCUCCACAAAUCGACCAAAAAGAAUAACAAAAGACAGGGGAGGGGCAGCGCUGGUUUGGAAAGAAAGCUUCUUGCCGACGACUUCCCAGAAUGGCUGACGGAAAGAGACCGUAGACUGCUGCAAGCAUCCCCGGAAGAAAUCACACCCGACGCAGUGGUGGCGCUGGACGGAACCGGAACCCACACUUCCAUCAACGAGGCCAUAGCGUUCGUAUCACUUGCCAAGAGCAAAAGUAAGAAGAGCAAAAGCAAGAAGAGCGGCGGCGGCAGCAGCAGCAGCAGUGGUGGGAGGCAGGUCAUCCACAUUAAAGCUGGGACGUACAAGGAGACAAUUCGCGUGGCGACGAAGCAAAAGAACGUGAUGCUGAUCGGCGCUGGAAAGGGUUCUUCUGUAAUUGUGGGGAGCCGAAGCGCCGGUAGCGGAUGGACCACAUAUAACUCUGCCACCGUCGGUAAGUUGACAAGUAGUACAAAUCUAAAAUUUAAAAUUCCAAAAUAUAGAAUUCUUAUAUACUGAUUUCUGAUCGAUGAACAAACUAACAAAUUCUAAACAAAACAAACAGCUGGUAUGGGGCAGGGGUUCAUCUGCCGGGAUCUAACCAUCGUAAACAACGCCGGCUCAGGGAAUCACCAGGCCGUGGCACUCCGUGUCGGAGCUGACAGAUCAGUGAUCUACCAAUGCUCCAUUCAAGGGCACCAGGACACACUCUACGCACACUCCAACCGUCAAUUCUACAAACAGAACGACAUCUACGGAUCAGUAGACUUCAUCUUCGGCAACGCGGCGGCUGUUUUCCAGAGUUGCAACAUACUGCCGAGAAAAUCAUCUGCUGGGUGGAGCACCAUCACGGCACAGGGCCGGCGUGACCCAAAUCAGAACACUGGAUUUUCAAUCCAAGGCUGUAAGAUAUCCUCAGACGGCGUGCGCGCAUAUCUCGGUAGACCGUGGAAGAAGUACGCAAGAGUGGUCUUCAUGGAAUCGUACCUGGACAGCUCCAUCGAAUCUCGUGGCUGGUUGGCAUGGUCCGGCAACUUCGCACUGUCAACGCUUUUCUACGGGGAAUACGGCAAUAGUGGCCCAGGUUCUUCAACAUCAAAUCGUGUAAAGUGGUCUGGUGUUCACAGCUCUAUGUCCAGUUCAGAAGCUUCGAAAUUCACGGUGUCCAAUUUCAUCUACGGUAACAUGUGGAUACCUAAAAGCGGAGUCAGCUUCAGCUCCGGUCUCUAGUUAUUACUAAUAUUUAUUUACCCAUAUUAUAUGUAUGAGUAUUUUAUUUACACAAGUAUGAGUCUAGUGGUUUCUAUGGCUUGGUGUGCUAAAUUGCUGCUGUUUUAGUUUUACGGCUUUUACCAAAUAAAAAUAAAAUUCUAAUUCCAUUCCUAGUAACAACUCAUAACUCUGUUCUAAAAUAGAUGCUUUAAAAGUUUAUUCUAAUCUGUUUUUUUUUUAUAAGAAUAGACAACUAUAGAAACCUGAAGAGCACAUUUUUCAACUCAAAAGAUAAGAGAAAAAUUAAGCUUGUAAAUAGAUAUCAAAAAUCUAGAACAAUAUCGUUUGAUAAUUUCAAAUUCGGAUAUCUAAAGACUUCCAAAUAUUCGAAUUUUAAAAUGAUUAAUUAAUUAUCAAUUAACUUUAUUAAAGAUGGUUUUAUACUUUUAUAUUUUUAUUUUUAUAUUUUUAUAAAAAAUUGUUUGGAUUUGGAUAUCCGGAUAUUAUCCAGAUUCGGAUACCAGGGUCGAUCGAGCCUAAGAAAAACCACCCAAAUGACAGAAGAAGACAGACAAUUCAAGUAGGACAACUGUUGAAUUGAAAAUUUCUUGUUUCCACACAGGCAAACCCGCAGAGAUAAACAAAAUGGACAAACACAAAUCAUAAUCUUUGGAUAAAUCCACCACCAAAGAUAGGAACUAGGAAGUGGAGGUUGUUGAUGAAUUGCUAUCAUUCAGUCAAAGAAGUAGGUGGCACCGUGGCAAAGUGGGUGAACCUUUUUAGCUAUGCCACAAACCUAUAGGGAAUAGUAGGAUCUUAAGCCGACUAAUAUAGUUAUAUAAUCCAUGAACGUUUGAUAUCAUGUCAUUUUCAAGGCCUAACACUUACACAUGACGCAUACCCACCCUGCCACCCAUCAUGACCACAAUCCAAUUAUAAAUUCAAAUUCAGAAUAACAAACUGUUGCUUUAGAUUCCAAAGUGAGUGAAAUCAAACUUAAUUUUAGUUAUGGUUUAAUCAUUUUAACUGAAUGUUAUUAAACAUACAUAGCUGUUUCAAAUCACCUCCAAUGUCGAUAGCAAAGAACAUAAAAAUGGGUGCACAUGCUGCUCUCCUAUAGACGGUUGAUCACGGCUUCCACCUCAGAAGGAGAGUAAAGAUGGAAUGUGGGUGCAACCUUUGCAAUGUCUACAUUGCUUGGGGUUACCUGAUUAAUCGUCACACGAAUAGGAAAAAAACACUGAAUCAGCCACUAAAUUUUUUAAUUUAUACGACUUGCAUUAUAUUGAUAGGAAGUAAGCAAUUCAUUUAUCAUUCAUUCGCUCAUCAGUCAUGAUACCUUCUCUUCCAUCACUUGCUUCAAGAUUGAAAGUGCUAUGGUUUCUGCUUCUGCAAGACUUAUUUCCUACAAUGACGACAUGUUUAAAUGAAUAUUAGAAAAAUUGGAUACUAUUUUUUUCCAUCUCUCACAUAUUCAUUAGUAUUUCUUCAGUUUUCCCAUAACACACCAACUAGGUAAAUUCUCACAAUUUAAUACCUUGUUGUAUUCUUCCUGAAGAGAACUAUCUGCUCCUUCCGACCCAGAACCAAUUGCUUUUGCAUUGCAUUGCCAGAAAGUUCCAGAAGGGUCUGUGUAAUAUCUGCGUUUCAAAUGCAAGAUAUUUAAACAUUUGAACCAGAAGAAAUUAACCCUGUCGGUUUACUGAUCAAACUUUUUUUAACGGUACUUAGGAUUUAAAACCCCAACAAUACUGAUGCUUUUUCAUUUUUUUAAGUAAAGUAAUUGCAGGUCAGGUUCACUCAAAUCAAUUUAUCAGUCCAACUAGUUCAAAUGCUAACAAAAGAGAAUAAAAUACAAUAAAAUAGGAAAUACUCACAAGCUUGGCCCAUUCUCAUCAUGUCCGGCAAUCAGUAGCGACACACCAAAAGGUCGAGACUGAGGAAAAAAAACAGUAAAUGUAAAUGACAGAGAAUGUUAAUAUAUUAUAAACAACAUGUAAUUUUAACAAAAAUACAUAACGAAUAUUGUGAUAUUAUCAGUUUAACUGUGAGUCUGAAUACUUAAAUAGGGGAAUGUAAUCAUAGUUUUACAUUGCCUUCAUGCGCUAGACAGGUUAGGCGGAUCCGGUUGGAUCCACCUAACCCAAAUACCCAUUAAAUCUCUUUAAAAAAGAGGAGGUUAGAGUUUACUAAACCCUAUUCCCUUUUUUUUUCUCCCAUUUUCCUCUCUUUUCUCCCAAAUUUCCAGCCACCUCUUUUUUCUCCCACCACUUUUUCAGCCAACCUCCUCCGGCGACCGGAAACCUCCACCUCCGGCGCACGUCGCAAGGUGAUUCUGGCAACCUCCGGCGAACACCAUCCAGUCUGCUCCAGCGGACCUCGACCUCUCCCACUCCGGACAGCCCUACUUCCCACUCUGUCUAGCCCUAUUUCCCACUCCAAUAAGCCCCCCAUGUUUUAGGGAAAAUUAUGCAAAAUUCCCCCUAUGUUUUAGGUGACGCCUAGGCAUUCAUGUGACACAAUCCAUCGCAUGAACGCCUACUCGCAUGUAAAAGAUUGAAUAUAAUGAUUUAGUAAAUUGAUGAUUGCAGUCAUUCAGACUUGCAGGUGUAAGUUGUAACAAUAGAUUAAUAGUAUUGUGUUAGCUAGCAAAUAUUUACCAUAGAUUCUUCAUCACCCUCUCCAAAACGGAGAGCAAGAUCACACAGUGCUUGUGUUGUUGAUUCAACUGCCAUGGGUUCCCCAUAGGAAAAACGAUGAUUCUGGAAUAAUUACACCUUAGAAGGAUGAUGAUUAUAAUAAUCAAAGAGUGCGAUAUAAAAUUGAAACUACGUGAACUAGAAAUUGAAACUAACCUGGGUUUCAACUCGUGCAUGUUCCACAAGAGUGCGUGCAUCAGCUAUAAGUCCACUCAUAGCACAACCUAUAUGCUCAUCUAUUUCCAUAAUUUUUUCUACACUGCUUGGCUCCUGUGAUGUCAUUGAACUUGUUAAAAACAAAAUUAAACAUACUGUUACCAUAUAAAAUUAAGUGAGUGAAUCACUAAUUCACACAGUAAAAAAAUUCUAACACAUCUAAAUAAUCAAAUUUGAAAAGAAAUAGGAGAAUGUACAAAAAGAAGCCAUUUAAAUAAAUUGCUGCAUAAAAAUAAAAAAAUUAGAAUCCCCUAUAAAACAAGUCAAUCAAGAAUAACAAAAGUACAAGACUUAUAAAUAAUUAAAAACAAAUGGUAGGAAAACAUAAAGAUCCAGGACGAUGAAAUAAUCAUCCAAAAUUCAGAAAGAGAGAGGGACGUUAAUGGAAAAAAAUGUGGAUGCAAUUGGUUGCUUCGAUCAUAAUAAUAAAGAUGAUGCAUUGCAAUUUCAAUCUGUGCUUUCCUGCUUUGAGCUAUUUAUUUAGCAUGCUAAAUCACAGAGUUAUUUCAGUGUAAGGGUAUGUCUAGAAUCACAAGGGAAAUUUUUGGUUGUUCCUUAUUUUGUCCAGAAUCUCAAAUAUAACAUUUCUGGAAAGGAGAUUAAUCCUAGAGACUUUUUCCAAAUUCUCAGGCCUCGAGAUUAAUCAAGGAAAAGCUCGGCAACCUACUCAAAAAUAUGCAUGAAUGAUCAUUAUCUGCACAACAUUCUCAACUUUCCAACUAAAUCCCUCCCUAUCAACUAUCUUGGUCUCUCAAUAAUGGGAAGAAAGAAAUCUCACACGACAUGUUGGAACUUGGAAGUUAAUAAAUCCAAUAGAAAAAAUGUUAGCCAGAUGGAAAGGAAGAUGUCUGUCUUACGCAGGCAUGCAGUUAUGUGGUAAGUUGGGCAGUUUCAAUACUGGGCAAACGGAACCACACUGCGUUAUUAAAAAGAUCCAGAGCUUAGUUUACAAUUUCAUUUGGGACGGGAGAAGAGGGAGUAGUUGGGAAAAAAUGGCACUCCCAAAGAGCGAAGGCGGAAUAGGGGUCAGGGAUUUCUUUGCAACUAAUGCUGCAGCUUUGGUUAAAAGAACAGAAAGGAUGUGGAGUGCUAAUAACUCCAUACUAGCAGACUGGAUAAAAAUUAGGUACAUCAAAGGAAGAAGCAUUGGGGAGAUAGAGUGUAGGCCUACUCUGGACUCUCUCAUGUGGAAAACUAUACUAGCUAAUAAGAAAACAAUAAGGAAAUGUAUAAACUGCUUGAGUAAGUAUAGGGUCACACAAAUUGCCCCCUCCAAACACUCAGAAACAUUAAGGCCAAAAGGCAUCUUACAAGAGAUAAAUCUAGGGAUCUGGGCCAAAAAGCCUCCUAAAUUCUCUAUGCUGUUGUGGAGAAUUAAGGUCAAAAAUCUGAACACUUUAACUAGACUGCAAAGCUGGAGACUCAAUAUAAAUACGUCCUGCCCACUAUGUGGAAAUGAGGAAGAAACAUUACAACACCUAUACUUUAACUGCCAUUACACUAGAUCCCUAUUGCUAGAGACCACUAGCUGUCUUAACAAUGUUGUUUGGACACUUAGUGGGCAAAAUCCCCCACCUCCCGCAAUAGAUAUUAGGAUAGGGGAUAUUAUGGAAACAAUACAAAAAUUCACCCACAAGUCCAGUUGUUGGAGGGUACACUGGACUAUGCUAGCAUCUCUUUCCUGGCACAUAUGGUGUGAAAGGAAUAGAAGAUUAAAACAGCACACUCUAAGGCCCCCAGAAAUUGUCAGCAGAGAAAUUAUAAAGGAUGUGAGCAUUACAUAUGAUUCUACAUCCUAUAAGAAGCACAAUCUUUCACAGAUUGAAAUACAAGCUAUACGCUCAUGGGAGCCCAACCUCUUGAGACUUCAAUCCUUGGCCAGUUAGUCAGGGUCAUAGCUGCAUAAGAGAAAGACAAUGUUUUUACAUUUACUGUACUUGCAUUUCCCUAUAUUAUUCUGUAAUCUUGGGCUAUGCCCAACCUCUUUUUCAGUAAUGAAAGUUUUAAUUUCUCAAAAAAAAAAACAUUUCUGGAAAGGAUGGGAGCAUUACCUUGUCUGUUUACAAAUUUGCAUGACUGGAGAACUUCCUGUAAAGUGGCACGUGACUGAGAGGAGUUAGUAGCUAAGCAGAGUUAGGAUUCCAGAAAGAGGAUGGAAGUUUCUUUCUUGAGAAAGGGGACAGGGUUCUUUCUUGAAAAAAACAACGGAGGUUUCUUGAGAAAGGGGACAGAGAUUUCUUGAGAAAGGGACAGAGGUUUCUUGAGAAAGAGAGGCAAACAAUGGAGAAUUAAAGGGUGUCCAGUUCCUUUGCAGGUCAUAAUCCAGAUCUACCCAAGGUUCCAGCCAAAGCAAAGCACUACACUUUGCCUUGAAAAUAGGGGUCUGCUAUACUUGGUGAUAUGUUUAUUAAAACUAUGAUUAACAGUGAAUCCAAAGAAAAUGAAAAUUAUAAAAUCAGAACCAAAGAUGGGAAGGCACGUAUAUUCAUAUGAUGUCAUUAAAGUAAAGUAAUUCAAUCUUAAUGCAAAGCCAUGCGAGUUGGAAAAAAUGGGAAUUCUAAUGAUAUGAGGAAAUAAACUGCAAUGGAACCGAAGAGUGAAGACCUAAAUCUCAGCAUUUAUGAGUUAUGAUGAAACAAUGCAACCGAAGACAUGGGAAGAAUGAUGAAAACUAUUGCCAUUAUUUCCAUUGUGGUGACUGAAUUGGUCUCUCAUUCUGCCACUUUUAAAUACAUUGAGGAGGUGAAAAUGCAGACUGUGUCUUAAAUAUUAAGUUUUAACCUAAACCCAUAACACCUUUCUCAAUCCUCAAACAUUCCUACUUUAACCUAAAUAUAUAAAAAAUUCACAACAUAUUGACGGAUUUCUGUUGAUCGAGAUUAAUCCCAGUAGGAAAAAAUUACAAAUUGCAAAAAAAGACAGUCUAUCUUACUUUGACAAAAUAUAGAGAUAUAAAAUAAAGAAAGUGAGAGAGUAGUGCGAACCAGCAAGGGUGAUGUGAUCCGUUUUUCAACAGCCAAAACAAUACCAUCCUUUGUUUUCAAUCCAAUGGCAGUAGAACCAAGCUAAAAUCAACCCCCACAAAAAAGUUAUUAUGUCCCCAAAUUGAUUAAACUAGAGAUGAAAAAAAAAACGAUCGGUCCUUACCUUGAUAGCCUCGAUCGCGUAUUCGACCUGAAACAACCUCCCCUCCGGUGAGAAAGUAUUGACGCCUCUAUCGUACUCGGUCCUACACCAAUAAAAGGGGGGGGAUACGUGAAGUCAUGAAUCAAAAUUCAACAAUUUCCUAUCGCAAGUAAGUGGACGAUGGAGUUUAUCGACAAAAAUAAAAACCCUAAAAUUUGAAAUGACGAGAUCGCUUACCUUGUUAGAAACAUCUUGGAUCUGUUGUGUUUGUAGUAUGAAGGGUUUGUUACCGAUAUCAAAACUAAUCUUCGACCACUAUGUGUGUGUGUAUAAAUACGUUCUGACAAGUGAAGAGUGAAUAGUGGAGAUUAUUUAUUUUAGGUAAAGAAUUGGGCUAGGAGGCUAACUAAUCGGUCUCAUUCUAUUAAAGUCCACGGACCGUCCCACUUAGUAAUGGAUUGGAAUUUGGAAAGACUAGAUCUCUUAUUAGUAAAAGCUCCUGGAAAAGCCCUGCUGACCCUGCAUAGUUAAUUGAAUGUUAAAUUAAAUGUUAAUACAUAUUAUCUAUAAUCUAUCUAUAAACAAUAUUUCAUUUCUGAACAUCAGCUAAAUUGGGCACGAUAACUACUAAAAUUAAUGAUGCUCCAGGGUUUUUUCUCGUCGUUUGUGUACGUAAUUUUUAUUUAAUUUUCACUACGAUUUAACCGAUAAUAUAUAUUAUUAAAAAAAAAUCUGAAAUAUCAAUCUCUUUCUCAAGUUGUUAUUGUCAACUAUUCAAAGAAUACUGACUGCAUUGCAAAUAUGAAAGACCAACUUCUUAAGAUAAUUUGUCUAAUUAUUAUUAUUAAAUAACAUAGUCGAUUGAAAAUUAUCGAUGAAAUCUUUUUUUUUCUCCCAAUGUAAUUCGAACAUUAUUUAGUUUAUCUUUCAUUAUUUUAAUGAUAAAAAUUAUCUGUUUCAAAAAAUUAAUUAGACUUAAUUUCAAUUCACUCUAUUAGUCUCUCACAAGAUCUCACCUCAACGAGAUUACUAUUCUAUUAGUCUUUACAAAAAUCUUUAUCCUUUCUGAGUUUCAGAGUAUUGACGUUAUUAUAUAUCUUGUAUUGGAACUUGUAGUUACAAUCACUCCAAAAAUUUAAUCAGUAGAAUUGAACCCAUGGUCCAUGGAGAGUGAACCACAAGUCCAUAACUAGAGAUGAACAAUGAACCAAGCAUAAGCGUGUUCGGGUUUGACUCGUUUUUUGAAGAAAAAAAACACAGACUCGACUAGUUUAAAAAACUCAGACUUUUUUAUUAGUUGAGUCAAAUUUUAUGUUCAUCCCUAGUCACAACUUAUGGGCUAGAACCACUCCUAUCAUAUUUUGUUGGACCUUAAAUAUCAUCACACAAUUGUUGACGAAGUUGAUGAAAAAAGAUAACAAUUGAAAGAAUAAACUUCAUAUAAUUUAUACCACCCAAUAUCAGUUAGUCUAACAAUUGAAAGAACGAAAGAAAGAGAAAUAAAUCAAUAAUAUAGACAUAUAGUAUUUCGAAGAUAAAGUGACAUAAAUUUUUGUAUUUUUUUUCUCACAUUUUGUAUUAGCCUACAUAUUUUCUAUUUUUGUCACUACACAUAACAGUAUAACUGUAUUACACACAUGAUAAACGAGCUUCUAUUUUGAAGUAAUGAAUUUGAAAUCGUGCACAGCAUAAUAAAAUUCUAGGGAGGAUUGUGAGUUAUAUAACCAAGAAAACAUGAAAAUAAAUUAAAGUUUUCUCCAUCACACUCGAGGACUCUAAAUUCAUAUUUGCUAAACAAGUUUGUCAAGUUGAGCUUGUAGAUCAGGAAUAGAAAUCAAACCAAUGGUUUCAAUCUCCUCGUCAGAGUAUUCAGAUCUCAUUAGAGACUGCAGCUGCACAUGCGCCUCCACAAUAUUUGUCCUGCAACCAAAUUAUAAAAAUACAUGGAGAAUAUGAAUGAAAUGAAUAGAUAAGUGCUACAAUUAGUUAACUUACUUGAUUGGUUUAAAUAAGAUCAUUUGAGUGGAUGGAUUGUUGAGAUACAGUUUAAUCUUUGCCAUCACACUGGCUAAAUCUUGCUGAAUACAAGUAUUCACCUGUUCAGAAUACAAAGUUGGCUUUAGCAUACUGAAUGUCAAACCAAAAUAAAAUUUAACCCAAAAAUAUAACCUUUUGAAUUAACUCAGUGACUUUAUCUGGAGUGGCAAAUGCUUGACUCUUAAGAGGUUUCGCUAAAACAGAGUCCACUUUCUGAUCCUGGCUGCUGGAAGAUAAUGCCACCUUCACAGCUGUAGCCUAUAAGCAUAAUGAGUCAGAUUAAUCAUAUAUACCAUCAAAAGCUAUAGAUAGGGUGUUAAACGAGCCAAACCGAGCCGAGCUUUUGCUUAUAGAGUCGGGCUCGGGCUCGGCUCGUUAAGGAAUUGUCCAGGCUCGGGGGUCAAGCUCGAGCUCACCGAGCCUGGUUUGGCUGAGCUCGGGCUCGGUUCAAAAAAAAUUAAAAAUUAAAAUCUAAAAAAUAUCUAUAUCUAUUUAUUUUUUGAUUUAGGUUUUUAAAAUUAAAAUUAAAAGAAUCAUUCUUAUUAAGAAUUUUUUUGAUAAAAUUAAAAUUUCAUUGAGUGAAUGUUGAAAAAACUCAAACAUUGCCCUGAUUACACAGUAGUUUUGGUUUGAACUGAGACUCAAAGAAAUUGAAUUCUACAUAACAUUCCCUGAGUACUAAUUAUUACUAGAAUGUUGCCUCAGAAUUAUUGCCUCACAGCUGCAAGUGCAUUCCUCUCAAUCGGGGAUUGACUGAGAUUUUUGAAGGAUGUUGCAUUGAGAUAUAUGGCUUGGAAGGCAUGCCCUCCAGAAAAGAAACACAACAGAAAGCCAAUCCCGGCAAGUAGAAGAAUCUCUGAAGGGAACACCACAAAUAGCCUAGAUUUCUCUUUUAGUGUGAGAUUUCACCAAUCGCCACACUUAAUGUGAUAAUGAUGAAAGCUAAACAAAUAUAUAUAUUUCACCAACAAAUGUGUUAUAAUGUUAUAACCUCUGGUUUUUUGUAUAUUAGCCACAAGAUUCUAAAUUUCUAAUCAGAUCAAUCCUAAUAUUAAAACGGUUAUUGAAUCAUAAAUGAUCUCAUCCAUCAAUUUACAAUCCAACUGCAUAUAGAAACGAACUAGAUUUUAUUUAGAAUCAGGUUAUCCGAAAGUAACUAAGAUCCGUUUGUGUACGUAAUUUUGGAUUUUCCUUGUAUGUGUUAUGGUGUAAAGACAAAUUGUGAGGGGGAAAUGUUGGGUUUAAUAUAAAUUUAUAUUCACAAAUCCAAUGACUUUUCAUCAUUAUUACACAUAAAAGUAUAUAACUUAGCGCAAACUCAACAGCAAGAUGCAAAUAAUUGUAAAAAAAUCACAUAAUUUGAUAUUUCACAUUCUCACCAUUUCCACGCCCUAAGAAUAAGAAAAGUGGUCAAGAAUUAUCCCUUGUAAUAGAAAAUAUAGUAGGAUUACCUUGGUAACAAAUGAAAGCAUUGAUUCCACUACCAUCUUUGUGACUGACAUGAUAAAUUCCUCACAUGUUGCUUUAAGACUUUUCUCCAAUUCCUGCAUUUUAAAGAGGCGAUGAUAACCAUAAUUAUACUCAAGUUAAAGAACUCAUAGAAGCCAGAUUCUUCUACAAGCUUGCACCAACAUAUGUGUUUGCCCCUGACCCAACUCAUAUAUCAAAACAAUAAUAAACUACUAAACUUCAGUUACUACAACUUGCUUCAGAUAAUUUGAAUCGUGCAAAUAAUAAGAAACUCCAUAUCCAAAUUAUGGUUAAGAAGGUCAAAGUAAAAAUUGAGAGCAGACGCUUAUAAAAAAAUUGAUAUAAACCAUAACUGAACUGUAAUAGUAAAAGAUUAUAAAGCAUGCCUUUUUGGUAUCUAUUUGGCUUUCCAGAACUCGAGGAGAUAAGGUUUUAGCCAGAGCUGAGUUUGACCAGUCAAACACCGAUGUCUGACCUCUUAGUAUUCUUCUCAGAUGCUCCUGUGAUUUGUAAUAAUAAAUAUUGUAGAAAAUAAAUUAGAAUGUUGUGGAAUUGAAAGGGGAUGAUGUACAAAAAAUGAAAAAAAAUAUAGCAGUUUAAUAUGAAACCAAAACAUAUUUAGUAUCCUAACAUAAAAUCAUGAAUGCAAUUGAAAGAAUGUGUACUGCAGUUUUAGGCAUUGCUCUCACCAGCAAAUGAGAGAAAUCAAGCUCUUUAUGAGUUACAGAAAAUUUGAUGUCAAAAGGUGCAAUCUGGAAUUUAUAAAAACAAAAUUCAUCAUUAUCACUUUGUUAGUCUGUUAGUGUUCGUUUUGAACAAAAAGUAACUCAAACAAAAACAAAAUAUAAAAGAAAAAUGGACUUAACCUGCUCUCUUAAGACAAGCAGAUGUUUGAUAAGAAAAAGUUGGCCAUCCAUUGGAGAUGAUCUUUUGGCUACUAGUUUGCUUGCAUUCUGGAAAAAAGGAAUAAAAAGACAGCCUCAGAUGAAAUUAUAUUAUAUAUUAAAUAUGCAAAGCAAUAAAAAAUAUUCCAAGUUAAGCUCUUAUUAUCAAACCAAAUGUAGCAUAUGUCUUGGAUAGUAACACAAAUAUGCAAAUAUACUAUUAUUUUUAAAAUGAGCAAAUAUUGCAUUAAUUAAAAUGAGAGUUGUACCCUAAAUUACAAAAAGAUGGAGAAAAUAGAUAUUGAGGAGGGGGUGGGGAUGGGAUUAUCUUAUUUUCUCUUUUCUAUAUGGCUAAAGUACUUAGUGCUCUAAUAACUAAAUACAUCGUCUCCUACACUUGCAUAAUAGCCUUCUCUAAUUGUUUAUUGUAGAUCUCAGGUCUAAAGGAGAAGCUAUUAUCUUUUAUAAUCUCAGAGAAUAGAGCUUCAGGAGGUCUUAAUGUGUGUUGUCUGAGUCUCCUAUUUCUUUCUGACCAGAUAUGGUAAGGCCUCCCAUGAUGUUCCAACGCAGACCCCCAAAGUGGAGAAUGGUGAGUGAGCUUUUGACAGGCUUCUGCGAAAUUCCCUAGCCUUAUAUCAGGAUUUGUGAGGGAAAGAGGGUGGGUAUUGGUGAUUUUUCAAACUGUAUUGUUUAAAAAUUCAGUGGACAAAUUUAAAAUGGCUCUAGAGUAUUCACAGUUAAAUAAGAGAUGACUAACGGAUUCAUCAUUCUUAUUACACAAGAGGCAGAUAGUCUGGAUUUGAAUUCCCCAUUCAAGAAAGUUCAGUUGUUUACAUUUGAUCCUCCACAAUAUGAUUGAAAUAUUUAAUGGGCAUACGGGACCAUAUUCCUAUUACAAUAGAGUCCUUGUGAGACUUAAUCCUUAUAUGAUCAAUGUAGAUCCUAGUUUGCUGCUUAUGAUCCCACACUUUUCCAAGAAUUUUGGUUGUUUGUUCUGCAUUCAAGGUAUUUCCCAAGUAGAUGUACAAGAUUUUUGGCUUAUAUAAAUUCAGAGGCCCUCCCAUGGUUGUAUGUUCCACUUCCCAUCUUUUUUUCUGGAGAUCUAAUAUCACUGAAAUCUCCACAAACUAUCCACGGUAGACCAGAGUUGAUUGUUAUAGGGCUGAUUCAAUGAAGCGCAGAAAAGAGUUGUCUCCUUGGUUCUCUCUGGUUUUUCCCAUAAAAAGUUGUGACUUAUGAAAAUAGCUCAUGGCUUCCUGAUUGUAUUAGAUGUGUGUGGAUGUAUUGGGAAUGAGUGUACAUGUUCUGAGCAGAACAGAUCCAUUUUCUCCAUAAUCCCCAGAUGGAUAUGGGGUCGUGAGAAUUUUCUAAUUCAUUGUGUGAGAGUCCUACUCAUCACCAAAGGAAUCUCUUAUUCUUUCAACAUUGGGGGCUUGAAUUUUGUUUCCAAUAAGGAGAAAAAUUCUAUGGAUUUUUUUAAAACUAGUUCUCUGACCUCAAAUCGAGUGGUUGUAGAGUUAAGUCCCCUUACAAUCCUACACAGGAAAGCCAUAGGGAGGAAGCUUCCUUGUGGGAUGGGAUUCCUAAAGCUACUUCUGAUUGGGUGAAAGGUCUCCUACAAUUGUCACUGGGUUCUUAGACGAUUCCUAACUAAUGAGAGUAUGAGGUUGGCUCUGUAUUUCUUCCAUCUUUUCCUUAUAACUCAUUUUGGUAUAGCAGUGGUCUAAAAGGGAUUGGGGAUGGUCCUUAAGGAGAUUUGGGGAAAAUGGCAUCUAGCCUUGGGAGGGGGGGCUGGGGUUUGUUAGAACCGUUGAGGGAUUUCCUAACAAUUUUUGAUAGAUUUUCUAUGCUGAAUUCUACAGGUAGCAGAGGUCGAGGCUUGGGGAAUAUAAAUUGAUGGACUAUUAGGAUGUAAUUCAGUUGUAGCAUGUAGGAGCUUAUAGUUCUUCAAUUCCUAUCUCCAAUGGAGAGAGAAUUCACAUUGGAGGGGUGGAGGGUGGGAGUGGAUUCUUGUAGAGGUCAUUGAGAGGGGCGGUAGUUGGUAGCUUAAUUGGCUCAACUGCUAGUUCAAUGGGUUGGGCCUUAUGGGUUGGUUGUGAUUGGGGCUAAUUUCAUUGUCCAUUAGUAUAGGCACACUCACCACUGAAAUCACCUUGUUACCUGCACAUUGCAUAUUAUAAGGAAUAGAAGGUACCACACUUGCCGCCUCAUCAGAAGAAUUCCAGUCUGAGUCUAAAUUGUCGUGAUUCGUAUCAUCCCAGUUCCUGUUCAUGUGGUACUUGGAGAGAAAAAGGGGUAUGGCAAAUUUCAUCUUCACUUCUUUCAGAGAGCAAGGAGUCAAGGACCACAUGUUACUGAAUUGUCACAGUCUAAGUCCUUCCAAAGGUAGCCUUUGUCCAUUACCGACAAUUGUAUCUGACCAAGCUUGUCAUGUAGCAUCGACGGAGAAUGAUUUUUACAAGGCGGGAUUGGACAGUAGUGGGGGGUUACUUUCCAAAUUUUUCUUGCUUGGGAACCAGAAUUUUUUUUUUUGCAAAUAUUAAAAGUUUUCAUUAAAAAUAAUGAAGGACGGCAAUGCCCUGAAAUACAAUUGAAUAGGAAAAUAAAAUUGCGGUGGGGUUGAUAUUGUGAUUUCCACUAUAUCGACCUUCUCCUAUGUAGCUAUCCUUCCUAGUGUUCUAAUUAAGAAUUUGGCCUAUCCUUCCUAGUGUUCCAAUUGUGAACCACAUUCUUUCUUAAAGAUAUCAGCUUUAAAAGAUAUUCUGCAGUCUUUUACUAUAUCAGCUAGAACGACUUUUGGGGGUCUGAGAGGAUGCUGGUGGAGUCUCCUGUUUCGUUCGGACCAAAUGUGCCAUGUGAGGCAACCAAUAGCAUUCCAAUGUAGGUUCCAUGGAGGAGCUUGAUGCGUCAGUUUUUGACAUGAUUCUAUUACAUCUCCGAUUCUAAUAUCUGGAUGUGUGAGGGUCGGAAUGGGGGAGUUUGAUAUUUUCCAGAGGGCCUGGUUGAGAUUUUCAGAGAGUUGUAGAAGAAGUUUUCUAGUAUGGGGGUAAUUAAAAAAUAGGUGGCUGAUAGUCUCGAUUCCCUGACCACAGAGGAGGCAGGUUGGUUGUAUGGGGACACCACAUGCGUCGAGCAUUUGUAGAGUUUUGAUUUGUUUAUUCUUGAUCUUCCACAACAUUACUGAAAAUUUUGUCGGCAUGAGACCAUAUGCCUUUGGCUAGAGGAUCCUUUGGGGCCUUGGUUCUUAUGGCUUCAAUGAUGGUUCCUAAGUUUUGUUUUCCAUUUCCAAUUUUCCAAAUUAGAGAAUUUCCGGCCCUGCAUUUCAAGCAUUGGUUGAUUUUUAUAAGAGAUGUAAAUGGGUGGGAGAGAUUUCGAUCCCUUUUCAUUAUCAUUGAGUACUGUAUAUAUACAUUUUAGUAUAACAGAAUUUAGUUAUACUUAAUACUAUAAUAUGAUAAUGAAAUUACUAAUUAGCCCAUAGAAGUAAGUAAUUAGUUUAUGUAAGAAUAUAGCUAUUAAGACUUAUAGAACUAAUUCUAACAUAUCACUAAUACUCCCCCCUCAAGUCUGAUGAUGUGAACAAAUCAGCUUGUCCUUAAGAUCUUUGAAGAGUUUGGGCUUCAAUGCUUUAGUGAGAAUAUCUGCUUGUUGUAGAGUAUUCGGUAUGUGUUGCACAACAAGAGUUUUGUCCUCCAUUCUUUCUUGAACAAAUCUGAAAUCCAUGGCUGCAUGUUUGAUUUUGGAGUGAUAAGCCGGAUUGGCAGCCAAAUGAAUUGCUCCUAAAUUAUCAAAAAACAGCUUGUAAGGUGAUUUCAAAUAAAUUCCCAAUUCUUUCAAUAGAGAAUUAAUCCAUUCAAUCUCAGUGACUGUUAAUGCAAUAGCUCUAAAUUCAGAUUCUGUGCUUGACCUAGCAACAGUAGAGUGCUUUUUAGAAGCCCAGGAAAUUAAAGAAUCCCCAAUAUAUAUCAUGAAUCCUGUUUGACUUCUUCUGUCAACCACAUCAUUGGCCCAAUCUGCAUCGCAAUAUGCUGUAAUGUUAAAAUCAGCUACUUUUCUCAAGAUAAUUCCCAUGUUUUGAGUACCAGAGAGAUAUCUCAAUACUCUCUUCAUAGUAGUCCAGUGAAUAGGUUUGGGUUUCUCCAAAUGUUGAGCCAAUUUACUUACCACAAAGGAGAUGUCAGGACGUGAUAAAGUAAGAUACUGCAACGAUCUUACAAUUCUUCGAUAAUCAGUAGGAUUUGAAAUCAUAUCUUCUUCUGAAUAUAGAUCUGAAUUUGCUUCCAUUGGAGUAGGGGAUGGCUUUAAAUUGUCAAAUUUAUUGAAUUUCAGCAAGUUCACAAGAUAUAAUUGCUGAUCUAAGAAUAGCCCAUGUAAAUGUUUUUGGACUCUAAUACCCAAAAAAUAACUCAACUCUCCUAGCUUGUGGACAGCGAAUUCUUCACCCAAUUUUGCAAGCACUUCAUCAACCUUAGCUGUAUCUGAUCCUGUGAUAAUCAUAUCAUCAACAUAGACAAGUAUAUAAAUUGUAUAUUCACCUAAGUGCACAAACAUUGAAGGAUCAGAUUGGCUUGGUAUAAAACCCAUUAAAUUCAGCACCAUUUUUAGUCUGCGAAACCACAUCCUUGAAGAUUUCUUGAGACCAUAGAUAGCUUUCUUCAAUAGGCAGACGUGAUUUGGACAUGAUUCAUCCAUAAAUCCUUUAGGUUGACGCAUUAAAAUUCUCUCUUCCAAUUGACCAUGUAAAAAUGCAUUACCUAUGUCAAUUUGAUUAAGUUUCCAACCUCUUGAGACUGCAAUAGUUAAUACUGCACGAAUAGAUACAGAUUUUACAACUGGACUGAAUGUCUCAUUGUAAUCUCUGCCUUCAAUCUGAUUACACUCAUUUGCUACUAGCCUUGCCUUUAAUCUGUCCAGACUACCAUCUGAUUUUUCUUUGACUUUAAACAGCCACAUAGAAUUAAUCACAUUGUCUGUCGGCAUCCUUGGUACCAACUCCCAUGUGCCAUUAUUAACGAGCGCAUCAUUCUUUCUUCAUAGCUGAUUUCCAUCCUUCAUUCUCCAAAGCUUGCUUGACUGAAGAUGGAACUGAAAUUUCAGAAGCUGAUAUAGACAGUGCAUACCUAGGAUUAGGCUUCUUAAUCCCUGCAGCUCCUCUAGUGAAGGGGCGCCUCUCAUAAUCAGUUAAUUUUACUGAUUUUGAAAUUGAGAACUCAUCUCUAGAGCUUGAAUCUGAAGAACUUGGAGAAGAUAUAUGAUCAACUGGAUUAAUUGGGGAAGAUAUUUGAUCAACUGAAAUAAUUGGAUCUGAAUGAGCUGUCGGAGUGACAUCUUGAGUCUGAAUUAAUGGACUGUUUUGAGAAGAAGUAUUUCUACUAAUAGGCUCAGGAUGAACAGACUGAGUAGUAUGAACUGAAUCAGAUCUGUUCUCUGGACUUGUGUUCACAUCUGUGCUUGCCAUUGCAUCGUUUGAUUGGGAAAUAUUUUCCACUGUUAUGACAUUCCCUGCAUUCUGAAUUGCCUGAUUAGGGGUCUGAAAAAUAUUAUUUAAUUUCUCACUCAAAGAGAAAUCAUCUUCUUUGAAUAUAACAUCUCUGGAAAUAUACACCUUCCCAUCAUCGGGAUUCAUACAUAUGUAACCAUCACAUGUAGUCGGAUAUCCUAAGAAAAUGCAAGGCUUUGAUUUGUCCUGCAAUUUAUUAGUUCGAUAUGGACGUAAAUUAAGAAAACAUUUACAACCAAAUGCCCUUAAUUUACCAUAUUCCGGAGUCUGUUGAAAUAAAGCUUCCAAUGGUGAUUUGCCUUCUAACAACUUAGUAGGAUUGCGAUUGUAGAUGUGAAUUGCAGUCAUAAAUGCAUAAUCCCAAAAUUCAGUGGGCAAGCUAGCAUGCUUUAAUAUAGCAAGUCCAGUAUCGACAAUAUGUCGAUGUCUUCUCUCAACUUUACCCAUCUGUGGGUGAGUGUGAGGACAACUCAAUCUGUGCACAAUUCCACUUUUAUUCAGAAUUUCAUCUAGCUUUAAGAACUCCUUGGCAUUGUCAGUUUGUAAUGCCUUGAUUUUAAAAUCGCAUUGUUUUUCUGCCAACACGAAAUCUGAGAAAACAUUCAGAAACUUCUAAUUUUGCUCGUAGGAGAUAUAGCCAAUUAUAAUUUGUCGUUGCAUCUACAAAGUUCAAAUAGUAUUUAUACCCUUCAUUAGAACUACAUGGUGCUGGACCCCAUACAUCUGCGAAUAUAAGUUGCAAAGGAUUCGCAUAAAUCGUAUUUCUUGAUAUAUGUGGAUUUUUGUGAAUUUUGCUAAUAUGACAAAAAUCACAACUAAUAUCAUUAUUACAAAUAUCUGAAAAUUUAAUGAUGUUUUCUUAGCCAUUAACUUCAUAGCUCUAGUGUGGAGGUGUCCCAAUCGAUGGUGCCAAGUUCUAGUUCUAUCACUUGAUUGACCUCAAUUUGAUUUAUUUGAACAGGAAGCUUGUAUAAUCCAUCACUAGAAUCUCCUUCAAUUAGCAAUUCUCCUGAAUCCAGAUCCUUUACCAUUACCUUCUGUGGAUGAAAUUCAAUAGAUACACAAUUAUCAGUGCAAAAUUUCUUCACAGAUAGCAAGUUCUUGGAUGCCGAUGGAACAGAUAGCAAAUCAUUAAUAACAAAAUUCUUGUUAUUAUAAAUAAAAGUAGAAGAUCCCGUAUGUGUAAUAGACAUAGGAUUACCAUUUGCAGCAAAAAUCAUUCGAUUACCUUCAUAUGGUGACAUUUUCUGAAUAUUUGCCACCUGAUUUGUCACAUGAUUUGUGGCACCUGAGUCUGGAUACCAAACAGAAUUAUCAGAAAUCAUGGUCGAUGCAGUGGCUGCCUUAGUUGGGCUAGUAGAUGACAGAGUUCGACCAUGAGUAGGAGGAAAUUUGGAUAAAUUGAUCCUAUUGUAACAGUUUAAGGCCCCAUGUCCUUUUCUUGUGCAUAUUUGACAUGUUAUAGAUUUAAGAUCCUUAUAUCCCUUCUCCUUUACCUCAGUGACAACAUUACGUGUCAUAGAUUUGGAAUUUGUUCUUCUGUAUUCUCGUUCUUCCAGAUCAGUUAGCAUAGAUUGAAGUUUGCGAUAUGUAACCUCACCAUCUCUUGAUGUAACAUUCUGGAUGAGAGACUCAUAUUCAUCUCCUAGUCCAGCCAGCACUAGUAAUACAAGAUAUGGAUCCUCUAUCUUCUCGCCUGCAAUUGCUAGUGCCUCCACGAGGGAAUUGAUCUUGACAAUGUAAUCGGAGACCGAUCGACUCCUUUCUUAACAGAUUGAAUUUUCUGCCGUAAUGUAAGCACUCGAGACCUAGAGCUCGAUGCAAAUUCGAUCUGUAAAACAUUCCAUACCUCAGCCGAUGUGUUACAUGUAGUUACAUAUGCGAGCAUCGGUGCAGACAUGGCCGAUAGUAACCAUCCUUGGAUCAAUUGUUCCUGUUUUCUGGCCAUAGCAUCCGAUAGGUCAAUUUUCCCAUGGAUGAAAUCCAGCAGCUCAUGUCCUCGCAAGAUGACAACGAAUUGCGCGCGCCAAGCGAAGUAGUUUGAGCGGUCCAGCGUCACAGUUUUCAGAUGCUUGAUGAAAACAAUCUUGGAAGCAUCUGAAUUUGCGACUCCACUCCUAUCAACAAUGCCGUCCUCCAUUGCAGUGGAAAUCAAGAAAAUGAAGGACUAUUGAGGAGAAAAUCCAGGAUCGAGGAAGCUCUCUUUCUAACAAACUGAUACCAUAUAAGAGAUGUAAAUGGGUGGGAGAGAUUUCGAUCCCUUUUCAUUAUCAUUGAGUAUUGUAUAUAUACAUUUUAGUAUAACAGAAUUCAGUUAUACUUGAUACUAUAAUAUGAUAAUGAAAUUACUAAUUAGCCCAUAGCAGUAAGUAAUUAGUUUAUGCUUAUGUAAGAAUAUAGCUAUUAAGACUUAUAGAACUAAUUCUAACAUAUCACUAAUAAUUUUCCCUUUGGAGUCUAAAAUUUCUUUCCAUUGGACAGAGUCAAUGGAGUGUUUAGGGCUAAUGUUGUUAAAAGUCAUGCCUUUGGUGUAUCUUCUCUGCAUCCAUUGUGCAAAUAUAGAUUGCUUACCCCAUAUUGUAGUUGCUUUUUUUAAUAGGGGCAGCAGAGGCUAUCAUUUGGAGGUUUCUAACCCCUAAUCCUCCCUCCUCCUUAGGUAGAGUCAUUAAUGACCAUGAUAUCCCUCUCCUUCCAUCCCAAAUGAACUGGUAGGCCAGCCUUUGAACUUUUUUGUGGAAAGAGGAAGGUAGGUUGAUGCCUUGGGCCCAGUAUGUGUAUUUUCCAACUAGUAUCCAGUUUACUAGUUGGAUUCUACCUCCAUAGGAGAGGCAUUUACCGCUCCAUUUAGCUAGCAAGCCUUCUAUGGGUUGUAUUAGCUUCCAACAUUGGUUGUAUGAUUUCUUCUUCCCUGUUAUGGGGAAGCCUAGAUAAACUAUGGGGAGUUUAGAAAUUGGGAAAUCAAGGAUCUGUUGGAGUUCUGUGGAGCUCACAUAUCUUGGAGAAGGUAAUAGAACUUUUUUGAGGGUUGAUCGUUAGGCCUGUGAAGACUGAGAAUCAAGGUUCCAGAUGCGCCACCACCUGGAGCACUUGAGCAUAUGCGCGCAUAUGCGUGCAGAUGCGUCAGUGGCAUUUUCGUAAAUAUAUACAAAACUAAAGGAAAUUCAUAUAUUUUUUAUAUAUCUAAACAAUAUCAAUUAAAUUUUUUAGUUAAAAAUAUAUUGGAUAGAAAAAUUAUUAUAAUACAUAUAUUUAUUAAUUAUUAUAACACCCUAUAAUUCAUUGUAACACCAAGGUUUAAAAACCGAUAGGGGUAUUUUCGUAAUAUUAUAGCUCUUUAAAUGGCUAGGGAUUCUUUAAACUUAUAAAAGAAAGGCUUUUAUAAAAAGAAAAGAAUAAAUAACCCAAGAGGCUUUUAAAAAAUAAUAACAUAAUGGGUUGGGCCUUCUUUAAUACAUUUAUAACAUCAAAAAUACUAUAUAAUAAUAAUUUAUUUAACUACACUUUUUCAGUCCUACAUCGAUAGAAUUCAAAAAACACAAAGAAGGUUGGUAUAUAAAUAAAGAUUCAUUUUGUCUAAAACAAAUAUGAAGUCUUAAGAGUGGGAUAAGCUUAUAUUAAAAAUAAUAUAGCUCUUUUCAUAGACCAAUGUAUAAAUUUUUGGCAUAAAAAUUUAUAAGGUCUUAAAAUAAUUUUUUUUUUUGCUUUUUUUCAAAUAAAAACAAAACCCUGUUUUAAGUUAUUUAAAUAACUUAAAACAGGCCUGGAUCCGGGUCGGAUUUUACCCGGAUCCGGCUAAGGGAGAUGCGCCUCUGGGGGCGCAUAUGCGCGCGCACCCGGAACCUUGCUGAGAAUGUCUCUAGUAUACUUUUGACGGCCUUUAGAGAUUUGGGAUUGGCUUUAGAGAAGAGCAGGAUAUCAUCUGCAUACAUUAAGUGAGUUACGGAUGCCGUUCCAUUGACUAUAUAUGAGUCAUAUUUUCUCUCUAUUCCCUCCUUUUCAAUUAGUCAUUUAGUCUACUUAGUGUAUCCAUCACCAUGUCAAAGAGAAUAGGGGAGAGAGGGUCUCCUUGUCUAAUGCCUCUUUGACUCUUAAAUGGGGGGGUGGGGUGGAGGUGCCUUCAACUAAUAUUGAGAAAGAAGCUGAGGAGAUACAACUUUACCAAUCUUCGGUGCCCACGUGGUCCUCUCUACUUGAGAUUUGGGUGGAGAAUUGCAUACAACGAUUUGAACAAAGUGGGUAUCAGAUGUAAUUGACAAUACGAGGGGAAACAAAGGAUGAAUUGAGUCAUCGGAGGGGGCAAUGAGAUGUAGACAGAAACCGAAUAGAGGUUCUGCAAAUCUAGAACUCUUCAGUUUUUUGCAGACGUGGUGGAAGUUGCUCAGUAUUUGGUUGGGAGUAGCAUUUGGGAGUCCAAUGUCCAAAUUGUAGACAUUUGGGAGCUUCGAAUCAUACAAGACCUUCAAGCAUACAAUCGAUCUUCCUCAUCGAUUAUGUAUGGAAUGGAUAGGGAAUAUGUGAAUUGGUGGGUCGCCUGGAUGUAGGUUUUUAGAGAGUUGGGAUGACGUGAGAUGUAGAUAAAUUCCACAUGAAGGGAGGAACCCAAUACAUUCCUCCCUUAGUCCUUAGAGAACAUCCCUUAUUACAUUCCAUGUACAUAUGCCCAUUGUGGAAUCGAAUCAUAAGAUUCCUCAUAGACAAUGGAGGCAUUUUCUCUACUAAUCUACAUAGGAGAAUCCUCUAUCAUAUCCUAACUACGAUUGUAGCAUUUCAGAUAAUAUCCCACCAUCUUAAAGACAAUAGUGAAGGUCGAGCCUUAGAAGCAGUUAAUUUGGAAUUGCCCUCAUAAGUCCCAUUUGCCUUCUACUAAGGGUAUCACAAAAGACCCUCGAAGUGAGAGAGAGUUUCUCUCCAUAGGCCGAGAGUUCUUGAGUGGAGUCAGGGAUGCGGGUAUGUUAUAUUCCUCCUAAGAUUGUCAAAGUCAUGUGUAGUUGGCAUCCACUUGUUGAUGUGGUCAUAGUAUGGGUGAUCUGUUUUCUCUUUCCUUUGUUUCCAUUGCAUGCGAUCAUUGCUUCUUUUUCUUCCCCUAGCUUACUCUUGUUGCGGAGUGUGUAACAUGGUGCUUUGUCCCUAUCUAAAUACUUUACUAGAGGGAUUUGUGUUAUCGUCUCUUCCAACUUUAUCCAAUGGUUGGGUUUUUGUGUGAAUUACAAAAACUUGGGGGUCUUUGAAAUUUGAGCUCCAAGCUAUCUCCAACUACUUGCUCGCGUAUAGCUAGGUUGACAAGAGGGGAAAAACCCAGGUGUGGCCUUUCCCAUCUUUUACCUAUCUGGAUUGUGGACUUCCUCGUCUUUCUCUAGGAAAACCUUCCUCCAAUCAACCUAGCCCCUCAUUGGUGUAAUAGCCAGAAAUGUAACUAAGAUCCCAAUUGACAGUAACCAGCUCCUUGGAAACUUGUGUCCUAGUCCCCUGAAUGCAGGGGGAGAAGGGUGGACUCCGAAGAGGAGCCUCUCUAGAAGAGGGGAAUGGGGAUAUCCUGAAUCAGAGGUUCAUGACCUAAUGCAAAUUGAUUAUAAUGCAAAUAUGUACAUAUGUGAUCUUUAUCAUUUCCAUUCAUUUUUCUUCUUCGGAUUUUGAUCGAAGGUAAACAAAUAAAUCAAAUCAUAGUGUUUUCAGCUGUGACAAAAUGUGAAUAAAUGAAGAUUGCAAAGAUCAUUGACAACCUGAAUAGAUUUCGAGCAGGCUUCUACAGCUAUCUGCAAACAAUGUUACAGCAAAAGUUUUAGUUCAACAUUUAAUACAAGUGAAACUUAAAUUGGAAAUUUUGAUGAUGUGAAUUCAAAGACUGUUGGUAAAACUUACUUGGGCUAGACCUGUAAAAACUGUGGGUUCUAAGCAAUUGCAUAAUUUUGACAAGCAAGACAAUGUUUUCUCCAAUGGUGGAUACCAUGUUUUGAAAACAUCAGAAUUCACAUCAACCUGAUUAAAAAUAUAACAAUUAAAAAAUAAAGAAGGUAUUGAUUAAUCAAUCAAAUAUAUUAACAAAUGUGGAAACAUGACAUAAUGUAUUAAAUAAAGAAAUAUGAAAAAAUUAUAGAUUGAAUUGUUAUUACUCAAACAGAACAAUCUCCUUAAAUCUUGUAGAACACAAGAGCUAGCUCUCCCUCACAAUGAAUGGUAGCUCUUUAGGUUUCUUCACAAAGGAUUUUGGAGAGGCUUAAAGAAAGAAUUUGAAUAAUAAGGAAAGAAAUCACACAAAACAAGAAUAUUUUGUUAACGGGGUUCGGCCUUGCCUACCUCCCUGAGGUGAUUAAGCUCCUCCUUACUUUUGGUGAUAAAAGAAUAAAAUGUAGCAAUUACAAACAGGAAAAUAUUAAAUAUUUAUAGAAUUAGUUGCCUCGGGAAUUGAGUCCUAGACAACUAAUCUGAUUCUCUCCAGCCCAAUGGGAAUUGGGCCCACGAGGAAUAUUCUCCUCUUAUUCUUAUGUUUCCCUUAGUAAUUCAUUAAUUAAUUUUUUUAUGAAUUAUGAUUUUCAUUUUUGAAAAUAAGGGGGGAACAAUGUCUGGAUACAAAUGUAGGGAAAUGUAAACAUAAAAUCAUUGCAAUUAACUCAUUAAUUGUCCAUAGAAAUAAUUGCAAUUAACUCCCAAUUAAUCUCAACGCAAUUAACUCUAACAUGAAUAGCAAGUAUUUUUCAUCCAAAUAAUGUGCUGAAGAUAGAAACUAACAGUAGCCUCUGAAACUGCCCCAGAUGUCUGCUCCAAUUUUGCAGGGUAAUCCAAGUCUUCGUCAAGAGGUGAGUACUUUCCUACCUACAAGUUUCCAGAUGAUAAAAAGACAUGAGUAGAGAUUCCGAUUAUAAAAAAACUGUCAAUAAAAAUAAAGUAAAUUCCCAGGUUUAACUUUCUAACAUGAGUUCUGUAAACGAAUUGCAAAUUGUGAUGUGUUAAAAUAAAUAUUGUCGACAGUGAUUGAGAAAUAUCACAAAAAAAUAUUCUAAAAUAUAUAAAAUGAUCAGUGACAAGAAAUCACAAGUUAUAUUUCCCAAAAUAUCUACAUAAUUUGAUAAUAAGAAAGAAAUGCUUUCAAAAAAAUAUAUUAUACAUAUCCAAUUUAGACAACAUAUUAUAUACAACAUGAUAUUAUACUACAUUCAGCAUAAUUUUCCACAAACACCUUGAAUGAAAAAAAUUAGGAUAAACCAACAUUUGAAAUUCUGAACUAAAACAAUUUACCUCAUCCUGAAUAUAUGUCCGCGCUCGAAAUGUUAAUCGCUCGUGAAUAUCUUCUAGGAUUCGUAGUAAUGUGGGUCUCAGCCCAGCUAAUGAUUCACUUCGUUUGCUAAGCUGUUCACCUAUAACUUCAACUUUAAGGAUACCAACAAGUUCACAAAGUGAAUCCAAUUUCGCUUCAUGGAUGAUUUUAGGACGCAGGGUAUCAUAUAAGUAUGUUGACCUGCAUAAUUCAUAAGUGUAAACUGAAACUGAGGAUUAAAAUAUAUAUAUAAAUUAUUGGAGUACGAGGAUGAGAACAAAUUGAGCCUUUGAGGAUAAUUAUUUUACUACUAGAACAUGUGAUUUUUAAAAUAAAUGAUUCUAUCUUAGAAGCAAUUAAGCCAUUAAGGGUUAUGCUACUAUAUGAACUUUAUAAAGUAAAAAAAAUACCCUGUCAUUAGCCAAACCCCCCCAAGAUUAAACAACCCUGGAAAAAGUUUUAGAUUAAUUAGGAAUUUAAAACUUGCCCGGAUCAGACCAGCAAGCCCAUGGGUAACCGAUAUCAUUUCUUCAGCUCCCAUAAAUAGGAUGCAUCUCUCCAUAAAAAAAAAUUAAAUUUCACUUAGAUCAAUCAAUGCCAACCUUCGAAAGAGUAAAAGACAUUGACAUAGAGUGUGUGGAGGUAGUUCUUAACUCUAAAUAAAUAAAAACUUUCCAAGAGAAAGUAAAAAAUUGAGUAGAUUUUUUAAAUAACCCAGAUUUUAUUCUGUUCUUGAUAACCAAAUAGUUUCUUGGAGGAGUUUAUUGUAAUAUGAAAAAUCUGAUUAGGAUAACCUGCAAUCUGUAUGGCAUAGGAAUUCUUGUAGAGAUUGUGAGGUCCGAUACAUGUAAUUUCAUUGCAGAUUUAAAAUUCAUAUAUACAAUAAAAAAAAAACUUAUUCAUAUAUUUGUCAUUUCCUUAAAAGGUAACAAGAAAUUAUGAAACAAACAAAAGAAACUUACAUAGGAUCUAAUAGAGGAGCUAAAGUAGAAUCAUUUGCAGAAGACUGAAAGAAAUGGUUGAAGAGUUGAUGUUCAAGCUGGCAAACCUGUAUUUUGACAAUAUCAAAUUAUUUUUAUUAGAGUUAAGUAGGUAUUAAUGUAAUUAGUAUUUAGUAUAUGCUAGUCUAUAGAAUAAUGUAAUUAGAAUCUAGUAUAGCAUCUAGAAUAUUCUAAUAGAUAGACUAAACAGAAAGUUAGUGGCAAAUGGCACUAAUCAGAUAGAAGGACAAGACUACACUGAAACUUUCAGUCCUGUAAUGAAGCCCAAGUCAAUCAGAAUUGUGCUCACUGUUGUUGUUUCUAGGGGAUGGGCACUGCAUCAAAUAGACAUAAGCAAUGCUUUCAUCCAUGGAAAGCUGAAUGAAAGAAUUGUGACGAGGCAGUCUAUUGGAUUUUUAGAAGAGUCUAAACCUAGACAUGUAUGUCUUCUGAAAAAGGCUCUAUAUGGAUUAAAGCAAGCGUCUAGGAUGCGGUUUAGGUGCUUAAAACAAUGUUUAACUGACAUGGGGUUCAAAGCAUGUCAAUCUGAUGGCUCACUGUUUGUGAAGAAUGAUAGUACUGACAUCAUCUGCAUACCUGUAUAUGUGGAUGACAUGGUGCUGGUGGUCAUUGGUUCAUAUGAUGCAAAGGUUGAAGGAUGUAUGAACACUCUGAAAUCAGAAUUUGCAGUCAGGGUAAGUGGCAACUUGGAGUUCUUUUUAGGCAUCAGGGUGAGAAAGCAUGUUUAUGGGCUUUUCUUAGAUCAGCAGUUGUACUUAGUAAAUUUACUGAAUAUACAUGGCUUUGGCAAUCUGAAACCAAUCAGCACUUCUAUGCUGGGUAUUCUAUGCGACGUUUAUGCGUCGCAUAAACGACCAUGCGCAUUUCCAGACCCCCGCAUAGGUGUUCUAUGCGUUUCGGGUCUGGGCGGGUCGGGUCAACGGGUCAGGUCGGAUCGGGUAAAACCCUAUUACCCGUAACCUUAUUGAAAAAAAAUUAAAAAAAAAACCAAAACCCAAUUAAAAAAAACCCUCGAUUUUCUCUCUUCCCGUCGGCCACCACCAGCAGCCAUCUCCAGACGCGAGCAAGCCUUCUCCGACGCGAGCCACCAUCUCCAGACGCGAGCCGCAAACCAUCUCCAUUCUCCAGCGAGAUCUGUUGGACAGAAAAAGGUUCUAAAAAUAUUAAAAAAAAAACUGAUUUUAAUUUUUAAUACUGAUUUUAAGCAUGAACACUUGAUUUUAAUACUGAUUUUAGUUGAAUACUUGAAUCAGUUGAAUGAAUCAGUACUGAUUUUAAUUUUUAAGCAUGAACAUGCUAAAAAAUAAAAUAGUAUACUAUUUUUAAGCAUGAGCAUGAAUCAGUACUAAUGAUUUAGGGAUGAUUUUGGCAUGAAUAUACUAUUUUAGUAUUUUUUGCCAAUAAAAUAACACUGUCAUUUUUAUGUUUGUCCAAUCAGAAUUAGGGAUGACUCAGACAUACAAUGACGAUUUAUACCAAGAGAAUGACGACAUGUACUACGACUAUGAAGUCGAUGCCAAUGAAGACGCACAUGGUGAUGAAGAGCCACUUGAUGAAGAGCCACUUGAUAAUGAAGAGCCACUUGAUGAAGAGCCACUUGAUGAAGAGCCACUUGAUGAUGUUGAUGCCAAUGACUUAUCCCAUCAAGUUGUUGGAGAAGAUGAACGUGAACAGUUAAUCAAGUGGCAUUCUCAAACCACCGAGGAGGAAAAGAAUGACACAAAACUACGACCGAAGUCUAGCGAUCCAGCAUGGAAAUAUGCCAUUCUAUUGAAAAAAACUGACUCCAAUGGAGUCAAAUAUCUAUUUUGUCAUUGGAUUUCAACUGGUGGAAUCGGUCGAAUGAAAGGUCACUUUCUUGGUGGUGACAGAAAUUGCAUCAAAUGUCCAAAGACCACAUCUUUCGUUCGUAAUGAGAUCCGUGAAUAUGUCAAAGAAAAAAAGAUAAAAGCAACGAAAGGGAAAUCAACAUAUGUGGAUGACGAUGACCAAACUGAUGUCAUUUACGUCAAAGAAAAUCCUAUUGUUCCCAAAAAAUUAAAGAGGCCAGCGGUGGCGGUAAAGAAAUCAAUUUCUUCUUCUGCUGGAUCCAUCAAUUCAAAGGUGAAAGCGCUUUCUUUGAAUGAUGGUGAGAGUCUUAUCGACGUAGUUCGUAAUCGGAAAAAACAACCACUCAUCGUGGAAUGUAUGAAGAAGGACGAAAGACUUAUAGUAGACAAGCUUGUGGCUAAAGCUUUCUAUUCAGCUGGUAUUCCAUUCAAUGUCCGAAAUAAUAUUGACUUUCAGGUAUUUUUCAUUUCAAUACAAUUUCUGAUAAUUAAUGUGAAUAUUUAGAUUUUCAGAAAUUAAUUCCAAUUUUCUGAAUUUAGGUUAUGUUAGAAGUUGUUGGUCGAUAUGGAUGGGGUUAUGUUCCUCCCACUGUGCAUAGGCUUCGAGGUCCACUUUUGAAUGAAGAAGUGGCUUCUUUUGAUGACAUGAGAAGUAAACAUGAAGAGAAAUGGUCCAUCAACGGAUGCACACUCAUGUCUGACGGUUGGACGGAUCAGAAAGGAAGAAGCAUAAUCAACUUUUUGAUCAACUCUUCUGCUGGAUCUUUUUAUUUGUACUCUAUUGAUGCAUCCGCCCAUGAAAAAAAUGCUGAAUUUAUAGCACGUACCAUAGAUGAUGCGAUGCAGAAGGUUGGGGUUAAGAACGUCGUCCAGAUUUGCACAGAUAAUGCUGCCAACUACGUGAGAGCAAGAAAAAUUCUGAUGGAGAAGUAUAGUCAUCUGUAUUGGACUCCAUGUGUGGCGCAUUGCAUUGACCUAAUACUGGAGGAUAUUGGCAAGAUACCUUCAUUUAAAAAGGUGAUUUUAUCAGGCCGUCAGAUCACUACAUAUGUCUACACGCAUUCAGUUCUUCAUGCUGAGUUUUUGAGAUUAAGCAAUAACAAGGAAUUGAUUAGGUGNNNNNNNNNNNNNNNNNNNNNNNNNNNNNNNNNNNNNNNNNNNNNNNNNNNNNNNNNNNNNNNNNNNNNNNNNNNNNNNNNNNNNNNNNNNNNNNNNNNNUUGGCAGAAGUGGCUAGAUAUUGGAUAUGGAGAGGAAGUGCAGAGGAAUGUCUUUGCUAGAGCUUUCUGGACAGGUGUGGAAGAUUGUUUGAAAGCAUCUCAGGCUUUAGUUGCUCUUUUGAGAUUGGUGGAUACAGAUGAUAAGCCAUGCAUGGGGCAUGUCACUCAAUGUUUUGAGAAUGCGAACAAAACAAUUGAAACUCAUUUUGAAAACAAACCUGGAAUGUUGAGAAGUCUAAAGGCUAUCAUGAAGAAAAGAUUAGAUAAACACUUCAACCAUGAUUUGUUUGAAGCUGGAGCAUUUCUAAAUCCCAACUUUUACUAUGAGUUGAAGAAGUAAGUCUUCUCUUCAUGUUAUUUGAUAAUUAAUUUUGAAAACCUAUUAUCUAAUUACUAAUAUAUUUCCUUCUAACUAAUAGGACAAGAGUUGGGUUUGAGAAGGCCUUAGCUUAUGAGGGAAAGUUUCAAAAAUGUGUUCUUCGAAUGAUUGAUGAUGAUGAUGAACGAAGAACGAUAAUGAAUCAACUAACUCUCUACAAAGAAGGGGUCAUUUUGCAUCUAGGUUGGCUACUCAAGCCAUUGCCACAACAGAUUCAAGUAAUGUGUUCCAUAAUUCUGAUUUGUUAAUCUGAAUUAUUUAAUAUUAACGAGUCUAAUUUCGUUUUUGGAAAUUGCACAAUGUCUUGGUGGGGUUCAUAUGGCAUAUCUACCCCAGCAUUAAUGAUUGCGGCUACACGUAUUUUGGGACUUUGUGUCACUGCUUCUAGCUGUGAAAGAAAUUGGAGUACCUUUGAUUUUGUAAGUAUGAAAUAGUAAGUAAUGUGUCUCUGUGUAUUUAAUGAAACUGAAACAAGUUAUCUUCCAUAUAACAGAUUCACACGAAGAGGAGGAAUCGACUAGAGGCCGACCGAUGUAGUAAAUUGGUGUUUGUCAAUUACAACCGCCGAUUGAAGGAUCGUUAUGAAGAGAAAUGCCUUAGAAACGACUUCGACCCCAUUGUCAUUGAAGAUUUGAAUUGGAGUAGUGAAUGGAUGACCGGUGAAGACGGUCCUUCAAAUGAAUUUGUUUAUGGUGAAGAAGGUUUAACUUGGGCGUCUAUUGAAGUAGCUAUGGGUGUCAAUGAACCUAUUGGACCAUCAACAAGGAAUAGGAGAGGAGCUGAAGUUGAAGAGGAUGUUGAGCAAGCUCCUUAGAGCUUAGAGCCUUUGGGCUUAGACUAUUGUUAAUCUUAAUUAUAUAGUUUUAGACUUUGUUAUGCAAUUUCUAUUUACUAUUUAGACUUUUAAACUUUAUUGGAUCAUUGGAACACUAUUUGCUAUAUUAUAUUAUUCAUAUAUUAUGGAAAUAUCAGGGGUAAUUAUAAAAAAUACAUGUAAAUAUAACAUGUCGCAUAUUUACGUAUAUGCACGCAUAUACUUAUAUGCUUAAAAUGUCAUCGCAUGAACGCAUAGACGCAUAGAAAACCUUGAGUUUUAGGUUUUCAUACCCAUGCUUAUUAAGGAGAUUCACCAAGUAUAACUGUUGGUCCAAGAAUAAACCAUCAAGGUGCUUCCUAACUCUAAUUCCCAGAAAAUACUCCAAGUUUCCACACAAUCUCACAGCAAAUUCAGAUUUUAAUUCAUUCAAAAAUACUUCUGUGCCUUUAGUACUAGAGCCUGUAAUGACCAUGUCAUCUACAUAUACAAGUAUGUAGAUGACUUCCUCUCCGGAUAUGCUUGUCACAAAGCCUUUUAGAUACAAAAAUUGUUUCAAUCUACGAAACCACAUCCUUGAGGCCUGUUUUAAUCCAUACAGAGCCUUCUUCGGUAGACACACAUGUGUGGGUCUUUCUUCAUCAAGAAAUCCCAUGGGCUGCCUCAUGACAAUCCUUUCAUCUAACUAUCCAUGCAAAAAUGCAUUGCUUAUAUCCACCUGUUGAAGUGACCAACUUUUGGAUACAGCCAAUGUAAGCACUAUUCUGAUUGUUUUGUGCUUGACAACAGGGUUGAAUGUCUCAGUAUAAUCCAGUCCUUCUACUUGAUUGGUGUCAUUGGCCACCAAUCUUGCCUUCAACCUCUCUACUGUCCCAUCUGACCUUUCUUUCACUUUGAACAUUGUAUUAUCCACUGGAUUCCUUGGGAUGAGUUCCCAACUCCCAUUCCUCACAAGAGCAUUGUAUUCCUCCUGCAUUGCUUUCUUCCAUUCAGGGUCUUGCAAGGCAUAUUUCACUGAUUUAGGGGUUUGUUUUGGUGUGGGAGAUAUAUUGCAAGCAUAUCUCUGAACUUUCUUGAUAAUUCCCCUAGAUGCUCUAGUGACAGGUAUGUGUUUUGUCACUGAAUUUUCUGCUAUUUUUGGAUUAUACUCUUCUUCAGAGUUCGAUCCAGAGUCAUCAGACCCUUCUUCCUCAUCAUUUUCUAUUUCAGCAGGUGCUCUUCUACUGUACUAGACCAGUGGUGGUAACUCAUCUGUAGCAGAAGUGAUAGGAAGUUCAGACUGUGUGGUAGAUUGGGAAGCCACUGCAUGUUCUGAAAUAUCAGUCACUGCUUGUUCUGAAUUGUCAUUUAUUCUGCUCUGUUCAGCCUCUUCUUCACCCUCAUCUGAUUCACUCUCCUCUGCCUGAACCGAAUGUGUUGGAGAUUGAGAAAUAACUGUUUUCUUUGACUGAAAUUUAUUUUCUUCAAAGAUCGCAUCUCUGGAAAUUAGUGUCUUCCCAUCCCUCAUAUCCAUGCAUAUGUAUCCAUCACAAUGGACUGGAUAUCCUAGAAAAACAUAAGGUGCUGAUUUGUCACUCCAUUUGUUUUCCCUAUAUGGUCUGAGAUUGGGAUAACACACUGCUCCGAAUAUUUUCAACUUAUAAUAAUCAGGUGACUUGAGGUGUAAAGCUUGAUAAGGUGAUAUACCUUUUAAUAUUUCAGUGGGAAUGCAUAGUCCCAGAAGUGUGUUUCCAACAAUGCAUGCUUCAACAUAGCCAGCCCUGUGUCUACUAUAUGUCUGUGUCUGCGCUCUACCUUCCCCAUCUGAGGGUGAGUGUGUGGACAGCUAAGACGAUGUAUUAUUCCAUUACUCUUUAACAAUUUUGACAAUUUUAAAAACUCUUUAGCAUUAUCAGUUUGGAGAGCUUUUAUAUUCCUGUCAUACUGUUUUUCAGCCAUGCAUUUGAAUUGUAAAAAACAUUCUUCAACUUCAGAUUUUCUUCUCAUCAAGAAAAUCCAAUUGUAACUAGUUGAAGCAUCCACAAAAUUUAUAUAAUAACUAUAUCCUUCUGUGGAUUCAGUUGGGGCAGGGCCCCACACAUCAGCAAAAAUAAGUUCAAGUGGAGUAGUAUAAAGACUAUAAACUGAGGUACUUUUAUUAUGUUUCAGUUUCUUAGCUUUUGCCAUACAACAUUCCUUACAUAAAUUUUUGAUAUCAUUUGUAUCUGAAACUCGAAUUAAAUUCUGAUUGUUGAGUUGCUUCAUAGCCCUUGAGUGUAGGUGCCCCAAUCUCAAGUGCCACACUCUAGCAGUGGCUUUCAUCCCCAACUCCAUUUGAUUAACUUGCAUCCCUGAACGUCCUAUAGGUAUAGGUAAUUGAUAUAGUCCUCAACUUUCCUUCUCAAUCAUCAGAACUUUUUUAGUGUUGAUAUCCUUGACUAACAGCCUCUGUGGAUCAAAUUCCAUAGUCACUUAAUUGUCAGCACAGAAUCUCUUUAUUGAAAUCAGAUUCUUUGAUGCAGAAGGUACACAUAAAAUCUGGUUCAUAAAAAACUUUCUUUUAUUGACAGAAAUAAAAGAAUUACCAGAGUGAACAAUUCUCAUAGGAUGUCCAUCGGCAGUAUUGAUGGAAUUCUCACAGUACAGCCCAUCUUGAAUAUCUGCCUUUCUGUCUGUAAUAUGGUUUGUUGAGCCAGAAUCAGCAACCCAAGCCCUUGCAUUUGACACCAUAUUCACUGAAUUCUCAGUGUUCUCUUGCCCUACAUUUUCACAGUUCUCAUACAUAACAUUCACAGACAUUUCCUCAAUCAUACCUGCCUCAGGGCACCAAACUGAUGUUGAUUUUUGUACCAUAUUAGCUGACAUCUUGUUGGCCAGACCAUCUGAAUCGAGUUUUCUCCCAUGUGUUGGAGGAAACUUAGUGAUGUUCAAUCUGUUGUAGCAAUUGAGUGCUCCAUGCCCCUUCCCUGAACAAAUUUGACAAGGUAAUAUUUUGUAAAAACUCUUACCUGUCUUCUUAGGGUUUUCAGCUUCAACAAUGUUCGCGCUAAGUGCAGAAGUUGUAUUAGUUCUUCCUCUCCUGAUUUCAAUAUCAGUUAGGAUUGCUUUUAACUCUCUAUACGAGAUCUCCUCCCUCCUUGUGGUUGCAUUCUGAAUUGUGGCCUCAAAAUCAUCUCCAAGCCCUGCCAACACUAAUAAAAUAACAUCAGCAUCUGUAAUUACCUCCCCUGCCACAGAUAAUGUUUAUAACAAUCUAUCGAUUUCCUGCAAAUAUUCUGUUAUGGAUCUCCCUCCAAUUUUCAAACUUUGGAGCUUUUGGCGUAUACUAAGGACUCUUGACCUUGAGCUGGAUGCAAACUCCAUAUGUAACCUCUUCCAAGCCUCAUGUGCAGUUGCACAAUUUGCUACCACCGAUAGAAUUGGUGCGGUCAGUGACGAUAUAAUCCAGGCUAGAAUCAGUUUGUCUUGCCUUAUCGUUACUGCAGUGUUCAGCACAACCUUCCCAGUGAGGUAGUGAUCUAGCUCAUUCCCCGCUAGGUGUGCUGCAAAUUGUAUCCGCCAAGCAUAAUAGUUGUUGCGGUCCAGAGAAACGGUCUUCAAAUUCUUGAUCAUGAUGACCUUCGUUUGCUGAUCAUCACCAAGAAUUUGCGUCGUCUCAUCCAAUUCUCCGUUCAUCGCCAUGAUUGGAUGCAGAAAUUCCAAUGCUGAAUGAACAAAAACAGAGAAUGAUACUAGAUCGAUCUCAACAGAAAUUCUCCCCAAGAUCUUAACAGGCAACUGAUACCAUAUGAGUGAAACAGGAAAAAUAGGAUAUGGGGGAAUCAAGUGAUCGACCCCUCUAAACAUAUAUUAGAUGUGUUUAUAUACACUUGAGUUUAAUAUUAGAUCUUAACUGAAUUCAGUUAAGAUCUAAUCUACACUAACUAAUUACAAUUAGUAUUAUAAGGGUUAAAUUAUAAUUACAAACAAAUGAAAACAAAUAGCCUUAUUUAAUAUCACUAAUACUCUAUAUCGUGACAAUAAAUCUGCUAUACACCUAGCUAAUAAUCCAGUUUUCCAUGAAAGAACUAAACAUAUAGAGAUUGAUUGUCAUUUUAUAAGAGAAUUGAUAAAUCAAGGAAAAAUAUUGAUAAAAAAUGUUGGAACUAAAUUUCAACUUGCAGAUUUUCUAACAAAGGCAUUGGGAGAUAAGGAAAUUAAUACAGCUCACUCUAAGCUAGGAAUACUAAAUAUAUAUUCCAAGGCUUGAGGGGGAGUAAAGGAUUUAAUAAACCUAAAAACAGUAAUCAAAGAAUAAACAAAAUGACUGUAAUUCUAUUAAACUGAACUCAGGACUAAAUUGUAAUUUCUAUUAAGUUUAGUACUUGUUAAUAGUUUUCUGUUAAGUGUUUACUGUGCAGGUAAUUUACCGAACAGUUAAGUUUCGGAUAUAAAAGAAGCUGGAGGGCUAAUGCGCAAUAGUUUCAAUAAAAGAAAAUGGACCAAUUAUAUACAGGCCAGAUUCAAGUGUUGAGCUACGAAUUAAUAGAAUUUAGUUGAAAGUUAGUUAUGUAAUAGUUAGUAAAAUUAUUAUAAAACUAAUUGUAAUUAACUCUCAAAUAAAUUCAUUAUAAUACAAGUUUAUUUCCCUCUAAACCCGGUUCUCUUAACCACCGGUUUACUUUGGUUAAGCGACGUUCAAAUCGCGAUUUUCCUCCUUCUUGCUGAUGGCGAUUCCGGCGGACAACUCUGCCGACCCUACGCCAGUCAUCUCUCCAAUACGAGCGCUUUGUCGUUUUAACAGAUAGAAUAUAUUUACAGUUUUUUUUUCAGUAAUAAAAUAAUGAAAAAAGGGAUUGUAUACCAUACCACCUCUACUUCACAGGAACUUGCCAUUUUCCAAUUUUUCUAUUGAAUGUACCCAUGGAAUUAAUAGAUUGUUUAUUUUUUCAAUCAAUUUAUAUUCUUCAGUUUUAACUAUUUUAUUUCAUAGAAGGUAAUGAUGUCAGUCCGGAAGGGGAUUCUGGCACCACAACUGAACAAGUGAAUGCGCCCAACUGGCCGGAAUAACCCGAUUGACGACGACGGUCGGACUACUGGCCGGGCGAUUCCAGAUCGGAAAUAAUUUCCGGUGGGAGAAUGGGGAUGGAGGUUUAGAGGAAAGUCUGCGGAAAAGCAUUUAAAAUUAAAAGGUAAAUAAAAGUCACCAGAGGGACUUCGCUGCGUUCACCGGAGAAACUCCUCGCCGCGUCGCCGGAAGUUGGGUUGGGAAAUCGCCGGAGAGUGUAAGGAGGGAAGAAAAGACGAUGUGGGAUUUGGGGAUUUUUGGGUAGGUUUAAUUUAAGAGUUUGGGUUUAAAUACUUAUUUUAUAAAUGGGUAUUUUAUAUUUUUAACUUUUGAAUUAUCAACUUUAGUAUUUUAUUUUAUAAAAAUUAUCAACUUUUAAUUUUAAAAAGAUUCGCGGUUUAACAUAAAAAUUACACAUUUAAGGACAGUCUAUCAUAAAGCCGUAAUAAUUACACACGACUUUUUCAUAAGUCGUCCAUAAUUAUUUCUCUUCCCAAAAAAAUCAAGUUAUUUAGAGACGGCUUAUUAAAAUACCGUUCACCAAAAAACCAUCACCAACCCUUAAAAAAUUUCAUAAUUAGGGAGGGCUUUUGCAAGCCAUCGCUAAAUCCGUCUCUACAAGUUUGUUUUCUUGUAGUGUUUAUGAUCUUUUCAGCUCCUCGUAUUAGGAUAUGCACUGUCUUUGGGUAUGCAAACUCCUAGCCAACAAGUAUACAGCUCCGCAUUGUCGCACUAUCUCGUGUAAAUAAGUAUUGGUCGUUGAUAGAUUCCUCAAGAAUACUCGUGGUUCUGGACAAAAUUUCUUUAUUACUGUAUUUAUGAUCAAGGUUCGGCCAGUCAACCCAUAGGGCCAGGGGAUUUUCUCCAGUGGAGCUUCUGCUUCCAAAUUAAGAGGAACCAUACCAAAUUAUUUUUUUACCAAUGUCCUCGCACAAUCUACCCGUGACCUGAACUGCAGUUUAAACAAAUAUUUCACUUCUCUCUCAAUCUUAAUUGGUGAUGUUGAUUUCUAGUUAUAAUUUACCCACUCAUUUAAGUUACGCUUUGUUACAAGCAUGCGAAAUGUUAUCAACCAACGUACGCUCGAUAAAUGAAAGCAUUUGUGGAAGCCUUCUACCUGUCAUUGAUGUUAGUGAUACCAAGUCAUGUACCGAGAAUACGACCUGCAAAAUAGGACCUCAAGAGCCCUUAAAAAAGCCUGAGCUCGGAAGCUCGAGAAAGAUUGGACAUCACAAGCAGACAUGGGCUUUCAGCCAAACCCAGACUGGAUAAUUCCUCUCUUGUUUAUAGACUGAGAAUGGGGUUGAUUGGGAAUUAGACCAAAUCUAGGGAUCGAAUUAACCAUAUUCUAGGUCAGUCGGAUCAUAGUGAAUGGUGGGUGGUAGGGCAGUGGACCUUAUUAGGGGAGGUGAACUUGACCUGUCACGAUGAGCUCCUAAUAGAGUCGAUUCCCAAGACUUGAUUAGACAAUGGUAAUUGAAAAGAUCAGAUCAGAACUUAGGAUUAGAUCUGGAUAAUCUGAUGGUAACAAGAAUUCACUCAACUAAUUCCAAUGAAAUCCACCAAUGGAACAGUGAUUCCCAUUUGUGGAUUCCACCAGAUUUAGUAGAAAUCAAGAAAUGUAAAAGAAGUAGAGAUGGAAUAAUACUUCAAUUUAGAAAGAUAAAUUCAUAAAGUUCCACUCCCUUUUAUACUUGGUGAGGAGUAAGUCUUGUUGAUUAGGUCACCACACAUGAUAGUUAUAUCAAGAUACGAGGUGUUAUAUAUAUAUUGCAAACAAGGUAAUUGAAUGAGUUGCGUGUAAGAUAGGUGCGAUAUAUAGAUUAUAAGAUUACUGGAAAAGGGGUGCGAUAUAUUUUGUUCGAGGAAGAAGUGCGAUAUAUAAAUCGAUAUAGGGCGAAUUAUAUCAAUUUACAAUGGUCGAAAUAAGAGAAUUGACUUUGUCAGAAUCAGAAUCAGGUCUCUCCCCCUUCUAAUGCUGCUCCUCUUUUUCUGUUUAAGUAUUUAUACUCUUCAUUCUUUGCAGUUCUUUUUAUUGUGCAAACUCAAAUGAAUGUAUUUACUUGAUAAAAAUGGGAUUACAUAGAUUUGGAUUAAAUAGAUAUUGGAGGAUCCGUUUGCAAAAUUACCAUCAUCCAGAUUUUUAAUUUUGAGAUGGGAGCCUGAUGAAGAACGGAAUCUGCUACCAGGGGCUCGCGGUGGUGCGAGGGAGGCUGGAGGCUCUGGAGUCCACGACGUGCGCUCUACGUCAAAUCCUGUAAGGAGAGAAUAGGCGAUUCUGGUAUGGGAAUCGGCGAUUCUUCUUGAGUGUGCUCUAGUGUGUGUGGAACUGAUAUUCUGCCUUGGACUGACCCCUUGGGACCCCAUUUAUAGGGUCUUUGGGGGCGCACUCCGCGGCGGGCAUCGCACCCGUGCCAUAAUGGGGCGCAUUAAUGACCCAUUAUAACGCGGGCAGGCGGCGAGUAAUGGUCGCAAAUCGACGAUUCAGGUAGAGAAUCGGCGAAUUAGGGGCAAACUCUACGAGCUCUAAAGGACGAGAUCUGCAGUCUACCAAUACUGAUUAUCUUGGCCUCAACUCGGCGAUUUACCUCUAAUAUCAGCGAUUUGGUAGCCCAACCGGCGAUUUACGUGUUAGACUCGGCGAUUUGACGAUGACCUUUGUUCCGCAUCGUGGGAGCCAUCCGGGGGUCCGACAUAAAGUGAACGGAAUCCUAAUCCUUGUUGAAGGGUGUUGUUGAAAGUGACUGACGUAAUCAGACAUGUAUCACCAGUAUUCCCCCUGAAGAGAGCACAAGAGACAUGCGUGUAUCGUCAGUAUCCCCCUCCAAGCAAGGUUGUGUGUGAUCUUCAUCAAGACCAUAGAGACAAGAUGGGAUAGAAUCAUUAAGGCCACAAAGACAAAAUGAUUCUUGAUCCAUUAAAGCCAUAGCGACAAAAUGGAUCUAGUUCUAAGCCACAGAACUACGUGUUUAUAGUCCAACCUUGAUCAAGAGCGACUUUGAUCCGCAUUGAGGCCAUAUCGACAAGAUGGGAGAGAAAUAUUAAGGCCAAAGCGACAAAAUAAUUAUUGGUCCAUUAAGGCAAAAGCGACAAAAUGAACCCGAUUAUGGCCAAAGCGACAGAAUCUAGUUCUAGCCAAAACGAUAGAACUACAAUUUAUAGUCCAACUCUAAUCAAGAGCGACUUUUAUGUCUGCAACGACGGUUAACCCAUCAAGGCCAAAGAGACAUGAUGGGGUAGGAUCAUUAAGGCCGAAGCGACAAAAUGAUCCUUGAUCUAUUAAGACCAAAACGAUAAAAUAGAUCUGAUUCUGGCCGAAGUGACAGAAUCAUAUAUGCAAAAAAGAACACAUCCUGCAAAAACAACUAAAUCGGUCUAAAACGUAUAUUUUAUUGAUCAAUUUAACUUACCGUGCGAUUAUACCUUUCAUGACAUCCCUCCUUUACUCGAAUGAAUCGAAUUCACUGUGCUCGAUUGCCUAUUUAGUCAACCUCCCAGAGAUAUCGGGUUUGUGAAGUAGACGGCAUUAGGAACACGAUGUCAGAACUAUUAAAAAUUACAGAAUCUUGAACCUGGAAAAUUGACGAUCAGUAGAAACGCACGCACAAGCAGAAACGCACGAUCAGUAGAGAGAAUAACGGAAUGCGAGAUCAGUAUAGAGAAAAUGAGAACUUCGUGGAUUUAACCUUUGGAGAAACACACGAUAAGUAGAGAGAAACGCACGAUCAGUUUCCGUAGAGUAGAGAGAAACGCACGAUCAGUCUCCGUAGAGGAUUUAACCUUGACGUGAUUUCCAGAGUAGAAAAAACGAAAACUUCCGUAGAGAGUUUGAGGAUUGGCGAUUUCCGUCGAGAGGGUUUGGGGAUUGGGGAGGGUUUGGGGAAAGCAAAAAAUGAGGGUUUGGAAACGAGAGUUAAUUUCAGUCGUGAGUUUUUUUGAGAAUUUUAAUAAAAGGUUUGGGUUUUACUAAAAGGUUUAGGGAUAAAUUGAUUUGGGUAUUUUUAUUAAUUGAUUUGGGUAUUUUUAUUAAUUGAUUAGGGUAUUUUAGGGAUAAAUUGAUUUGGGAUUUGGGUAUUUUGAGAGUUUAUUCAUUCUAAAAAUUUUAGGGAUUUUGGUAUUUUUAUUCUAAUUGAUUGGGGAUUAGGUUAAAUUGAGUCUAAUUAAUUAAUUUUAGUGAUAUUGAUUUGGUUAAUUAUUUUAUUUGGAUGUAUUAUUGAUUUGUAAACUUUAUAAUAUAAUAUUUGAAAAUAUAUUAUUCAAACCCUAUUUUUUAUUACAAAUAUUUGAUAUAACCCUAUAAUUUUUUUAAUAUUAAUUAUAUUAACAUCCAAAAGUGCAAAAAAACCAAUUUUAUAAAAUUAGGGAGAUUUUUCGUUAUUUUUUAUUGGUUCCACCGUCAUCUCAUAUUUUUGAAAAAAUAUAACAUAGAUAAAAAUGACGGAAAUUCCUCCAUUUUUUUAAAAAUGGAGGAAAUUCCAUUUAUACCUAAUAUUUUCCGUCAUUUAAAAAAAAAUGACGAAAAUUUGCUAAAAAUGAGGGAAAUUCUUUCGUUUCUGAGUUCGAAAAAAAUGGGAAAAAAUUCCCCCAUUUUUGAUCCGUCAUUUUUAGCCAGUUUUCGUGUAAUGAAUCCUCGGUAAAUCUGGUCAAAGUGACAGAUUUAUCGUGCUCAUAUUUGACAACUUUCGGUCGGAGCGACAGAAGUGUCGGGAAGAGUUCGUGAUACUCCCUCCCCCCCCGAAAGAUGAUAUGUGACGACUUUUAGCCGUAGCGACGGAAGCGUCGACGAGAGUUUGUGAUACUCCCUCCCGAAAUCGUGUUUUUGAGACAGAUUUUACAUAUAUUUACCCUAAAUUUAGCCUUUGUCGCGGAACUGUUGGCGAGGAUGGAGGUAAGACUGGAAUGGUCCUUCUGAUUGUAAGACAUCAUGGCCGCAGUACGAGAGCCCACGAUUUUCACCGCCCCUGAAUGAAUCGGACGACAAUAUCGUGGUUCCAUUCUGGGGAAUCGCGAUGUCAGAAUCGCGGUUCCAUUCCGCGGAAUCACGGUUGAAUUCCGCGAUUUCCAUUCCGCUGUUCUUUUCCAGAUACGACAUUCUUUUCCAAAUCGAUCCCGCUGUUCUUCUACAGAGUGAUGGAAUUGCUUGCGUAGAUGUCGAAUCGCUGGUUCAAUUCUCGAAAAUUGAACUGCCAUAUGCAUCACAUAUUGUUCGUUCCGCAAGUCGGAAGAUUGUCGGACGCAUCGCAUAAUGUAAGACCUAGCUGAAUAAGUUUCAGAAGAUCCACGUUCGCCUUAAGGGUCACAUAGUUGAAAUCCGAAUUGCUCAAAAACAAACCAACUGGACGAAGGACAACUCCAGGAAAUUCCGUAUUUACGGAAACUCGUCUACUAUUUCGCGUAUUAGAGCGAAUUCCUUACUUCUCUAAUCUUGAUCUCAUCGUUCCUUUUUUCCGUCUUCGUACUAGUGUCAAUUCGGAUGUGGGCGCCCAUACGACAAACUGUUAACCAUGUGGAUACGAGCUAUGUGGUCCUGGAACACAGUUCCCUCUCCUCCGACGACACGGUUCUUCACGUUGUACCGUUGGAUUGACAAUGUUGUCAAUCCAAGACCGCGUCUGCAGCCCGCUAUCUCGGAUAGUGAAAAUAUUUAAAUUAGGAAGAGAUUCGAAAUAUUAAAAAAAAAAAAAAGAUAUCUAAUGAGAUAAUGAUCAUUGUCAUCCAUUUUCUAUUUUUAUUCUGUUAUUAGGUUUAUAAUAAAAAAUAAAUAAGAUAAUGAUAGAUUAAAAUAAGAUACUUUAUAUCUGGUAUCUAAUGAGAAUCUUUUCAUUUAAAUUCUAAAUUAAUUUAUUAGUAAUUUAGCAUUACAACGCAGAUGUGAUGGACGGUGUAGAUUGAACGAACAUGUCAAUGGUUUCUUUGGUCAAAGUUUCAACCUGAAGAAUGAAGCUUUCCAUGGCAGCCGGAGGUAAGCAGACCGGCACCACGAUUCCAUUCUCUCCCUUGGAGUUGGUAGACGGUAUGAAGAAGCUGGCCAGGCCAGGAAUCGCACCGACUCCUCCCUUUGCUGGACCUCCAUACGCCGCCUUCCCCCAUCCGAAAUCCACAUCACCGAAACCAGCCCGGGUAACGUCAGACACCAGAUACGUUCGGACGGCAGUGAAAUGCGGUUUGUUCCUGAUAACAAGUAAAUCUGCAAGAGACCUCAUGUACUCAUCAGUAACGUCGGCCUUCGCCUUUUUCACCAGCUCCAAAGCGUACCCGAUGGGGUUCUGGCACAGUUUCCUGGAAGUUGUCAAAGCUACCGGUAAAGCAAACACGUUUCCGUAGUAUCCUUUCGGGAGCGGAGGUUUGAUCUGAUUCCUAGCAUUCACGAUGCAAAUUACUCGGACUUCCUCAUCGGCGUCAGGGUUCAACGCGAUGGUCCGGCUUCUCCACAGACACGCAGUCAGAAUCUCGAACCUCGACUGCUUACGAAGGUGAGUCGGGAGCCGUUUUCGGAGAGCGUUCAUCUCCGUGUCUCCAAAGAAAAAGGAGCGAUGGGUCAUUUGGUCGAAAGGAAUUACAGUUCCAGCCACCUCAUCGUACUCACGGUGGACACACGUGAUACGUGGCUGGUUUCUUGCAUUCAGCGCCUCUCUGUUCCACACAGGUAACACAUAUGGACGGGAAGCUCCUCUAGCCAUUUCUCCGACAGCCGUAAUGAACUGCACCAAUCCCGCCGCAUCACUCAUCGUGUGGUUCAAUCGGAGGGCGAAGAUAAAACCGCCGCACGUCAGACGAGUCACCUGAACCAAAAGCAAUGGAGUGUUGAGAACAUCAGCGGAGCCUUCGACGUUAAAUAGGAGUUCAUCGAGGCACGGGAAAGGUGGCUCGAGUGAAUCUCCAAAGUCCGUAAGACUAGCAUCAGCAUCGGCCUCGACGAACAUCACACCUUCCCCAGUACAGUCCACUCCUAGCUUUCGGUUAGGAGCUUCCCUGAGACGGCCGGCGAAUGGAUAAUAACGUACCAGCGUUUUAGAAAGAGCCAGUUUGAUGAUGGCAGCUGGGUCUCGAUUUACAACCGCCGGAUUAUGCCGGUAGAACUGGAUGAUGGGGAUUUGAAACCUCAAUCCUUCUUGAUCGUCUAAAUCGGAGAGUAGUUUGAACUCAUGUGGAGUGGUCUCUGCCGGAGCAACAAGCACAGGUUUCUUCCUUGUAACAGUAAGGCUCAACAAAGAUGGCGCCAUUAAUUAACUAACUAACUAACUAACUAACUUAAUGAUUUUUUAAGCACGAUAUGAUAACUACCUCAUUGGUCUUAGUGACAAUUUAUAGUGCUUGUUGUGUUGCCGUUAAUUGACGGAACUAUAACGAGGUCAAGCUGUAGUUUGUUGACGGCUUCGGAACAACUUUCAAAAUUGACUCUCUCAUCGUAACUGCAAUUGAAUUGCACUUCCGCUUCUGUUAUAAUAUUUUUAAAUGAAAUUAUUGUAAAUUACGUUGUAAUUCGAUUGGCAAUAAAUUAAUAAAAUUUCCAUAUGUAAAUUGAAAAUGACAAUAAUUGAUAAAAAAACAAAAAAUUGAACUUUGGAAUUGAUAAGGAAGAUACAGCGAAACUCCACAAAAAAAUGGAGAAAUUAUAAUAUAUAUCUUCCUAAACUCUUUUUUAUAUUGCAACUUAUUAGUUACUAGGCAUUUAUAUCCUGAUAUCUAUGUAGGGGGUGGGCGUGGGUCGUGUCAAACCCGAACAUGUCGGGUCUGGGUUUGAGUUGAUAUUUUCGGCCAUUAAACCCAAUGCGAACGACCCGAACCCGAGUAAUUUUUACCCGAUUUUUUUGGGUCAGAUUCGGGUCAAACCCAACUCACCCAAACCCAAAGAAAUUUAUAAAAAAUUCAUUAAAAUAUAAAUAAUUAAUAUAAUUUCAUAUAAAAUACUUUAUAAAAAAAUUAAUAUAUAUAAUUAUAAAUUUUUCAUCUUUUAUAAAUCUUAAUUAAUUAAUUUCAUAUCUUAAAAUUUAAAUCUUAAUUUCAUUUCUCUCUCCUCUUCCACUUUCAUUUUCCCUCUUCGCCGUUGUCAACCCUCUUCUCACGGUCGCCGGCCCUCUUCUCGCCGUCGUCGGACCUCUCCUCACCGUCGUCGGUUCUCUCCAUCUUCACAAACCCUCUCUAUCUUCACAAACAAUUUUAUUUGAUUUUUAUAAAAUUUAAAUAUUAUUUAAACAACACGGUUUUUUAUGCAAAAUAUUCAAUCAAUUUAUUAAACCCAAACCCGAAAUCAAAACCGGGUUCGAGUCCGGGUUUAAUAUUUUUUGACCUUCCCGGGUUUUGACCCGAACCCGAUUCGAAAACUCGAGUCUAGGUCCGGGUUUAGGCAAACCCGAGAGAAACCCGACCCAUGCCCAAUUCUAAUCUAUGGAUAGGAAAAUCUGAAUUCAAAUUCGGAUAAAUUUUCGGAUAUCUAAAAAAUCCGAUUCUGGAUAACUUUAAAAAAUCUUAAAAUAAAAUUAUAAAAGUAUAAAAUCACUUUAAUUAAUAAUAAAUUAAUCAUCUUCAAAUCUAGAUAAUUCGGAUAUUCGAAAGUCAAUUUAUAUUUAUUCGAAUAUCCGAUUUCGAAAUUAUCAAUCGAAUUCGAAUUUUAACGAUAAAUAUCCGAAUCCGUUCGGAUAUUAUUUUAAGUAUCCGAAUCUGGAUCCGAAAUUUGGUAUUUCGGUAUACCAUUUACAGGCCUACAACUUAUAACUGGUGAUGCAGGUUCUGACACUCAGAUCGCAUCAAUAAGACCAUGAAGUAGUCCCCCAGGAAACCUAGUACGUAUCAAAGGGGGGAGUACUGGUGAUACAGUAUCCGAGACUUGAUCACGACACCAUCAAUCAGAGAUUGAGAUAACCCGAAAUGGAUGGUGAUAGGCAAUCGAAGGCCCCAGUCGACUGAUGAAGCACUGAAUCUGCUACCAGGGGCUCGCGGUGGUGCGAGGUGAUGCCGGAGGCUCUGAAGUCCACGACGCGCGCUCUACGUCAAAUACCUGCAAGUAGAGACUAGGCGAUUCUAGUGAGAAUCGACGAGUCUCUUAGUGAUGCUCUGGUGAGAGUGGAAUUUGUGUUGUGCCUUUGAGUGUCCCCUUGGGACCCUUUUUAUAGGGUCUCGGAGGGCACGAUCAAAGGCGGACAUCGCACCUAUUGCCAUAUAUGGGAGCAUUUAUGGCGUUGGCUGACGGCGAGUAACGAUCGUAAAUCGACGAUUCAGGUAUGGAAAUCGCCUAUUUAGGGCAAACUCGCCGAGUUUCCAGGGGCGAGAUGUGCAGUCUACCAUACUGCCGAUCUGAGCCCUAACUCGGCGACUUAUCCCUAAAGUCGGCGACUUGGUAGUCCAAUCACGAUUUACGGGUUAACUCGGCGAUUUGGACGAUGAACUUGUUCCGCACCGUGGGAGCCUUUCGGGGGUCCGGCGUAAAGCGGCGGAACCCUAGUCCUUGUUGAAAGGCGUUGCUGGGAGUGACUGUCGUAAUCAGGCAUGUCUCACCAUCGACUUUAUGAGGAAGUCGACCCUUACAAGCCGACUUCUGCCGAGUCGACUUCUAAGGAAGUCAACGGCUAAAGUCAGCCCUGAGGAAGUCGACCUGGGCCAGAUCUGAUCAGUUAGGCGGUUAGAGUCCUAAUGACCAGAUUACCCCAUAAGGACCUUAUAAAUAGAGGUCACUUUUACCCAUUAGGGUUAGGUUGAUUCAAGUGAGAGAGAACCCCUGCAAGAGUGAGCCUGAGCGACUGAGGUGUCCGAGUUGUUUCCAGCGAAGUUCUUGGCCCAACGCAUGUUCGAAACGUCGUCCGAACACUGAUCGAGAACCACCCUUAUCAAUAACCAAUUUUAAUUUCAAAACAAUUGUCAGUUAUAUUGUUAAUUUAAGUUAAUUGAAUUAUAUUUAUUAAUCCAACAACUAAAUAGUAAGUAGUAAGUACCAACACUUGCAAUCAAUUUACAUCCUUAAAGAUCCAAGAGGUGAAUAUAUAUCUCAUGGAAGAAGAAAAAAGAUAACAGAAACUAAUGUGUAUUUCUACAAGUAAUAAAAACAAACAGAAAGCAAAGUGCAUGUCUACAAGUAAUAAAAAUAUACUGUAAUUUUCAGGACGUCGGUGCGCCAAAAUCCGUCAUUUACAUCCUGUCCAUUUAUUUUUAAUCCAAUAACUAAAAUAAUGUACUGCACAAGACACUAAUACAUGUAUGACGAAAAAAAAUAUACAACAAAAAACACUAAUUCAUGUACGACGAAAUGUCGAUCUAUUGGUCAGGAUUUUUUAAGGCAUUGAAUUUCGACGCACAGGAAACUUACCCUAAAAAUAUAUAUCAAAAAAAUAUAAUAUAUUAUCGGUUAUAUUAUAGUAAAAAUCUAAUGAAAAUUUCGUGCACAACGAACCCUGAAUUUUCAGAAACCUUGUUAGUUAAUUUUUUUUAAGUUUAGAGUAUAUCUCAUUUAGUGAGUACUCUUCCAAUUCUUUAGUAGCGCUCACAAGCUUCCAUAUAUAUAGCAGUUUUACAUUUAUCGCCACUAUCUGAAUUGGGACUGACACAGAGACACUAUCGCUCUAAUGUGGAGCCAUUGUCUCCUUAGGUCUUCUGAUUAAGCUAGUCUUAAGAUGGGAUCUUGAAAUCUGUUUGAAUCAGCUGGAUUGAAAUAAAUGGCUGUUUGAAUUGAAGUAAUUGAUAUCGUCUCUGAAUGAAUAGUGUGUUAAAUAGUAUAGUAGUUAGUAGUUAUGAAUCAGUUUCAGUUAGUAGAUAUUUCUUGUUAAGUAUAUGCCUAUAUAAACUAUUGUAAACAUAGAUGAAUUCAUUCAAUCAAAGAUUCAUUUUCACUUCUUUCCUUUUGGGUUCCCAUCUUCAUGGAGCAUGGAGUUUCCAAGAUAGCGAAGAAGAAUAUGAUUUAUUUAAAGAAUCGGUUAUAUUUGUAAAUCUGAUCACAUUCCUUCUGGUAAUUCAUUCCAUUCGAAUUUUACUUCAAUUCCUACUGGCUACAAAUAACAAUUGUAAUGGAAUUUCUGUUAACUUUGGUCGUCCGAAUAUAUUGCCUACUUUUUUUGUAGUGCUACCGUUAAAAUAUAUAUAUAUCUAGGUAAAUGACCGGAGAAAGAGAGAACCUUAGAACAAGCUUCAACGAUCGCCACUUAGGAGCAUCCGGAGACCCUUCCCACUACCACCAAUGCCAACCCCUUCACUCCAAAGAGUUCGAGCCACGUCUCUUCGUGGUGAAAUCUCCAUUGGAGGUUUUGAUCCUUGGGGCUCCACCUUCCUCCUUUGCUCGGACCACCCUUUUCCCUGCAUGCCUUCCUACUCCAAGGAGUUCAACUCAUGCUUCUAGGGAUGUAAUUGAGUUUGGGUCUGGGGCUAGCUGGGUAUAUUUUUAGACCCUAUUAGAAGUUUGAAUCCGGAUGGUCGGUUCCGGAUCCUAUGAUGCUGACCUAGUUAGUGUUGGAUUGUGAUUUGAGGUCUGGGGGGGAGUUUAUGACCUCUUUUCGCAUAAUAUCCUAUUAGAGAGGAAAAUACCUGAGAUUUACAAGUUAAGAGGAAAAUUUACCUUGGUUAAAUCCUAAAUUAUUUAACUUAAGGUCUUUUUGUACUUAAAAAGUUAACUAUAGUAUACAAAUACUAAGUUAAAUUAUCAAUAUAUAAAGUAUAACUAUAGAUUUAUGAACUUAACCUCAAUCAAAUGAUCAGAUAACUGAACGAGGGAUCUACAGUAAAAAUAACUUCAAUCGAAUAACCAGAUAAAUGAAUGAGGGGUCUGCGAAAAGUAGUCAACCUCUAUCAAAGGACCAAAUAACUGGAUGAGAGAUGUCUUUAAAAUGUUUAAGUGUGUUGUUUAAUUAGUCGAUUUUAGGUAAGAUAAAAUGUGAAAAACUUAAGUAAAGAAAGCAAAGAACAACACGAGUUUUUAUACUAGCUCACCCAAACAAGGGAUAAUCCAGUUCCGAUGAACAUAGAAAUCACUAACCUGAAGGUUAAUUAUGACAAUAUCUUUUGUAAAAUUUAACACUACAACGCUUACGAAACAAGUCUAUUACAGACAUACUUACACCUUAGAGUAUUAAAAAAAACUCUUAAAAACCUUUCUCAAGUCUUUACGGGUAGACUUACGACCUUAGAGUAUUCAAAGACACUCUUAAGAACUUCUGUAAGCUUUAAGGAUACCUCGCUUAUGAACCAGUCUUUUACGGAUAAAAUCAUACCUUAGAGUAUUCAAGGAAACUCUUAUGAACCUCUCAAACAUUUACGAGUAGACUUGCGACCUUAGAGUAUUCAAGGGCACUUUUAAAAAUCUCUCAAGCCUUUAAAGGUAGAUUUGCACCUUAGAGUAUAUAUUAUAAGAAACUCUUAAGAAUCUUUGAAUCUUUAAAGGUAAAUUCGAUCUAAGAGUUUUAUUAAGAAACUCUAUAAAAUCGAAAAAGCUUUAAGGUUCAACUUUCAAACCUGGAACAUGAAAAAGUCUGUGGACACCGGAUUCAAAGAACAUACACCUCUACAAAUAGGCCCACAAAACGAAAGAAGAUCGAGGCCUUAGUGUACCAAACCUGGAACAUAUAUACUAUGCUUGUGCAGGGUGAAGAGGAAAUCAGUGUUAAAUUAGUUGGUUGUAGUACUAAUAUGGCAAUACAACUCAUUAAUAUCAAAAUUUAAUCCACAUGCAAAAUCAAGUUUUUUUUCAAGAUUUGAACCCAAAUAAUCAAAUCUAUUAUUAAAUGAAGCCAUUAUUGGAAGUUCUCACCUGAAGUUCUCACCUUCAAGUUUUCAUUUAAGAAGUUCUUACCUGAAAUGGACUUUUAAUCUAUAUAUACAGUUACCACUAAUUUAGCAUUAUUAUGAUAUUAGUUUAAUUUGCAGUGGAAAAUUCAUGUAGAAUUAAAAUUAAAAAAAUCUCAUUAUAUAUAUGCAGAAUGAGACAAUAUAACAUUGUAUAUUUGUAUAAGCAUCAUCAGUGUUUCACCAGCAUAGCCUCCAAUUUCCUUCUUCUAGCCACAUGCUUAAGUUUCUCCAAUGCCACAAGCCCAACCUGCCUCACUCUCUCCCUUGACAAACCAAUUCUGAUCAUAAAAUAAACAAAACUCAUUCCAUCAAAACUUAAUUAUAAUAUAUUCAUAGAUAUUUUCCAUACAAUUAAGCUAGUUAACUCUAAAAAAAUAUACUUACUGCCUGCUAAUAUCUUCCCAAGUAAAGGAGGUGUCACUUUCAAUGCCAUAAUAAAGGCGAAUAAUUUCUCUCUCCCUCUCACCAAGUGCUGUCAUCAGUAGUUUGUUCACUUCAUCCUGGAAAUAAAAAAGGUUGGUUGGAAUCUUAAAUAGUAUACAAGUUUCUACUCAAUUUGUUUCCUUUGACUGAUAUUCAUGGAUCCGCAAUCGAUAGAUUUCAUAUCUGGGUAUCUGACUAAGAAAUUAGGUAACAUGUUUUUACAUUAUAAUCAGGUUAAUUUGCCUUCUAUAUAAGAAAGAGAGUGAUCAUAAAUGAUGUAUCAGUAGAAACAGGUUAAGAACAGUGCAAAAUUCUCUGUUUCUGUUUACCUUCUUAGACAAUUCUUCGUACCCACGCCAUGGGUUGUUUUCGGGAUGAGUGUCCGCAAUAUACUGCAGCAAAUAUCAGAUAAAAACAUAUUAAGUACACCUCAAGCUUUACAAAACUAUAUUAUUAUUGGAUGGAAAACAAAAUGUGAUUGGAGCAUACACUGUGAAGGCUUUCUCCUGGAAGGCCAUUCAAAGAUGGAAAUGCAUCUCUAUCUAGCGAGAAGACUUUACUUACUGCCUGUAAUUGAAAAAAAAUAAAGAUUUUAGAUCAUGCCUGAAAUUAAUUUAUCAUAUUCAUAAAUUCAAUCAUUCAAUCAUAUCAUUACGUCUGUGGCAUUUCUGACCAUCCUUUCAGAAAUAUUCAGAGUCUCGGCGAUUUUCUGAAGAUACAAAAAAGGUUCAAUUUGCAAAGCAAUAUUUUAUUUUGUUUAAUGUGAUAAAAAAUAAAAUUUCUUUGGAACUUACGGCAACUGAUGGCAUGACUCCUUUCUUUUCUAACCUAAUUUUCACAUUCCUUAUGGAACAUAAUCUUUCAUGCAAAUGCGAAGGCAAUCUCAAUGUUCGCGAGUUUUCAACUAAUACUCUCGAUACUCCCUGAACAUAAAAUCCAUGAUUUGGAAUUUGCAAAACAAUCAAUUAAACAGAGAAUUUUAUUGAUGAAUUACCUGGCGUAUCCACCAAUAAACAUAAGUUGAGAUUCUAAAGCCUUUAGAAGAAUCAAAUUUCUCUAUUCCACGCACCAAUCCAAUCAAACCACCCUGCAAUCCCAAGAGGUCGAACAUCGUUCGAUUGGUAAUUAAGAUGCUUCAAUCAAAGAAUUAUUUCCUUCUGUAAAUUGACUACCCACCUGAACGAGAUCCGGCAGUUCAGCUCCUAAGUUAUCAUACUUUUUGGCAAUCGACAUAACAAGGCGGAAGUUGCUCAUUGCUAGUUUCUCCCUUGCCAAAGAACAUGCAAUCAACUUCAAUCUUACUUCGGCAAAUGGAAUCAUCAGAGAUGAUGCAAGUUCUUUAUCUGAUGGCUCAUAUCCUAAUUUCUCCUUAAGCCUGGACACAACUAAAAUAAAUCACAUAUAUAUACACUCAAUUUUAAUAUAAAAAUGUUAUAAUAACAAAGUAUAAUCUACAAAUCAAUCGACCUUUUCCUUCGAUCCUCAAGAGACAAGCCAACUUUAAUUUUCUUCGAAAGAUGAAUUACUUCAGAGUGACUGAGAAUAUCUUUCCGAGAGGUGGUUCCUCGGAUGUAACCUUUUAAACGCGUUUGAAGCAGCUCUUGGCUUACGAUAUUUUGUCGACUCGAGCUUAAAGAAAGAUGAUGGACACCAGACUCGGGAUUUAAACAUUGUCUACGAGUGUUAUUACUUCUCCUUUCCCUUGCGGAUAGCCCUGAACGGACAAUAUCUGUUUUCUUUUUUUGAAUUUUACUCGGGGUCUCCAUUUGUAGAGCUUGAUUAUUAAAGCUUAGGUUCCAUUGCAUCUCUAGCAUGGCUUUCUGCAACAAAAUGAGUGUUUCCAGUGACGAUUCGACAUCAAAAUCUUCUUCUCCUUCAUCAUCCUCCUCCCCACCCUCCUCCCCUUGUUGUUGUUGGUCUUCUUCCUCCAUCAGAUUGGAUUUGGAAGAAAAGGAACUGACUGGUGAUGAAAACGAAAAAACAUCGACAUGUUCUUUCAGUGCUCUGAUGGCUUGAAUGUCUCUCUUGGAUUGAUAAUUUGGGCCAAAGUUUGCAGGUUUCUUCACCGAGACUACGAGUAGGGAUUUUGGGGAGUGAUCUGAAGGAGUAAUAGGGAACAACUUUUCAUUAAGGUCCAAAGAGUAGAACGAUGUUCUCAACAUCUUCUUCCCGGAGUUGAGCCCAACAACAGCUGCAGUCGCCAUUUUGUGCAGUAAUGGAGAUGAAUCGAUUUGAACAAUGGUAUGUUAUAUUUCUUGUGACAUUCUCAAUGUUCUACCGAGAAAUAAAAUUUACAAGGAUCAGAAAUGAAUGAAUAAUUGAAAACAGAAUAAAAAAACAACCACCAAAACCCAAAAUAAAAACCACACAAAUCAGGACCAAACCUCAAUUCAGAGAAAUCAAGAAGAUCAAGGAAACCUAAAACCCCAGAAUAAAUAAGAUGAUCCAAACCUGUCGACUGCUUUCCAACUGGAGCAAGCAAUAUCCAGGCAAUGCAAGAUUUGAUAUUUCCAAUGAUGAAAUGGAGAAGGUCGAAGACACUGACACCACUCACUCCAGUCUGUGGCCAACACAGUGACACCAUGCCUGGAGUCUUAUUUAGCCGUGGACGGAGGAUGGCCAUUGGUCGAAGCAGAUAUUCUUUCUACACUCGUCGGGUCACUUUGAUUCUAAACCACGCAUUCUUUUGGAAGAAGAAAAACACACAGUGGCCCGACGGUAAAUUACUAAAUUAGUAAGGGUGUGAUUAGUAAUUACAGUAUUAGUUAGUGUGUUACGAUUUGGAUGGGAUAUUUAUAGAAAAAAUCCAAAAUUAAGAAACAAAUAAUCUUAAGACCAUUCAUUAUUUAUCGCGUUUACUAAAAACAAAAUCCAUAUAAUCAAUCUUACCAACCCCGUUCGUCGUCUCCAUCGAAUAAACCAAACCCCAUGGAGACUUCUCCUCCUCUUUCUCUCGCCGGCACUACGGUGAUCCUCCUCCUCCUCCUUUCCCAUAUCUCCAACGUUAGCGGCUUCAACGAUGUCGCAGAAGCGUGCAAGAAUAUUAUCGACAAGGACGGAGAGGACGCAGGGCCCACCUACGAGUUCUGUCUUACCUCUCUGCAAGUCCUGACCGGUGCAAAACACGCCGACUUGCAACAUAUAGCCUUCUUAUCCGCCAAUCUUACCGUAGCAAACGCCACCCACACGGAGCGUAUUGUAAAAGAAUUAUCGAAAAAUGAGAAGAGAAAUGUUGUUAAAGCCGCAUAUCAAACCUGCAUGGACUGCUACGAUGAGAUUGUGCAGAACGCUAGAACUGCCGCCAACGAGAUUCUUCCGAACAAGAACUAUGUCACGGCAAAUAAAGUCAUAUCUUCCGCCAUGAGCGCCGUCGACAAUUGCAAAGAUGAGUUCGAUGAUAGCUCCGUCAAGUCUCCCAUUUUUAAAGAGAAUAACGACAUGCAUGCUCUUCUGGGCAUAUUGAUCCGUUUUAUCGUUAAAUUGCAGGAAUGAUUUUUACAUGCAAUAUUCAUUUAUUAAUUCAUUUGAUUAUUUUGUGAUUUGUUUGUCAUGAUUUAUUACAAGUUUGCCAUCUUGAAUUGGAGAUUUUUAAAAACACACCCAAAUUAAUAAAAAAUUCAUUUUUGCUAUUUUCUAGAUAUGUUUUCUUCCGUACUUCUAUUUAUUAUUAUUAAGUUAGUUCGCCAAAACUUUUUCGUUAGAUCUUAAUCCGUUGACUGACAAUACAUUAUUCAUUAUCAACAACCAAACUUUGUACAACGAAUUGUACGUUGUAUGUUACAUUAUUUUCGAACUGUACUUGUUACCGUAUUACGUUGUAUGACGCAUUUCAACUAACCCAAUUUUGGUGCAAUUGAAGUGCGUUCUAUUAUUAUUAUUUAUAUUUUGUAUGUACAACCCAUCAAAUAAAUAAAUUACAGUUGCAGAUAAAUCACAGAAUUGAAAUAACUAAUUUAGCUUUAAUGAACCAAGGUUAUCAAUACAGAAUUAGUCAAGAACUGAUCAAACUUAAACUAGAAUUUGAAAAAAUAAGGCCAAGUUCGUUAAAUAAAUUUAUACCUCUCUUCUCUAUCUUCAACCGCUAAAUAUCUUCAGGUAUCAUCCAGAGCAAAGACUAAUACCAAGUACGUACGUUUUCUUCCAUUUUUUUGGUCUUCCAUAUAAGAACGUCAGGAUUACAACAACAAGUGUUGAGGAGUGAGCGCUGAUGAAGCACGAAAUCUGCUACCAGUAGGCUCGCGGGGUCGCGAGGAGGGCCGGAGGCUUUGGAGUCCACGACGCACGCUCUACGUCAAUGUACCUGCAGAAGGGGAGGGGGAUCGGCGACUCUCUUGGGAGUAGGCGAUUCGGGCUCCAAGNNNNNNNNNNNNNNNNNNNNNNNNNNNNNNNNNNNNNNNNNNNNNNNNNNNNNNNNNNNNNNNNNNNNNNNNNNNNNNNNNNNNNNNNNNNNNNNNNNNNNNNNNNNNNNNNNNNNNNNNNNNNNNNNNNNNNNNNNNNNNNNNNNNNNNNNNNNNNNNNNNNNNUAACGGCUGGGAGUCGGCGAUUCAAGUGUGGGAAUCGCCGAUCCAGAGGUUCAAUCGUCGACUCCCCAUGAGCCUAGUGGCAGCCUACCAGAACUGUCCACGAGGCCUAGAGUCAGCGAUUCACUCCUGGAGUCGGCGACUUGGUAGUCCCAAUCGGCGACUCCCAGGUGCUGCCUUAAGUACUUGACGUAGACACUCCUUCCGAAUUCGUGAAACUCUCCGGGGGUCCGGCAUAAAGCGACGGAACCCUAGUCCUUGUCGAAGGGCGUUGCUGGGAGUGACUGACGUGAUCAGGCAUGUCUCACCAGUACUCCCCCCUGAAGAGAGCAUGGCAAAACACCCGUGUAGCCUCAGUAUCCCCCCCCCGAGCAAGGUAGUCCGCAUCAAGGCAGGAAGCGACAAGAUGGGAUUGAGUCAUUGUGCUCACAGCGACACUAAUGACUCUGCGUGGUCCAUGCACUAUCAGAUGGACUGAUUCACUAUCAGAAUCUAGUUUCAGGCCAAUGGAACUACAUGUUUAUAGUCCUACUCUGAUCAAGAGCGACUUUUGCUGUGUGGAUUCUGGCCGAAGCGACAGAAUGCGUGGAUUCACUAUUAGAAUCUGAUUCUGGUCGAAGCAACAGAAUGCGUGGAUUCCGAAUCGGGUUCUGGCCGAAGCGACAGAUCGCGUGGAUUCACUAUUAGAAUCUGAUUCUGGCCGAAGCGCGAGAAUCUAGUUCACUAUCAGAACUGAUGUUUAUAGUCUACCCUGAUCAAGAGCGACUUGGUGUCCGCAACGACGGUUACCCCAUAGGCCGAAGCGCAAGAUGGGUCGAGAUCAUUAAGGUCAAAGCGACAAAAUGAUCUCCAAAUGUUUGAAGAACUAUUGAAGCCAAAGCAACAACAUAAUUCUUGGUUUGAUUCUGGCCGAAGCGACAGAAUCAUGCCUACAAAACAAAAAACCACCUGCAAAACGAAGCGACAGAAUCAUGUCUGCAAAUCAAAAAACAACCUGCAAAACAACUAUAUCAGUCUAAAGGAUAUAUUUAUUGAUUUACUGACCUUGCCGUGCGGAGCUGCCUCUCAUGCUGCUCCUCCUUAUGCUCAAUAAAUCCUUGAUUGAUCUGUCCGAAGCGACAGAUCUAUCAUGCUCAAAAAAUGUGACAGCUUCUGGCCGAAGCGACAGAAGUGCCGACUCACUAUUAGAGUCUGAUUCUGACCAAGGCUACAGAUACACUAUCAGAAUCCGAUUCUCGCCUCGGAUACAGAACCUGCUGAUUCACUAUUAGAAUCUGACUCACUAUCAGAGUCUGAUUCUGUCCAAGGCUACAAAUCCACUAUCAGAAUCCGAUUCUCGCCCCGGAUACAGAACCUGCUGACUCACUAUCAGAGUCUGAUUCUGUCCAAGGCUACAGAUCCACUAUCAGAAUCCGAUUCUCGCCCCGGAUACAGAACCUGCUGACUCACUAUCAGAGUCUGGUUCACUAUUAGAACCUUUCCUGCAAAAAAGAAAACAUCCUGCAAAACAACUAGAUCAGUUCGAAAACGCAUAUAUUUAUUAUUGAACUUACCGUGUGAUCUACCUUUCGUGAUGUCCCUCCUUUGCUCAAAUUUGUCCUCGGUAAAUCUGGCCGAAGCGACAGAUUUUACCGUGCUCAAUUUCUUUGACGACUUCUGGCCGGAGCGACAGAAGUGUCGGGAGAGCUUGUGAUACUCCCCCUCGAAAUGUGACGACUUCUAUCUAACUAGACAGAAGUGUCGGGAGAGCUUGUGAUACUCCCCCCUGAAAUGUGACAACUUCCAUCCUAUAGACAGAAGUUCCGGGAGAGCUUGUGAUACUCCCCCUCGAAAUGUGACAACUUCUAUCUAAAUAGACAGAAGUGUCGGGAGAGCUUGUAAUACUCCCCCCUGAAAUGUGACGACUUCCAUCCUAUAGACAGAAGUGCCGGGAGAGCUUAUGAUACUCCCCCUCGAAAUGUGACGACUUCUAUCUAAAUAGACAGAAGUGUCGGGAGAGCUUGUGAUACUCCCCCCUGAAAUGUGACGACUUUCAUCCUAUAGACAGAAGUAUCGGGAGAGCUUGUGACACUUCCCCUCGCGAAUUGUGCCCUUGUGACACACAAACAUUUGCGACGAGUGUUUUUCGAAGUAUGUGACUGUCGAUGAACUAUCUAUUGUUUUUCCUUUGCUAAUCUUUCAUAUAAAUUACCCUUCAAAUUGUAACUAAGGCCCGAAACUAGAUUCACAAGUCGUAAUUUAGCCACUCUGGACGUAAAUUAGACUCUGCUAACCCUAUUGCUAGCCACUCUGGGCGUAGACUUGGUCGUACGAAUAGUAGCUCAGCCUACGGUUAAAUUUAUGGACAAUUUAUAUCUCUAGACUAGCGUCAGGUUACAAGAGGUAGAGUAAACGACGAAUCAGAGAUAUUCGACACUCAAAGGUUUCCUUGAAAUUCGGAAACUUAACGAUGGAGAGAGCUUGUGAUACUCCCUCCUGAAAUAUGAUGACUUCUGGCCGAAGCGACAGAAGUGUCGGGAGAGUUUGUGAUACUCUCCCUCGAAAUUUGACAACUUCUGGUCAAAGUAACGGAAGUGUCGGGAGAGUUUGUGAUACUUCCCCCUUGAAAUUUGACAUCUUCUGGUCAAAGUGACGGAAGUGUCGGGAGAGUUUGUGAUACUCCCCCCUUGAAAUUUGACAUCUUCUGGUCGAAGUGACAGAAGUGUCGGGAGAGCUUGUGAUACUCCCCCCUGAAAACUUGCACUCGAGGCAGUUUUAGUGUUAUUUUACCCGGAAUCGGCGACUAGAGUUUGUGAUACUCCUAUAGUCGGCGAUACCUAUGGUUUGGGUAACUGUAGGGGGUAUUCUUGUUUUUUACCCUUGUGAGUCGGCGACUCCCUCUGUGAGUUGGCGACUCCUAGUGUAACCGUCGGAUCUUUUCGGGAGAUCCUUGGAAUAUUUGGGAGAUAUACGGGGAAUAUUUGUAAAAUCUCCAAAUAAGGAAAGUUUCUCACAAUGCUGUGAGUUUUUGCCCGGAGUCGGCGACUGCCCUGUGGAGUCGGCGACUUGGCGUGAUUUGGGGGAUUUGGAGAUCGAAUCUUGAUCUCAAAUUUCGUAAAUUUUGGGUUUUCUGGGGGGUUUUUGCAAUUUUUCCAAGGCCUAUAAAUAGUGGAGGUUUUCCCCAAAACCUCACAACACUCUUUUGCCUCUCUCAAUCGCCCAAAACCCUCAGAUUUUCAAUCGCCGACUCCCCAGUUCUCAAACAUAAAGUCGUCGAUUGACCUCAUGUCUUCCCCCGAUUCCCCAUUGAAGGAAAGCGAAACGUCAGCUUUUAUAGAUGAGCUGAUAACUGACAACCUGGAUGAGGCGUUGAACACCGUUGAGUCGCCUAUUCCCUCUCCUGACAGAGAGGUUGAGUCGGCGACUCCGGUCGUUUCGCCUCAUGGAUUGGAGCUGAGUGCCACCGUGCACGAGCUACUUGGCGCCUCGCCAGUGUCGGCGACUAAGAGCCGGGCCCUUGUAGUCGUACGGGAGCCUCUUGAGCUGGGAGAAAUUCCUGUGGCCUCUGUGUCGGCGACUCCCAUCGUGGAGUCGGCGACUCAUGCAGGCCCUGUUAAAGGGAAAGCCUCCAAGCGAAGGGGGCAGGGCUCAGCUGCCAUUGGGUCGGCGACUGCUGGCCACGCCUCACCGAUUCCUGUCACGGGAUCGGCGACUCGUGUGCUGGAGUCGGCGACUCCUAUGAGUAUUGAUGACUCUUCCGCGUACUGCACCGCACCAUUGGUCGUGAGCGCGGAAGGCCGAAUCGUGUCGGGACUGAACCCGAACCAAGGUCCUUCUCUGAAGAGAAAGAGAAGGCGUACCACUGGGAAGGGCAAAGUACGCGUGCCCGAAGAAGAUGAAGGGGUCCCUCCUCCCUUGAACCUAAAUUUCGAGGAGACCCUAACUGUGGACCGUGGCGCACCCAAUCCACGACGACGAGCGGGCCGGCGCUCCGAAAGAACUCCGCCACCUCCCGUGGACCUGAAUGCUAGUCGAGACCCGGACCUUGACUUAAACACAUAUGUCGGAUCUUUGAACCCCUCUGGGUUCGCUCAUUGUGAAAUCGCCUUGAAUGGCGUGCCAAGGUUGCUCCCUGUCGGCCGUUCUGGGGACGGCGAAUAUGAACAAGUUAUGACUCAUGCAACCUUGGAUGGGUCUGAUGGAGUGAAUCCCCCCUCCAAUCUGAAUGCGAGCGAUGCUCGAACACUGCUGUCGGGGAUUCAGAUUUCUGGUCAUCUGCGAUUCUGGAUGUCGCGAUACCAGCCGAUUAAUCUGCCACCCCCGGGAUUCCAGGCUAUCCCGAGGGUUUACUUCAAGCACUUCUCCGAGCUGCCAAUUCCGGAGAUUAUAAGUGAAGUGCUUCUGAGAUUUGAGUGUCGUUGUCGCAGCUCCCGGCGGGAUUCUUCGUCAUCCUGCGGGGUUUCAUGAACAUCUGCUGGGGGCUGAACAUUGCUGCGACGGCGAGCUUGUUCUUGUACUUCUACAAGCUCACCAAAGAGAAGUCUGCAUCCGGUCGCUUUGGGUUCACGCGACGAUAUUUCGACAAGAACAUCGUCGAUGAGCUCCCGACGAACUUCGGAUCCAACUGGAGAAAAGAGUUCAUAUUCAUCACUUCUGAAUUUCUUCCCGGGAGUCGGGAAAUGUGGAAUGAACCCAAUCGAGUGCAUAUGAACGCCUCGAUUGAGCUGAGUACGAGGGAUAUAGAAGCCUCGGAUCGUAUAGCGCGUACGCUGACAACCUAUUCUGUGCCGCGCGGUGUUCCCUUUGUCCUUUGCCAAAGGGAAGACUUCACUUUUGAUGAUGUUGAAGAUGCGCAUGAACCACCCACUGAGAGAGAGUUGGAAGGUGGUCAGAGGCGAUCCAUUCUAUAUCAUGACGCUGUACCUCUCUAUAUGCGCAAGAGGUUCCGCGCGGGGAAGCUGAUAAGAUUGUGACAGAAGAAGACUUCUCGCAGCGAGCCUCGCCGGACCUUUGAGCAUGGGUCAAGCUCUCGCUCUGCACCACCUCCUCCCAGGGGCUAUGAGCCUUAUACUUCUGCUGGAGUGACACUUCCUGACUUCAUGGCUAGUACUGAAACUAGAAGGGAAGCGAUGUCACUCCUCUUGGGGCAUCCUGGGACUUGGUGCCGGAGUGAGUUGUUGAAGCAUAUGAAUGCCGCAUGUUACAUGGCACAUGCUUGUUAUCAUGGAGACUCUAUCCAUGACGUCGAGAAGAUACAAGAAAGAUACAAUCAACUCGACGCAAAGUUCAAAGAAAGCGAGAAGGCUCUCGAUAAGCUGAAGAACGUGAAAUCGAGAAUGGAGAACCUUCGCGACAACAUUCUGCCCAAGAAGGACAAAACUAUUGAGUCCAAGCAGAAAGAGAUUGAUGACUAUGUCGCGAAGAUCUUGGCACUCCGAAAAGAUCUGAAAGCUGCUAGUUCUGGCCGUGUUAAGGACACUGAAGAUCUGAAGAGCCAACUAGCUAGUGAAAGAGGGCACGUAGCCUCGCUUGAGGCUACGAUAGUGGAGUUAAAGAAGCAAGCUUCUCAGAGCCAACGAAAAACCACUGAGCUAAAAAGCGAGCUCGCGAGUGCGGAAGAAGAGGUUCUGACUCUGAAAGAUGACAAUGCCGCACUUGCUGGGAGAGCUGCUGGGUUGGAUUUGGAUGUACGUUACCAAUCCGACCAGCUUCAAGAGCUCAUAUUCUUUGGUCCUUCCGUGUAUCCCGCUCUACCCCCCGACUACAUCACGAACAUAAUGGCGUGGAUAGAGCAACAUCCUGAGGAGCUCGAGAAGAAUAAAGAGGCUCUCGACAAGAUGAAGGACGAAGCUGCACAAGAUUAGAUCUAAGUCCUUAUUUUGUAAUCUUUUUGUUAUCUUUUUUUGUAAUCUGAAAAUUUUAAUGAAAUUAACCGUUUUUGACUUUCUAUUGAGUUGUUCAUUUAUUUUAUUCCUUUGAAUUGUAACUAAGACCCGAAACUAGAUUCGCGAGUCGUAAUUUAGCCGCUCUGGACGUAAAUUAGACUAACCCUAUUGCUAGCCACUCUAGGCGUAGACUUGGUCGUACGAAUCAUAGCUCAGUCCGUGUUGCUGUACGUGAUGUUGCUGUACGUUGUCCGUGUGCCAGAUGCAAGGACUUUUGGGUGACAGCUUAUUCCUAUUCCUCUUGGUUAUGCUAGCCCUCUUGUUGGUCUACCAUCAAAUAGCAUAUGGAUGGUUUUCCGUGGGUGGUCCUCGCUAUUGUCACUGUCUGGUGAGGGAGAGCGUGGGCGCUUCCCAUUCACGUCAGACUUGCAAUUGUUUCGAUCCCGGGAUACUUUGACCAGGCUGUCAAGUUCGCCGUUCGAAAUUAAUUGCUCGACAUAAAGCGAGAAUUCCCUGCAAUAGUCUGUCAGAUGGCCGUGGUCCUUGUGGAAUUCACAGAAUUUUCCACUUUUCUGGCGGCGAUCCUUGGUUGCAGGGUCCAUAGAGCGAGGAGCGGGCAGAUCCGCUAUGUUCCUCAGUUUUUCAAACAGCUCGCCUUUGCUGAUUGUUAGUGGGGUCCGGUUCCUCCAAGGUUGAGGUGGACCCCUUGGCGAUCGUUUGACGGAUGUUUGAUACACUUUGUUAUCAUGUUUAGGCUUCCAAUCCUUUCUGAAGGAAUCAGCCGCAUUGCUAGUGUAUCUGUUCGAGGAGUCUUUGUAGCUCUUUCUCUCGAACUUUUGUUUUUUGAAGCUAGUGUUCUCGAGUUCCACUAGCUUGUUUUCAUUCUGCUCUUUCACCUCAAUGAAUAACUGCGCUCGUUGGAAGAGGUCGGGUAAGGUCUCCACUUUGUGGAGUGUGAGAUUCAGGGCCAGAGGGGAGUAGGGUACCAGCCCGUUUGUGUACCCCGCAAUGGCCAGACUCGGGAUUAAGUCGCUCACUUCUGUCAUCAUUGAAGUGAACUUAAUCGUGUAAUCCCUUAAAGACAGUUUGUCCUGUCGUAGCGCCAGUAGUGCAUUGGCGCUGUGUUUGAUCCUGAUCAUCCCCACGUGUUGGGCGAUGAAUUUGGAUGCGAGGUCUGCAAAGCUGGAAACUGAUCCGGCUGGCAGACCAGAAAACCAUCGAUAGGCAUUGCCCUUAAGAGUGCCAGGGAAUGCUCGACACAGCAGUGCGUUACUAGUAGUUUGCGGUUCCAGAACGCUGAGGUAGAGGUUGACGUGAUCUUACGGAUCACUCGAACCAUCGUACGACUCUAUUCUGGGUACCCGCCAGGUUGGUCGAAAGGCCACCUUCAAAAGGUCCUCUUGGAAAGGAGCGCUUUUGACUCUUAAGAACUCGAUCGGAUUGCUGAUGACUAGAGUGUCAGCCAGCUUCCGACGGAGGUCCUCAACGAAUCGUGGUGUAAGAGUCCUAUCAGUGCGACUCUUACUGGGUCCACCUCUUGAUUUUUCUGGCUCUGGACCUUUCUUUUUCUCCGUAGUUGGAGAAUUGUGAGAAGCCGAUUCACACGCUCUCUUGCGAGUGAUGGUUCUCUGACUCCUUGCUUUUUCAAGGUUGCUAACUCUUCUUUCAAUGUUAUCCAUGAAGUUAACCAACCUUGCUUCUAGAUUAGGAGAGAUGGAUGUCCGAGGGGGCAGAUCAGUUUGGGCAUCCUCGAACCUUUCAACUUGUAUGUUUGGUUGUGGAUGCUCAGCUUGUGCCCCAUCGGGUACCACUGAGGAUUUACCCUUGUUUCUCAGAUGGUAAUCGUGCUUUUGCCUUUCAGAUGUCAUAGAUGACAAAAGCGAAUUCCAACCGGAGCGUAGGUAUUAAUUGGAUUAACUCAAAUGAAACCCAGUGGAGUCGGCGACUCAGCAGGUGGAGUCGGCGACUGGCCUUAGGUUUUCUUGACUUUCGAGCUGAGCAGAGGCUCGAGAAAAAACCAAGUGGAGUCGGUGAUUCACUAUGGGCGUCGGCAAUUCACAAAGGUGGAAUCGGCGACAGACACUAGUGGAAUCGGUGACUGCUUUAGGUAGUUUUUCCUUCGAGUCUGGCCGUGGACAACACUCUUAGCUAGCAGAAUAACCCGCAAUCGGCGAUUCACUAGGUGGAAUCGGCGAUUGCCUGUGUGAAUCGGAGAUUCCUUGACACAAAGUCAGCGACUCACCCUAAGGGAAUCGAAGAAAANNNNNNNNNNNNNNNNNNNNNNNNNNNNNNNNNNNNNNNNNNNNNNNNNNNNNNNNNNNNNNNNNNNNNNNNNNNNNNNNNNNNNNNNNNNNNNNNNNNNCCAGCUGAUGAAGCACGAAAUCUGCUACCAGUAGGCUCCCGGGGUCGCGAGGAGGGCCGGAGGCUUUGGAGUCCACGACGCACGCUCUACGUCAAUGUACCUGCAGAAGGGGAGGGGAAUCGGCGACUCUCUUGGGAGUAGGCGAUUCGGGCUCCAAGUAUUGCUCUGGUUGGUGUGUGUCAAGUGUGAAUGACCUGAGGGUAGAGGUCCCCCAAGGACCCCUUUUAUAGGGUCCUGGGGGACGUUUCCCCAUUCAUUAGCGUGGGACCCACCCCAUUAAGGUAUCCUAUUAAGGAGUGCCUUAAUGACGUGGGCCCACUCAAGUAACGGCUGGGAGUCGGCGAUUCAGGUGUGGGAAUCGCCGAUCCAGAGGUUCAAUCGCCGACUCCCCAUGAGCCUAGUGGCAGCCUACCAGAACUGUCCACGAGGCCUAGAGUCAGCGAUUCACCCCUGGAGUCGGCGACUUGGUAGUCCCAAUCGGCGACUCCCAGGUGCUUCCUUGAGUACUUGACGUAGACACUCCUUCCGAAUUCGUGGAACUCUCCGGGGGUCCGGCAUAAAGCGACGGAACCCUAGUUCUUGUCGAAGGGCGUUGCUGGGAGUGACUGACGUGUUCAGGCAUGUCUCACCAAUUCAUUUUUGUAGUAGUAGCGAAAAUCACUCAAGAUGCAGCAGUUAAGUUCGUCUACCGCUCCAUAGUAUGUCGAUUCGGAAUUCCCCAACACAUUGUCACGGACAAUGGGACACGAUUCAUAGGGGGAAAAUUUUCAAGAAUGUGCGAGAACUUGGACGUAAAACUUCACUUUGCAUCUGUUUAUCGACCUUAGGCAAAGAGCAAGUGGAAGUAAGAAACAAGGCUAUCAUACAAGGAUUGAAAAAAAAAAUCGAAUCGGCAAAAGGGGCCUGGGCAGACAAGCUGUGCGAAAUCCUAUGGGCAUAUCGCGCAACGAGCAAUAACCCCACGGGCAACACCACUUUCACUAUGACUUAUGGAGUGGAAGUUGUCGCUCCAAUCGAGAUGAGUAUACCAACAUACAGAGUCUCGAACUAUGACGAAGAAACUAAUGACAAAAACUUAGCAACAAAGCUAGAGUUAAGGGAAGAAACGCGUGACGAGACGAACCUACGCAACAAAGCGUACAAGGCUAGCGUAUCAAUAUACCACAACCACCAAGUACGAAAAAAGGUAUUCUUACUAGGGACUCUCGUCACGCAAAAGGCAAGCAUAACAGAAAGAAGUAGACCGAAAAAUAAGUUGUCUUCUAACUUUGAAGGACAUUAGAUCAUCGAAGAAGAGAUACGGCCAGACACUUAUCGCUUACGGUAGGAAGACGGGAAAAUGGUCCUUAAUACCUGGCACGCGGAAAACAUGCAACAAUAUUACGCUUAAUAUUUAGUAUUCUUAUUUCUUAGUUUUUCUUAUUAUGUAUGCUAAUUCACUAAGUAGUUUACAAAAUGGAAUAGUUUAUUUUGUAAAAUUUCAAAAUUUAAGCUAAAGUACUCUUAAUCCAAAACGAUGCGAUCAUCUGGGAUUGUAAGACACUGAUGAAGCACGAAAUCUGCUACCAGUAGGCUCACGGGGUCGCGAAGAGGGUCGGAGGCUUUGGAGUCCACGACGCACGCUCUACGUCAAUGUACCUGCAGAAGGGGAGGGGAAUCAGCGACUCUCUUGGGAGUAGGCGAUUCGGGCUCCCUGGAUUGCUCUAGUGUGGUGUGUCAAGUGGGAAUGACCUGAGAGUAGAGGUCCCCCAAGGACCCCUUUUAUAGGGUCCUGGGGGACGUUUCACCAUUCAUUAGCGUGGGGCCCACCCCAUUAAGGUAUCCUAUUGAAGGGUGCCUUAAUGACGUGGGCCCACCCAAGUAACGGCUGGGAGUCAGCGACUCAGGUAUGGGAGUCGCCGAUCCAGAGGUUCUGUCGCCGACUCCCCAUGAGCCAAGUUGGCAGUCUACCAGAACUGACCACGAGGCCUAGAGUCGGCGAUUCACCCCUGGAGUCGGCGACUUGGUAGUCCCAGUCGGCGACUCCCAGGUGUUGCCCUGAGUACUUGACGUAGACACUUCCUCCGAAUUCGUGGAACUCUAGUCCUUGUCGAAGGGCGUUGCUGGGAGUGACUGACGUAAUCAGGCAUGUCUCACCAUACACUUUCGAAAAAUUUCACUACCUACCUUGAUUUACGAUUCACAAAUUUAAAUCAGGUAUCACGAAAAUAUUUACGAGUCUAACCCCGAGAUUCUAAAAUAUUUACGAAAAACUACAAUUGAAACCCUAGUUCUAAAUCUAUUUUGUCGCUAUAGCUUAAUAGAUCAAGGAUCAUUUUGUCUCUAGGGCCUUAAUGAUCCUAUCUUAUCUUGUUGCUAUGGCUUUGAUGAGGAUCGAGAGUCGUUCCGUCGCUAUGGCCGACGUUGGACUAUAAAUCAUGGUUCAAAUCUAGAAUUAUAGUUCAAAUUAGGGAUCCAACGAAUAUUAACGAAUCUAAACCUAAGAUUCUAAAUAUUAACAAAAAUAAAUCCAAUUUACGACAGUAAGUCUAAAUUGCGAUCACAACCUGGUGAUAUAAUAUUCCGAACCCGGUCACAACAUACCAGCAACUAGAAGUCUGGAUAGCCCGAGAUGAGCUGAGAUACCUAUUCUAGGUUUGGGGAGGUCCUAAGUCAACUCCUGGGAAGAUCGACUUUACCAAGGGUCGACUUUCCAGGGACUCGACUUCUGAACAAAGUCGAAUCCUAGGAAAUUCGGACCCCAAGGAAGUCGAUCCCUAAAAAGUCGAUCUUGGACCAGAUCUGAUCAAUUAAACAGUUAGGCGGUUACUGCCCAAAUAACUAGAUUACCUCCAUAAAAAUCCCUAUAAAUACGAGGCAUCUCUCACUCAUUAUGGCAGGUUAUUUGGAGUGAAGAAGUCCUAGUGAAGCAAAGCUCUACGCACUUGAGUUCCGGCCUGAUUUCCCCAUGGAGUUACCCGCCUGGCGCUUGUUGGAAGCGUCUUGGAGUACUGGUCGGGUUCCACCCUUAUCAGGGGGAAAGCUGCGAGAGAACAAGAAUGAAAGGCGUAAAUUACAAACACGACGCACUCCAAGGCAUUGCCUAAUCGGGGACAUCUUGUAUAAAAAAUCCUACGAUGGACCUCUAAUGAAAUGUGUCUCAACAGAUGAAUGACAAUUCAUAGUAGAGAAGAUUCAUAUGGGAGUAUGCGGAAUACACCAGGGAGGAAGAUCUCUGGCCCAAAGAAUAAUAAGGCAGGAAUACUUCUGGCCUAUGCUCAAAAGAGAUGAAGUCCUGUUCGCAAGAAAAUGCAAGGCCUGCAAAAUCCAUAAAAAUAUACAAAGAAAUCCCAUAACUCAACGGACAGGGGUAGAAAGCCCCAUCCCAUCCGCAAUGUGGCGAUUAGACAUUAUGGGACCAUUCCUAGUAUCGACAGGCCAGGCUAAAUUUAUAUUUGCGACUGUUCACUACUUUACAAAAUGGGUCGAGGCUCUGGCAGUACCUAAGAUAACACAAAAUGCAUCAACGAAAUUUAACUUUAAGUGUAUAAUGUGCAGAUUCGGCGUUCCUAUGCAUAUAGUGACAGAUAACGGAACACAGUUUAUCGGUGGCGAGUUCACGAAAUUGUGUGACAAUAUGGGAACCAAAAUCCAUUUUUUAUCAGUCUAUAUACCACAUGGUAAUGGGCAAGUAGAAGUCACAAACAGGGCCGUUGUUCAAGGACUGAAGAAAAAGGUCGAGCAAGCCAAAGAUGCGUGGUCAGAUCUACUACCAGAAAUCCUGUGGGCAUACAGAACUACUGAAAAGACACCCACCGGGGAAACACCGUUCUCACUAGCAUACGGAAUGGAAGCACUAAUCCAAAUAGAACUUAGAAUCCCAACAGUCAGAGUCUUGACCUAUGACAUACAGGAAAACGUAAGAUCAUGUGCGACAGCUCUGGACUUAGUGGACGAACUAAGGGAUAAUGCAUAAGCAAAAGAAUGCAGCAUAUAAACAGAAUAUCGCUAGAUAUCAUGACAAGAAUGUCAAGGAUAAAACAAUAAGGAAAGGAAGCCUAGUAUUAAGAAGAGCAAGUAUCAAUCAAAAAGACUGCUCUAAAGGCAAACAAAGCGCGAAUUGGGAAGGACCAUAUGUGGGGUGAAGAACUCCGACCAGGUACUUACAGAUUAAAACAGGAAGACGGAUCAACAUAUAUGAUGAAGCACAAAAUCUGCUACCAGGGGCUCGUGGUGGUACGAGGUAAUGCCAGAGGCUCUGGAGUCCACGGCGCGCGUUCUACAUCAAAUACCUGCAAGGAGAGAAUGGGCGAUUAUGGAGAGAAUCGGCUAUUCUCUUAGUGUUGCUCUAGUGAGAGUGGAAUUUGUGUUAUUUCAUUGAAUGUCUCCAUGGGACCCUUUUUAUCGGGUCUAGGAGGGCGCGAUCAAAAGCGGACAUCACGUCUGUUGCCAUAUUUGGGCGCAUUUAUAUGGCUUUUAUGUAGGUUGGCGGCGAGUAACGAUCGUAAAUCGACGAUUCAGGUAUGAAAAUCUCCUAUUUAGGGGCUAAGUCGCCGAGUUUCAAGGGCCGAGAUGUGCAGUCUACCAUACUGCCGAUCUAGGUCUAACUCGACGACUUAUCCCUAAAGUCGGCGACUUGGUAGUCCAAUCGCGAUUUACGGGUUAACUCGGCGAUUUAACGAUGAACGUAUUCCACACCGUGGGAGCCUUCCAAGGGUCCGGCAUAAAGCGACGGAACCCUAGUCCUUAUUGAAGGGCGUUGCUGGGAGUGACUGACGUAAUCAGGCAUGUCUCACCAGUACUCCCCCCUGAAGAAAGCACAAGAAAGAUGUGUGUAUCGCCAGUAUCCCCCCCCCAUGCAAGGUUGUGUGUGUGAUCCGCAUCAAGGCCAAAGCGACAAGAUGGGAUCGAGUCAUUGCGGCCACAACGACACAAUGAUUCAGUAUCUAUUAAGGCCAAAGCGACGAAAUUGAUUGAUUCUGGCCGAAGCGACAGAAUCUAGUUCCAGGCCAAUGGAACUACAUGUUUAUAGUCCGACCCUAAUCAAGGACGACUUUUGUUGUGUCAUCAAGGCCUAAGAGACAAGAUGAAUUGUCUCACUAUCAGAGUUUGAUUCUGGUCAAAGCGACAGAAUUUAUUGAUUCACUAUUAGAACUAAUGUUUAUAGUCAACUCUGAUCAAGAGCGACUCUUGUGUCCGCAACGACGAUUACCCCAUCAAGGCCAAAGCGACAAGAUGGGUUAAGGUCAUUAAGGCCAAAGUGACAAAAUGAUCUCUGGUCUAUCAAGGCCAAAGCGACAAGAUAGAAGAAUUAUUAGGGCCAAAGCGACAAAAUAAUUCUUGGUCCAUUAAGGCCAAAGCGACAAAAUGGACCUGGAUCUAUUAUGGCCAAAGCAACAAAAUAGAUCCGAUUCUGGCCGAAGCGACAGAAUCUUAGCUGCAAAAAAGAAAACAUCCUGCAAAAUAACUUCAUCAGUCUAAACUGCAUAUUAUAUUAACUUAUUACCUUUCGCGUUAUUCCUCCUGCUCAAUAAAUCAUCGAUAAUUCUGGCCAAAGCGACAGAUUUAUCGUGCUCAAAUUUGACAACUUCCGGCUGUAGCGACAGAAGUGUCAGGAGAGUUUGAUACUCCCCCCCACUUAUGGACAAAGCGACAGAGGUGUCGGGAAGAGCUCAUGAUACUUCCCCCUUGAGUACCUGCGAAAAGCGUGACGACUUUUGACUGAAGCGUCAAAAGUGUCGAAGAGAGUCUGUGAUACUUCCCCCGUAGUGCAAUGAUUUCUGGCCGAAGCGGCAGAAGAGUAGGAGAGAGUUCGUGAUACUCCCCCCUGAAGUGGUGACCGAUUUCUGGCCGAAGUGACAGAGGAGAGAGUUCGUGAUACUCCCCCCUGAAGUGGUUUGCAGAGAGCUCGUGAUACUCCCUCCAGAGGAUAGUGCUUUUUACCCUAUGUCGGCGAUUUAACUUUUAAAUCAGCGACUUUGUUCCAGGGUGGCGUUGCGAGCAGUUUUGCAAUUAUGCCCACCUGGAUCGGCGAUUUUUUCGAAAAUCGGCAACCUUUAUGAUGAGCUGGCGGAUCUCUUAGAAGAUCCUUGGGAUUUUGGGGAAUAUUUGCAAAAUUCUCAAAUAUGGAAACUUCGUUGCCAUAUCCCGUGAUUUUUGCCUAAACUCGGCGAGUUUAUGAGUAAAUCGCCGAGUCUUGGAGAUUCGAGAAUCAAUUAGCGAUUUUCCUUCGCAUAAUUUUUGGAUUUUCCGAGGGUGUUUUGCAAUUUCUCCAGAGUCUAUAAAUAGCAAAUCGAUUAUUUUAAUACGCACUUCACUUUCCCCAAAUCGCCUAAACCCUAAUCCCGAAUCCCUAACCUAAGUCGCCGACUUUCCCUCUCAAUCGCCGACUUUCACAUGGCAGACCAACCGACACUUCCUCAGCUUACCAUAUCGGAGACCAAGGCUCUGGUCGACAAUAUCCUCCGCAGCGAUAUCGACGAGAGCCUAGCGGCGGUGCUCAAUACCGUUAAGUCUCCGAUCCCCUCGUCUUCGCGCGGUGGGUUGGAGAUUCCGGCUGUUGAUGCACAGUCGGAUGCUCAAUUUUGUGUCACUGCACGCGAGCUUCUAAGUCUCACUCCCAAACAAUCGCCGAGUUCCGCUAAGAAAUCAGCGAGUUUGGGUUGUGACCCUGAGGUUCCAGUCAUGGCUGGACCCUCUCUUGAAGCGGGCGAGAUCCCUUUGACCGUUGCUUCUAAAUCGGCGAGUUCCCUUGGGAGUUGAGAACCACACCGGCUACGUUUACUGUGAAACUUUGCUGAGUGGUGAGAUUAAGUUGCUGCCCCUAAGUGACGAGAGCGAGGGGUCCUUUGAGGAAGUUGCUCUGAAUGCUUCUCUCGUACCACAAACGGAUACCGCGCAUCCAUUUUAUGUCAUGUCUGCACGCGAAGCCCGAGAUAUUCUGCGAGGAGUACGCAUUUCUGGACGUUUGCGAUUUUGGGGGUCGCAAUAUCAAACUGCCAACCUCCCCCCACAGGGUUUCGAGCGAUUCCCUGACUUUAUUUCCGAUACUUCUCCGUGCUACCCAUCCCUACAUUGAUGAGUGAAGUGUUACUUCAAGCUGGUUUGUCGCUGUCACAGAUGCAGGCAGCUUUUUUCAUUUAUUUGAGAGGAUUCUCUAACAUCUGUUGGAGUUUGAACAUAUCUGCAACCGCUGUCUUGUUUUUCUGGUUUUACAAGCUGUCAAGGCUCCCACAUCCGAAUCUGGUCGGUUGGGGUUAGCCAAACGGAUUCACGGUCGCGAAUUGAUCGUUGAACUCCCUACCAACUACGGUCCGCAUUGGAAGAGUGAGUUCUUUUAUGUUCAAUCAAUGUUUGUACGCGGAAGUCGAGAGAGUUGGGCCAAUACGCGGCCCGUACACUUGGAUGUUCCUUGCGAAUAAAGCAAGGCGGAGCUUGAAGACGUGAAGAAGAUCUCCUCGGCCCUUUCGCUUACAAAUGUGGUCAGGGGACUUUACUUUUUCUGAUAUGACACACUAUUUGAAGUCGGAAGAUCCUUCUGGAAAGCCUAUCAAGAAGAAGAAGGGAGUGCAUGUCUACCGUGAAGCGUUGUUCCCCCACUUGGCUUCGAGGUUGCGUGGUGCCAAGUUGAUUCGGAUUCGGAAGAAUGAAGAAGCUGGUCCUCGUGGCACUUUUGAAACUGGAUCAUGCUCGAGGUCGGUACCAGAGUUUGCUCCUUUCCGAUCUACCUUUGACAAUCCGGGCCUGUUUGCGGAUGCUGAGGUGCGAUCGAAGGCUACCAAAAUGCUAUUGGUGAAGUCUAGAGAUUGUAUUUGAGAGGAGCUCACUAAAGCCCUAUCUGCUGUAAGUGACCUAAACUCGCAUAUUUUUCGAUUUAUUUAUUUUUAUGCUAAUCGAAUUGUUUUUUUUGUAGGUUGCGUAUCUAUCGAAUGCUGCUGUUGGGAUGCAGUCAUAUAACGACACGCUUCGAUCUCAGCAUGAAUACGAUAAACUUGAUGACAAGUAUCAAGCUGUCUGCAGAGAAGUGUGGUCGAUGAAGAAAGUCUUCCAAAACAACAAAAAGUUGGAAGGAGAAGCUGCUGAGCAUGAGAAAGCAAUGACGGCGAAGAAUAAAGAAUGUGCUGCACACAAACUUAAGAUUUCUGCCCUUCGCCAAGAACGUGAUUCUUUGAAGGCCUCUGAAUCGCGUCUUACUGAUGCUCUAAAAGAGAUUGAAGAAUUGAAGGUGCAGCUGAACGCGGAGGUUGGCAAUGCGAUGGUUUCUGAAUUACAAAUUCAGAAGCUCCAAGUAGAUCAUUCUAAGUCCACCUCUGAGCUAAAAGAUCUGAAUGACCGCUUCUCUCAAUCCACGGAGGAGUCGAGAAAGAUGAAAGAAGAUCUAGACACUUCUUUUGAAAAAGUAAAGGAAUUGGAGUUUGAGAUUGACGGUCAAUCUGACCAACUCCUGGACUUAAACUUUUUUUGGUCCUCAUGUGUUUUCAAGUUUUCCCCCAACUUUGUGACUGAUAUUAUGGCGUGGCUAGUAGAACAUCCUGAAGUGCAGCUGGAGCAUAAAGAAGCUCUCGAUAAGAUAAAGAGCGAUGUUCGGGAAGCGAGGAAAGAAGAAGACUAGAAGUCUUUAGUUUUUUUGUAGUGGAUAUUUUGUAAUCUUUUUUAUCAAUCAAUGAACUAUUUUACCUUUCUUUGUUAAUUUUUCGUAUAAAUAUUUUUAAGUUGUAACCUAGGCUCGAAACUAGAUUUACAAAUCGUAAUUUAGCCACUCUGGAUGUAAGUUAGAUUCUGCUAACCCCACUUAGCCACUCUAGACGUAAGCUUGGUCGUACGAAUCGUAGUUCAGUCGUUAGUUAAACUCGCAAAUGAUUUAUACUUCUAAAUUAACUUAGGGUUAAAAGUAGUUUGAGUGAUAAAUCGAUGUAAAGCCCACUAAUUCCUAAUUUGCACAUGCGAAUUAGGAUUGUGAUCGCCAUUCUAGGCUUGCUUGCCUAAAUUGGAUUUGUUUGAACUAACCCUGGAUUUGAGCCCUGAGAGUGUAGUCUGACUCUGGCCGUAGCGACGGAGUAGCUUUUGGUCCGCAUCGAGGCCAAAGCGAUAAGAUGGGAAGUGAUUAUUGGGCCCAUAGCGACGAAAUGAUCAUUGAUCUAUUGCGACUGCAGUGACAAAAUAGAUCCAGAGUUUAGGGUCAUCCUAGGGUAGUGAAAAAGUGUCGCAAGUAUCUUACAAUCCCUGAUGAGUUUGUCGUUUGGACUAAGAGUACUUUUGAUUGACUUUGCAAAAAAGAAUGAAAAACUAACUAUUAUAUUUUGCAAUUGAUACUAGCAUACAUACUAAGAGAACCUAACAAGAAAUAUAAAAAUUAAUACUAAACGUAGUAUUGUUGCAUGUUGUCCGCAUGCCAGGUGUUUGGGACCAUUGUCCCGUCUUGUCGCCGUAAACGAUAAGUGUUUGGCCGUAUCUCUUCUUAGAUGAUGUAGGGUCUUUCGAAAUUAGACGACAACUUAUCUCUUGGUCUAUUUCUUUCUGUUAUGCUAGCUUUUCGUGAGACGAGGGUUCCUGGUAGAAAUACUUUUUUGCGCACUUGGCUAUUGUGGUAUCUUGAUACUCUUGCCUUGUACGAUUCAUUUUGCAGAUCUGCCUCGUCACGAGUUUCACCCAACUCUAGCUCUUUCGCUAGGUUUUGGUCAUUAGUUUGCUCGUCGUACUUCGAGAUUCUGUAUGUUGGUAUACUCAUCUCGAUUGCUCCAUAGGUCAUAGCAAAAGGGGUGUUGCCCGUGGGAUUUUUACUUGUUAUGCGGUAUGCCCAUAGGAUUUCGCACAACUUGUCUGCCCAGGCCCCUUUUGCUUAUUCGAUUUUCUUUUUCAAUCCCUGUACGAUGGCUUUGUUGGUCACUUCUACUUGUCUGUUUGCCUGAGGUCGGUAAACGGAGGCGAAGUGGAGUUUUAUGGCCAAGUCUUUGCACAUUCUUGAAAAUUUCCCCCUUGUGAAUUAGGUACCAUUAUCUGUGAUAAUGUGUUGGGGAACUCCGAAUCGACAAACUAUGGAGCGGUAGACGAACUUUUCUGCCGUAUCUUGAGUGAUCUUUGCUACUGCCUGAGCCUCAACCGACUUUGUAAAGUAAUCUACUGCUACAAAGAUGAAUCGAGCCUGAGAUGUCGAAGGUGGGAAUGGCCCUACGAUGUCCAGUCCCCACCUUGCGAAUGGGAUCGAGCUCAAGAUCGGAGUCAUAUCCGCAGAUGGUUUCUGUUGUAUCGGACUGUGCAACUGACAUGCUCGGCACUUGCGGACGUAAGUGCGAGCUUCCAACCUUAAGGUGGGCCAAUAGUACCCUAGUCGUAUAAUUUUGAAGGCUAGUGCUCUUCCUCCCUCGUGAAGUCUGCACGAUCCUUCGUGUACUUCCUGGAUGACUUUGUCCAUGUCUGGUUUGGCCAAACAUCGCAGCAGUGGGCUGUCGAAGGAUAUUUAGUAGAGUAUACCUCCGACGUCGCAAUACUUGAUUGCCUUGUGUUUUAACUUUUUGGCCUCCCCUUUUUUGUCAGGAAGUACUCCAUUUUGGAUGAAUGCCAAUAUUGGUUGUCUCCAAUCCCCCUGGGAGUCGGAAGUGACAUUCAAUACUUGGCACGUGGGUUGGAGGAUGGAAUCCACCAAGAUUUUGCACUGUCCUCCCUUGAUGAAGCACGGAAUCUGCUACCAGUGGGCUCGCGGGGUGGCGAGAUGAGCCGGAGGCUGUGGAGUCCACGACGCGCGCUCUACGUCAAACACCUGCAAAAGAGGAGGGGAAUCGGCGACUCACGUGGGAGUAGGCGAUUCGGGCUUCUUAGUUUGCUCUGGUUGGAGUGUGUGUCAAGAGGAUAUGAGUUNNNNNNNNNNNNNNNNNNNNNNNNNNNNNNNNNNNNNNNNNNNNNNNNNNNNNNNNNNNNNNNNNNNNNNNNNNNNNNNNNNNNNNNNNNNNNNNNNNNNGUGUGGAGCCCACGCCAUUAAGGUACCCUAUUAAGGAAUGCCUUAAUGGUGAGGGUCCGCUCAAGUAACGGCUGGGAGUCGGCGAUUCAGGUAUGGGAAUCGCCGAUCCAGAGGUUCAAUCGCCGACUCCCCAUGAGCCUAGUGGCAGCCUACCAGAGCUGUCCACGAGGCCUAGAGUUAGCGAUUCCCCCCUGGAGUCGGCGACUUGGUAGUCCCAAUCGGCGACUCCCAAGUGUUAGCUUGAGCUCUUGACGUAGACACGUGCUCCGCACCGUGGAAGCCUUUCCGGGGUUCCGGCAUAUAGCGACGGAACCCUAUUCCUUGUCGAAGGGCGUUGCUGGGAGUGACUGACGUGUUCAGGCAUGUCUCACCAGUACUCCCCCCUGAAGAGAGCAUGGCAAAACACCCGUGUAGCCUCAGUCUCCCCCCCCCCGAGCAAGGUGAUCCGCAUCAAGGCCAAAGCGACAAGAUGGGAUCGAGUCAAUGUGGCCACAGCGACACAAUGACUCCGUUACCCAUGCACUAUCAGAUGGGUUGAUUCACUAUUAGAAUCUNNNNNNNNNNNNNNNNNNNNNNNNNNNNNNNNNNNNNNNNNNNNNNNNNNNNNNNNNNNNNNNNNNNNNNNNNNNNNNNNNNNNNNNNNNNNNNNNNNNNCCGACUCUGAUCAGGAGCGACUCUUUCUGUGUUAUCAUCAAGGCCAAAGCAACAAGAUGAAGGGAGAUUAUUAAGGCCAAAGCGACUAAAUAACUCCCAUCCAUUAACGCCAAAGCGACAAAAUGGAGCGACUCACUAUCAGAGUCUGAUUCUGGCCCAAGCGACAGAAUGCGUGGAUCCUGGCCAAAGCGACAGGAUCUGGUUNNNNNNNNNNNNNNNNNNNNNNNNNNNNNNNNNNNNNNNNNNNNNNNNNNNNNNNNNNNNNNNNNNNNNNNNNNNNNNNNNNNNNNNNNNNNNNNNNNNNNNNNNNNNNNNNNNNNNNNNNNNNNNNNNNNNNNNNNNNNNNNNNNNNNNNNNNNNNNNNNNNNNNNNNNNNNNNNNNNNNNNNNNNNNNNNNNNNNNNNNNNNNNNNNNNNNNNNNNNNNNNNNNNNNNNNNNNNNNNNNNNNNNNNNNNNNNNNNNNNNNNNNNNNNNNNNNNNNNNNNNNNNNNNNNNNNNNNNNNNNNNNNNNNNNNNNNNNNNNNNNNNNNNNNNNNNNNNNNNNNNNNNNNNNNNNNNNNNNNNNNNNNNNNNNNNNNNNNNNNNNNNNNNNNNNNNNNNNNNNNNNNNNNNNNNNNNNNNNNNNNNNNNNNNNNNNNNNNNNNNNNNNNNNNNNNNNNNNNNNNNNNNNNNNNNNNNNNNNNNNNNNNNNNNNNNNNNNNNNNNNNNNNNNNNNNNNNNNNNNNNNNNNNNNNNNNNNNNNNNNNNNNNNNNNNNNNNNNNNNNNNNNNNNNNNNNNNNNNNNNNNNNNNNNNNNNNNNNNNNNNNNNNNNNNNNNNNNNNNNNNNNNNNNNNNNNNNNNNNNNNNNNNNNNNNNNNNNNNNNNNNNNNNNNNNNNNNNNNNNNNNNNNNNNNNNNNNNNNNNNNNNNNNNNNNNNNNNNNNNNNNNNNNNNNNNNNNNNNNNNNNNNNNNNNNNNNNNNNNNNNNNNNNNNNNNNNNNNNNNNNNNNNNNNNNNNNNNNNNNNNNNNNNNNNNNNNNNNNNNNNNNNNNNNNNNNNNNNNNNNNNNNNNNNNNNNNNNNNNNNNNNNNNNNNNNNNNNNNNNNNNNNNNNNNNNNNNNNNNNNNNNCUGCAAAACAACUAGAUUAGUCCAUAAACGCAUAUUAAUUAUUGAACUUACCUGCGAUUUACCUCUCGUGAAGCCCCUCCUUUGCUCAAUAAAUCCUUGGUGAAUCUGGCCAAAGCGACAGAUUUUACCAUGCUCAAAUUUUUCGACGACUUCUGGCCGAAGCGACCGAAGUGUCGGGAGAGCUUGUGAUACUCCCCCCUGAAUUUCGACGACUUCUGGCCGAAGCGACAGAAGUGCCGGGAGAGCUUGUGAUACUCCCCCCUGAGUUUCGACGACUUCUGGCCGAAGCGACAGAAGUGCCGGGAGAGCUUGUGAUANNNNNNNNNNNNNNNNNNNNNNNNNNNNNNNNNNNNNNNNNNNNNNNNNNNNNNNNNNNNNNNNNNNNNNNNNNNNNNNNNNNNNNNNNNNNNNNNNNNNCUGAGUUUCGACGACCUCUGGCCGAAGCGACAGAAGUGCCGGGAGAGCUUGUGAUACUCCCCCCUGAGUUUCGACGACCUCUGUCCGAAGCGACAGAAGUACCGGGAGAGCUUGUGAUACUCCCCCCUCGAAGGUUGUGCUUUGGUGAUGCACAACUUUUGUGAAGAGUGUUUUUCGAUUUAUAUGAUUGUCGGUAAACGACCAAUCACAAAAACUCGACACUCCAAGGUUGCCUUGAAACCUGGAACCUUAAGGAGAGAGUUUGUGAUACUCCCUCUCACAGUGUGAUGACCUCUGGCCGGAGCGACAUAAGUGUUGGGAGAGUUUUUGAUACUCUUCCCUUAAAAUUUGACGACUUCUGACCAAAGAGACAGAAGUGUCGGGAGAGCUUGUGAUACUCCCCCCUUGAAUUUUGACGACUUCUGGCCAAAGCNNNNNNNNNNNNNNNNNNNNNNNNNNNNNNNNNNNNNNNNNNNNNNNNNNNNNNNNNNNNNNNNNNNNNNNNNNNNNNNNNNNNNNNNNNNNNNNNNNNNCUGGAAUUGGACGACUUCUGGCCGGAGCGACAGAAGUGCCGGGAGAGUUUGUGAUACUCCCCUUUGAAAACUUGCACUUGGGGCAGUUUUUAGUGUUAUUGUACUCGGAAUCGGCGACUGGAGUGUGUAAUACUCUUGGCAGUCGGCGAUAUCCAUGGUAAGGGGCAUUUCUGUUUUUUACCCUUGUGAGUCGGCGACUCCCUCUGUGAGUCGGCGACUCCUAACGUAACCGUCGGAUUUUUUCGAGAGAUCCUUGGAAUAUUUGGGAGAUAUACGGGGAAUAUUUGUAAAAUCUCCAAAUAAGGAAAGUAUCUCACAUUGCCGUGAGUUUUUGCCCGGAGUCGGCGACUACCCUGUGGAGUCGGCGACUAGGCGUGAUUAGGGGGAUUUGGAGAUCGAAUCUUGAUCUCAAAUUUCGUAAAUUUUGGGUUCUCUGGGUUUUUUUUGCAAUUUUCCCAAGGCCUAUAAAUAGUGGAGAGGUUUUCCCCAAACCCUCACAACACUCUUUGCCUUUCUCGAUCGCUCAGACCCCCAGAUCCUUGAAUCGGCAACUCCUCGGUUCGAAACCUUCAAAUCACCGAUUCCCACCAUGUCUUCCCCCGAUUCACCAUUGAAGGAAAGCGAAACGUCGGCUUUUAUAGCUGAGCUGAUAACUGAUAACCUGGAUGAGGCGUUGAACGCCGUUGAGUCGCCGAUUCCUUCUCCUGACAGAGAGGUUGAGUCGGCGACUCCGGUCGUUCCACCUCAUGGAUUGGAGCUGAGUGCCACCGUGCACGAGCUACUGGGCGCCUUGCCAGUGUCGCCGACUCCCCCUGUGGGAUCGGCGACUCCGUGCAGGGCCCUUGUAGUCGUACGGGCGCCUCUUGAGCAGGGCAAAUUCCCGAGGCUUCUGUGUCGGCGACUCCCAUCGUGGAGUCGGCGACUGAUGUAAGCCCUGUCAAAGGGAAGGCCUUCAGGCGCAGGGGGCUGGCUUCAGCUGCCACAGGGUCGGCGACUGCCAGCCGUGUCUCACCGGUUCCCCUUACGGGAUCGGCGACUCGUUUGCUGGAGUCGGCGACUCAGAUGCCUACUGAUGAUGAUUCUUCCGCGCGUCGCACCGCACCAUUGGUCGUGAGCGCGGAAGGCCGGAUUGUGUCGGGACUGAACCCGAGCCAAGGUCCUUCUCAUAAGAGAAAGAGAAGGCGCACCACCGGGAAGGGCAAGUACAUGUGCCCGAGGAAAAGAAGGGGUCCCACCUCCUCUCAACGUUAAUAUCGAGGAGACUUUGUUUGUGGACCGUGGUGAACGUAUUCCACGAAGACGAGCGGGCCGACGUGCCGAGAGAACUCCGCCACCUCCCGUGGAUUUGAACGCCAGUCGAGACACAGACCUCGACUUGAAUACAUAUAUCGAAGCUGUGAACCCCUCUGGGUUCGCUCAUUAUGAAAUCGCCUUUACUGGCGUUCCAAAGUUGCUACCCGUCGGCCGUUCUGGAGACGGAGAGUUUGAGCAAGUAAUGACCCACGCAACUUUGGAUGGGUCUGAUGGAGUGAACCCCCCUUCUACUCUGAAUGCGAUCGAUGCUCGAUCGUUAUUAUCGGGGAUUCAGAUUUCUGGUCACCUUCGAUUCUGGGUGUCGAGGUACCAGCCGAUAAACCUGCCGCCCCCGGGAUUCCAAGCUAUCCCGAGGGUCUACUUCAAGCACUUCUCCGAGCUUCCCAUUCCGGAGAUAAUAAGCGAAGUGCUUCUGAGAUUCGAGGUUUCCUUGUCGCAGCUCCCAGCGGGAUUCUUCGUGAUCCUGCGGGGUUUUAUGAACAUAUGCUGGGGAUUGAAUGUCGCUGCGACGGCGAGCUUGUUCCUUUACUAUUAUAAGCUCACAAGAGAGAAGUCUGCAUCUGGUCGCGUUGGAUUCACGCGACGUCACUUUGACAAGAACAUCGUCGACGAGCUCCCGACGAAUUUUGGAUGCAACUGGAGGAAGGAGUUUAUUUUCAUCACUUCUGAGUUUCUCCCUGGGAGUCGGGAGAUGUGGAACGAUCCAAAUCGAGUGCACAUGAAUGCCUCGAUCGAGCUAAGCACGAGGGAUAUUGAAGCCUCGGAUCGUAUAGCGCGUACACUUACUGCAUACUCUGUGCCGCGCGGUGUUCCCUUUGUCCUUUGCCAAAGGGAAGACUUCACAUUUGAAGAUGUCGAAGAAGCGCAAGAGCCACCCACCGAACGAGAGAUAGAAGGUGGUCAGAGACGUUCAGUCCUAUACCAUGACGCUGCCCCUCUAUACAUGCGCAAGAGGUUUCGCGCGGGCAAACUGAUAUGCUUGCGCAAAAAGAAAGAACAAUCCCGCAGCGAGCCUCGACGGGCCUUCGAGCAUGGGUCGAGCUCGCGCUCUGCACCUCCACCACCCAGGGGCUAUGAGCCUUAUACUUCUGCCGGAGUGACCCUUCCCGACUUUAUGGCUAGUACUGAAACUAGAAGGGAAGCGAUGUCACUCCUCUUGGGGCAUCCUGGGGCUUGGUGCCGGGCUGAACUGCUGAAGCAUAUGAAUGCCGCGUGUUACAUGGCACAUGCUAGUUAUCACGGAGACUCAAUCCGUGACGUCGAGAAGAUACAAGAGCGUUAUAACCAACUCGACGCAAAGUACAAGGAGAGCGAGAAAGCUCUUGAUAAGUUGAAGAAUGCGAAGGCCAGGAUGGAGAACCUCCGUGAUAAUGUUCUGCCGAAGAAGGACAAGGCCAUCGAGUCCAAGCAGAAGGAAAUAGACGAAUAUGUCACGAAGAUCUUGGCGCUUCAAAAAGAAUUAAAGACUGCUUUCUGGUCGUGCUGAAGAGGUUGCAAACCUUACGAGCCAGCUAGCCUCAAGCGAAGCUACGAUUGCAGAGUUGAAGAAGCAAGUCGCUAGAACCAACAUGAUAAUUCUGAUUUGAAGAGCGAGCUUGCGAGUGCCGAAGAAGAAGUGCUGUCCCUGAAAGACACAAACACCGCACUUGUUGAUAGAGCUUCUGGGUUGGAUAUGGAUGUGCGCUACCAAUCCGACCAGUUUCAAGAGCUCAUCUUCUUCGGACCAACAAUAUUCCCUGCUCUACCUCCGAACUACAUUACGGAUAUUAUGGAGUGGGUAGAGCAGCACCCUGAGGAGCUCGUGAAGAAUAAGGAAGCUCUCGACAGGAUGAAGGACGAAGUUGCGCAAGAAUAGAUUUUAUCAUUUUGUAACCUUUCUAUCUUUUUUUGUAACUUUGAAAUUUUAAUGAAAUUAAUCGUUUUCGCUUUUCUAUUUUGUUGUUCAUUUACUUUAUUCUUUUGAAUUUUAACUAAGACCCGAAACUAGAUUCGCGAGUCGUAAUUUAGUCGCUCUGGACGUAAAUUAGACUAACCCUAUCGCUAGCCACUCUGGGCGUAGACUUGGUCGUACGAAUCGUAGCUCAGUCUACGGUUAGAUUCGCGAAAAUAAACUAAACUUCACAACUAAUAGUAAGUCGUAAAAUCGAAUAACAAAAUUAAAGAUAACAAAUACUUUUGAUAAAAAAGAUACGAUUAACCCUAAGACUCUAGAGUUGUUGUUUGUCUCUGGCCGAAGCGAUGGAGUGAUUGUUCUACCUUCAUCGAGGCCAUAGCGACAAGAUGAGGUUGGAUCGUUAAGGCCGUAGCGACAAAACGAUUUCUAAUCUAUUGAGGCCAUAGCGACAAAAUAGAUUAGUUUCGAAACUCUAUAUGUGAAUGAUCUAGGGUUUUGCGUGUUCCUAAGACUUCUACCCUUUGAGUUCAUCUCUGGCCGAAGCGACAGAGUGAUCUAUACAUCGAGGCCAUAGCGACAAGAUGUAGUUGAAUUGUUAAGGCCAAAGCGACAAAACAAUUUCCAAUCUAUUGAGGCCAUAGCGACAAAAUAGAUUGGUUUGGACACCCUAAGUGUUGAUGAUCUAGGGUUUUACGUGUUCCUAAGACUUAUACCCUUUGAAUUCAUCUCUGGCCGAAGUGACAGAGUGAUCUAUGCAUCGAGGCCAUAGCGACAAGAUGUAGUUAAAUUGUUAUAGCGACAAAACAAUUUCGAUUUAUUAGGGGUAAAGUCGUAAAUAUCUAGUAAAAUUUUAACUUUUUAUUACUAAAAAAGCGGAAAAAAAAAUAAAAUCUAAUUAUUUUAUUUUGCUAUACACGAAAGGACUAAAGGAAUGGGAGGGUCAAUACUAAGCGUAGUAUUGUUGCAUGUUGUCAGCAUGCCAGGUGUUCGGAACCAUUGUUCCGUCCUGCCGUCGUAAGCGAUAGUUCCUGGCCUUAUCUCUUCAUCGACGAUGUAUGGACCCUCGAAGUUGGAUGACAACUUAUUCCUUGGUCUAUUCCUUUCGGUGAUACUAGCCUUCCGCGUGACGAGGGUUCCCGGCAGAAAUACUUUUUUGCGUACUUGGCGAUUAUGGUAUCGUGAUACGCUGGCCUUGUACGAUUCAUUCCGCAGGUUUACCUCGUCGCGGGUUUCAUCCCUCAACUCUAGCUCUGUAGCUAGGUUUUGGUCGUUGUUUAGCUCUUCGUACUUCGAGAUCCUGUACGUUGGUAUGCUCAUCUCGAUUGGUACGACAGCCUCUACUCCAUAUGUCAUAGCGAAGGGGGUGUUACCCGUGGGAUUUUUACUAGUUGUGCGAUAUGCCCAUAGGAUUUCGCACAACUUAUCUGCCCAGGCCCCUUUUGCCGAUUCGAUUUUCUUUUUGAGACCUUGUACGAUGGCCUUGUUGGUCACCUCCACUUGUCUGUUUGCCUGUGGUCGGUAAACGGAAGCAAAGUGAAGUUUUGUGCCCAGGUCCUCGCACAUUCUCGAAAACUUCCCCCCUGUGAAUUGUGUACCAUUGUCUGUGACAAUGUGUUGGGGAACUCCGAAUCGACACACUAUGGAGCGAUAUACGAAUUUGACUGCCGCAUCCUGAGUGAUUUUUGCUACAGCCUGAGCCUCGACCCAUUUUGUGAAGUAGUCAACUGCCACAAAAAUGAAUCGAGCUUGGGAUGUUGAGGGUGGGAAUGGUCCUACGAUGUCCAGUCCCCACCUUGCAAAUGGUAUCGAGCUCAGGAUGGGAGUCAUGUCCGCGGAUGGUUUUUGUUGCAUCGGGCUAUGCAAUUGACACGCUCGGCACUUGCGGACGUAAGUGUGAGCCUCUAACCGUAGUGUGGGCCAAUAAUACCCCAGCCGUAUGAUUUUGAAGGCCAGUGCUCUUCCUCCUUCAUGGAGUCCGCACGAGCCUUCGUGUACUUCUUUAAUGACAUUGUCAGUGUCGGGUUUGGCCAAACAGCGCAACAACGGGUUGUCGAAGGACUUUUUGUAAAGUAUCCCUCCGACCUCGCAGAACUUGGCUGCUUUGUGUUGUAACUUUUUGGCCUCACUCCGAUUGUCCGGAAGUACACCGUUUUGAAUGAAUGCCAGUAUUGGUUGCCUCCAAUCCUCUGAAGGAUCGGAUGUGACAUUCAAUACCUGGCAUGAGGGCUGGAGUACAGAGUCCACCAGUAUUUCACGCUGGCCUCCCUCCCAGGCCGAUGCUAGCCUUGCUAAAGCAUCGGCUGGCGUGUUCUGAGUUCGAGGGAUUUGCUCGAUUUUAAACUCAGCGAAUUGUUUGGUGAGUUCUACCAUGGUCUCCACAUACUUUGUGAUUUGUGGUUCUUUGCAGGCGAACUCACCCGUGGUUUGCCGAGCCACGAGUUGGGAGUCAGUGCGAAGCGUGACUUUCUCAGCGCCGAGAGUUCGCAGCAGUUUCAGGCCGUGAAUGGCUGCUUCGUAUUCCGCGACAUUGUUUGAUGCCGGGAAAUGGAGCCGUAUCGAGUGUUCAUAGUUUUUUCCAUCUGGACUAUGGAUUUUUACUCCGAUACCUGAACCUGUGCUGCAACUCGACCCGUCUACUUCCACUGUCCAUGGUUGGGCUAGGUUGGAUGGUGUGAGUUCGACCAUGAAAUCUGCCACAGCUUGCCCUUUGAUGGCAGUGGCUGGUCGGAAAUCUAAAUCGAACUCACUGAGCUCGAUCGCCCACUUAGUUAACCUACCCGAUAUGUCUGGUUUGUGGAGCAGACGACGCAAAGGACACGACGUAAGUACUACGAUCGUGUGCGCUAAGAAAUAUGCUCGGAAGCGACGACAAGCAUGGAUUACAGCAUAUACGAUUUUCUCAAUUGGAGAAUACCGUAUUUCUGCUCCUUGUAGUCGCCUCGAGUGAUAGUAGAUGGGGACUUGUUCCUUAUCUCUCUGUGCGAUAAGGACUGCACUUACGGCCUCUUCUGAGGCUGCUAUGUAUAAGUACAGGUCUUCCCCAUCCCUAGGUGAGGUCAACAUUGGAAGCGAGGACAUGUGUGCUUUUAACUUGGUAAAAGCCUCCUCGCAUUCCGUUGUCCAAGUGAUACUACCCUUAGCGCAGUUUUUAGAAGUUGGAAGAACGGUUUACACUUGUCAGCCGUUUGCGAUAUGAAACGACUGAGUGCAUUGAUUCGACCGUUCAACCUUUGCACUUCCCUAAUUGUGCGGGGGGCUUCCAUAUCGAGUAUCGCUUGGAUUUUGUCGGGAUUUGGUUUAAUCCCAUGCUGACCUACAUAGAAACCAAGGAACUUACCUUCCUUGAUUCCGAAGGAACACUUACUUGGAUUUAGCUUCAUUCCGUAUUGCUUUAAUGUUCUAAGGGUUUCUCUCAGAUCCUCGGGGUGUUUUUCGACGCUUGUUGAUUUGACCAGGAUGUCAUCAACAUAAGCGGAAACAUUACGCCCUAUCUGGUCCACGAAGACCUUGUCCAUCAAGCGUUGGAACGUAGCUCCAGCAUUCCUUAAACCGAAUGGCAUUACUCUAUAACAGAAUGUCCCUGAGUCUGUGAUGAAAGAUGUUUUCUCUUCAUCAGGCUCAUGCAUCAGGAUUUGGUUAUAUCCUGAGUGGGCAUCCAUCAUGGAGAGGAGUUCGUUACCGGACGCUCCGUCGACUAACUCGUCGAUGGAUGGGAGCGGGUAACUAUCCUUGGGGCAUACCUUAUUGAGAUCUGUGAAAUCAAUGCACAUGCGCCACUUGCCAUUGGGUUUCUUGACGAGAACGGGGUUGGCCAACCAAGUUGGAUAUCGAACCUCUCGAAUGUGCCUGGCAUUCAGAAGUUUCGAUAUCUCUUCGUUGGCAGCUUCCCGCCUGUCUGAGGUGAGCACUCGACGCUUUUGGCGACGAGCUGGGAUAGAUGGGUCGACAUUGAGUUUGUGCGUCACAAUUUGACGCGCAAUCUGUGUCGGAGCCUCACCCUCCCAAACGAACCUGUCCUGAUGCUCCUCCAGGAUAGUUACGAGUUUGGCUCUUAGGUCGGGUUCUAGCCCUUUCCCUAAUGUCACGUGCCCCCCCUUCAGCUGGUAUACUUCAGUCUCAUCCACGGGUUGUAAUUUUUCCCUUUCCCCGUUGUCAGAUUGGCCUGGACGAGCAUACUGUUUAGUUUUACCAGCUGAGUUGCCUUCUUAUACCCUUGUCUGGAAUCUUUUUGCGAUCCUUUGACAGUUGCAAUGAUCCCGUUGAUUGGGUAUCGCAUGCAUUGGUGAUAAGAAGACGGGACAGCCUUGAUCCCGUGGAUGAAAGGUCGUCCAAAUAUGCCGUGAAAAGUGGAUUCUACCUCAACCACUAUAAAACGGCACGUUCGACUAACCCUUCCCUUUCGGGAUCCGAUGGAGACCUUCAGGUCGAUAACGCCGGCCACUGGGGCGGCGACGUUAGUAAACCCGUAAAUGGCUUCCUUGCAAGGAGACAGAUCCUCCUUUUUAAGGCCCAUUUUGGUGAAGGUGUCCAUGUAGAGGAUGUCCGCGGAACUGCCGCUAUCGACAAUCAUCCUCUCGACGCGGGAAGUUGGACCGAUGUCUGCUUGGAUCACGAGUGGAUCCUCAUGUGGUAGCAGGACAUCGUCCAGGUCCUCUUCGGAGAAGUAAGUGGACUUCUCUUCCCGAGGCCUUUUCCCAUUGUCGCGAGGUGUAGAUUGUGACAUUAGCACCUUCCGGGAGUAACCCCUGUUUUGACCAAUGGAUCCACCACCAAAUAUUAUAUUGAUGGUUUUCCGUUGGCGAUCCUCGCUACUGUCGCUGUCCGGCGAAGGAGAGCGUGGACGCUUCCCCUUCGGGUCAGGUUUACAACCGUCUCGUCCUCGGGAUCCCUUGACGAAGUUGCCAAGUUCACCCUUGGAGAUCAGUUGCUCGACGUAGAUCGAGAAUUCCCUGCAGUGGUCGGUGAGGUGGCCGUGGUCCUUGUGAAAUUUGCAGAACCGUCCACCCUUUUUCCGACUACUCUUGGUUGCAGGGUCCAGAGUACGGGCAGGAGGUAGAUCUGCCCGACUUUUGAGUUUCUCAAACAGUUCGCCCUUAUUGAUUGUAAGAGGGGUCCAAUCCUUCCAUGGUUGGGAUGGACCCUUUGGCGACUGCUUGGUGGUUGUUUGGUACACCUUGUUGUCAUGCUUGGGCUUCCACUCCUUUUUGUAGGAACUAGCCGCAUGCUCAGUGUACUUGCUCGAGGAGCCUCGGAAACUGUUCUUUCCGCCGUAGCUCUUCUUCUCGAACUUUGGUUUUUUGUAGCUAGUGGUCUCAAGUUCCACUAGCUUGUUCUCAUUCUGCUCUUCCACCUCAAUGAAUGCUUGAGCUUGCUGGAAGAGUUCAGGCAGAGUCUCCACCUUGUGGAGGGUAAGAUGUUGUGCCAGAGGGGAGUAGGGUACAAGCCCGUUUGUGUAUCCCGCUAUGGCCAGACUGGGGAUUAAAUCGCUCACCUCUGUCAUCAUUGAGGUGAACUUGAUUGUAUAAUCCCUUAACGACAGCUUGUUCUGUCGUAAUGCCAGCAGUGCGUUGGCACUGUGUUUGAUCCUAAUCAUCCCCACAUGUUGGGCGAUGAAUUUGGAUGAGAGGUCCGUGAAGCUGGAGAUUGACCUAGCUGGUAGACCAGAGAACCAUCGAUUGGCACUGCCCUUGAGAGUGCCGGGGAAUGCCCGGCACAACAGUGCGUUAUCGGUGGUUUGCGGUUCCAAGACACUGAGGUAGAGGUUGAUGUGAUCUCUUGGAUCACCCGAACCAUCGUAUGCUUCAAUCCUUGGUACCCGCCAGGUUUGUGGGAAGGAUGCCUUCAAAAGGUCCUCUCGAAAAGGAGCGCUUUUGAUCCUUAGAAAUUCCAUCGGACCGCUGGCAGCUGGUUUGGCUGCCAACUUCCGACGGAGAUCUUCCACGAACCGAGUUGUGAGAGUCUUCUCAGUAAGACUCUUGUUAGGUCCCAUCCUUGAUUUGGAAGGUUGUGGACCAUCCUUCUUCUCCCCAGAUGGAGAAUUAUGAGAGGCCGAUUCACCCGCUCCUUCGCGGGUAAAGGUCCUCUGACUCCUCGCUUUUUCGAGGUUGCUCAUCCUUUGCUCCAUGCUUUCCAUGAAUUUGGACAACCUCUCCUCUAAAGCGGGAGGAACUGCUGUUUGGGGGCGCUGACUGACUUGAGGCUCCUCAGGCCGUUCUGGCCUGUUUUCUUGAGGAGGGUCAGUUUGGGCCCUGUCGGGUAUCACCGAGGAUUUGCCUUUGCUGCCCCUCAGAUGAUAGUCGUGCCUUUGCCUUUCGGAAGUCAUUGUAGGCAAAGGUGUGUUCCAACUAGAGAGCAAGUGAUUGCUAGAACUAGCCCGAGAGAAAGAACCAAGUGGAGUCGGUGAUUCACUAUGGGAGUCGGCGAUUCACAAAGGUGGAAUCGGCGACUGGCACAAGUGGAAUCGGUGACUGCUUUAGGUUGCUCUUCUAUCGGGUUUGGUCGUGGACAGCACUCUUAGCUAGCAGAAUAACCCGCAAUGGGCGAUUCACUAGGUGGAAUCGGCGAUUGCCUGUGUGAAUCGGAGAUUCCUUGACACAAAGUUAGCGACUCACUCGAAGGGAAUCGAGCUAAGCUUUGCGAAGAAAAUUUCGCGAUUACGACGGGAUAUCGUGGUUCGAUGGUCCCACAGACGGCGCCAGCUGAUGAAGCACGGAAUCUGCUACCAGUGGGCUCGUGGGGUGGCGAGAUGAGCCGGAGGCUGUGGAGCCCACGACGCGCGCUCUACGUCAAACACCUGCAGAAGAGGAGGGGAAUCGGCGACUCACGUGGGAGUAGGCGAUUCGGGCUCCUUAGUUUGCUCUGGUUGGAGUGUGUGUCAAGAGGAUAUCAGUUGAGGGUAGAGGUCCCCCAAGGACCCCUUUUAUAGGGUCUUGGGGGACGUUUUCCCCAUUCAUUAGUGUGGGGCCCACGCCAUUAAGGUAUCCUAUUAAGGAAUGCCUUAAUGCCGAGGGUCCGCUCAAGUAACGGCUGGGAGUCGGGGAUUCAGGUAUGGGAAUCGCCGAUCCAGAGGUUCAAUCGCCGACUCCCCAUGAGCCUAGUGGCAGCCUACCAGAGCAGUCCACGAGGCCUAGAGUUAGCGAUUCCCCCCUAGAGUCGGCGACUUGGUAGUCCCAAUCGGCGACUCCCAAGUGUUAGCUUGAGCUCUUGACGUAGACACGUGCUCCGCACCGUGGAAGCCUUUCCGGGGGUCCGGCAUAUAGCGACGGAACCCUAUUCCUUGUCGCAGGGCGUUGCUGGGAGUGACUGACGUGUUCAGGCAUGUCUCACCAGUUUCCCAAGACAUUGUCACGGACAAUGGCACACAGUUCACGGGGGGAAAAUUUUCAAGAAUGUGCGAGGACCUAAACAUAAAACUCCACUUCGCCUCCGUUUACCGACCUCAGGUAAACGGGCAAGUGGAGGUUACCAACAAGGCCAUCGUACAUGGAUUGAAAAAGAAAAUCAAAUCAGCCAAAGGGACCUGGGCAGACAAGUUGUGCGAAAUCCUAUGGGCAUAUCGCACAACGAGUAAGAACCUCACGGGCAACACCCCUUUUGCCAUGACCUAUGGAGUGGAAGCGGUCGUACCAAUCGAGAUGAGUAUACCAACGUAUCGAAUCUCGAAGUACGACCAACAAACAAAUGACCAAAACCUAGCCACAGAGCUAGAAUUAAGGGAUGAAACCCGUGACGAGGCGGACCUGCGAAACGAAUCGUGCAAGGCAAGCGUAUCAAGAUACCACAAUCGUCAAGUACACAAAAAAGUUUUCUUGCCAGGAACUCUCGUCACGCAGAAAGCUAGCAUAACAGAAAGGAAUAGGCCAAGAAAUAAACUAUCAUCCAACUUCGAAGGUCCCUACAUCGUUGAGGAGGAGAUAAGGCCAGGAACUUAUCGCCUACGACGACAGGAUGGAAUGAUGGUUCCUAACACCUGGCAUGCGGACAACAUGCAGCAGUACAACGCAUAGUACUCAUAGCAUUACGUUUAUUUUCUUUAAUUUUCCUAGUAUGUAUGUUAGUUAAUCAUAGAAAUCUAUUUUCACAUUCUAACCCGUAUGGAUACCCUAAAUCUAUUGUGUCGCUUUGGCCUCAGUAGAAAAAAGAUCAUUCCGUCGCUACGGCCCCAAUGAUCCUAUCCAAUCUUGUCGCUUCGGCCUUGAUACGGAUCAAUAAGUCACUCCGUUACUAGGAUAGGAGUCAGACUACAUCAUCAGGGUUGAAAUCCAGGGUUAGAACGAAUAGGUCCAAUUCAGACACGCAAACCUAGAAUUGCGACCACAACCCUUAUUCGCACGAGCGAAUCAGGAAUUAGUGGAUAUCAAACUAUUUUCAUUCUCGAGUUUAACUACGAUUCAUACGGCCAAACUUAUGUCCUAAGUGGCUAAGUAGAGUUAGCAGAAUCUAACUUACGUCCAGAGCGACUAAGUUACGAUUUGUGAAUCUAGUUUAAGUCUAAGUUACAACACGUUAGCAAAGAAAAUAGUUACAUUAAACAAAAAAUCAAUUACAAAAAUCCACUACAAAAUCUAUUGCAAGAGCUAAGGACAUCUAUUACAAUAGUUUAGUCUUCUUCUUUCCUCGCAUCUCGAACAUCGCUCUUUAUCUUGUCGAGAGCUUCCUUGUGCUCCAGCUGUACUUCGGGAUGCUUUUCUAGCUACGCCAUUAUGUCAGAAAUAAGGUUGGCGGGCAAACUUGAAAACACGUGAGGACCAAAAAAGUUCAAGUCCUGGAGUUGGUCGGACUGACCAUUAACCUCAAACUCCAAAUCCUUGACUUUUUCAGAAGAAGCGUCCAAAGCUUCCUUCAUCUUCUUCGACUUCUCCGUGGAUUGAGAGAAGCGGUCUUUCAGAUCUUUCAAAGCGGAGGUGGACUCAGAAAGUUCUAUUUGAAGUUUCUGAAUUUGUGAUUCAGAAACCAUCGCGUUGCCAACCUCCGCACUCAGCUGCGUCUUUAGGCCUUCAAUCUCUUUUAAGGAAGCAGUGAGACGCGACUCAGAUUUUCUCAAAGAGACACAUUCUUGGCGAAGAUUGGAAAUUUCGAGUCGGUGCGCAGCACACUCUUUGUUCUUCGCCGCCAUCACUUUCUCAUGCUCAACAGCUUUCUCCUCCAACUUCUUGGUCCUUUGGAGGGUCUUCCUCAUCGACCACACUUCUUUGCGACAGCUUGAUACUUGUCAUCAAGCUUGUCGUAUUCUUGUUGGGAUCGGAGUGUGUCGUUACAGGAUUGCAUCCCAAUCGAAGCAUUCGAUAGAUACACGGCCUACAACAAAACAAAACAAACAAUUAGAAAAAAUAUAUAUACAUAAGUAAAAAGCGAUUUCGGGUCACUUACAGCAGAUAGAGAUUUAGUGAGAUCCUCGCGUAUCCAAUCCCCAGGCUUUGUCAGAAGCAGCUGGGCAGCCCUCGCUCGCACCCCUUCAUCGGCGAACAAGUCCGGAUAAUCAAAAGAAGUCCGGAAGGGGGCAAAUUCCGGAACAGACCUCGAGCUCGACCCAGUCUCGAAGGUGCUGCGAGGACCAGAUCCUUGGGCCUUCCUCUCUCGAAUCAGCUUAGCGCCGCGCAGUCUCACGGCCAAAUGAGGAAGGACCGCCUCGCGGUAGAGAUGUGUUCCCUUCUUCUUCUUAAUAGGAUUUCCAGAAGGGUCCUCCGACUGCAUGUAAUGUGUCAUGUCAGAAAAAGUAAAGUCCUCCCGCUGAGACAAAGCGAAAGGAACUCCUUGCCCGCAAUCGAAAGAAGCAAGAGCAGAAGAGAACUUCACGUGCUUUAGUUCAGCCUUGCUCAGAGCGUAAGGAACAUCCAGAUGUACGCGGCGAGCGUUGGCCCACCUCUCACGACUCCCGCGUACAAACAUCGAGUCAAUAAAAAAGAACUCGCUCUUCCACUGUGGCCCAUAGUUAGUGGGGAGUUCUACAAUCAGCUCACGUCCGCUGAACCGCUUCGUUAAGCCCAACCGACCAGAUUCGGAAGCGGGUGCCUUGACAAAUUUGAAGAACCAGAAGAACAAGGCGGCGGUUGCAGGGAUGUUCAAGCUCCAACAGAUGUUGGAGAACCCUCUCAGAUAAACAUAAAACGCUGCCUGCAUCUGCGACAGCGAGACACCCCCUUGCAGCAGCACUUCACUCAUCAGUGCAGGAAUGGGCAGCAUUGAGAAGUGCCUGAAGUAGAGUCGGGGUAUGGCUUGGAACCCCGCGGAAGGAAGAUUCGCGGGCUGAUAUCUCGACCCCCAGAAUCGCAAAUGCCCAGAUAUGUGAAUCCCGCGCAAAAUCUCUCGGGCUUCAAGUGCAGAGGUUAUGGAAAAUGGAUGCCCAGUCUCGUUCUGAGGCACGAGAGGUGCAUUAACAGAAAAGGACCCCUCGUUCGUGUCACUGAGGGGUGGCAAUCUAAUCUCACCACCCGGCAAGGUCUCACAGUGUGCGUAGCCGGUGUGGUUCUCCACUCCCUCGUAGAAUGGGAGGUUCAUGUGGUCUCCAUCCUUGUCCACUUCCGUGGGAGGAGGAGGAGUCUGCGAUCCGUCAGCAGAAUCUGUGCGGCGUCGGCUCUGGCCGCGGUCAACUUCCAAUUCCUGAUUGUAGUCAAAGGGCUCAGGAACCCGUACACCCUCCACAGAGGGGAAAUGCGUCUUGCCUCUACCCCCCAUCCCGUAAGUAGGAGGAAUGGGGGCACUAUCCUCGCAAGAUGCGUUCUUUGCAUGCUUAAGGUGUUUUCUUUUUCUUUUCUUAAGCCUCUCAGAUUCGUCUAUCGGCCUCUCAGCUUCCACCACUUGGAUGAGUGCAGAUUCUUCAACUUCUGCCCCCGAGUUGGGGGGCAAUAUCGGCGACUUAGGGUCCAGACUCGCCGAUAUUGGUGCUGAACUCGCCGAUCCCAGUGUAAUCACUCGGCGAGGUCUCUUGAAAAUGGGGACAACCCCCUUGCCUUUAGCCGGCGACUUCCCAAGGGGACUCGCCGACUUAAGUGCAAGACUUUGGGGAAUCUCGCCCGCUUCAGUAGAAGGCCCUGCCACGACCAGAGCCAAGGAGUCAUCCCUCAAACUCGCCGACUUCUUGUUAGAACUCGGCGACUUUUCCGGAGUUAGCCCGAGCAACUCGCGGGCAGUAGCAGUGCGGUGCAUCAACAGCCGGAAUCUCCGACCCACCACGCGAAGGCGAGGGGGAUCGGAGACUCGACGGUGUUGAGCACCCCCGCUAAGCUCUCAUCCAUAUCGUUGUUCAGAAUGUCGGCGACCAGAGCCUCGGUCUCCGACAUUGUCAAUUGAGGAAGCGACGGUUGGUCUGCCAUAUAUCGGCGAUGUAAGAGUAGACUCGGCGAGUUAGUGAUGGGUUCUGGUGAUUAUGGUGAGAGUCGGCGAGUUAGGAAGAGACUCGGCGACUUAGCAAGGGAUUAGGGUUUAUGCAAAUCAGGGAAAGUGAUGUGCGGAUUAAAAUAAUCGAUUCGCUAUUUAUAUACCCUGGACAAAUUGCAAAAACCCCUCGGAAAAUCUAGAAAUUAUGCAAAGGAAAUUCGCUAAUUGAUUCCCAAAUCCACAAGACUCGGCGAGUUUCUCGCAAACUCGCUGAGUUUGGGCAAAAAUCACGGGAUACGAAGAGGAAACUUCCAUAUUUGGAAAAUUUGCAAAUAUUUCCCAAAAUCCUAAGGAUUCUCUAAGGGAUCCGCCAGCUCAGACUAGGACUCGCCGAGUUUAGAAGAAAGUCGCCGAUCUAGGUCAGCAAACCUCCAGGCUUCUCACGGAACAACCCCAGUGCCAAGUCGCCGAGUUAACACUUUAAGUCGCCGACUUAGGAUAUCAUAUAGUAUCUUAAGAAGGAGAGUAUCACAAGCUCUCCCGACAUUUCUGUCGCUCCGGCCAGAGAUCGUCAAACUUCAGAGGAGAGUACCACAAGCUCUCCUGACAUUUCUAUCGCCUCGGCUGGAAAUCGUCAAACUACAAGGGGGAGUAUCAGAAGCUCUCCCGACAUUUCUAUCGCUCCGGCCAGAGAUCGUCAAACUUCAGGGGGGAGUAUCACAAGCUCUCCCGACAUUUCUAUAGCCUCGGCUGGAAAUCGUCAAACUUCAGGGGGGAGUAUCACAAGCUCUCCCGACAUUUCUGUCGCUUCGGCCAAAGAUCGUCAAACUUCAGGGGGGAGUAUCACAAGCUCUCCCGACUUUUCUGUCGCUUCGGCCAGAAAUCGUCAUAUUUCAGGGGGGAGUAUCACAAGCUCUCCCAACACUUCUGUCGCUCUGGCCGGAAGUAGCCACAUAUGAGCACGGUGAGUCUGUUGCUUCGGCCAGAUUCACCAAGGAUUGGUUCAAGCAAAGGGAGAAUAUCACGAGAGGUUAAAUCGCACGGUAAGUUAAAUUGGUCAAAUAGUAAUGUGCGUUUUAGACUGAUCUAGUUGUUUUGCAGGAUGUUUUCUUUUUUGCAGGUAUUAUUCUGUCGCUUUGGCCAGAAUGUUUUUCUUUUUUGCAGGUGUUAUUCUGUCGCUUCGGCCAGAAUCAUACUCCAAAAGUGAGUCGAUCUAUCUUGUCGCUUUUGCCUUGAUAGACUAGAGAUCGUUCUGUCGCUUUGGCCUUAACGAUCUCAACCCAUAUUGUCGCUUUAAGCCUUGAAGGGGGCCGUCGUUGCGGACUUUAAGUCGCUCUUGAUCAGAGUGGACUAUAAACAUUAGUUCUAUCGCUUCGGCUAAAACUCGGUUCUAUCGCUCUGGCUAGAAUCCGAUUCUGUCGCUCCGGCCUGAAUCAGAUUCCGUCGCUUUGGCCGGAAUUUAUCUUGUCGCUUCGGCCUUGAUCUCAUUUCCUCCAAUAUUUUCCCCUGGCUUCAAUAUUAUCACAUCGUUUCUUUCCCAUUCUUUCAGCCUAACCUUCCACAACCCUCAAUAAUCCAUCACUUCCAUGAUCGUGACCUAACCUUCCACAACAUUUAUGGACUGAGGCAACAUAUUCCAGAAACGCUAAGUAAUACAUCAAUUUGAUUCUUCUUUGGUUUUCUAUAUUCUUCUUUUUCAUUUAGGCUUUUCAUUUUCUAUUUUUCCUCUUUUAUUCCUUAAUCUUCCUCUCUUCCUCUUACAUUCUCUUCUUUUUCCAUUUUAUUCUUCAUCGUUUCAUCUUUCUCUUUUAAAUAUUUAAAAAUGCUGAGGGGAUUCCUUGGGCUGACUGGUUAUUAUAGGAGGUUCAUUAAGGCGUUAUGCUGAAAUAGCUUCUCCUAUGACUGAUUUACUAAAAGAAGAUUGUUUUAAAUGGGAGUGAAUUGGCACAGAGCAGUUUUGAGAAAUUAAAGUUAGCUAUGGUUUCAGCACCAGUAUUGAAAUUUCCUGAUUUCAGCAAAUAGUUCACUAUUGAGACUGAUGCUUGCAAGAGUGGUGUUGGGGCAGUCCUAAUACAAGAACAUCACCCCAUCUCCUUUUUCAGUAGAAAAAUAUCAGGAAAAUUGAGUUCAGAAGCAAUCUAUAUAAAGGAGAUGCAUGCCAUCACUCAAGCAGUGGCCAAAUAGAGACACUACCUCUUAGGGUCUCACUUCUUAAUCAAAACAGAUCAAAAAGAGUCUCAAGAACCUUCUAACUCGGGUUAUACAAACUCUGAGAAGCAAGUUUUUCUUGUAAAUUGUUAGGUUUUGAUUUCUCAAUAUUAUAUAAGCCAGGCAAGGAAAACAUAGUGAAUAUUAAAAUCUGAAUAUUUUAACAAAAAUAUUUAUAUCUAUAUUUAUAUUUUUAAAAAAUUUAGAUUUUUAUUUAAUUUUUCUUAUAAUUUAUUCAACAGUUCUUAUCAAUUAAUAUCUAUAACUUUUAAUAUCUAUAUUUUAUUAUUAAAACCCUUAACGAACUUAUCGAGCUAUUGAGCCGAUCGAGGAGAGAUUGAAAAGUCCAAGCUCGAUCUCGGCUUGAUCUUCUUUAUUCUGCAAAUCAUCUUCAUCACGAAGAAAGAACUUGAAUUCGACUUAGUCGACAGAGGGUAGUGAUUGGCAGACGAAGCGAGAAGGUUAUAUUUCUUCGACCAUGGUUACUGGAGGACCUCACUCCGAGGAGGAAGUGGGGAGGAAAUUGUGGUGAAAUAACUACCCAAGUAGUGUUGUCGCUUAUAAAUUUUUGGCACUCCUGGCUGAGACUCCCACUUGAAAGGGACAUUCGGAGGUGGAAAAUAGUAGUGGACAUCAGAAUCCAUGCCGGCGAUCGAUGAGGAAAUCUAGUGAUCGAUGACUAAGUUGGAAGAUUCAUUUUAUACAAGUACUUAACAUUAUUAAACACGAUCUAUAACACAAAAUCACAUAUACCAUGCAUGUCAUAAACGUGUGUUUUCAGUUUCAACUGUAUGUCUGUGAAAGGAUCGCGAUCUUUAAAUUCGACAGACCAGUUGCGUGCAGAAGCCAGGAUUUCUGCGUGGGGAUAACAGAAUAUAUCUUCCACCCAAUUAUGUAAUUCAUGACUAAAUUGUGUGAGAGUCUCGUUGUGUACGUAUUUUUAUUAUGUUUUUAUUAAAUUUAUUUUGAUGAUCUAAAUAAUUUAACAUAUAUAUUAGACAAUUAGUAUUAAGUAAUAUUAUUUCAAUUAAACAUAAACAACUAGGGUAUUAAACGAGUCGAGCUUUUGCUUAUAGAGUUGGGCUUGAACUCAUUAAGGAAUUAUCCAGAAUCGGGCUCGGGCUCAGCUCUUUAAGGAAUUGUCCGGACUCGAGCUCGAAGUUGGCGAACUCGAACUCGGCUCGGGCUCGAACUUAAAAUUUAACUUGCAAUUCUACAAAUUGAAAAAAAAUAUUAAAAUCUAAAUAUUUAUCUAUAUCUAUAUUUAGUUUUAGUUUUAGUUUAAAAAAAAUAGAUUUUUAUUUAAGUUUUCUUUAAAUUUAUUCAAUAGUCUAUAACUCUUAAUAUCUAUAUAUUUUAUUAUUAAAAAACAUUAUCGAGCUUGAGUUUUAGGCUCGAACUUGACUCAUUGGGCUCGCGAGCCCGAGCUUAACGAGUCAAGCUUUAGUUGAAACCCUAUAAAGAACGAUCCGAACUCGACUCGAUCAGACUUCUAUCAAACUCUUUCUUCUAAUAACAAUAUAUAUUUUUUGCAUAAAAACUGAUCAAUAAAUAACAUAGUUGUUGGUACCAUGGACCGCGGACCGCGGCCCAUGGACCGAACCGGACCGGACGGCCCAGGCGGACGGACGGACGGGCGGACGAGCGGACGAACGGGGCUGACCGUACAAACCCACGAGGCCCAAUAACAACAAGUGAAGGCUAUAAAUACCUCCCCUGGCCCAACUGGGAGCAAGGUUGACAAUUCUAAGAGAGUGAACACUGGAGAGUUGAGGUUGUGGGCUUACACCGGCGAGCGUACACACCAACAAUAGUGUUUCAAAUAAAACUAUUUUUAUAAUAGGACCGAGGAUCUGGUAUGUCUAUGUGCGGUCACCAUCCUGGUCUUCUAAAAUGGAUCAUAUGGUCAAAAAAAUGAUGAUCAGCAAACCAAAACUUGAUGGACAAAACUACGGUUUAUUUUCACAUCUUCAAUCUACACUCAUUUAUCUAUAAUAUCGUUGGGGGUAUUCAUAAAAAGCAUUAAAAACGGGUAAGAUCAUAUAUUAUUUAAAGAUGGAUUUAGUUCUCAUUUUUAAUUAUAAUUUCUAAAUUUUCUAAUGACUUUUGAAAUAUUUUUCUUUUUGUUAUUUUCUAUAUUUUUGUCAAAAUUUCCACAAUAUUCUAUAUUAAUUAAUCUAGAAAUCUACAAAACUAUUCUAUUGUUUAAUAUAAAUAAGGAACAUUUGUUAACUUUUUUUAAUAAAAAGAAUUCCAUUUUUAUAAUAUUAAUUUGUUGUAGAUUAAAUUUCUAUUAUAUUUAUAUGAUUGUGAAUUUUAAAUUAAUAUACUUAAAUAUUAAAUGUUAAUAAUUAAUAUGAUUCUAAUAAAAAAAAUUACAAUUGUUUUUAAUUAAUAUGUUAAAAAAAAUUAAAAUUAAUUUAACGUUUUUUAUAUAUAUAUAAAUUGCACAUCAGUAGUGGACAAAAACCAAUGGAUAGGAGAUCAUAUGGUAUGUUAUCAAAUUUAAAAGGUGGAGAAUAAUACCUUUUAGUGUGUCAUUAGCCUCCGCUUUUAAUUUAGUCAUGGAUUUAACCGGAAUGUUUUUGAUAAUCGGUGAAUGGGUUAAAUUUAAACAAAAUUAGCCAAAGAAAAAUCAUUGGCUAGCUAUUUUAUUUAUUGGUGGUGGUUUUCUUUUAAAACAGUAAGAAAACAUCAUGGUCAUGGAAAAAUCUAUUUUAUUUAUUGGUCAUGAUUUUUUUUUUUAAAUAGUAAGAAAACAUCAGGGUCACGAAAAAAUCAUUGGCUAUUUUAUUUAUUGACCGGUUAAUAAAUAAAAACUAGAAAUUGCAACUGCAGGUGAAUAAUUUUAAGCUAGAGAUUCAAAAAAGAUAAAUAAAUGGACGAUCUAUUAUAUAAAAUUUGUAUAUUUAUAACCGUUAAUCUUGAGAUGCCUUGCUCAUUUAAUCAAAACAGGAGCAAGAAUUAGCCUAUAUCACCAUUUAAUAAGUUUCAUUAUCUCAUUGUGAGGCAUUUUGUCAAUCACUUGGAUCAACUUGAUUUAUCACCAGUUAACAUGAAAAGCAGUACAUCAUGAUGACCGACACUCUUAAAUUUGAAUAUGAAUGCAAAUUCCGAAUCCAAAUAAAAUUCAACCUUGUUAUAAUCCAUUAAUAUGAUCUAAAUAGUGAUAUAGGAAUUUACAAAAUAUGUCGCAAAGAGGCAAUAGACAUUUAGGAAAUACAUUCGCGAUCCGAGUCAUACAGAUCCAAAACUUGAUUACAAACCGAAUCAAUUCUUCUAUGAAAUUACCAUACCUGCUUGAUGGUUUGAUUGAAGAUCAAUUUCAAUCUUUUAAUUAAAUUUCUUAUCAAUUAUUUUUAUUUUAUUUAUUAAGUUUAAUUGUUUAAGUUAUUGAGUCGCAGACUAUAAAUGUUGAUCUCCCAUAUAAACAAAAAACUAAUUAUAAUUUCUUUUUAAUCAAUCAAAAAUCUAAUUUUGUUUAAACUUGGCUUAGCAAUCAUACGGGUUAAAGCAACCCUAUUACUGUUUUAUUGCUUUUUAUCAAAUCGGUAUCUAUCCUCCUAUAAACUGGUGUUUUCAAUAUCAUUCUUGAUGGAUUUCUCUCGUCAAGAGGAUGAGAGAUGAAAGGGAAAAUGGAAUGACAAGACCUUUUUAAAUAUCUGGAAGACAGUACAAGCGUACCUGUUGGUACCAUGGACCGCGGACCGCGGCCCAUGGACCAAACCGGACCGGAUGGCCCAGGCGGACGGACGGGCGGGCGGACGAAUGGACGAACGGGGCUGACCGUACAAGCCCACGAGGCCCAAUAACAACAAGUGAAGGCUAUAAAUACCUCCCCUGGCCCAACUGGGGAGGGGGUUGACAAUUCUGGAGAGUGAACACUUGGGAGAGUUGAGGUUGUGAGCUUACACCGACGAGCCCACACAACAACAGUACCAUAAUCCAAAUCACUAUGCCAAAGCGUAAAUUGUUGUUGUGGCGAUUGAGAUGUGGAAAAACGACCACUUGUGAAAAAUUAUAAUUUAUAAAUCGGAUUUCACACAAAUAAAUUUAAAAAAAAUCACAAAUCAGAAAAUGGAUGUUUAUGCUAUGCUGCAUUAUGAUUAAGAGAACAAGCAAACUAAGGGUGAGAACGGAGCGGGGCGCCCCAUUCCGCGCCCCGGUGGUACCGAGGGCGGGGCCCCGUUUUUUCAUUUUUGCCCCGUGCCCUGUUGCCCCUGUCAUAUUCCGAGGCGGGUCUCGGGGCAAGGCGAACCCCGGGCGGGUCAUCUCGGUUUUUAAAAAAAUUAAUUUUUAUGAUUUUUUUAUUAAUUUAAAUUAUAUUAUAUUAGAUAUAUAAUUUUUCAAAUUAAUUUUUUUAAAAAUCAAGGUAAAUAGUUUACCUAUUUAAAUUUUAGAUUUAAUUUUUAUUUUUAUUUUAAUAUUUAAAUUUUUUAUAUAUUUUUUUUAUUUUUAUAAUUUAGACGGGUCGCCCCGGAUCCGCCCCGUUCCGCGCCCCGGUCACCGGGGUCGGAAGCGGGUCUCGGGGCAGGAAGGUAGGGUACCUGACCCGCCCCGUUUCUCCAGAGCGGGGCGGGUCGGUCCCUCCCCGGGAUUAUGCAAAAAUCUAAUCUCUAUUAGAUAUUUAGCAAAUGAUCUAAACUGCUCAAUCUCAUUUGAUGCAAAUGAUUUCAAUAUUAAGGCGAAGGAUGGAGUAGAAAUUCUCAGUGGCAGUAGCACAUCCAGGUUGUACCAGCUGGGACGACAACACCAAAGAAUCAACCGUGCUGAUAUCUCAAUUUGUCUCCCUGGCGGUAUGACAUAAUCAGUUUGGCCAUCCUGAAGAAAGUUCUUGCUCAAUUUUCAGAAAAUGAUCACUCAAUCAUCCGGAUUCCUUUCUGCUCGAUUUGUGCCACAAACAAAGCAAAAAGACUUCCAUUUAAUUCCCAAUCCUACACAGCAUGACACCCGUUCGAAAUCAUUCAUCUGGAUCUGUGGGGUCCAUCUCCUGUUGCCUCCAGAGAGGGAUAUCGUUACUAUGCGGCUAUUGUAGACGAUUGCACUCGCUUCACAUGAUUUAUUCCGCUUGUUUUCAAAAGUCAACUAUUUGAACAAUUAAUUUGCUUGGUUUUGUAAUAUGGUUGAUCGAAAUUUUUCAUUUCCCAUUAAGUGUGUUAGAACAUAGAAGUGAUGUUAGGGGUGAAUUCACCAACAAAGAAUUUAUCAAAUUCUUGACAGACAAAGGGAUAAGGAGAUUAUUGUCGUGCCCCUACACUCCUGAACAAAAUGGAGUUGUAGAGAGAAAACAUUGCCACAUUAAAAGCAUUGGUAGGUGUUUCUUACAUCAGCCGGGCUCCCACUCAAAUUUUGGAGUGAUGCAUUCAAAAGUGUUGUCUUCACCAUAAAUCGGUUGCCAUCACCUAAUACAGACAACACAAGCUCUUAUGAGCUGUUUUAUCAUAGAAAACCGGGCAUCUCCUUUCUCAAAACGUUUGGUUGCCAAUGCUAUCCAGUUAUUCCACGAAUCAGAAGAAACAAACUUCAAAGUACUGCAUCAAGAGGUUGCUUUAUAGGUUACUCAAAUAUUCAUAAAGGAUACGCCUACUAUGAAUUGGAAAAAGAGCAAAUCUUCGUCUCGAGAAACGUGAUUUUUGAUGAAACAAGGUUCUCGUUCUUAGCAAAUACAAUACUGCACACUAACGGCGGGUUCCAUUUUCAACUUUUAUCAAACAACAUCACCCAUCAUUACAAUUUUUGGUGGGAAAUGGAGAUGAAUAAUAGAUGACGGUCUUUAGAUGGCGGUUAUGGGGUUAUAAUGGAGAUUGUCAAGAUGACGGUCUUUAGAUGGCGGAUUUUCGCCGACUAUCACUUUAGAUGGCGGAAAUCCACCAUCUAAAGACCGUCAUACAAGGUCUUAUUUUUUGUAGUGCAUCCUGCAGCUUUUCCAACACCAAAUAGUACAUCCAGAUUGAACACACGUCCAAUAACGAUAAUACAAUAGAGUACGAUACCACACUCUCGACGGAUGGACCUGCAACAACUCUGGAAGACAUAUCAAAAAAUGACGUGAUCUCUGCAAAUCUUGUUGUUGUUGGAUCUGGAUCAGAGGCUUAGGAGGUAAUAGCCUCUUCUCGUGAUUUCUCAGGCAAUGUGCGGAAUACCUGAGAGUGUAAGUUAAAGACAAGGAUAUAUAUAUAAAAUGUGUCUGUUCUUUAUAAGUUUUUUACUGUAGUAUAUAAAUACUGAGUUUACUUAUAAGAUUGUGCUAUAUAGAUAAUUGUAGUAUAUAAAUACUAAGUUAUGAUAUAAGCACACGUUUAAGAUAAGUGUAUAUAUAUAUAAGUGACCAGAUAACUGAAUAUAUAUAUUUUAACUGAUAGUAAUCUCAGUCAAUGACCAGAUAACUAGAUGAAAGAUCUGCACGAAAAUAGUCAACAUCAAUCUGUGACCAGAUAACUAGAUGAAGGAUCUCUUUUUAGUUAUUUUUAUCUUGUUAAGAUUUAAAAUGAAAAAGCAAGAAAUAAAAAGAGACACAAAGAUUUUUAUACUGGUUCACCCAAACAAGGGCUAAUCCAGUUCCGAUAAAACACGGAGAUCACUAGCCUGAAGGUAAUGGUGAAACCUCUUCCAAGCUUUAAGGCUAAACGCUUGUGAACCACCUAAGAGUAUUCAGAAACUCUUAAAAACCUCUGCCAAACUUUAAGGCUAAACGUUUGUGAACCCUCUAAGAGUAUUCAGGAACACUUAAGAAUCUUUGCCAAGCUUUAAGGCUAAACGCUUGUGAACCACCUAAAAGUAUGAAGGAACUCUUAAAAACCCUUGAACCUUUAAGGCAGAUUCAACUUAAGAGUUUUCCUGAAAACUCUAUAGAACCACACCGAAUUUUAUGGUUGAACUCGUUGAACCUUAUAACUAUAAGUGUUGGUAUUGAGACAAGCCUCUCACAACACUUGGACCACUUACAAGAUGUAAACAUUUUCUUCUAACAUACUCUCAACGUACAAGAGGGGAAGAAGAAGAAGUUGAAGAACUAAAGCACACAACCUUGAGAGCAACGACCCUCACACAAAGCUUGAACGAGAGCUAGAGCUUGAGCAAGAGCAAGUGAAAACGAAAGUAGAGCUUUGAUCCAAGGAGAGCUUUAGCAAAGAUGGCAAGUGAUGGCUUUAGCUCUUGGGUGUGCACCUCCUUUUAUAGUGGACGUGAGUGGCAUAGAGGUAAAUUCUUCAUCUUCAAAACUCCUAGAAAGAAGAGCUUGAUAUUGUAGACGUUGGAGGCUUGGAGCUUCUCUUGAAUUUGAAUUUCUAUCUUGGGAGAUUUUGUAACAUUAACUCCAAGAUAUUUCAUCUUGGGAGAUUAUGUAGCAUUUAAUUCAAGAUCAUGAUUGUGUAACAUUUUGGGAGAGUGAACCUCCGCACGUUUUUUGCCUUUCUCUAAUUUGAACUCUUCAACUAGGAUUUUGUGUAGCAUUAAUUCCAAGAUCUUGUAGUUAAUAUGUUGGAUAUGUUCUUGAAAUUUAUCAUGAUUGCACUUCUACACGUUUUCUACACUUUGGGUCCAUUUGAAGCUUGAAUGAAUAAUUAUAGCUUUUCACACCUUAUUGGUUAACCUUGAAGACAUUGAUCAACUUGAAACAAGAGUUAAUGCAAGCAAAUAGAUGUGCAUAAUUAAAUACAAGCUUCAAUAAUUAACUUGAUUAAUAGUAGAGAUUUGUUUGAUGAAAAUAAUAUUGAUCUCAUUUUAGUUUAAUCAUAUAUCAAGUCAAUUUUAUCUAUGUCUUGUUAAUUAGGGUUUAUUUAUAUUUCAAAUUAAUUAACAACUAAAUAUGUCAUUGAGAAUCUUAUUUCUACAGUUGUACCACUGGAAACCCACCAACAUCCAGGAAGAGAAAGACGCAUGCCAACUCGAUACAAAGACUACCAAGUAUCGAUGCCGGGUGAUCAACCGAUUAUUCUUCUAGCCCAAUUACAUACGGAUGAAAGCAACAAAGAAAAUCAAACCCGAUUAAUCUAUUCGACAUCCAAUACAUCAUCCGACCAAAUAAAUACCAAAUCCCAAACUAAAAUUAGCACAAUACCCCAACUCACUACAAACCCGACACCCAAUAUCGCCAAACCAACACCCAACUUCAAAAUCCAUGACCUAACCUCACCGUCUACACAUCACUCUCAUAUCCCAACUCUCUAAACUAGAGCCAAACUCAGUUAAAGAAGCAAUGAUCUUAACACAUUGGAGGAAAGAAAUGGCCACAGAAACUUGGACAUUAACUCUAACGCAACAAGGUAUGAAUAUCGCAAGCUGUAAAUGGAUUUAUAGAACUAAAGAAAAAAUACCAGGAUCACAGAAAAAUCAUCAUUAGCUAUUUUAUUUACGGGCCAUAUCAGAUAAGAAGAGUUCUUAUAAGAACCCUCUACUAUCCUGUCGGUCGGUUUUAAGAAGAGUGCUGGACCGUCGAAUUUUUUAAGUAGCAACCUAGUAAAUCAACUAGUAGUCGGUUUCAUGUUACCUGUUGGGAAACAAAUCCAUGAUAUCUUACGUACUAGUAUUAUCAGUAGGAAAGUACUAUCUCGUUAUCAGUCGGUUUUUUUUGUUCUACAGUCCCAUUAGUGAUUUUGGUAGUUAGUUUUGAAACAGUUUCAUUUCCAAAACCCUAGUUUUUCGUAUAUAAAUAUUUUGGUUUUUUCAAAUCACUUGUUGUGAAAGUGUAUGUUCUUUUUUGUUUCUAUCUGCUGUGUGACUCUAUUGCAUACUGUAAUUUUAUACUCUAAUUUUAUACUAUAUUCCAUACUAUUCCAUACUGUAAUACAGAGUUUAAUUUUAUUAUUUUCUUCUGUUUUCAAGAUGUUUACUUUUUUUAUUUUCAUGCUCUGAAAAAAAAUAUGUUUUAUCUGUCUGUUAUUUUUUAUCUUUAUCUUGUUUUUUUUCAAUCGCAAUUUUCUUUUCUUCUACUAUUUAGCCUCUUUCUCUAAAAAUCGAAUUGUGUUUUUAUAUCUUUAUUUGUUUUUAUGUUUUUUUGACACAUGUAAAGUUUCUUGAUUCCAAUUUUUUAUUAAUUCAUUUUAAAACAGAAUUUUAUAUCUCUGUUUGUAUUUAUUUUUAUUUCUUAAUCAAAUCUUUGUUUAUUCCACUAAUUUGUUUUUUUUGGUCAAAAUCUUGGUUAUUUGUUUAUAUCUCAGUAAUCUUCACUGCAGUUUUUCAAAGAAAACUUAUAUCCGAAAAAUCUUCAUGUUCUGAUCAUACUUCAAAGAAAAAUCAUAAUUCUACAUCCGAAAACAAAGAUCCUAAAGAAUCAUCGGUUCCAGCAAGGCAGCAAGUGGUAAUGUUUGUAUGUAAAAUAUAUAGUAUUAGGAAUACUAAUUUAAAUAUUGUGCUAAUGUUGUUUAAAUUUUCAAGAAAAAGGUUUCAAAGAAGAAAAAAGAACAAGAAGAUGUUAAAAUCACCUCUUCUGCUAAAAAGCUUAGGAGUUCUGCUGAGAAGAAGAAAUAUGCGGAGGACAUAAAAAUUGAUGAAAAGAAUGAUUCUUCUGAUAAUCUGGAGCCAUUUAAUGUUGAAGAUAAGAAGUUGAAAAAGAAGAAGAAGGGAAAGACUAGAAGUUACGAAUAUGACGAGACCAACAGUUGAGUACUUAAUUUAUUCGUCAAUUUUUUUUGAAUAAUUCUGAUAUUUUUUUUAGUUAAUCAUUUAAUUCGGCAUCGGUCUGAGAUCCCGAUCUACAAUCAGGAAACAAUAAUUGGUUCAGUCCAAUUCAACGAAGCUGUGACAAAAAGAAUAAAGUCGUCCGUCUUUGGAUAUUUUUAUGCUCUCCCUGAUUUCAAGAUCAAAGCACACUUGCUUCGAAUAGAAAUUUGAACAUGAUGGAAUUCGACGAGCUGAAGAACAUAUUAGACGAAAAAGAAGACAGAUGAGAUAUGAUUCAUAAUAUCUUAGCACCCAUUGAAGUGUACGGUCAAUGGCAUUUAAUCCAGUUAGAUAUUUCUUUGAAGACCUACUUCUAUUGUAGCCCGUACGAAGAUAAUGAGGAUAUGAAGAAAUAAUUCAGCAAUAUGGUAAAUGUAUUGAAACCCAUAAUGCAUUAAACACAUUAAUUACUGGCGUUAUGCAUGACUUCAAUUAUAUUGUUAUCAUUUGGAGCAGACUAGGUGGUUGGAUCAUUAUGUCCGAAGGAUUUAUUCAGACCAUAAUUUAUCUAAUUGGGUUUGCGAACCGUCUUCUAAUUUUCCUCAAGCAUUCGAAAAAACACCUGAGGAGACCGGCCUAUACGUUAUGGCUGUCAUAGAAUACAUAUCUUUACGUGAGCCGGUACUUUAGAGCAAAAAAGACAUCGAUAACAUCAGGGAGAAAAUUGUGCAUGACAUACUACGUGUGUCUUUACGUGAUGCUCAUAUAUUUACAAAUUUUUCAUUGAAGUACAAUUAAAGUAUGAACUAUCCUAACUUUUUUACGAUAAUUGUAUAUAUUGAUUUUGUGAUACAAUUUGAAAAAUUAUUAGUCUACCUAAUCUUAUACGAAGCAUAGUAGUAGAAGUUUCCAACAUUAUAAUUUAAUGGGAAAAGGUCAUAUUAGCAUAAGUAUGCAACAUAGUAUAGUAAGGGGUAAAAUAUUUGUUGAUCUAUGGACUGAUAUUAGCAGAAGGAUAGAUGUUGGUCUAAAUACUGAUAUUAGCAUAAGGACACUACAUAGUAGUGUAAAAACAUAAUAGAAGUAAAGAACAUAGUAUAGUAAGGGGUAAAAUAGAUGUUGGUCGAAGUACUGAUAUUAGCAGAAAAACACUAUACAGUAGCGUCAACACAUAAUAGCAGAAGUAUACAACAUAGUAUAGUAAGAGGUAGAAUAUAUGUUGGUCUAAGUAGUGAUAUUCGCAGAAGCACACUACACAGUAUAGUAAAAACAUAAUAACAGAAGUAUACGACAUAGUAUAGUAAGGGAUAUAAAAUAUGUUGGUCUAACUACUGAUAUUCGCUGAAGCACACUACACAGUAGAGUAAAAACAUAAUGACAGAAGUAAAGAACAUAGUAUAAUAAGGGGUAGAAUAGAUGUUGGUCUAAGUACUGAUAUUAGCAUAAGGACACUAUACAGUAGCGUGAUAACAUAAAAACAGAAGUAAAUAACAUAGUAUAGUAAGGGGUAGAAUAAAUGUUGGUCUAAGUACUGAUAUUAGCAAAAGCACAUUACACAGUAGUGUAAAAACAUAAUAACAGAAGUAAUGAACAUAGUAUAGUAAAGGGUAGAAUAGAUGUUAGUCUAAGUACUGAUAUUAGUAGAAGCACACUACACGGUAGCGUGAAAACAUAAUAACAGAAGUAUCCAACAUAGUAUAGUAGGGGGUAAAAAAAUGUUAGUCUAAAUACUGAUAUUAGCAGAAGGACACUACACAGUAGCGUGAUAACAUAAUAGCAUAGAGUAAACAAAAUAGUAGCGUAAUUGGUAGAAUAGAUGUUGUUGUGAGUACUUAUAAUAGUAGAAGCAAAUAACUACAUAGUAGCAAAAAUGGGUAGAACAGAUGUUCGUCCAAGUAGUGAUAUUAGUAGAGGCACACUAUAUAUUAUGCGAGUUAAAAAAAAGAAUAAGGACACACAUGGUUAAAAUUAGUUUGUUUUUUAUUCAUAAAAAUAACUGUUGCUGAAAAACAGAAUAAAUGAGGAUCAUUUCUUCUUAGCCGCUGGAUCGCGAUGUAUUUCCUUUGCGCUCUUCAUCCGCGCUGCAUCAAUUUUGGUUGGUCUUCCUCUUUUACCACUCCCUUUUGUUUUAACUUUCGCUGGAGGCCCAAUCACAAUUGUUGUAUUCUUCGUUUUUUUGGUUCUUGUAAUUGAUGUUCUAGAAUAUAAAUUUGAAACCACUAUAGUCUCACUCAGUUUCUGAAGAGCUUCUUCACCAUAUUUGAGUGGUAUAUCAAGUUGAGGUUGUCCCAUUUUUGUAUAAUUCAUCAUUGUUUGGGUCUUUACUGCAUACUUGGACAAAGGAUUGUCAGGUUCUGAAAGAGAUGGAGCUAUUCUGUUAGUCUUGCAUAGUUUGUCCCACCUAGGCAUUGACAUGAUCAGGAGAUUUUUGAUAUUCACUAGGGGAGGAAGAUUUUCGUUUUGAAUAAUUUUUGAGGGUUUUAGUAGUUUCACAAGACAUAUUAGCGGAGGAUUCCCUUAUAUCAGUAGAGGUGCGUUGGACGAAAUCAAAUUCAAAUAUGGUGCUACCUAAGACAUCAGGUUCCAGGGAGGCCGAAAAAUCAACAUUACAAGCUGUAGGAUGAACAUGGGUCUGACAUUGAGGGGAAUUGAAAUGGAAAUUCAAACUAUUAAUUGGAGGUUUUAACAGUUCCACAACUAAUAUUAGCGGAGGAUUCUCUAAUCUCAGCAGAGGUGCAUUGGAUGAAAUCUGAAUCAAAUAUGGUGUUAUCUACGACAUCAGGAUCCACGGAGGACAAAUAAUCAACAUUACAAUCUGUAGGAUUAACAUUGGUCUGACAUUGAGGGGAAUUGAAAUGGAAAUUUAAACUAACGUUGCAUGAUAUGUUUGAAUGAUCGUAUGUAAAUUGUUGUGAACGAUAUGGAGGAGGGGUAACAAAUAAGGAAUUUGUGUUGGGAGAAACUUGCAGGAUGGGAGAAGGAUCUUGUUUCGCAAAUGAUGGUAGAGAAACCAUUAUGCUAUGGGAGAAAAAAAAGAAGGAUUUGAUGUAAGAAAUGAAAAACAAUAGAACACUAACCUUGAUUUCGGAAGACAAAGAAAGGGGAAAUAGAAGUUGGGUUGCAUAAACAAAAGAAGCUAGAGACGGAAGAAGAUAAACAGUGUGGGAUAUUGAAGAAGAAUACGUUGAAAAAAUAAUCAAGAAAAAAAGAGUAAGGGAGAUGUGAAGGACGAUUUGGAAAGAAAAAGGAAAGUCUUGACAGAGAAUAAGAGAGAAAGGAGGAAAUAUGACUUUUACGUGAAAAGACUUAUAUUGGCAGAAGAAAACGAUUAGAUAGAAGUACAAAGUCAAAUUAUAUAGGUACGUCAGUGAGUAAUGGAAGGACAAAGGAGAGAUAGGAUUGAGGGAUAGAAGAAAAUGAUUAAAGGUAAAUGACAAAAAUAAGGGCAGGACAAAAAAAAACGUACACUGAGGAAGUAGAUAGUGGUAGUAGGAAAGUAGAAGGACAAAUCAAAGAUAGGUGGUAAGAAAAAGAAAUUGUGAGAGAUAGGGAGAGAGAAAAAACAAAAAGCUACCAAAGGACGGUGGGAGAGAGAAGAUGUAAGACCAAAAACCAAAAAAAAACUCUCAUUCUGACAUAUACCACGAAGGGAGAGAGUGCAACAAGGAAAAAAAAAUCACUCUGGCCACUCACGUAUGGAGAGAGGAUGAGAGUGGAUAAAAAAAUUAAAUUUAAUCAAAAAAAAGUACAAGAGUAGAGAGGGUGCAACCGGUUGGUGAAGGUUUUAAAAGAGUUGUCAUGAUUGAUUAUGAGGGAAUGGAUGGAUCAGAUAAAGUUCUCAUGUGAGAACCAAAAAGAAGGAUUCUCACCUGAUUUUAAAUUAUUUAUUGUUCGUGGUUAAUUUUUUUAAAUAGUAAGAAAAUACCAAGAAAAAAAAAAUCACUGGCUAUUAUUUUUAUUGGACGUGGGCAAAUUUUUUAAAACAGUAAGAAAUUCAGGACCAUGGAAAAACCAAUUGUAUUUAUCAUUUGUUAAAUAGGGGUUUGUCAUUUUAAUUUAUUUAUAGUUGUUAAACCAUCUUGAGAGCUUCUUGCGAUUCCAUCUACUAAUCAUCUACAACGUCUAUUUGUCAUUAUGGUAUUGGAGCAGGGCUCGUCAUCGUCGUCUGGUGGUGUUUACGACUGGAAGGUUGAAAGGAACAAGAAUGAUCAAAGGCAUAGAUAAAGGAGCCGUCAAGAAUUGGAUUUUCCUUUCCAUACUAGCCUAAACAUAGGUAACUUUAUGUCAAUACAUGUUUCUAGUGAAAAUUCCUUACAUUGGAGGAUCAAUACAUUCAUUUAUUCAUUCAUUUUCGAUUAAUGUUCAAAUGUAGAAAAUAGAAAGUAAUAAUCGAUUGCAACCGGUGAAUAAUUUUAGAGUAGAGAUAAAAUAAAAAUAAAUAAAUGGACGAGAUUACUGUUAGAUAAAAUUUGUAUAUAUAUUUAUAACCAUUAUUAAUCUUCAGAGGACCUGACCAUUCAAUGAAAACAGGAGCAAAAAUUACCAUUUAUGAUUCAUGGCAGACGCAAUGCAACAUCUAAUUCGUGAUAUUCGAGAAUGUGAUUUAAAUAGCGAUAUAGACAUUUACGAAAUAUGUCGCAAAGAAGCAAUUGAAAUGUCGAGGUAUACUUUGUGUUUUUAGCAUAUUUUAAAAGUAUAUAUAUAUAUUUUAUCUUUCCUAAUCCUUAUUUUUCGAUAAAUGCAGAAGAGCUUCUUGGCAUUCUAAAUUAGCCAAAGAUUUUGAUAAAAGAGAAGAUAAUUCAUCAAAAAAAAAACCAUUUGGCCAUAGCUUGGAAAAAUUGGGAAGAUGCUGGAAUAUUGCAUGCAAAAGCUGCUCAAGAAAUUCUAGAUUUUAAAAAUAAAGAUAACAACGAGUGGGUAUUAGAUUUGCACGGGCUUCAUGCCAUGGAAGCAGAGGACGCAUUAAAAGAACGACUAUCGUUAGUCGAGGGUCUUAAGAUACAAAAAGAAUUGCUGGUUAUCACAGUUUUGAAAAUAUUUUAAAUUCAAAAUAUCAAUAUAUCACUGAAUAAAUUCAUAUAUGUAUUAUUGAUUUGUUGGUAUUGAAAUAUUUUAAUGACAUACACUUAUAAAAAAAUAAUAUUUAUUUUCGUGUUUUUUUUUUCCAGGUAUUGGUAAGCACAGCAAGGGAAAAGCAAUACUUCCCAAUACUAUAAGAAAUUUUCUAAUCCAAAAUCGGUAAAUAAUAUAGGGUUUUUUACCUUUCUUUUUUCUCACACUUAAUUUUUAAAUUAAUUUCGAAAAUUAUAAAUAUAAAAUGAAAUUUUUAUUAAUUUAUUACUUUAUUUUGUAGCAUUCAAUUAACUAGGUAAGCAUAGGGGGUGAGCGGGUACAGGGACGGAUCAGGUAUUUCCUCGUCUCCGUCCUCAGUGAAAAUGAACGGGAACGGAGAAUGUGAUCCCCACCCCAUCUCGUACCCGCUCACUCUUACAUAACAAAAAAACUUUAAAAAAUUUUUAAUAUUUUUCACAUAUAUUUAAUUAUCUUUUUUAUGUUCUACAUUCUUCAGAUAUCAAUUUCAUGAUGCUAGACCUGGAGCAUUAUAUAUCGAAGUUAAGAUUGUGUGAACUCAAGUAACGAUACGAUCGAAUCAGGUUACACAUUGAAUGUGGAAAAUACACGAUCGAUAAACCUUGUCGUCAAGUAUCGAUGAAACAAUCGGGAUUGACAUACAAGAAAAUGGCUCAGGAGUCUACCUAUCAGGUCUGUGCAUUUCUGAUAGAGAGCACCUGAUUGCAGAAGAAGCUCAUCGGAAAAGAAUGGAAGACGAUGUUGAUGAUGAAGUCCUGGAAGAAGCUACGUUGGAGAACAUUCAAGUACAAAAGUUUGAGGUUUAUGCGCAAUCCUAGUCGUACCCAGAUCCAAACCAUGAUUACUAAACCGAAUCAAUCCUCUUAUAGAAUUACCAAACCUUAAUUAAAGAUCAAUUUCAAUCUUUUAAUUAAAUUAUGAGAAAACUUGUUGUAAUUUUUUUUUAUCAAUCAAAAACCUAAUUUUGCUUAAGCUUGGCUUAACAAUCAAACCGGUUAAAGGAAACUGAGGACUGAGGAGUGCUUUCUUUUGUAGUGAACAUGUUGAAACAAUAAAUCAUAUUUUACAAAUCGGAUUUCACGCAAAUAAAUUUGAAAAAAAAUCAUAAAGUCGAACUGGAGUCGGAUCUAAAUUUGUAAGACAGUUAAACAGUUAUUGUUCUAAUGAUCAGAUUACCCCUAUAAGAAAUCCUAUAAAUAAAUGGUCACUUUUGGUCAUUAAGAAGAUAUGAUCUUUUGAAGAAAACUUUGAAAGAUCACUUAGAAAAGACGAAUAGAAUACUGCAAGUUCAAACGUGUUUCCUAGUGGAGUUUUUGAUCCAACGUUAUUCGAAACGAUCCGCGAACACUGAUCAAGUUUCACCCUUAUCAACUAUUUUAUAAAGGCAUUUUUAUAUGAAUCGUUCUAAUAAUAAGUGGAGAAAGUUUGGAUCUAGCUGGUUCGUCACAAGUCACAACUACUAUUCUACAAAUGUUCAUCAAAACAGGAGCAGAUGGACAACAACUUUUGUCCACAUUGAAGAUACAAUUGAGACAUUAAGUUGAUGGUAUCAGAGUUUUGCUUUUCAUUUUCGAAAUGUUGAUGAGAAUGUUAUUGCCUUUAUGUAUUUCUAUUACUACAAAAAAAAAGUGACUUUAGUAGGAGAACCAUGGAUGAUGCAGUGAUAUUGAGAAUGAUUGGAAUAUAAUAUUGCCUUAGUGUUAACUCACUAAUUAUAUUAACACACCAAUUUUCAAAUGAACUAAAACUUAAAUAAGUCAAAAAAUGUCAAUCAAAUCUAGACCGUUGAAAAGGCAAAUAGACGGUUGAUAUUCAAUUUUACAAGAAAACAAAAAAAAUAAGUGCCUGAGAUGAUUUUUGUAUUUUAUGGCUCACUAUAAAAACUUUCCUCCAUAUUAAGAUUCCAAAGAUCUAGACCUAGCUAUUGAUUUAAUUACAUAAAUACCUAGAUUUAGAUCUAUAAAUUAUUUAAUCACAAAAGUUACCAUGUAGUGCGUGCAAUGGUGGAUCACUAAACGAUAUAUUUGGGAACAGUAAUAUAUUUGACACGGCAGACCUAGUGAUUCACAAACUCCGGCAGACCAUAUACCAGGUGAGUUCUUUUACAUCCGGCCGAUUUUUUUUCUGUUCUUGAUGAAGAAUGGUGAUUCACAAACAUCCGACUUCUGUUAUGGCUGAGCUUGUCACUUUUUUUUGAGGUGUUAAUGUAGAUUUUGAUCAUUGACACAUCUCAAUAACUGCGCAUAUGUGCAAACAUACAUAUUAAUCAAAUUAAUCAUCGAUUAUGGAUUUGAUUUUCAAAAUCCGUUUUUACCCAUUUACUCUAUAUAACCAUCGACUAUAAAUUAUGCAAAAAAAAUUGAGAAAUAGUACCUUUUCUAGUUCUAAAAAAUCAAUAAAAACUAGUCAAUACUCCCUUGUGGUCAGGUCCUCGGUCUACCAGACCCGAGUUCCCUGUCUGAAGUCGACGAUGCACCCCUGGAAUCGGCGACUUGGUAGUCCCAGUCGGUGAUUCCCAGGUGUUGCCUUGAGUACUUGACGUAGACACUUGCUCUGCACCGUGGAACUCUCCGGGGGUCUGGCAUAAAGCGACGGAAUCCUAGUCCUUGUUGAAGGGCGUUGCUGGGAGUGACUGACGUAAUCCGGCAUGUCUCACCAGGAGGGAUACUCGCGAUACACACAUGUCUCUUGUGCUCUUUUCAGGGGGGAGUACUGGUGAGAACGCCCUUCAACAAGGACUAGGGUUCCGUCACUUUACGCCGGACCCCCGGAAGUCACCACGGUGCGGAACAAGUUCAUCGUCAAAUUGCCGAGUUAACCCGUAAAUCGUCGAUUGGACUUGUCGACUUUAGAAUAAAAUCGCCGAGUUAGGGCCCAGAUCGACAGUAUGGUAGACUGCAUAUCUCGCCCCUUGAAACUCGGUGAGUUUGCCCUAAAUAGACGAUUUCCAUACCUGAAUCGUCGAUUUACGACCGUUACUCGCCGUCAGCCUACGCCAUAAAUGCUCCCAUAUAUGGCAAUAGGCGCGAUGUCCGGCUUUGAUCGCGCCCUCUGAGACCCUAUAAAAAGGGUCCCAAGGGGAAACUUAAAGACACAACACAAGUUCCACUCUCACGAUUCUCACGAGAAUCACCUAUUCUCCCCUUGCAGGUAUUUGACGUAGAACGCGCGUCGUGGAUUCCAGAGCCUCCGUCAUCACCUCGCACCACCGCGAGCCCUGGUAGCAGAUUCAGUACUUCAUCACUUCCUUUUCUUUGGGCACGGUCUUAGCCGUCCCCGGAUCCUCCUUCGGGCGAUCCUAUUCCUCAUCCUCUUCUCCUUUCUUGUUGACUUUUCUUUACUUAAGAGUACGUAGUGUAGUAAUUUUUGUACUAAUAACGUUGUUGUAAGUUUUGUUCUAUUACUUAUUAUUGUCAUUGUCACUGUUCCCCUCUUUACUUUUAACAUAUUGCGUGUUUCAACAUCCUUGUUUCGGGUUCUUUAAUGAUUUGAAAAAACAACUUUUUUAUGCAACGUGUGCGUGCAGCUGCUCUUGACCCUACCACCCGUCGAUGAGGUGGUCUGAACUGUUUUACACUUUAGUACGUCGUUCAUCGUAUGUUACCCUCUUUUACCCUUGGUCGAUCCCCUGCCGAGACUGUCAUGCUUCACCGUGUGCAUUUUUUCAGAAGUUCGGUGCUCGUAUCGCGUGCCCUCAUUUGCCCUUUUUUUCAAAUAGCAUAGGUUUUGGGCCCUCAAGCUACCCUCUGGGCCGCGCGCUCGGUCGACAAUGGCACGUAUCUCCGCUCAAGUACUCGCAAUGCUUUGACUUCCAUGCCCUGGGUCUAUAAAUGCUCCCCCUCUCUUUUUUCCUCUCAUCUUCGGUUUCCACUUUCCACUUCCAUAGGUUAAACGCUCCUUCUUCUUCAGCCCCCAUGGCCGGUUUUUCUUCUUUCAAGCGCCUCAAGAUUACCGUUGCUCUGAUGGACAACCUCUUCUCUCUGGAGCCUGAUCAGAAUAACCCUCAGUCAAACGUCUCUGACAAUGGGAUCAAAGAAUCGCGGAACGAAUGUCGGUGGAUACGGUCAGCUUCAUGCGCCCUGGGAACGACCUUGAGUCAUAUCCUCCCCUUGGUUAUGUCACCAUCUACAUCCACUUUCUUAUGUCCCCCUUUCUGAAGUUACCAUUGUCCCCCUUUCUUAUGCCCGUGGUCAGAAAAUUUGGUGUGAUUCUUUCUCAGUUCCCACCGACGGCGAUUGACCGGCUGACCACCUUUGCCCUUUCCUACGAGAAAUGUAAGGUUGAUCUCUUUCUGGCCAUCUUUACCAUCUAGUAUAAUGUGAUGGCGAUGAACACCGACGCAAACUGUAUCCUCAUCGUCGCUCGGCGGAGCUCACCUGUUUGACCCCCAAUCAGGUCAUUGGAUUCAUCUAGACACUUCUUCCUGUUUUGGUAAGUUUCCCCCUCCUUAGUAGCUUCCAAAACAGGAAACGAAGAUUGCCGGAUUCCGAUCAAUCUCUUUUUUUCCGGGCUGUUUUGCCGUAUUGGUCUUUAUUAUAAAUCUUCAACAACUCUCAAAAUAGGUUGGCCGGAUUAUAUCCAAAACAUAUAAAAUAGGUCUAUACGCAUUUUUCGUAAAUAUAAAAAAUAUUUACGAAAAUGUUACUAGCACUUUGGGAGCUAUAAAGGGCUUCCUGGAAAUAGGAAGUGUUUUUCUCUUUUUUGAAUGAUGUCAGUAUAUGGCCGAAUAGUUUUAAUUGAAAAUAUUGAGCCGGUGCAAGCACAGCUUAGGCAAAUCAAUUAAAUUAAAAUAUAAGUUCAUGUAGGUAUGCCACCUCAGAGACAUUCUGAAAUUAAGGUGGGGCAGCUAAGAUAAUGCCGGCAACCACUAAGAAUCUCUUAUCGGUUAAUAAUGUGUAUGUACGAUUUGAUGCACAAAAGGUGAAGGUUCGUCAUUCCGUUACUAAGGAAGGUCGUGGAGGGAUUAUACUAGUUGUCGAUCCAGGGGUUCACCAGGCGUUGUUGGGGGAAUAAGUAACGAACCAAUUAUGACAGUAUAUCGCCUCGAGUAUCUUAAUUAAUGCUAAGGCAGUGUCGGAUUUAGUGAAACAAGGGACGAUUAUUUCUUCCUGUAAAUUUUUUGAUCACUUAUGAAUCUUAUAUUGUUGGUAAAACCUCAUAUUUCUAGAAAAUCGGUUUAUAAACCUCUUGCCCUAAUAUUUGCAGAUAUUUGGGGCCCUUCCCAUGUUAUCUCAUCAGAAGGAUAUCACUACUAUGUCAAUUUUGUAGACGUUGACUCAAAUCAUAAUUGGGUGUACGGUGUACUCUCUUGUAAAGAAAUAAGAUGUAUACAAAACGAAUAAUCGGCUUCGUUCAGUAUAUUAAACUUACUCGCCUAGACAUACAAGUGACUGUGAAAAAGCUGGCGCAAUUCCUAAAUGCCCCUAUACCAAUUAAUUGGCAGGCUAUGAAAAAUGAUUUUGUGUUUCCUAUCGGCUAUUCAGAGGAUGGGAAUUCUGUUGAGAAGAACGAAUGACAUUGGCAUCACAACGUAUUGUGACGUGGAUUUGGGGGGAGACUCCUCUAUCCGGAAGAGUAGAACAAACUUUCUCAUCUACGAUGGUGGGACCCUGGUUUCAUGGAUCUCCAAGAAGCAGUCGACGAUAGCUCGGUUGAGUACUGAGGCCAAAUACCGAGCUAUCGUGACGACGAAUCAAGAGUUGGAGUCUAUUGAUAUGCAAUUUUGAAAUGGGUGUAGCAUAAUUAUUGACUCAAUUAUUUUGGGUUUACAGGUCGAAAUCAAUAAAUGAGUUAGACUUUUUAAAAAAAUUGAACAUGACCCAUUUGUGUUGGACAGUUACCAAACUGCCAAGAUGGUUAGAAACAAAUCUGUAAAUGAGUUAGUGGUUAGUACUUAAUUAGCUAACUAAUGUUUAUAAAUAACAAUUCAUACAUGUAUUCAAUAAAACAAUUUUCAACAUCAAACUCAAUUUCUGAUAUGGUAUCAGUUAGUUAGGUUGCGUUUCUGAAAAUCAGUUGACGAUGGUAACUCAACACCAAGUUUCCGCUGCAAUUGAAGAUAAUGAUAGCCCUGGAAAUCCGGUCAGAUCGAUCAGCACUCCGGCGAUCACUGGUGAGGCACUCACACAACCAACAAACACGAAGGUUGUCACACAGGCCAUCAGGUGUGUGCUCUUAGAAAAAUCAAACUACUUUUCAUGGGAGGCACAGUUUUUCGCGAUGCUUCGUGGAUUCCAGUUGAUGACAUACGUUUUGGGGGAAGAAGGAUUGUCCACAUCGGCGAAUAUCCAGCAAGAUAAACUAAUAUUAAGUUGGAUCUUAACCGGAGUCUCGACAUCAAUCUGCCCCAAAUUGCUUCGUACAAGACGGCGUCCGGAGCAUGGCUGGCUCUUCGAAGAUUGUAUGCUUCUAGCACAUAGACAAGGCAGAUCUACAUCCGAAGUCAGCUACAAUUGGUUAAGAAAGGUGGACUCUUAUAAGAAUAUGUGAAAUCUAGGGUAAAAUAGAAGUUUUACCAUAACACUAAGUUCAGGACUUAUUUGGAAUAAAGAUAACUCUAAGGUUAUAACAAAACAGACUAAACUGUUUGUUUAUAACUAACAAGGGGUUAUUCACAAAUAUUUCAAUAAAUCGUUAAUUGGACUUAAGUGUAAUUAAAAGAAAUGAAAGGUUAUUACAAAAGAAUUGAAAUAACCAGAAAGAUGGACCAAGUUGAGAAUAACCCAAUUAUUAAUAAAGUUGGACCUAUGUGUCAUUACUAAUAGUUUUAUAUGUGUGCAGCAAUUGUUACAAUUAACAACAAUUAAUCGGAUCCAGAUCUAGGCUCACAAGACCGACCCGAGACCCGAUUAAAUUGAAUCAGUUUCAUUUAAAGAAAAUUAGUUAUUAGUUAAUUGUAAUAGUUAGUUGUAAAUAGUGUAUAAAUGAUUGGGUUGUAAACUGGUUUUAAUUAAUUGAAUUACACAAGUUAAUCAAAGUAAAAAAAAGAUUAACAUUUUUCAUAUUUUCCCCCCAAAUCAUUUCUUCCCCCUUCUUCUCUCUCCAGCGACAGUUUAGUUUGUUUUUCCCCCUUUCUCGUGGGUGGAAAAACCUAGACUCAAUUUCUCCGGUGAUCGUCGCUAGAAGGCUCCAGAAGCUCCGACGUCGUCUCCGGGACUUCAUCUCCACCAGAAAUUAACAUGGUAUCUGUCAACGCUCCUCGAAAUCCAGUCGCUUCCGCACACCCAGACGACGCCAUUUCUGUCCCAAAUGCGCAACCCAACAAUCCAGUCCAGACGUCGGAAAAAUCACGUCAGUCUUCCUCAGGUUCUACCGGAAAGUCCAAGGCUAAUGACUUCGAUCAAGGUCUGUAUAAUUCAAUGUUUAAAAGGCAUAAGGCAGAGAGGUAUGUUUCUCCUCUUCAAGAUCCAGAAUCUCCAUUCUUUUUGACCUCCGGUGAUCACCCGGGGGCUUUUUUAGUGCUUGAUAGAUUGGUUGGAGAAACCAAUUAUAUCACUUGGACAAAUGGUAUGAAAGUAUCUCUAGUAUCAAGAAGAAAAGAUUUUUUUAUUAAUGGAGAAAUUAAGAUGCCAGAUGACAUUACUAGUAGGGAGUAUAACAUCUGGAAGAUUGUUAAUGGAUUAGUAUUAGCUUGGAUACUUAAUUCAGUAUCUCCCCAAAUCCAAUCCACCCUAAUGUAUACAAAUAAUGCUCACGAAAUUUGGAUGGAUUUAGAGAGUAGAUACAAACAAGGAAAUGCCCCUAAGGUAAAUCAGAUUAAAUAUGAGUUAUUUUGUUUGCAACAGGGUUCAAUGAAUUCAUCUGAAUUUUAUGAUAAAUUCAGAUCAAUUUGGGAUCAAUUGAUCCAAAUUGAUGAAAUAAGAGAUGAAUUUUGCAAAAUCUGUAAAAAGCUAUACCAACAAAAGGAAGAGAGUGAUAUGAUUCACCAGUUUCUGUUAGGUCUGAAUGAAAGUUUUUUUAAUCUUAGAACUCAGAUCCUAUCACUAGAAAAACUGCCCAACAUGAACAAAGUUCUUCGGCUAGUUAUACAAGAAGAAAAGCAGAGGUCAAAAUUCAGAGAAAAUAACAAUGAUAAAAUUGAGUCGGCAUUUUUUGCAAAAGAAAAGAAUACAAUAGAUAAACCAAAAAUCAUGUAUUCUAAAAGUGGAAAAAAGUUAGAUACUAGAUUUUAUUGUGAUAACUGCAAGUAUUAUGGACACACAAGAGAUAAGUGUUAUCAUCUAAUAGGCAGACCCAAAGAGAAAUUUCAAAAGAAAAAUCUGGGAAAGAAACCCCAGGGCAGCACCAAUACAGAAUCUGAUGUAGCUAAUCAAGUAGCUUCUACUAGCAGUCAUCAACAACUUAUGCUAACUCAAGAAGAAAUUCAGCUUUCUAAAGAGCUAAUCUCCUCAACCAAAACAACUAGCAAUGUUGGUAAUUUUUAUUCUUUUUCUUUUAAUAUAAAUUCAUAUAUUGAUAAAUGGAUUGUAGACACCGGGGCAUCACAACAUAUGACCGGUAGUCUUCAUUUAUUUACAAAUCCCCCAAUUCAAGAACACAACCAUUUUGUAACUAUACCUAGUGGAAAAACACUAAUAGUUCAAGGAAUUGGGUGUAUAAAAAUUUCAGAAAAUUUAAUACUUAAAAAUGUCCUAUAUAUUCCUGAAUUUAAGGUUAAUUUAAUAGUAUAAGCAAAUUAACCGUAGAUAAUGACAUUAAAGUAAUUUUUGAUGAUCAUUGUUUUAAAUUUCAGGAAAACAAAUCCGGGAAAGUGAUUGGCAAGGGGGAAUCAAGUGAUGGACUUUAUUUUUUCACCCCCCAUUUUUACCUAGCCAAUUCAGCUACCAAUUUCAGAACUUGGCAUCAAAGACUAUGCCACAUUUCUUCACAAAAGAUGAAGAUUCUAGCAAAUAAAUACAAAAUUAGCUAUUCUAAAAAUGAUUGUAAUAUUUCUUGCAAAAAUAAAUGUUGUAGUGAAAAAUUCUGUUUUGAGUGAAGUGUUGAAUAAAAAUGAUAUUUCAAAUGAAAAUAAUUUUUUGAAUAAAAAUUAAAAUUUUUUCCAACAAAGUACAAAUUUAAAUGAGUUCAAUGACAUUCAACAUAAUUGCAAGAUAUGCCCUAUAGCAAAACAGUCCAAACUAAAAUUUGCCAUUAGUUCCUCAAAAACAGAAAAAGUUUUUGAUUUAAUCCAUAUUGACAUAUGGGGGAAGUUUCCAAUAAAAAUCUAUGAUGGCUAUAGUUAUUUCUUAACUAUAGUAGAAGAUUUCAGUAGAGGAACAUGGAUAUAUCUCAUCAAAAAUAAAUCAUUGGCAAUACAAUGCAUUGAAUUUUUUUAUAAAAUGGUUAAAAGCCAAUAUAACACAAAAAUCAAAAUCAUUAGAAGUGACAAUGGAGGUGAGUUCACCUCCAAUGAUUUUAAAAGAAUGACUGAAAAACAUGGGAUAAUCCAAUAAUUUUCUUGCCCUUACACUCCUGCACAAAAUGCAAGAGUGGAAAGAAAACAUAAGCAACUCUUGAAUAUUGCAAGAGCCCUACAUUUUCAAGGAAACAUCCCAAUAAAAUUUUGGGGAGAAUGCAUAUUAACUGCAUGCCACCUUAUAAAUAGAGUUCCUUCUAAAUCCAUUGAAAACAAAACACCUUAUGAGUUGAUAAAUAAAAAAAUUCCUGAUUUUGAAAGAUUAAAAUCAUUUGGUUGCUUAUGCUAUGCAUCAACAACACAAAUAGAAAACAAAUUUUCACCUAAAGCAUAUCAAGGAAUUUUUAUGGGAUAUCCCAAUGGGAUUAAAGGAUAUCUCAUAUUGAGAAUUUCUGAUAUGAAAUUUUUUGUUUCAAGGAAUGUAUCUUUUAGGGAAUCUAUAUUCCCAUUUAAAGAUAAGAUAAGUCUAGAAAACAAUAAAGAAUUAGAAAAUCUUCAAAAAAGUUUACAAAAAUGCCUUUAUCAUGAUGACUCAAACAAGACUUGGUAUGAUUAUAAAAUGCAUAACCAAGGCAAAAACAUAACAAAAAUCUCUGAAUCUCAUAACAGAACAGAGAACAAAAGUAAAAAUAAAAAUCUGGAAAAUCCAGAUAAAAGAUCAAAAAAUGAUCUUUUAAAUCCAGACCACAAUGGAUUAAAUAGAAUAAAUUGUUCUACAAAUGAACACAUGAAAAACAUGACCAACAACAAUGAUCAAAACAGCAUUGUUGAGCAUGAAAAUGCUGCAAGUACUGGAAAAGUCCAGAACAUCAUCAAUUCUGAAAUUUCUGGAAUUAUUGAACCAAGAACAUGAAAUUUUGGAAAAUAUCUAAAAUUCAGAAAUAGUUCAAAAUAAUCAUGAAAGCAGUAUAGAUCAACCUAGUAUGUCUAUAAGCAAAGAAGAUCAAAAUUUAUUGCCAAUUUUCAGAAAAACCCCUGAACCCUGCAAAUUUUCAGAAAAACCUCUGGAAAUAGAAAAAAAAACCACAAGGGCAGGGAGAGUUAUACAUAUCCCAGAGGCUUACAAGGACUUCUUCCUUGAAAAAGAUAAAGAGUAUGGGAACAAUAACAAAGGUAAAUACCCAAUAUGCAACCAAGUUGCAUAUCAUAGAAUAAGUAAAACUCACAAAAAUUUGCUAAAUCAAAUUUCAGUGAAUGAUGAACCUAAAUCAUAUUCAGAAGCAUCAAAAAACCCAAAAUGGGUAGAAACAAUGAAUAAAGAAAUGGAAGCACUCCAUUUAAAUAACACUUGGACCUUAACUACACUUCCUAAUGAUAGGAAAGUUGUAGGGUCCAAAUGGAUCUAUAAAAUUAAAUAUAAACCUAAUGGUGAGAUAGAACGAUACAAGGCUAGGCUUGUAGCAAAAGGGUUUACCCAAAAAGAAGGUUUUGACUAUUAUGAAACCUUUGCUCCCGUAGUCAAAAUGACUACAGUUAGAGCAAUCAUUGCAAUAGCAGCAAUGAAAAGAUGGAACAUCUAUCAACUAAAUGUCAACAAUGCUUUUCUUCAUGGAGAUCUUCAUGAAGAGGUAUAUUUAAAACCACCACAAGGACUUCUUCAUGAAGAAGAUAAAAGGGUUUGUAAACUAAACAAAUCCUUAUAUGGCUUAAAACAAGCAUCAAGAAAUUGGUUUGUCAAGUUAAAAGGAGUCCUUCUAGAAAUAAAUUUCACACAAACACCUUCUGAUUACUCACUCUUUGUGAGAAACAAAAAUGAAAACUUAAUAUACUUAUUGGUGUAUGUUGAUGAUAUCAUCAUCACAGGAACAAAUGAAACAGAAAUUUUUGUUAUCAAGAAGAACAUUGAGAAAAACUUCAAAAUAAAGGAUUUAGGGAGAUUGUCCUAUUUUUUAGGAAUUGAAGUCUCCUAUCCCUCACAAGGCAUUCACUUGUCACAAAGAAAGUAUGCACUUGGUAUUUUAGAAGAAAGUGGGCUCAUGGAUGCAAAACCUUCAAAGGUGCCCAUGGAAAGGUUUGUAAAUCUAAGAAAUGAAAAGGCCAAGGCCUUAAGAAACCCAACACUAUACAGGUCACUAGUAGGAAAACUAAUAUACCUAAACAUUACUAGACCUGACCUAAGUUUCCCUGUCCACUGGUUAAGCCAGUACAUGGGAAAUCCAAAUGAAAUUCAUCUUCAGGUCUUAUUCAAAGUGAUAAGGUAUCUUAAAAAUGCACCUGGACAAGGGAUUCUAUACAAAUCUCAAAAUCAAAUGAAUCUCUAUGAGUACUGUGAUUCAGACUGGGCCUCAUGUCAGGUUAGCAGAAAAUCCUUAUCAAGAUACUGCAUGUUUCUAGGAACAUCACUAAUUUCUUGGAAAUCCAAGAAACAAGAUACUAUUUCCCUAUCAUCAUGCGAGGCUGAAUAUAGAGCCAUUAGUAAAGCUCAAUGUGAGAUACUCUGGCUCCAUCAGCUUUUCAAAGAUCUAAAGUUGAAAAUAGUAAUGCCAACCUCACUAUACUGUGAUAACAAGUCUGCGAUAUACCUUGCAAAUAACCCAGUAUUCCAUGAGAGAAGCAAACACAUUGAAAUCACAUGUCAUUCAAUCAGAGAAAUGAUAGAAAAGGGGAUAAUUCUCCUAAAACAAGUUGGGACCAAGUACCAACUUGCAGAUAUAUUCACCAAAUCCUUAGGUGAACAUGAGAUUUCAAAAUUCUCAGUCAAGCUAGGAAUUCACAAUGUGUAUUCCAAGGCUUGAGGGGGGAGUAUAAGAAUAUGUGAAAUCUAGGGUAAAAUAGAAGUUUUACCAUAACACUAAGUUCAGGACUUAAUUGGAAUAAAGAUAACUCUAAGGUUAUAACAAAACAGACUAAACUGUUUGUUUAUAACUAACAAGAGGUUAUUCACAAAUAUUUCAAUAAAUCGUUAAUUGGACUUAAGUGUAAUUAAAAGAAAUGAAAGGUUAUUACAAAAGAAUUGAAAUAACCAGAAAGAUGGACCAAGUUGAGAAUAACCCAAUUAUAUAUAAAGUUGGACCUAUGUGUCAUUACUAAUAGUUUUAUAUGUGUGCAACAAUUGUUACAAUUAACAACAAUUAAUCGGAUCCGGAUCCAGGCUCACAAGACCGACCAGAGACCCGAUUAAAUUGAAUCAGUUUCAUUUAAAGAAAAUUAGUUAUUAGUUAAUUGUAAUAGUUAGUUGUAAAUAGUGUAUAAAUGAUUGGGUUGUAAACUGGUUUUAAUUAAUUGAAUUACAUAAGUUAAUCAAAGUAAAAAAAAGAUUAUCAUUUUUCAUAUUUUCCCCCCAAAUCAUUUCUUUCCCCUUCUUCUCUCUCCAGCGACGGUUUAGUCUAUUUUUCCCCCUUUCUCGUGGGCGGAAAAACCUAGACUCAAUUUCUCCGGCGAUCGUCGCUAGAAGGCUCCAGAUGCUCCGACGUCGUCUCCGGGACUUCAUCUCCACCAGAAAUUAACAGACUCUCUAUGGACGAUUAUAUUUCUAAGGUCGUCGUUCUCUAGUAUGUUGGCAGCUACCGACGAGAGUAUCAAAGAAUCCGAGAUGAUUCUUGUCACACUUGCUGGAUUAGGCGAUGAAUAUGAAGCUUUCUCCACGACGAUAAUAGUACAGUAUGAUCCUGACUUGACGUUCUCCCAUCUGUGCGAGCUAUUGAUGGAUCAAGAUAUCCAUCUUGAAAAAUUGAGGACGACGGGUCUACGAGUUGCAAAUUUCANNNNNNNNNNNNNNNNNNNNNNNNNNNNNNNNNNNNNNNNNNNNNNNNNNNNNNNNNNNNNNNNNNNNNNNNNNNNNNNNNNNNNNNNNNNNNNNNNNNNCGCUCAAGUAACGGCUGGGAGUCGGCGAUUCAGGUAUGGGAAUCGCCGAUCCAGAGGUUCAAUCGCCGACUCCCCAUGAGCCUAGUGGCAGCCUACCAGAGCUGUCCACGAGGCCUAGAGUUGGCGAUUCCCCCCUGGAGUCGGCGACUUGGUAGUCCCAAUCGGCGACUCCCAACUGUUAGCUUGAGCUCUUGACGUAGACACGUGCUCCGCACCGUGGAAGCCUUUCCGGGGGUCCGGCAUAUAGCGACGGAACCCUAUUCCUUGUCGAAGGGCGUUGCUGGGAGUGACUGACGUGUUCAGGCAUGUGUCACCAACUACCAAGUCGCCGACUUUAGAAUCAAAUAUCCGAGUUAGGGCCCAGAUCGGCAGUAUGGUAGACUGCAUAUCUCGCCCCUUGAAACUCGGCGAGUUUGCCCUAAAUAGGCGAUUUCCAUACCUGAAUCGUCGAUUUAUGACCGUUAUUCGCCGUCAGCCUACGCCAUAAUGCUCCCAUAUAUGGCAAUAGGCGCGAUGUCCGCCUUUGAUCGCGCCCUCUAAGACCCUAUAAAAAGGCUCCCAAGGGGAAACUUAAAGACACAACACAAGUUCCACUCUCACUAGAGCAGCACUAAGAGAAUCGCUGAUUCUUACGAGAAUCGCCUAUUCUCCCCUUGCAGGUAUUUGACGUAGAGCGCACGUCGUGGAUUCUAGAGCCUCCGUCAUCACCUCGCACCACCGCGAGCCCUGGUAGCAGAUUCAGUACUUCAUCACUUCCUUUUCUUUGGGCACGGUCUUGGCCGUCCCCGGAUCCUCCUUCGGGCGAUCCUAUUCCUCAUCCUCUUCUCCUUUCUUGUUGACUUUUCUUUACUUAAGAGUACGUAGUGUGGUAAAUUUUGUACUAAUAACGUUGUUAUAAGUUUUAUUCUAUUACUUAUUAUUGUCGUUGUUACUGUUCCCCCCCUUUACUUUUAACAUGUUGCGUGUUUCAGCAUCCUUGUUUCGGGUUCUUUAAUGAUUUGAAAAAACAACUUUUUUAUGCAACGUGUGUGUGCAGUUGCUCUUGACCCUACGUCGCCCGUCGAUGAUGUGGUCUGAAUUGUUUUACACUUUAGUACGUCGUUCGGUCGUGUGUUACCCUCUUUUACCCUUGAUCGUUCCCCUGCCGAGACUGUCAUGUUUCACCGUAUGCAUUUUUUCAGAAGUUCGGUGCUCGUGUCGCGUGCCCUCAUUUGCCCUUUUUUUCAAAUAGCAUAGGUUUUGGGCCCUCAAGCUACCCUCUGGGCCACGCGCUUGGUCGACCAUGGCACGUAUCUCCACUCAAGUACUCGCAAUGUUUUGACUUCCGUGCCCUGGGUCUAUAAAUGCUCCCCCUCUCCUUUUUCCUCUCAUCUUCGGUUUCCACUUUCCGCUUCCACAAGUUAAACGCUCCUUCUUCUUCAGCCCCCAUGGCCGGUUUUUCUUCUUUCAAGCGCCCCAAGGUUACCGUUACUCUGAUGGACAACCUUUUCUCUCUAGAGCCUUAUCAGAAUAACCCUCAGUCGAACGUCUUCGACAAUGGGAUCAAAGAAUCGCUGGAACGGAUGUCGGUGGAUACGGUCAGCUUCAUGCGCCCUGGGAACGACCCUGCGUCAUAUCCUCCCCUUGGUUAUGUCACCAUCUACACCCACUUUCUUAUGUCCCCUUUUCUGAAGUUACCAUUGUGAGGCACUCCGGCGAUCACUGGUGAGGCACUCACACAACCAACAAACACGAAGGUUGUCACAAAGGUCAUCAGGUGUGUGAUCUUAGAAAAAUCAAACUACUUUUCGUGGGAGGCACAGUUUUUUACGAUGCUUCGUGGAUUCCAGUUGAUGACAUACGUUUUGGGGGAAGAAGGAUUGUCCACAUCGGCGAAUAUCCAGCAAGAUAAACUAAUAUUAAGUUGGAUCAUAACCGAAUAUCCGGCGAUAUAACUUUUAUUCAAUUUUAACAAUAUUAGAAAAUCAAUGGCUAACUACAAAGUAAAAAUUUAAACUUGUAAAUGGUAUAUCGAAAUCCGCAUUUAAAUUCGAAUAUAACUAUCCAUGGAUUCGGAUUUUCGAAUUCGGAUUCGGACACCUAAAUUGAUAUCCGAAUUUUAUUCGGACGGAUUCGAAUAUCCGAAAAAUUCGUCAUUAACUUCCGGAUAUCCAGAUUUUAGAGUGAUUAAUUAACUUUAUUAAUGGUGAUUUUAUACUUUUAUAAUGUUAUUUUAAAUUUUUUAUAAAAAGUUAUCCAAUAUCUGAUUAUCCGGAUUUUAGAGUGAUUAAUUGACUAUUAAUUAACUUUAUUAAUGGUGAUUUUAUACUUUUAUGAUUUUAUUUUAAAAUUUUUAUAAAACGUUAUCCGAUAUAUGAUAUACAGCCUUAUCUGUAAAGAACACCCCGCUUACAAUUAGUAAGAGCCAGCGAGGACCGCCAACGGAAGACCAUUAACAUGAUAUUUGGUGGUCGAUCCGUUGGCCAAAAUAGAGGAUAUGCCCGAAAGGUGCUGAUGUCACAAUCAACGCCUCAAGACAACAGAAAACGGGUCCGCGAGGAGAAGUCAAUAUACUUCUUUGAAGAAGACCUGGACGAUGUCCUGCAACCUCACGAGGACCCACUCGUGAUCCAAGCAGACAUCGGUCCCGAUUCCCGAGUCGAGAGAAUGAUUAUCGACAGCGACAGCUCUGCGGACAUCCUUUAUAUGGACACUUUUACCAAGAUGGGCCUUAAAAGGGAGGAACUAUCUCCCUGUAAGGAAGCCAUCUACGGUUGCACUAACAUCACUGCCCCAGUGGCCGGUGUUAUUGACUUGAAAGUCUCCAUCAGUUCCAAGCGAGGGAAGGUUAGCCGAACAUGUCAUUUCAUAGUAGUGGAAGUAGAAUCCACUUUUCAUGGCAUAUUCAGACGCCCCUUCAUUCACGGAAUCCAAGCAGUCCCGUCUUCUUAUCACCAAUGCAUUCGAUACCCAGUAAACGGGUUCAUUGCAACUGUCAAAGGAUCGCAAAAGGAUUCUAGACAGGGGUAUAAGAAGGCAACCCAGCUGACAAGGUUUAACAACAUGCUCGUCCACGCCCCGCCUGACAUCACCCAAAGAGGAAGAGGACCUAUAAUUAUACAUAGAGGCCUCAGAAGAAGCCGUGAGCGCGGUCCUCAUUGCGCAGAGGGACAAGGACCAGGUCCCUAUAUACUACCACUCGAGGCGACUACAAGGUGCUGAACUACGGUACUCUCCUAUUGAGAAGUUCGUAUAUGCAGUGAUCCAUGCUUGUCGUCGCUUUCGUGCUUACUUCUUAGCGCACACGAUUGUGGUACUAACAUCGUGUCCUUUACGCCGUCUACUUCACAAACCCGACAUUUCUGGGAGGUUAACCAAAUGGGCAAUCGAACUCAGUGAAUUCGACUUAGACUUCCGACCAGCCACUGCCAUCAAGGGGCAAGCUGUGGCGGACUUCAUUGUCGAACUCACACAACCCAAUUUGACCCAACCUUGGGUUGUAGAAGUAGACGGCUCAAGUUGCAGCACAGGCUCAGGUAUCGGAGUGAAAAUCCAUAGCCCGGAUGGAAAAAACUACGAACACUCGGUACGGCUUCACUUCCUGGCUGUUAACAACGUCACGGAAUAUGAAGCGGUCAUACACGGCCUGAAGCUAUUAAGAACUCUCGGCGCUGAGAAUGUCAUGCUCCGCACUGACUCCCAGCUCGUAGCCUGGCAAGCCACUGGUGAAUUCGCUUGUAAGGAACCACAAAUAACCAAAUACGUGGAGGCGAUGGUAGCACUCACCAAGCAGUUCGCUGAGUUCAAAAUCGAGUAAAUCCCUCGAAUCCAAAAUUCACCCGCGGACGCUUUGGCACGUUUAGCAUCAGCCUGGGAGGGAGGGCAGCGCGAGAUUUUAGUGGACUCUAUAAUCCAGCCUACAUGCCAAGUAUUGACUGUUACCUCCAACCCUCAAGAGGAUUGGAGGCAACCAAUAUUGGCAUUCAUUCAGAAUGGAGUACUUCCUAACAAUAAAGGGGAGGCCAAAAAGUUGAAACAUCGGAGGGAUGCUUUACAAAAAGUCCUUCGAUAGCCCGCUGCUACGCUGUUUGGCCAAACCUGAUACGGAUAGGGUUAUUCAAUAAGUACACGAAGGCUCGUGCGGACUGCUUGAGGGAGGAAGAGCACUGGCCUUCAAAAUCAUAUGGCUAGGAUACUAUUGGCCCACUCUAAGGUUGGAAGCUCGCACUUACGUCCGUAAGUGCCGAGCAUGUCAGCUGCACAACCCCAUGCCGCAGAAACCAUCCGCGGACAUGACUCCGAUUCUGAGUUUAAUCCCGUUCGCAAGGUGGGGACUGGACAUUGUAGGACCAUUCCCCCUCUCAACAUUCCAGGCUCGGUUCAUCUUUGUAGCAGUAGAUUACUUUACAAAGUGGGUCGAGGCUCAGGUUGUAGCGAAAAUCACUCAGGAUGCGACAGUCAAGUUCAUCUACCGCUCCAUAGUCUGUCGAUUCGGAGUUCCCCAACACAUUGUCACAGACAAUGGCACACAAUUCACAGGGGGGAAAUUUUCAAGAAUGUGCGAAGACCUAAACAUAAAGCUCCACUUCGCUUCCGUUUACCGACCUCAGGCAAACGGGAAGUGGAGGUUACCAACAACGCCAUCGUACAAGGAUUGAAAAAGAAAAUCGAAUCAGCCAAAGGGACUUGGGCAGACAAGUUGUGCGAAAUCCUAUGGGUAUAUCGCACGAGUAAAAACCCCACGGGCAACACCCCUUUUGCUAUGACCUAUGGAGUGGAAGCGGUCGUACCAAUCGAGAUGAGUAUACCAACAUAUCGAAUCUCGAAGUACGACAAACAAACAAAUGACCAAAACCUAGUCACAGAGCUAGAGUUGAGAGAUGAAACCCGUGACGAGGCGGACCUGCGGAACGAAUCGUACAAGGCAAGCGUAUCGAGGUACCACAAUCGCCAAGUACGCAAAAAAGUUUUCUUGCCAGGAACUCUCGUCACGCAGAAAGCUAGCAUAACAGAAAGGAAUAGAUCAAGAAAUAAACUGUCAUCCAACUUCGAGGGUCCCUACAUCGUCGAAGAGGAGAUAAGGCUAGGAACUUAUCGCCUACGGCGACAGGAUGGAAUUAUGGUUCCAAACACCUGGCAUGCGGACAACAUGCAGCAGUACUACGCAUAGUACUCAUCGCAUUAUGUUUAUUUUCUUUAAUUUUCCUAGUAUGUAUGUUAGUUAAUCAUAGAAUUCUUUCUACAUAUUCUAACCUGCAAGGAUACCCUAAAAAAAAACCUAUUGUGUCGCUUCGGCCUCAGUAGAACAGGGAUCAUUCCGUCGCUACGGCCCUAAUGAUCCUAUCCAAUCUUGUCGCUUCAGCCUUGAUACGGAUCAACAAGUCACUCCAUCAAUAGGACAGGAGUCAGACUACAUCCUCAGCGUUCAAAUCCAGGGUUAGUACGAACAGGUCCAAUUUAGGCAUGCGAACCUAGAGUUGCGACCACAACCCUUAUUCGCAUGGGCGAAUCAAGAAUUAGUGGGUGUUACAUCAAUUAACCACUCAAAAUAUUUUCAACCCUAAAAGUUAAUUUAAAAUUAUAAAUCAUUUGCGAGUUUAACUAGCAACUAAAUUACGAUUCGUACGACUAAGCUUACGUCCGAGGCGGCUAAGUAGAGUUAGCAGAAUUUAACUUACGUCCAGAGCGGCUAAGUUACGAUUUGUGAAUAUAGUUUUAAGCUUAAGUUACAACUCUAAUAUAUUUAUACAAAAAAUUAACAAAGAAAGGCAAAAUAGUUCAUUGAUUGAUAAAAAGAUUACAAAAUCCACUACAAAAUUACAAAAAUCCACUACAAAACUCAGGAAUUCUAGUCUUCUUCUUUUCUCGCCUCUCGAACAUCGCUCUUUAUCUUAUCGAGAGAGCUUCUUUGUGCUCCAACUGCACUUCAGGAUGUUCUUCUAACCACACCAUUAUAUCAGUCACAUAGUUAGCGAGCAAACUUGGAAACACAUAAGGACCAAUAAAGUUUAAGUCCUGGAGUUGGUCAGAUUGACCGUCAACCUCAAACUCUAAAUCCUUCACCUUUUGAGAAGAAGCGUCUAGAUCUUCCUUCAUCUUUCUCGACUCCUCCAUGGAUUGGGAAAAGCAGUCAUUCAGAUCCUUUAGGUCAGAGGUGGACUUGGAAAGGUCUACUUGAGGCUUCUAAAUUUGUGAUUCAGAAGCCAUUGCAUUGCGCACCUCCGCACUCAGCUGCAUCUUCAGUUCGUCAAUCUGUUUAAGAGCAUCAGUGAGACGCGAUUCAGAUUCCUUCAAACAGUCACGUUCUUGGCGAAGAAUGGAAAUCUCAAGCCUAUGUGCAACACACUCUUUAUUCUUCGCCACCAUCGCCUUCUCAUGCUCAACAGCUUUCUCUUCCAAUUUCUUGUUGUUUUGAAAGAACUUUCUCAUUGACUACACUUCUUUACAGACAGCUUGAUACUUGUCAUCAAGCUUAUCGUAUUCUUGUUGGGAUCGAAGCGUGUCAUUGCAUGAUUGCAUCCCAAGAGUAGCAUUCGAUAGAUACGCGGCCUAUAAAAAACAAAACAAUUAAAUUAGCACGAAAAUAUAUAUGUUAAAUGCGAGUUUAGGUCACUUACAGUAGAUAGAGCUUUAGUGGGCUCCUCUCGUAUCCAAUCCCCAGACUUCGUCAAAAGUAUCUGGGUAGCUUUAGAUCGCACCCCUUCAUCCGCAAACAGGCUCGGAUAAUCAAAAUUGGUGCAGAAGGGAGCAAACUCUGGUAUCGACCUCGAGCACGACCCAGUUUCAAACGUGCCACGAGGACCAGAUCCUUCAGUCUUCCUCAUCUGAAUUAAUUUGGCACUACACAACCUCACAGCCAAAUGAGGAAGCACCGCUUCAUGGUAGAGAUGUGCCCCUUUCUUCUUCUUAAUAGGCUUGCCAGAAGGGUCUUCCGACUUCAGAUAAUGUGUCACAUCAGAAAAAGUGAAAUCCUCACGCUGACACAAAGCGAAAGGAACCCCUUGACCACAUUGAUAAGAAGCAAGGGCUGAAGAAAUCUUCUUCACAUGCUUCAAUUCCGCCUUGCUCAAUGCACAAGGAACAUCCAAGUGUACGCGACGAGCAUUGGCCCAGCCCUCUCGACUCCCGCGUACGAACAUCGAGUCAACAAAGAAGAACUCACUCUUCCACUGCGGCCCAUAGUUAGUGGGGAGUUCAACGAUUAAUUCACGUCCAUGAAACCGCUUAGCCAACCCCAACCGAACAGAUUCGGAAGCGGGAGCCUUGACAAAUUUGAAGAACCAGAAAAACAAGGCGCCGGUUGCAAGGAUAUUCAAACUCCAACAGAUGUUGGAGAAUCCUCUCAAGUAUAUAAAAAAUGCUGCCUGCAUCUGUGACAGCGACACGUCCCCUUGUAACAACACUUCACUCAUUAGUAUGGGGAUAGGCAGCACGGAGAAGUGUCUGAAAUAGAGUCGGGGAAUCGCCUGAAACCCCGCAGGAGGAAGGUUCGCAGGUUGAUAUUGCGACCCCCAAAAUCGCAAGUGCCCAGAAAUGCGUACCCCUCGCAGAAUGUCUCAGGCUUCGGCACAAGAGAAUGGAUGCACUGUCUCAGUCUGCGGCACAAGAGGUGCAUUAACAGAAACUUCUUCGAAGGACCCCUCGCUCGCGUCGCUUAGGGGCAACAGCUUAAUUUCACCACCCAGCAAAGUUUCACAGUGAGCAUAGCCGGUGUGGUUCUCAACUCCCUCGUAGAAGGGGAGGUUGAUGUGGUCUCCAUCCUUGUCCACUUCCGUGGGAGGAGAAGGUGUCUUUGAUCCCCCAGCCGGAUCAGGGCGGCGUCGGCUUUGACCACGGUCUAGUUCCAGUUCCUGAUCAUAGUCGAAGGGCUCAGGAACCCGUACACCCUCCGCGGAGGGGAUAUGUGUCUUUCCUCUACCCCCAUCCCAUAAAUGGGAGGAAUGGGGGUACUACUCUCGCGAGACGAGUUCUUCACAUGCUUAGGGUGUUUUCGCUUUCUUUUCUUACUUGGCCUCUCAGAUUCAGCAAUCGGCCUCUUGCUCAUGUCAGUGGAGGUCAACCCCUCAGUACGGGUGACUGAAACAUCAGGUGCCACCACCUGAAGGGGCACAUACUCUUCAACACCAGCCCCCGAGUUUUGGGGCAACGUCGGCGAUUUAGAUGGCAAACUCGCCGAUGUUUGAGAAAAUCUCGUCGAUCCCAGAUUGAUAACUCGGCGAGGUCUCUUGAAGAUGGGGACACCCCGCUUGCCCUUGGUCGGCGACUUCCCAAGGGGACUCGUCGAUUUAGGAGCAUGAGUCGGGAGAAUCUCGCCAACCUCAACAGAAGGCUCUGCCACGAAUAGAGCCUUGGAAUCACACCCCAAACUCGCCGACUUCUUGUUAGAACUCGGCGAUUGCUCGGGAGUGAGCCCAAGUAACUCGCGGACCGUGGCACAGUAUCUAGCAUCCGACAGUGCAUCGACAGCCGGAAUCUCCGACCCACCACGCGUAGGCGAGGGGAUCGGAGACUCAACGAUGUUGAGCACUGCCGUUAGACUCUCGUCAAUGUCAAUGUUUAAAAUGUCGUCGACCAGAGCAUCGGUCUCCGACAUGGUGAGUUGAGGGAGUGACGAUUGGUCUGCCAUAAGUCGGCGAUGUAGAGAGAAACUCGACGACUUAGUGGAAGAUUAGGGUUUAGGCGAUUUGGGAAAAAUAAUGUGCGGAUUAAAAUAAUCGAUUUUCUAUUUAUAGACCCUGGACAAAUUGCAAAAUUCCCUCGGAAAAUCCAAAAAUUACGCGAAGAAAAAUCGCUAAUUGAUUCUCAAAUCUCCAAAACUCGGCGAGUUUCCCGUAAACUCGUCGAGUUUUGGCAAAAAUCACGGGAUACGAAAGGGAAACUCUCAUAUUUGGAAAAUUUGUAAAUAUUUCCCAAGAUCCCAAGGAUUUUCUAAGAAAUCCGCCAGCUCAUAUUAAGGAUCGCCGAGUUUGUAAGAAAGUGGCAGAUCUAGGUCAGUAAACUCCUAAGUUUCUCACAGAACCACCCCGAUGCCAAGUCGCCGAGUUAGGACAUUAAGUCGCCGACUUAGGACAUCACAUAGCAUCUUAGGGGGGGGUAUCACAAGCUCCCUUCAGCAACAAAAGGAGGGUAUCACAAAAUCUCCCGACAUUUCUGUCGCUCCGACCGGAAAUCGUCGAAUCUCGAGGGGGAGUACUACAAGCUCUCCCGACAUUUCUGUCGCUCUGGCCGGAAAUCAUCGAAUUUCGAGGGGGAGUAUAUCGCAAGCUCUCCUGACAUUUCUAUCGUUUCGGCGGGAAAUCGUCAAAUUUCAGAGGGGGAAUAUCACAAGCUCGCCCGACAUUUCUUUCGCUCCGGCCGGAAAUCGUCGAAUUUCGAGGAGGGGUAUCACAAGCUCUCCCUACAUUUCUAUCGCUUCGGCGGGAAAUCAUCAAAUUUCAGGAGGGGGGGGGGUAUUACAAGCUCUCCCGACACUUCUGUCGCUCCGGCCGGAGGUCGUCAUAUAUGAGCACGGUAAAUCUGUUGUUGCGGCCAGAUUUACCAAGGAUUGGUUCGAGCAAAGGGAGAAUGUCACGAGAGGUAAAAUAGCACGGUAAGUUCAAUUGGUCAAUAAUAAUAAGUGUUUUAGACUGAUCUAGUUGUUUUGUAGGAUGUUUUCUUUCUUGCAGGUAUUAUUCUGUAGCUUCGGCCAGAAUCAGACUCUGAUAGUGAGUCAAUCUAUCCUGUCGCUUUUGCCUUGAUAGACUAGAGAUCAUUCGGUCGCUUUGGCCUUAAUGGUCUCAACCCGUCUUGCCGCUUUAGGCCUUGAGGGGGUAACUGUCGUUGCAGACACAAAAGUCGCUCUUGAUCAGGGUGGACUAUAAACAUUAGUUCUAUCGCUUCGGCUAGAACCCGGUUCUAUAGCUUCGGCUAGAACUCGAUUCUGUCGCUUCGGCCUGAAUCAGAUUCCGUCGCUUCGGCUGAAAUUAAUCUUGUCGCUCCGGCCUUGAUAAACACAGUGCAGUCGCUCUUGAUCAGGGUCAGACUAUAAACAGGUAGUUCCGUUGGCCUGGAACUCGAUUCUGUCGGUUCGUCCCUACAGAGUCUAUCCAUUCUUGUCGCUUAGGCCAUAAUGGAUACGGAAUCAGUACGUCACUGUGGGCGGAAUGAUUCGAUCUCAUCUUGUCGCUUCGGCCUUGAUGCGGAUCACACACUGAACCUUGGUUGGGGGGAGGGUAUUGGCGAUACACGCAUGUUUCUUGUGCUCUCUUCAGGGGGGGAGUACUGGUGAGACAUGCCUGAUUACGGCAGUCACUCCCAGCAACGCCUUUCAACAAGGACUAGGGUUCCGUCGCUUUAGGCCGGACCCCCUGAGAGCUCCCACGGUGCGGAACAAGUUCAUCGUCCAAAUCGCCGAGUUAGCCCGUAAGUCACGAUUGGACUACCAAUUCGCCGACUUUAGGGAUAAGUCGCCGAGUUAGGGCCAAGAUCGGCAGUAUGGUAGACUGCACAUCUCGCCCCUGAAAACUCGUUGAGUUUGCCCUAAAUAGGCGAUUUCCAUACCUGAAUCGCCGACUUACGACCGUUACUCGCCGUCAACCAACGUCAUAAAUGUUUCCAUAUAUGACCAUAGGCGCGAUGUCCGCCUUUGAUCGCGCCCUCAGAGACCCUAUAAAAAGGGUCUCAAGGGGUCACUCAAAGGCACAACACAAGUUCCUCUCUCACCAGAGCAUGACUAAGAAACUCCCCAAUUCUCACUAGAAUCGCCUAGUUUCUACUUGCAGGUAUUUGACGUAGAGCGCGUGUCGUGGACUCCAGAUCCUCCGGCAUUACCUCGCACCACCGCGAGCCCUGGUAGCAGAUUCAGUGCUUCAUCUGUUCGGUUAAUACAAUUGGGUAUGGGUCAUCAGAUGCAAUGACAAUGUGGUACCCAGACUCAGGUGCCACAUCCCACAUCACAAAUUCGGAUAAUAAUAUUCAACAAGCUCAUCCCUGUACAAGUAAAGAUAAACUGUUUACUGCCGACGGAACACCUCUGUUGAUUACUAAAUCUGGAAAGACUGUUGCUGAAUUUAAUGGACCGUCUUGCGUGCUCAAAAACCUAUUACUCGUUCCAACUGCUACUAGAAAUUUAAUAUCAGUUAAUCGCUUAUGCUGUGAUAACAAUGUUUCUGUUUCAUUUAAUUCACAGAGAGUCCGAAUUCUGGAUCUGGCUACUAAGAAAGUAAUACUGGAAGGUGGAGUUCGUGGAGGUCUAUAUGAACUGCCAAUGCGGACAAAUAAAGGCAGAGGAACGAUCAAUCUGUGCGAAAAUAUGGAACAUUUCCGGUGGCAUUGCCGCCUUGGGCACUUGAAUUCCAAAUAUAUGUCAAUUCUUGAAAAAAAUGGAAUAAUAAAGUCGAAUUCAAAUCCUAAAUGUAUGAUUAAUUGUGUCUCUUGUAAACUCGGAAAGUCACACGCACAUCCUCAUCCUUCCAGAAAAAUGAUUUAUCAGCCAAUGGAACUUAUCUUCUCAGAUAUAUAGGGACCAGCCCCCGUAACCUCAAUCAAAGGCUACAACUACUAUGUGAAUUUUGUAGAUGCUAGCAGCGGUUACAACUGGGUAUUCACAAUGAGAAGAAAGUCUGAAAUUUAUUCCGUAUUUGAGAAAUUCAAAUGUUGGGCCGAACGACAAAGCGGCAAAAGAAUCCUUGUACUCCAAACUGACAACGUAAAAGAGUAUAUACAACUAGGAGAACGCUUGGCAAACUUGGAAAUCUUACACAGAUUAUCGGCACCGUAUUAUCAUCAACAAAUGGGAACGGUAGAACGCCGGCAUCGUCAUAUUAUCGAUACUACGGUAACAAUGUUGCGACAUUCGAAAUUACCAAAUGAAUUUUGGGAUUUCGGGGUACUCACGGCAAGUUAUCUCUAUAACCGGAAUCCCUCACCGUUACUAAACAGAAAGUCACCAAUGGAAGUUUUGUUCGAAAAAAUACCAGAAUAUAAACAGUUUAAAGUAUUCGGAUGUGCCUGCUACCCAUGUCUUCGACCGUAUCGCAGAAACAAAUUAGAUGCGAAAUCUAAGGCGUGCAUCUUCGUGGGAUACUCGAUUUCUCAAAACUGUUACUUAUGCUUAGAUCCUAUCAGUCGACGAAUUUUUUCAUCAAGAGAUGUCGACUUCAAUGAGGAGGACUUCUCAGCAAAUAUAAAAUAUUUCGGGGACAGAAAAGAAAAUUGUAUUGCAAAUAAAUCUCAAGAGACUUCAAUUACAACAAAUAACUUGGGGGUAAUAUUACAAAUACCAUUAACCCAAGCAAGAGAACCCGAAGGCCCAAUAAACGAGUUAGGAGACCCGGAAGACUUGGAUGAUCCACCGACUUCAACCGGACCAGAUCCGAAUAAUACGUCGGUGAAUCCGGAAAAUUCGGAAAAUCAAGUCAUCUUCUCACCGGAACAACAAGACAUAACCGAACCAGCAAUCAUCCGAACAAUUGCAGACCUCUUCGACGAUGAUCAUGAGGAUUUAGCAUACACGCACUCCGACUCCGAUGAAGACUCGGAAGAAGUACCAGAGAUACGAACCUCCACCAUGGUGACAAGGGCUUCGGUUGGCAUUCGCAAACCCAAUCCAAAGUACGCUCUUGCCAUAACACCAACGGAAAUAUCUAUACCAAAAUCCACAAAAUAUGCUCUUACAAUCUCGGAAUGGAAAGAAGCAAUGACGGUCGAAUUUCACGCUCUCGAACGAAAUAAAACAUGGACAUUGGUUCCAAAAGAAAUUGGUGACAACGUUAUAAAUACAAAAUGGGUCUUUAAAGUCAAAGUUAACGAAAAUGGAUCGGUUGAACGGCUAAAAGCAAGAUUAGUUGCUAAUGGGAUGAAACAGAUUCAUGGUACCGACUACGUAGACAUCUUCAGUCCAGUCAUCCGACCACUAUCCAUCCGACUAGUUCUUCUGGUUGCGGUAUGGAAAGGGUGGACAAUGCAUCAACUAGACAUCUCGAAUGCUUUUCUCCAUGGAGUGUUGAAGGAAAGGAUUGUCGUAUCGCAACCGUUCGGGUUCGUAGACGUCAAAAAUCCAGACUACGUAUGCCGUCUCCACCGCUCAUUGUAUGGGCCAUUGCAAGCUAAAGCAUGUCGCAAUAGACUUUCAAUUCGCAAGGGAAAUAACGGAAAAAGGAGAAAUCAUAGUCCGGCACAUAUCGGGAAAAGAGCAAUGGGCAGAUGGUCUAACCAAAUCACUUCCAGCAAAACAGUUCCAAAAUUUUCAGAAGGAACUGGUCAAAGAAGGCUCACUAUCUUGAGGGAGGGGGUGUGUUAGUGAUGGGUACUAUGGGUACUCCACACAACAUUCAAUUGUAACUAAUUCAUAGGAGUAACAAACUCAAUAACCAAUUAGUAUGGUUAUAAAUACAAUGUAUGAUAACACUUUUAAAUCAAUUCAAUUUCAUUCUAGAGAUUACUCACGUUAAUCUCAUAUGGUAUCAGUUCAUAGGUAAUAAGAGGUAGAAACAGAUUUUUUCUCUCUCUCUUCUUCGUUCCUAUAGUUUCGAUGACAAAUCCAACAUCAAAUGCAUCCGCUGCUACUGGUCCGGCGAGGCCAAUCAAGGUCGUCACUAAGCCGAUCAGGUGCGCCCUCCUAGACAAGAACAACUAUUUCUCGUGGGAGGCGCAAUUUUCCACAAUGUUGCGGGGUUUCGAUUUAAUGGGAUACGUUCGUGGCGAGAUGGAAUUGAGCACACCAGAAGCUAUCCAACAAGAUCAAUUGAUCUUGAGCUGGAUCCUUACCGGCGUUUCAACAUCCAUUGUUCCACAGAUCGCUUCCUACAGAACAUCUGCCGGCGUUUUGUUAUGUCUUCAGCGCCUAUAUGCAUCAGGAACGCAGACGUGUCAAUUGCAUCUUCGUCUCCAAUUGCAAUCAAUCCGAAAGGGGAAAACGCCGAUAGAAGAUUACAUUGCUAAAAUUGCAGUUUUAAGGUACGCUUUGGCGGCUACAGGGGAGAAAUUAAAAGAAUCUGAGACCUGUUUGAACACUCUUCAAGGACUAAAUAAGGAAUAUGAGGCAUUUGUGACAUCAGUGACGACACGAUGGGAUCCAGAUCUUACCUUCUCACGUCUUGGCGAGCUUUUGAUGGAUCAGGAGCGGUGAUUCUCGACGAGGCAGUCCGCGGCAAGAGCAGAAUCCGGAGACGACGGAGAACUGAACGUGGUUGCUGACCGCGAGAAGGGACACGCCAAAAACUCCAUCUCGCGUUCCGAUUUGCGCUGUCAGAUUUUCUCGCGGAAGGGCCAAAGCGCGAUCGAUUGUUACAACCGAAUCAACCUGACGCGAUUUCCGCCCAACCAUUUCAGAGUUUUGUCUUCAAGCGGGCCAGAGGGUAAAAGAGGUUCGGUUAAUACAAUUGGGUAUGGGUCAUCAGAUGCAAUGACAAUGUGGUACCCAUAUUCGGGUGCCACAUCCCACAUCACAAAUUCGGGUAAUAAUAUUCAACAAGCUCAUCCCUAUACAAGUAAAGAUAAACUGUUUACUGCCGACGGAACACCUCUGUUGAUUACUAAAUCUGGAAAGACUGUUGCUGAAUUUAAUGGAUCGUCUUGCGUGCUUAAAGACCUAUUACUCGUUCCAACUGCUACUAGAAAUUUAAUAUCGGUUAAUCGCUUAUGCUAUGAUAAUAAUGUUUCUAUUUCAUUUGAUUCACAGAGAGUCCGAAUUCUGGAUCUGGCUACUAAGAAAGUAAUACUGGAAGGUGGAGUUCGUGGAGGUCUAUAUGAACUGCCAAUGCGUAUAAAUAAAGGCAGAGAAACGAUCAAUCUGUGCGAAAAUAUGGAACAUUUCCGGUGGCAUUGCCGGCUUGGGCACUUGAAUUCCAAAUAUAUGUCAAUUCUUGAAAAAAAUGGAAUAAUAAAGUCUAAUUCAAAUCCUAAAUGUAUGAUUAAUUGUGUAUCUUGUAAACUCGUAAAGUCACACGCACAUCCUCAUCGUUCCAGAAAAACGACUUAUCAGCCAAUGGAAUUUAUCUUCUCAGAUAUAUGGGGACCAACCCCCGUAACCUCAAUCAAAGGCUAUAACUACUAUGUGAAUUUUGUAGAUGCUAGCAGCGGUUAUAACUGGGUAUUCCCAAUGAGAAGAAAGUCUGAAAUUUAUUCCAUAUUUGAGAAAUUCAAAUGUUGGGCCGAACGACAAAGCGGCAAAAGAAUCCUUGCACUCCAAACUGACAACGCAAAAGAGUAUAUAAAACUAGGAGAACGCUUGGCAAACUUGGGAAUCUCACACAGAUUAUCGGCACCGUAUUCUCAUCAACAAAUGGGAACGGUAGAACGAUGGCAUCGUCACAUUAUCGAUACUACGGUACAAUGUUGCGACAUUCAAAAUUACCAAAUGAAUUUUGGGAUUUCGGGGUACUCACGGCAAGUUAUCUCUAUAACCGGAAUCCCUCACCGUUACUAAACAGAAAAUCACCAAUGGAAGUUUUGUUCGAAAAAAUACCAGAAUACAAACAGUUUAAGGUAUUCGGAUGUGCCUGCUACCCAUGUCUUCGACCGUAUCGCAGAAACAAAUUAGAUGCGAAAUCUAAGGUGUGCAUCUUCGUGGGAUACUCGAUGUCUCAAAACUGUUACUUAUGCUUAGAUCCUAUCAGUCGACGAAUUUUUUCAUUAAGAGAUGUCGACUUCAAUGAGGAGGACUUCUCAGCAAAUAUAAAAUAUUUCGGGGCAGAAAAGAAAAUUGUAUUGCAAAUAAAUCUCAAGAGACUUCAAUUACAACAAAUAACUUGGGGGUAAUAUUACAAAUACUAUUAACCCAAGCAAGAGAACCCGAAGGCCCAAUAAACGAGUUAGGAGACCCGGAAGACUUGGAUGAUCCACCGACUUCAACCGGACCAGAUCCGAAUAACACGUCGGUGAAUCCGGAAAAUUCAGAAAAUCAAGUCAUCUUCUCACCGGAACAACAAGACAUAACCGAACCAGCAAUCAUCCGAACAAUUGCAGACCACUUCGACGAUGAUCAUGAGGAUUUAGCAUACACGCACUCCGACUUCGAUGAAGACUCGGAAGAAGUACCAGAGAUACGAACCUCCACCAUGGUGACAAGGGCUUCGGUUGGCAUUCACAAACCCAAUCCAAAGUACGCUCUUGCCAUAUCACCAACGGAAAUAUCUACACCAAAAUCCACAAAAUAUGCUCUUACAAUCUCGGAAUGGAAAGAAGCAAUGACGGUCGAAUUUCACGCUCUCGAACGAAAUAAAACAUGGACAUUGGUUCCAAAAGAAAUUGGUGACAACGUUAUAAAUACAAAAUGGGUCUUUAAAGUCAAAGUUAACGAAAAUGGAUCGGUUGAACGGCUAAAAGCAAGAUUAGUUGCUAACGGGAUGAAACAGAUUCAAGGAACCGACUACGUAGACACCUUCAGUCCAGUCAUUCGACCACUAUCCAUCCGACUAGUUCUUCUGGUUGCGGUAUGGAAAGGGUGGACAAUGCAUCAACUAGACAUCUCGAAUGCUUUUCUCCAUGGAGUGUUGAAGGAAAGGAUUGUCGUAUCGCAACCGUUCGGGUUCGUAGACGUCAAAAAUCCAGACUACGUAUGCCGUCUCCACCGCUCAUUGUAUGGGCCAUUGCAAGCUAAAGCAUGUCGCAAUAGACUUUCAAUUCGCAAGGGAAAGAACGGAAAAAGGAGAAAUCAUAGUCCGGCACAUAUCGGGAAAAGAGCAAUGGGCAGAUGGUCUAACCAAAUCACUUCCAGCAAAACAGUUCCAAAAUUUUCAGAAGGAACUGGUCAAAGAAGGCUCACUAUCUUGAGGGAGGGGGUGUGUUAGUGAUGGGUACUAUGGGUACUUCACACAACAUUCAAUUGUAACUAAUUCAUAGGAGUAACAAAGUCAAUAACCAAUUAGUAUGGUUAUAAAUACAAUGUAUGAUAACACUUUUAAAUCAAUUCAAUUUCAUUCUAGAGAUUUCUCACGUUAAUCUCAUAAAAUGAAAAGGAAAGCAAAAAGUAAAUCAGAUUGGUCUCUGAGACAUUUCCCCAUUGACUGUGACAUUAGAAGAUAUGUGGUGGUGAAAGCUAUCACGGCAAUCAAUCAGAAUGGGCUGAAUAAUUCUUUUUCUCCUACAGAUGAGGAUGAUCUUAUUAGACGGUGGAUAAUGUAUCUAUUCAUUACAAUCCUAUGUUGUAAAAACAGUUAUAGAAUAGGUAGAAAAUUCUUGGACUACAUCGAUAAUAUAGAAUAUAUUGGAGAAUACAACUGGGCAGGUUAUCUUCGGAGCGUCUUAUUUGGCCGGAUGAAGAAAUGCCGAGACAUGGUGCUGCAGCGCAAAAGAACGAAUGAGCCUUCUAAGGUGUACCUGGAUGGAUGCGUAAUGUGCCUCAUGGUAAAAUUAAAUAUAUAUAUUGUUCGUCUUAUAAUUCCUUUUCAUUUUUUAUUCAUUAUCUUAAUGAAAACCUCUUAGGUCUGGCUAUUCAAGCAUACGCUUGUAACUACGCCAAAUCAGGAAGCAGUGUCGAAUGAACCUUACUUCAAGAAGUGGGGGGGAGAUUACAUACAUCAAAGAGAAUCUGGAUCUGCUUAGUGAUUCUGAGGUUUACCCCGGUUCCCAAUUUUUUUUGCUAAUAUAUAGUUCAUAUAUGCUAAUAUAUUAUCGAAGAUAAAUAGAAUAAUUAAAAUUCUUAACUACUAAUGAAUAUGAAGUCCAUUGAUGUUUUCAACCAUUAAACACGCACUAAUUUUAAAUUUCAGGUUUUCACAACGGACAUUCCUUCGAGAAGCGACUUAAUUAACAUGGUCUCUACGAUGGCUAUUCUUAACGAAACAGGUUCUUCAUCUGCCAGUGAGGAAUUAUGUGUUUCUAAGAAGAAUGAGGUAGAGGAUGAAGAGGACAACGAAUCUGAAAAGCGGGGGAAGUUGAAAGGCAAAGCUGUGUUGGUACAAGAAUCACCUAGGAAGCCUUAUUCUGCAUCUAAUAUCAAGGCUCUAAUCCUUGAGAGGUGUCAAGAACGGAAGAUGGAGGCUCAAAAAAAAUUUCCUUUGAUUUUCAAACAAAAGCCUGGCGUAAUUAAAAACUGAGAAGAAGGUAGUGGUGAAGAAAAAUCAGAUUCCUUCUACAAGUUUGCAACAUAGUAGUUGGCUAUCAAAUUCAAGUGGAAUGUCAUCUAUGCCUUCUACCAAGUAAUCAGAGGAGAAAGAAGGUAAUUGAUUAUUUCAAAUUAAUAUCUUUUGAUUUAGUUUAAUAUUCCUAAUUCUUACUUACAGAUUUUGAGGAAAUGAUUGAGAAUAUGGAUGGUAAAUAUAUUAUAGUUAUGAAGGUCGUCGACAAGCAACUACAGGUUUUCGAAGAUCCAGUUGAAGUUGACUUGAAUGAUAGAUACACUACUAUUGCAGCCGUCGAUGAGAAGAACACAGAAUCUGUGGAAUUUCUAAUUCAUGAUAUUGCAGGGGACUGUUCCGCUAAAAUUCUCGAGGUUCCUGCUACUGAAAAUGUUUUAGAAGAUGAAAUACAUUCCGCAAUUCACGAAAAAGAAACUGCCAAGCAAGAGGAAAAAGUAGAGCCUGUUCGUGAACCAUCAUUUGUCUUCCCAACAUUUAAUCUGAACAUCAGCCAGGAGUGUCCUACUCCAAGAAUAAAUGAUGAUGGCGAUGACGUAAUAAUUCUUCACUCUAUUCCGCCACAAAUAGAGAAAGCUUCCAUCGAAGUCAAAAAAGAAUUGUACGAGGCUUGGGAAUUAGAAAGAGGUAUUGUUCCUAAAUGCCAAGAUUCGUCUUUGGCAGAGCUUACUGUCGUAGGUAUGAAUAAUUUGAAGAAUAGUUAAAUUUCAAUUAUUUUGAAUAAAAUGUUGAUUAUUGACCUGCAAUUUCAGUGGAGAAAGAGAACCAGGUAACUAACGCUGCUGAGAAGACAGAUGCGUCUACAGUUGAUAUUUCUUGUGCCGAGAAGAAUUCAGCGAAAAAUGUCGAAAAAGGAAAAGCCGUCAAAGGUACGGGACGGAAAAGGGACUAAACAAUGAUUUAGUCGAAAACAAUAUGCUUAGAUAUUAUGAUAGUAUUCUGAUAACUAUGUUUCAAAAAAUCAGAAGUUGUUUUCGUUUUAAACUUGAAUAUUUCCCUUUGUUAGUUUUAUCCCUAUGUGUAUUAAAUAUGUACAACUGAAUAGUGUGUUCUGCUAUGUGAAAUAGUAAAUCUGCUAUUAAUGUUAGAUUUUCCUAUAAUUAACAAUUGUUAACUGCUAUUAUUCUGUACGAUACUGUUAGGUACAUAGGUCGUUCUGCUAAAAUUUUGCAAUGUCCAGCUAUGUAGGCUGAAAAUUUCGUGGAUCUGUAAUACUACCUAUAAAUAAAAUACAAACUAAUAAUGUGUUCAUUUGACAUUUAUGCGGGACACAAAUAGUAUACAGGUUUGCAAUAGUAUAAUAUAAAAUCUAUUUUUUCAGAUUGUUCAGAAAAGUAUGAAAAAAACAAAGGUAAGGCCAAAGUUGAUGAGAAAGACGCGGACGUCCUUGCUAUUCAAGGUAACGAUUUAAUGAAGGGUAUAAUAUAAUUCGUUUGAUUUUUUUUUUUGUGUGAUUUUCUGAUACUAUUAUGAAUGAUUGGGAAUGCACAGUAUUUAGCGAAAGCGAAGAUGAAGUCGAAUAUCAAUAUUCGAAUCUGAUAAUUUCUGAUUAUAAGUUUGUUAAAGUGAAGACUGAAAUGUUCACAGGAUAUGAAUAUAUCGAUGAGUUCACCGAGAAGACCAUCGACCUAACAAAUGAUGGUACUGUGUGUAUUUAUUGCUAUCGGAAAUGCUUUUCUUGUAACACAUAACAAGAUUUUUAUUUUUAUUCAGAUCCCUUCAACACAAGGAAGGAAUUUAAUAGUUCGCCUAUAAAUCUCGCUUUCGAAGGAAUUGAUAUUGAGAGCGAUUUACCUGAGGUUGUGAAUGAGGGAGUGGCGAGACAUGCCUGAUUACGUCAGUCACUCCCAGCAACGUCUUUCAACAGGGACUAGAGUUCCGUCGCUUUAUGCCGGACCCCCGGAGAGCUCCACGGUUGCGGGCAAGUGUCUACGUCAAGUACUCAAGUCAACACUGGGAAUAGACGACUGGGACUACCAAGUCGCCGACUCCAGUGGUAAUACUACCUAUAAAUAAAAUAGUAUACAGGUUUGCAAUAGUAUAAUAUAAAAUCUAUUUUUUCAGAUUGUUCAGAAAAGUGUGAAAAAAACAAAGGUAAGGCCAAAGUUGAUGAGAAAGACACUGACGUCCUUGUUAUUCAAGGUAACGAUUUAAUUAAGGGUAUAAUAUAAUUCGUUUGAUUUUUUUUUCGUGUGAUUUUCUGAUACUAUUAUGAAUGAUUGGGAAUGCACAGUAUUUAGCGAAAGCGAUAGCGAAGAUGAGGUCGAAUAUCAAUAUUCGAAUCCGAUAAUUUCUGAUUAUAAAUUUGUUAAAGUGAAGACUGAAAUGUUCGCAGGAUAUGAAUAUAUCGAUGAGUUCACCGAGAAGACCAUCGACCUGACAAAUGAUGGUACUGUGUGUAUUUAUUGCUAUCGGAAAUGCUUUUCUUGUAAUACCUAACAAAAUUUGAACAAUGAACUCAUAUCCGUCCAGUUGAACAAAAACAAACCUAGUUCUUUUGUCAAAAGGAUAAUCGAAAGACAUGUAAGUUUCAAUAAUGGUCUUUGAACUAAAUGUCAAUUUUCUGCUAAAAUUAUUAUUAAAUGUUUCAGGUAGACGUGAGGAAGACUAGGGAUGAAAGGACAAUGAGAGAAAAGAUGUGGAAGAACCACAUCACCAGGGCUGGAAUGAACAUAUGGGACUAUAAGGAGAAUGGUACAUUACAGGAAAUUGCUGCGAAAGAAGGUCUAUUGAAAAUAGGUCCCAUUCGAUGUGAAUCAACCUGGGUCCUUGGAAUACUGAAUACUGAAUAAAUGUAAGUGAGACAAAUUUCAGAAAAUAUAAAACAUUACUAAAACUAAUAUGGAAACAUACUUUGUGCAGUGCAUCUCGCUUUUCAUUAUAGUUCUCCGACGGAAAAUGGCUGAUCGACAAUAUUUUGCUCAUUCUGUAAAAUUCAUUGACCCAAUAACAAUGGUAAUAUAUUCAUGUGCAUCUACAUUUUCAUAACAAAUUUGACCUUGUGCAUGACAGUUAUAUUUUGUCAAAUUAGAAAAAAAUCAAAGUGAUUGCUCCUAGCAGGAACUUAAAUAUGACAGAAUUCAAGGAGCUCAAGAACAUAUUGAGUGAAAAGGCAGACAAAUGGGACAUGAUUCAUACGAUAUUAGCUCCCAUUGAAGUGUAUGACUUUUAGCAUUUAAUACAAUUGGACAUAACGACGAAGAAAUACAUCCAGUGUUCUCCCUAUGAAGACAACGAGGAUAUGAACAACCAAUACAAGAAUAUGGUAACUGUAUAAACACUAUAUAAUUGCAAUUAAAAUGUUGAAAGAAAAACGAGGCAAAAAUCUUAUACUAUGUUGUAUAAUAUUUUGCAGUGUUAAUGGUUGGAUCAUUACGUCCGAGGGAUUUAUUCAGACCACAAGUUGUCUAGUUGGGUUUGCGAAAGAUCACCUAGUUUUCCUCAAGCAUUCUAUAAAACCCCUGAAGAGACCGGACUAUACGUAAUGGCCGCCAUGGAAUACAUAUCUAUGGGUGAGCCGGUACUUUGGAGCAAGAAGGACGUUGAUAACAUCAGGGAAAAAAUUAUCCAUGACAUACUACCGGUGGCCUUACGUGACUCUUAUAUAUUUAACAACUAUAGCUUCAAGUACAAUUAAAGUAUAAAAAUUCCUAAGUUAUUUUUUGGUUAAACAUUGCUAUUAAUUAAAUAUUAGUCUAAGUACUCAAAUAUUGUUUGGCUACAACUCUAUAUAUUGUUUUGUUAAACAAUAGUCUUAAUUUUUAGUCUCAGUACUCAUAUAAGCAGAAAUAUUGGGAGACAACCACUAUACAGCAGCGUAAAGACAUAAUAGCAAAAAUAGACAAGAUAAUAUAGUAAGGAGUAGAUGUUGGUCUAAGUACUGAUAUUAGCAGAAGCAGACUACAAAGUAGUGUAACCAGUAAUAGCAGAACUGUACGACACAGUAUAGGAAUGGUUAGAAUAGAUGAUGGUCUAAAUGCUCAUAUUAGCAGAAGCACACAACACAUUAGUGUAUACCAAGAAUAGAAGAACUGUAGGACACAGUAUAGGAAUGGGUUCAUUUCAGAUAAGAAUGGGUUAGCAGAACUGUAAGCAGAAGCACACUCCAGAGUAUCGUAUAAAACAUAAUAGCAGAACUGUACCACAGAGUAAAGGAAUGGGUAGAAUGGAUGUUGGUCUAAGUACUGAUAUUAGCAGAAGCACACUAAACAGUAGCAUAACCCAUAAUAGCAGAACUUUACUACAGAGUAUAGGAAUGGUUAGAAUGGAAGUUGAUCUAAGUAUUGAUAUUAGUAGAAACACACUAAACAGUAGCAUAACCCAUAAUAGCAGAACUGUACGACACAGUAUAGGAAUGACUAAAAUAAAUCUUGGUCUAAGAACUUAUAUUAGGAGAAGCGUACUACACAAUAGUGUAUACCCCAGAAUAGCAGAAAUGUAUGACACAGUAUAGGAAUGGGUAGAAUAGUUGUUGGUCUAAGUACUAUAUUAGCAAAAGCACACUACACAGUAGCGUAACCAAAAAUAGCAGAACUGUACUACAGAGUAUAGGAAUGGGUUGAAUGGAUGUUGGUCUAAAUACUGAUAUUAGCAGAAGUACACUACACAGUAGCGUAACCAUAAUAGCAGAACUGUACUACAGAGUAUAGGAAUGGGUCGAAUGGAUAUUGGUCUAAGUACUAUAUUAGCAGAAGCACACUACACAGUAGCGUAACCCAUAAUAGCAGAACUGUAGUACAGAGUAUAGGAAUGAGUAGAAUGGAUGCUGGUCUAAGUACUGAUAUUAGCAGAAGUACACUACACAGUAGCGUAACCCAUAAUAGCAGAACUGUACUACAUAGUAUAGGAAUGGGUAGAAUGGAUGGUGGUCUAAGUACUGAUAUUAGCAGAAGCACACUACACAGUAGCGUAACCCAUAAUAGCAGAACUAUAAGACACGGUAUAAGAAUGGGUAGAAUAGAUGUUGAUUUGAGUACCGAUAUUAGCAGAAGCAAACUCCACAGUAGCCUAACACAUAAUAGCAGAAAUAUACAACAUAGUAUGGGAAGAUAGUAGCAGAGUAGCAGGUGAAUGAAGUGUUCAUGUAAGUGCUUGUAUUAGUAGAAGUAGACUAUUAUUGUAGCGUCGUUUGUGAAAUAAUUCUUCGUAUAAGUAAUGAUAUUAGUAGAAGGGUACUAGUUAUUAGCGAAAAUGUCAAUUAAAUUGUUAUUCUAAGCACUAAUAUUAGCAGAAGUAGAUUAAAUAGUUUAUAGUACACAAAAAAGAUAAGUGUUGGAGAUCAAGAAUGAUAGCAUUCGUUUUAAAUUCUAAAAUAAUUGACGCAUAAUUCAGAAUUGCUAAUGGUCAUUUCUUCUUAACCGGUGGAUCGCGAUAAAUUUUCUUUGCGCUCUUCAUCCUCAUUGCAUCAAUUUUCGUUGGUCUACCGCUCUUACUACUGCCUUUUGUUUUGACCUUAACUGGAGGGCCAAUCAAUACUGCUGUCUUCUUAAUUCGGCUUUUGGAUUCUGGUAAUUGAUGUUCUAGAAUAUGAAUUUGGAACGACUAUGGUAUCAUUAAGUUUUUCAAGAACUUAUUUUCCAUAUUUGAGUAGUAUAUCAAGUUGAGGUUGUCCCAUCUUGGCAUAAUUCAUCAUUGUCUGCAACAUUACUAUAUACUUUGAUAAAGGAUUGUUAGGUUCUGAAAUACAUGGAACUAUUCUGAUAGUCUUGCAUAAUUUGUUCCACCCAGAUAUUUUCAAAUCGUUCGGUAUACUUCUAUAACCAUUGACAAUAAGAUAAUGUAUAACAUGAGAGCAUGGGACGCCGCUAUAUUCAACACGAUGGCAUGUGCAUAUCGGUGUAGAAUUUCCUUUCGUAAGAGUGAGUUUAAAUAACACGCUUUGUCUUUCUAAAAACAGAACUGGUAGAUAUUGAGUAUCCUGUAAGAAAGAAAAAAAUUUGUAGAAUAAAAUGGUAAGCCUAUGCUAAAGUAUAAUGAACAAAAAACGGAAAAACCAAAGUUAUAGAAAAAAUAAAAACCUCGGAAGACUUGUCAUUCGGUGGUAAUAUAUGGUAGAAAAAGCUUUCCUCAUUUCCUCUUGAAAUAAAAGGAAAAUAGCAGUGGUAAAGAAAGUCAAAGCGUCUUUCUCAAUGCCCAUAGACGUAAUAAAUCUUGGAUGCCAGAAAGUGUCUUUGUGAUCGUCCAAAUUUUCAGACUCGCGAAUGGUAUUAAUCAUAUUCUGAUAGCGCCGAACAAAGUUGAACAAUAAAUUCUUGGAUGUAACUUUUGUCUUAAGAAACGAAUUCAUACCUUCACUUCUUUGGGUAGAAUGCAUUCCGGCAAAGAAAUGAGAGCACAUUAGACAUGACACCCAGGCUUCGCGUAUUUCCCAUAAACUUUACAACCAUUGAAUGUAGUAAACCGAACAUCUCUUAGUCGAGUAAUUCAAAUAGUUAUAACGAAUGAUAUAAAUGGCUAUUUAAUUAUUAAAAAUAUAACUGUAAGUUAUCUGCAUGCCAAGUGUUGGGAAUAUAUGUUCCGUCUUCCCGUUUUAAUCUGUAAGUGCCUGGUCGGAGUUCUUCCCCCACCACAUAUAGUCCUUCCCAAUUUGCGCCUAGUUUGCCUUUAGAGCAGUCUUUUCGAUUAAUGCUUGCCCUUCUCAAUACUAGGCUUCCUUUUCUUAUCGCUUUAUUCUUGACGUUUUUGUCGUGAUAUCUAGCGAUGUUCUGUUUGUAAGCCGCAUUCUUUGCCUGUGCAUUAUUCCUCAGCUCAUCUACUAAGUCCAGAGUCGUUGCGCAUGAUCUCAUGUUCUCUGACUGUUGGGAUGCUCAGCUCUGUUGAGAUUAGUGCUUCUAUUCUGUAUGCUAGUGAGAACGGAGUCUCCCCGGUGGGUGUCUUUUCAGUAGUUUUGUUUGCUCACAGGAUCUCUGGUAGUAAAUCUGCCCACGCACCUUUGGCCUGUUCGACAUUUUUCUUCAGUCCCUGAACAAUGACUCUGUUUGUGACUUCUACUUGCCCAUUACCCUGUGGUCUAUACACCGAUGAAAAGUGGAUUUUAGUACCCAUGUUCUCGCACAAUCUCGUAAACUUCCCACCGGUAAACUGUGUUCCGUUAUCUGUCACUAUGUGCAUUGGAACGCCGAAUUUGCACAUUAUGCGCAUUUGAAGAAAAAAUUUGUCGAUGCGCCUUGUGUUAUCUUGGGUACUGCCAGAGCCUCGACCCAUUUUGUAAAAUAUUCGACAGCCACGGAUAUGAAUUUAGACUGGCCUGUCGAUACUGGGAAUAGUCCCACAAUGUCUAGUCCCCACAUUGCAAAUGGGAUGGGACUUUCUACCCCUGUUAGUUGAGUUGUGGGAUUUCUUUGUAUGUUUUUGUGUAUCUGGCAGGCCUUGCACUUUCUUGCAAAUAGGACUGCAUCUUUCUUUAGUAUGGGCCAGAAGUAUCCCUGCCUUAUUAUUUUUUGGGCCAGAGACCUUCCGCCCUGAUGUAUUCCGCACACCCCAUGAUGAAUUUCCUCUACAAUGAAUUGCCCUUCAUCUGUCGAGACACAUUUCAUUAGAGGCCCAUCGUAGGAUUUCUUGUACAGGAUGUCACCGAUUAGGCAGAACAUUGGAAUGCGUGUUUGUAGUUUACGCCUUUCAUUUUUGUUCUCUGGGAGUUUUUGCCCUUCGAAGUAUUCUAUAAAGGGUUUUCUCCAGUCUUCUGCCUGUAUUGUGACCAUAUUGCAUGAAAGUGUAGAUGCUGAGUCAACUAGUAUCUCUCUCUACCACCCUUCGAAAGCGGAUGCUAGCUUUGCUAGGGCGUCAGCUGAGUUGUUCUGACUCCUUGGAAUUUGUUCUAUCUCCACCUUGUUAAAUUGCAACUUUAUUUUUUCUAACGUAGCUGCGUACUGCAUGAUCAAAGGUUCUUUAACUGUGAACUCCCCUGUGAAUUGCCGAGCUACUAAUUGAGAAUUUGUUCUGAUAAUUAUCGAACAGACCCCUAAUCUUUUGAAUAUCUUCAUGCCUUGGAUUACAACCUCAUAUUCUGCUAUAUUGUUCGUUGCUGAAAAUUGUAACCUGUCAGAGUGUUCAUAUAUUCUUUGGUCUAGAAUGAUUAUUUUUAUCCCUACUCAUGCACCUGUACUGCAGCUUGAGCCAUCAACCUCUAUUAUCCAAGGUUUCUCCUUACUCUCCUGAGUCAUAUCCACAAUGAAGUCUGCUAUGGCUUACCCUUUAAUGGUAGUGGCGGGGACAAAAUCUACAUCAAACUCGCUUAACUCUAAAGCCCACUUCGUUAGUCUUCCGAAAGUAUCUGGCCUGUGGAGUAUUCUACACAGCGGAUGUUCUGUCAAGACUUUGAUUGUGUGAGACAGGAAGUAUGCUCGGAAUCUGUGUGCUGCAUGUAUUACUGCCAGGACUAUUUUUUCCACUGGAGGGUAUCGUGUUUCUGCCCCUUGUAGCCUUUUGGAGUGAUAAUAUAUUGGGAUCUGUUCGUUAUCCCUUUGAUAUAUUAAAACUGCACUGAUGGCUUCCUCUGAAGCUGCUACGUAGACAUAUAAUUCAUCCCCUACUUUUGGUGAGGUUAGAUGAGAUAACGAAGCUAAGUGUGCCUUGAGCUGCUGAAAUGCCUGCUCGCACUCUGGAGUCCAUGUUAUUGCUCCCUUUUGACUAGUUUUUAAUAACUGGAAAAAGGGUUUGCACUUGUCUGCUGUUUUGGAAAUGAAUCGACUUAAAGCGUUGAUUUUUCCAUUUAGUUUCUGCACUUCCUUUAUUGUUCGAGGCAGUGUUGUUUCUAAUAUUGCUGAUAUUUUAUCCGGAUUUGGUUUUAUCCCCUUCUGCUCUACGUAGAAUCCAAGAAACUUUCCUUCUUGUACUCCAAAACUGUAUUUGGCGGGGUUUAACCUCAUUCCAUAUUUCUGUAGAGUUUCCAGAGUUUCUCUCAGAUCAUUUGGGUGUUCAUCUGCUUUCUUAGAUUUUACCAGAAUGUCAUCUACGUGCGCCAGGACAUUUCUCCCUUCUUUCUCUUUGAAAACCUUGUCCAUUAGCCUUUGAAAGGUUGCUCCUGCGUUUCGUAACCCGAAGGGCAUGACCUUAUAGCAGUAUGUUCCCCAAUCUGUGAUAAACGAUGGAGCUUCAUCAUCCUCUUCUUUCAUUAGGAUUUGAUUGUAUCCUGAAUGUGCAUCCAUCAUGGAUAACAAUUCGUUUCCUGAGGCCGCAUCCACUAAUCUGUCGAUGGAUGGGAGUGAAUAGUUGUCCUUUGAACAUGCCUUGUUGAGGUCUGUGAAAUCUACGCACAUCCUCUACUUUCCGUUAGACUUUUUAACCAUGAUUGAGUUAGCUAGCUAUUUUGGGUACUUUACUUCCCGUAUGUGCCCAGCCUUGAUUAACUUCUCAAUCUCAACUUCUGCUGCUUCCUUUCUUUCGGCCGCGAGUAUCCUUCGCUUUUGCCGGAUAAGAGUAAAGUUGUUGUCUAUGUUGAGCUCAUGGCAUGUUAUGGUGCGUUGUACCUGUGAGGGUACCUCCCCCUCCCAUACAAACGUAUGCACAUGAGUCUCCAAUAAACAUAGUAAUGAAUUUUUUAAUUCGGAGGAUAUAGAUGUACCUAUCAAGAUCCCUCCUUUUGAGAGUUCGACCUCCUCAACGUGAUUGGUUGAGGCUAUGUCUUCUUCUUCCUCUUUUUCCUGGAUGUACAGAGUUAUUGUUUUACCAUUUUAGUUGCCUUCCUGUAAGAGUUUCUGGAGUCUUUUUGCACUCCAAAAACUGUUUCCAUUUUGCCAUCCUUUCCUGGAUACUUGAAGCAUUGGUGAUAUGAUGACGGUAUUGCUUUGAAACCGUGGAUGUUAGGUCUUCCCAGGAUCCCAUUGAACGGAGAAUCGAUGUUGACCACAAUGAAAUGUGCAGUGCGUGAGACUUUCCCGUUUCUCUUCCCUAAGGAUAUCUGCAGAUCGAUGGCUCCUACUACUGGGGCCUUUGUAUUUGUGAACCCAUAUAUGGCUUCCUUGGCUGGGGUUAACUGUUCUACUUUGUAGCCCAUCUUUUCAAAUGCAGCUAAGUAUAGAAUGUCUACCGAGAUGUCAUUGUCUACCAUGACUUUAUUUAGACUUAAAUCAUCCCUGAUGUCCACCUGUAUUACAAGUGGAUCUUCAUGCGGGUUGACCACAUUAUCCAGAUCUUCCUCAGAGAAGCUUAUUCCCUCGCUUGGGUAUGACCUUUUCUUAGACUUUGGUACUGUUGUAGUCUGCAUUAUCUUUAGCGAGUAACUUCUGCUUUCUCCUACCGAUCCUCCGCCGAAAAUUAGAUUUAUUACUCUCCUCUUGUGGUCAGUGUCUGAGUCAGGACUCCUUGAGUGCUGUCUCUUACCCUUGUUGUUUGGGUCCUUGCAACCUUUUCGCCCUCUUUCCACUGUGUUUAUAUAUUGCUUUAGCUUUCCUUCUAUUACCUGAGUAUCUAGGAAAGCACUCAGUUCCCUGCAAUUUUCUGUGUUGUGCCUGUAAUCCUUGUGGAACUUGCAGUACCUGUUCCUCCUUGUCCGGGCCUCUUUCGUUGCAGGGUUUAAUUCUGCUGGUUAAUGAAACCUUAUCCUUCUUUUUUCUUUGUUGUAGAUUUCCUCUUUUGAAGUGAUGAAAACUAUGAAUCCCAAGUCUUUGAACCAUGGGUAUCUUGAUUUUCCGAACUCCUCAGAUGUCUGGUAGACCGUACCUUUUCAUCUAGUUUUGGUCUCCAGGAUGAUUCUCCUUUCUCGAAUUUUUUGAAUUUCUGUUUUGGUGCUUCAUAUGCCUUUUUGUUGCUUACGACACAUCUUUCUUUUUCUUUUUCAUACUCCUCAGAAUUUAUAUAUUUAUGGGCCUUUGUUAGCAGAUCUUCCAUGCAUUUUACAUUACUUACAUUUAGCUUUAUUGCUAAUGGUGUGUUCAUGUCUAGCCCCUUGGAGUAUGCAUAGAUUGCAAUUGUGGUAUUCAGAUCAGAGAUUUUUUGCAUAGCUUCUGUGAAUUUAGUAGUGUAAUUCCGAAGCGUGUCUCCGUUUUGCUUAAUUGCAAAUAAUGAUUCAGUGCCCUUUCUAACUCUUUUGUUUCCACAAUGUUGGGCAAUGAAUUUUUUCUUCAGGUCUGCAAAACUAUUAUGCUUUCUGGUUGUAACUCGACGAACCACCUGUAUGUAGGCCCUUUUAGUGUUCCUGGGAAUGCCCUGCAUAGGAUGUCAUCUUUUGUUGUGACCUAUUGCAUAGCUCCUCUAAACAUAUUUAUGUGGUCUACUGGGUCUAUCUUCCCAUCGUAGAGUUGUAUCCUAGGCAUCCUGAACUUUGGAGGUGCUGGUUUCAUCAUUAGUGACUUGUGCAGAGCCUCCGUGCCUUCUAACCAGUUUGGGAGUUCGCAUCCUUCCCCCACUGUAUCUUCCGUGCUUUCUUCGUACGCGGGUUUUUUAAGUGGCACCUAAGAUUUUUGCUCUCCUAGUUUUUUAUUUCCGUGAGGUGGCAACGUGCUAGAGUGUGCCGCUCUAUGGCUUGACACUUCAUGCUGUGUUUUCGGUUGUUUUAAUGUUUGCAUUUUUGACUGGAACAUUGAUACUUUGGAUUUUUCAAUUGUUUUCAGUCUUUCGCCCAUUUUAGCUAUGGUUUCCUUCAUUUUCUCUAGCUCCUCCACAGGUACUUGUACGAAUCCGCGAGGGGCUUCUGAUGUUGAAGCCCUUGUUUCAUGGUUAUUCGCAGGUUUUGUUUGUUUAGGAGGUUUUUCCUAAAACUGCUCCUUUAGAGGCUGCUCUUCUCGAGACUUCUCCUUUUGAGGCUGCUCCCUUGGAGGUUGCUCUCUUUCAGUAAGGAGUCGUAUGGCCUCCGCUAUUGCCUGCAGCGUGAUAUUUAGAUUCUCCCCACCUGUUGAUACUUGGUGGGUUGACUCAGGUUCAACCUCAGUUUCAUUACAUGUGCUUUUAUUUUUAUUAGCCUUAAAUGGACGACCCACUGCUCUUUUAGUCCUUGAGUUGCCAGGUUGUUGUUCUGAUACUUCAUGAGAGUUGGCUCCUCCCUGAGAAGUACUUCUUGUUGUUACCAUCCUGAAGAGUUCGACUUUUUAGCAAGAAAAAAGUCGAUCCUGGUGUACUUAGAGACUUUCUCAAAAGUCGUAGUCCGAAAGUGUAACUACUUGAAAAAUCGACUUUUCUUCCGGAAAGAGAAAAAGUCGAUCCCCUUUUCUCUGAAAAGUCAAUCCUUUGCCGAGCUGAAUUUCUCGCAAGACUCCCUGGUUGGUGACUCGGAAAAAAGUCGAACCCUUUUUUCGAAAAAGUCGAGGAGUUUUUGUCGUGAGUACUCGGAAAAUGCAAACCCUUACGACACCUCUUUCUUUUUCUUUGUUAUACUCCUCAGAAUUUAUAUAUUUAUGGGUCUUUGUUAGCAGAUCUUCCAUGCAUUUUACAUUACUUACAUUUAGCUUUAUUGCUAAUGGUGUGUUCAUGUCUAGCCCCUUGGAGUAUGCAUAGAUUGCAAUUGUGGUAUUCAGAUCAGAGAUUUUUUGCAUAGCUUCUGUGAAUUUAGUAGUGUAAUUCCGAAGCGUGUCUCCGUUUUGCUUAAUUGCAAAUAAUGAUUCAGUGCCCUUUCUAACUCUUUUGUUUCCACAAUGUUGGGCAAUGAAUUUUUUCUUCAGGUCUGCAAAACUAUUAUGCUUUCUGGUUGUAACUCGACGAACCACCUGUAUGUACGCCAUUUCAGUGUUCUUAGGAAUGCCCUGCAUAGGAUGUCAUCUUUUGUUGUGACCCAUUGCAUUGCUCCUCUGAACAUAUUUAUGUGGUCUACUGGGUCUAUCUUCCCAUCGUAGAGUUGUAUCCUAGGCAUCCUGAACUUUGGAGGUGCUGGUUUCAUCAUUAGUGACUUGUGCAGAGCCUCCGUGCCUUCUAACCAGUUUGAGAGUUCGCAUCCUUCCCCCACUGUAUAUUCCGUGCUUUCUUCGUACGCGGGUUUUUUAAGUGGCACCUAAGAUUUUUGCUCUCCUAGUUUUUUUAUUUCCGUGAGGUGGCAACGUGCUAGAGUGUGCCGCUCUAUGGCUUGACACUUCAUGCUGUGUUUUGGGUUGUUUUAAUGUUUGUAUUUUUGACUGGAACAUUGAUACUUUGGAUUUUUCAAUUGUUUUCAGUCUUUCGCCCAUUUUAGCUAUGGUUUCCUUCAUUUUCUCUAGCUCCUCCACAGGUACUUGUACGAAUCCGCGAGGGGCUUCUGAUGUUGAAGCCCUUGUUUCAUGGUUAUUCGCAGGUUUUAUUUGUUUAGGAGGUUUUUCCUGAAACUGCUCCUUUAGAGGCUGCUCUUCUCGAGACUUCUCCUUUUGAGGCUGCUCCCUUGGAGGUUGCUCUCUUUCAGUAAGCAAUCGUAUGGCCUCCUCUAUUGCCUGCAGCGUGAUAUUUAGAUUCUCCCCACCUGUUGAUACUUGGUGGGUUGAUUCAGGUUCAACCUCAGUUUCAUUACAUGUGCUUUUAUUUUUAUUAGCCUUAAAUGGACGACCCACUGCUCUUUUAGUCCUUGAGUUGCCAGGUUGUUGUUCUGAUACUUCAUGAGAGUUGGCUCCUCCCUGAGAAGUACUUCUUGUUGUUACCAUCCUGAAGAGUUCGACUUUGAAUCACAGACAGUGCCAACUGAUGAGGGUGAAACCCGAUCAGUACUCCAAGACGCUUACAGCCAGCGCCAGGCUGGAAACUCCGCGGGAAAUCGGGCGAAACUCAAGUGUGCAGAGCUCUGCUUUGCUAGGACUUCUCCACUCCAAAUGACCUGCCUUCAAUGAGUGGGGGGUGUCUCCUAUUUAUAGGCAUUCUUAUGGGGGUAAUCUGGUCAUUUGGGCAGUAACCGCCUAACUGAUCAGAUCGGGUCCCAAGGUCGACUUUCUAGAGAUCGACUUUCUCGGGAUCCAACUUUCCUGGGACUCGACUUUGUUCAAAAGUCGAUCCCAGGGAAGUCGAUCCUUGGGAAAGUCGAUCUUCCUAAGAGUUGACUUGGGACCUCCCCAAACGUAGAAUAGGUACCUCAGCUCAUCUCGGUCUAUCCGGACUUUUAAUUGCUGAUAUGUUGUGACCGGGUUCGGGAUACUGUAUCACCAGAACCGAAAUACCCAAUUCUGAUAAAAGUAUCUUGAUCCAUUCCAAUUCUGUGAUUGUAUCUGCCACACUUUUAUAUUAUGUCUCUGUUGUUGACCUUGCAACUGAAGAUUGCAUACUUGAGCUCCUUGAGAUGAGAUUAUUAUGUACCAAGGUAGAACACAAACGCCCUAUGGCUUCUACUGUUGCUUUUGUCACCACCCCAAUCCGCGUCGGAAUAGGCACAUAAUGACAUUGAGUCCGAUCUUGUGAUGUGUAUACCUCUCAGCAGUGUUCCUGAUACAUACCGCAACAAUCUUUUUAAAGCUCUCCAAUGUACCUCUGUAGGAGCUUGCAUGAAUUGAGCAAGCUUGUUUACCGGGAAAGCCAGAUCCAACCUAGUUAUAGUAAAGUACUGCAAGGCUAGCUCCAAUGACUUACCUAAAUAGUGUUGGGGAGUCACAUAGAAUUUUACUAUCAUACAACUUAAUUCGUGGAUCCAUUGAAAUAGCUGCUGGUUUCAAAUUGUCUAAAUUCACCUUAUCGAGAAUUGAUUUUGCAUAUUGAUGUUGUGUUAAGAACACUGAAUUGUCCUUAUCUCGUGAAAUAUGAAUUCCCAAAAAUUGUUCCUGAUUCCCUAAUUUUCUCACUGGAAAAUGUAUUGAAAUUGCCUUAAUCGUAUUUUCAAUAAAAAAAUUCCGACGAGCUGGUGAGGAUGAUAUCAUCAACAUAUACGAUGAAAAUUGCAAACACUCCACCUGUAUCAUAAAUGAAUUAUGAGUUAAUAUUCGCACUUUCUCUGAAUGAUAAAUCGAUAACUAUAACUCUUAGUUGUUUGAACCAUGCUCGUGGUAACUGUUUAAGUCUGUAUAUCGAUUUUUUCAACUUACAGACAUGAUGUGGGAAGUCAGGAUCGAUGAACCCCAUCGGUUGUCUCAUAAACACCUCUUCCUCGAGCACGUCAUGUAAAAACGCAUUGGAGAUGUCGAGUUGAGUUGAUAAUUCAAGAUUUAAGUCUCACUAUGUAUCAUCAAUAAUGAUGGAUAGUAGUUCUGCUACGAGUGCGAUAGCAGAACAAAUGACUUAGGCUAACCUAAACACAUCAUAAAUAGUGUUAAAUAUAUAUAUGAAAAAAUUAUUUUAAUUACUAAACCUAAUAUGAUGAACAAGAGUUUGAUAUGAUGUUCGUGAAAAAUUAGAAAAGUAGAGAUUUUUUUAAGUAGUUCGGAUGGUACUGACGACGUGGGCCGGGGCAGCAGACAAAUGGGUGGCGAGGAAUCAACAACAGUGGACAUUAUGAACAGUUGUACAGUGAAAAAUGUUUUUGCAGGACAAAGAACAUCUUCACACAUCAUGAUUAGUCAAAAAUAUACUAAUUUAAAUAUUUAAACUUUUAAAGAACUAGAAGUUUACGGAUAGUAGUAUAAAUACAAAAAUCAUUAAUGAUAUACAGUAUUUUGAUGGAAAUUCCAUUUGCUAAAUGUCAGCCCAUCUCAAGAUCUUCACCGCCGGUUGUUCAAAGAAAACGUAGACAAUAGGACAGAUGAGAGACCGUUGGACAGAUGAUGGCACAUACAGUGGGCAGCACAUCAAAUAUAUUCCCUAUAAAAUAAUUCAUUCAUCUCCUUUGAUCACAGCUUCAGAAGGAGAAAUCGAGUCAUCUGCAUCCCCAUAUUUCUCCAUUAUAGCCCGAGUAUCACGUUAUAAUUAUCAAUGAAUACCCAUGUAUAUGGAUCGUUAUGGCUAAAUGCCACUUCAACUAAGGUUAAGACUAGCUAGCUGUAGUGGCAUUUGGUCAUAAUAAUCUAGAUGCAUUAGUAUUCAUUGAUAAUUGCAAUGUGAUACUUAGAGCUAUAAUGGAAAAAUGUGGGGUUGCAGAUCACUUGGUUUCUCCUUCUGAAGCUGAAUUAACCGCUGCCACCAUCUUCAGUCAUACUUCCCGAACCAAAUAUUGUAUCGGCUGUCUCAAGAUGGUGCUUGAUAAAGGGAGAUUUAGGAAGGAGGAUUGGAAUAAGAACGAGAAGAAGUUUUUAGGGCAAGAUAGAAGAGCAACUGCUCAUAAUUCAUUAGCUACCAAAAUACUAAAAGUUCAGACCUUAAGUAGUUUGUGAUUAAACCCUAACGGGCUUGGCCCAAUAGAAAUGGCCUUAAUUAAAAUGAUAAUGAACUAAAAUAAAUUUAACUUGGUGAGCCUAUUAUGUAAUCUUGAAAAUGAAUUGACUUCUUACUCACGCGUUUAUGCUUCCUAUGCCUGUCAGAAUUCUGACGUACUUGAUUUCCAAGAUAUAAGUCUUUCUUUGAAGACUCUUCACUUCCAAACCUAUAGCUUCUGUAAGAACCAGCGGCGCCUCCUCCACAGCAACAACUUCAUCUUCACUCCUCGGCUCCAUCUCGGUAAGAUCUUCUUCUAAUAUUUUAUUAUGUUCUUCCCUUCUGGACACCUCUCUCUCCAUGUCUUGCAUGCAACUAAUCUGGUCAAGUUCCACCAUAACAACACCAUCAUCCAUCGGAAGGACCUUGCCCUCAAGGUUAGAUGACGGAAGCAACCUUGCAAGGUUCGACAAAACUUCCCACUCGGCUUCCCGUUGCUCCAGUCCACUGCACCAAGACCUCCACUUCGGCUUUCCCUUGCGCAAGAUAGUUCUUUUGCCCAGCAACUUCUCCGGUAAUGAUAUGUGCUCGCUUCUCACCACCAGAUCCGGUAAGCUCCUCCCUUCUUUUACUGUGACAUCUCCUUUCACCUGUUUCAACAUAGAUACAUGAAAAACAUCAUGGAUCUUACAUCCUCUUGGCAGAUCCAACAUAUAAGCAACUUCUCCUUUUUUUUAUAGAUUUUAUAGGGUCCGAAAAAUCUGGGUGCAAGUUUGGGGUGUAGUCGAAAUGCUGCCAAAAUCUGUCGAUAUGGUUGCAAGCGAACCUAUACACUAUCUCUUGUUUCAAAGGUGACUUCUUUUCUUUUUUUAUCUGCAUAAUGCUUCAUUCUAUCUUGAGAGCUUUUCAUAUUUUUUUGAACAAGUGUGAUGAUUUCUUGUCUCCUACAGAGUUCCCGAUCUGCAGCCUCUAUUCUUGAUGAUCCUGCUGUGUACCCUGUUAAAGCCGGUGGGUGUCUCCCAUAUAGUGCUCGAAACGAUGUCAUCCCAAUAGAUGUGUUGAAGGUUGAGUUGAACCAAAGUUCAGCCCAUGGCAGAAGUUGGAUCCAUCUUUUUGGGUCAUCAUAAACAAGAGAUCUAAGGUAAUGCUCUAAUCCUCUAUUUGUGACCUCUGUUGUGGGUGGUAGGCCGAGGAGGUAUUUAAGGUGGUGCCACUUAAUCGGUGGAUUUCACGCCAAAAUUUACUGGUAAAAAACUUAUCUCGAUCAGAUACGACGGAUCGGGGCAUGCCGUGUAGCUUUAUUAUGUGAUUGACAAAAAACUCUGCAACAUCUGUUGCUGAAUACUCGGUAGGUAAUGCUUCAAUAUGGCAGCACUUAGUUAAACGAUCUACGACCACUACAAUCACCGUUUUAUUUUUUUACCUUCGGCAAUCCCGUAAUAAAAUCCAUUGAAACAUUCUCUCACACCGCUUUAGGAAUUGAUAAUGGCAUUAAAAUACCUUGACUUUUCUGAUUUGAGACCUUCAUUUGUUGACAAUUACUACAUUCCUCCACAUAACUUUUAACAUCCACCGACAUACCUUUUCACGACAAUGUAGAUUGUAUUCUUUUGAGUGUCCUCUCCCUUCCCGAGUGACCCCCAUAUACUGAGCUAUGAAAUUCUUUCAAUAUCUCCUUAAAUUCAGAAUCUUUACUCAUCAUUAAUUUUCCUCUAAAAUAUAAUAGAUUAUCAAUUGUAAUAAAAUCGGAUUUAGGGAUACCUCUAGCUUCCAUUCUUCUCCUCUCUUCACAGAUCGAUUGAGAUGUUCUGCAUUUAUUUUUAAUUUUUUCCAGUAAGGCAUUUAUGGGUCUGGAUAUUGCGAAUAUUGAUCCUUCCCUUUCUGUUAGUUCUUCUUCAUACAUUCUAGAUAACUCAUCUGCUGCUAAAUUUUUUUUACCCGAUUUGUAUUCAAAAGUAUAGUCAAAGCCCAGAAGUUUAAAGAGAAAUUUUGUUGUUCCGGUGUCUGAAUAACUUGAGAAAGCAAAUUCUUAAGACUAUUAUAAUCUAUUUUGACCACAAAUUUGUUACCCAACAAAUAGUGGCGCCAUUUGCAAACAGCUUGAGUGAUGGCAUAUAAUUCUUUAGCAUAUGUUGAACUAUUCUGCAUUCUCUUAGACAGUUUACUACUAUAAAAUGCCACCGGAUGUUGUUCUUGCAUAAGUACUGCUCCAAUGCCCACUCCACAAGCAUCUGUCUCCACCACAAAAGUUUUAGAAAAAUCUGGAUAGCAUAGAACUGGUGUUGUUGUCAUCAUUUUCUUUAGGGCUAAAAAACUUUCCAAUGCUUUUUCUGACCAGAUAAACGAAUCUUUCUUUAGUAAAUCAGUUAAGGGUCCUGCUAUUCUUGCAUAUCCUUGAACAAAUCGCCUAUAAUAUCCUGUUAAGCCCAGAAAUCCUCUCAACGACUUGAUUGUUUUAGGGGCUGGCCAUCUGAUCAUAGUAUCAAUUUUCUCUUGAUCUGGCCUAAUACCAUCACCUGCAAUAAUAUGUCCCAAGAAUGGUAUUGAUGUUUUUUGGAAAGAACAUUUUUCCAUUCUAGCCACCAAUUUAUUUACUUUCAAUAAUUACAUAACCAUUUUCAAUUGUUCCACAUGGUCCUCUAGAUUCUGACUGAACACCAAAAUAUCAUCGAAAAAAAUAAUUACGAACUUCCUUAAGUAUUCAGCAAAGAUUUCAUUCAUUGUCGAUUGAAAUGUUACCGGAGCAUUCGUAAGGACGAACGGCAUUACUACAAACUCAAAAUGGCCAUGGUGUGUUCUGAAGGCUAUCUUUGGAAUGUUCGGCUCAAACACUCUAAUUUGGUGGUAUCCUGAUAAUAAAUCUAGUUUGGAAAAUACUUUAGCGCCUUUCAGUUACCCCAGUAGCUCAUUGAUCGUUGGUAUAAGAAAUCUAUCUUUCACUAUUAUCGCAUUUAGUGAUCUGUAGUCUACACACAACCUCCACCCACCAUUUUUUUUCUUUACUAAUAUUACCGGUGAAGAAAAUGGGUUGUUGCUAGCUCGUACAAAUCCUUUUUGCAAUAAUUCUUUUACUAUAGAUUUCAUUUCUGCUUUCUGAAAUUGGGGAUAGCGGUAAGGCUUAACAUUAACUGCCUUAGAGUUCUCUUCUAAAUAAAUUCUAUGAUCCUUGUCACGUUUUGGAGGUAGAUGGUCAGGCUCCUUAAACACCUCUGCAAAUUCUGAUAGUAAGUUUCCCACAGCUUGUGACAUAAUUUGAACUCUCAACCCAACUAUUUCUUUGCCUUUAUCAUUGCAAAGAUUAAAUGAACAUAAAAAGGCUUCCUCAGAUUCAGCAGCUAAUCUUUUCAAGUCGCCUCCUGAUAAUGAGCUUUCAUCUAACCAAUUAUUGCCCAUCCACCUAAUUGUCGACCCUUGAUCUUGAAAUUCCAUAGAAGCUACAGAAUAAUCUGUAAUAAUUGGACCCAAUGUUUUUAGCCAUUGAAUAUCCAAAACUACAUUUGCUCCCGCCAUCAGUAAUAUAAACAGAUCUGCUUUGAAUUUGUGAUUUUGGACUUUAAGUUCUACUGCUCUGCAUAUUUUGUUGCAGCACAACUUUUCACCACUAUCGGUGGCCACAUAAAAUUCUUGUAUAGGAGAAACCGGUAGUUUCCACUCAGACAUCAUACAUUCUUGCACAAAAUUAUGGGUGGACCCUGAAUCCACAAGAAUUGAAAUUUUUCUGCCUGCCAUUAACCUCGUUACACGAAUGGUUUUCAGUGAAAUACAUCCUUCUAAUGCAUCCUGAUGAAGCACUGAAUCUUCUACUAGGGCUCGCGGUGCUGCGAGGUGAUGUCGGAGGCUCUGGAGUCCACAACGCGCGCUCUACGUCAAAUACCUGCAAGGAGAGAAUCGGCGAUUCUGGUGUGGGAAUCGAUGAUUCUUAUAAUGGUGCUCUGGUGAGAGUGAAACUUGUGUUGUGCCUUUGAGUGUCCCCUUGGGACCCUUUUUAUAGGGUCUCGGAGGGCGCGUUCAAAGGCGGACAUCGUGCCUAUUGGCAUAUAAGGGUGCAUUUAUGACGUAGGCUGGCGGCGAGUAAUGGUUGUAAAUCGGCGAUUCAGGUAUGGAAAUCGCCUAUUUAGGGCAAACUCGUCGAGUUUCAAGGGGCGAGAUAUGCAGUCUACCAUACUGCCGAUCUGGGCCCUAACUCGGCGAUUUGGUAGUCCAAUCGCGAUUUACGGGCCGGUUAACUCGACGAUUUGACGAUGAACUUGUUCCGCACCGUGGGAGCCUUCCGGGGGUCCGGCGUAAAGCGACGGAACCUAAUCCUUGUUGAAGGGCGUUGCUGGGAGUGACUGCCGUAAUUAGGCAUGUCUCACUAGUGGAGACAUAAAAUUCUUGUAUAGGAGAAACCGGUAGUUUUCACUUAGACAUCAUACAUUCUUGCAUAAAAUUAUGGGUGGACCCUGAAUCCACAAGAAUCGAAAUUUUUUUGCCUGCCAUUAACCCCGUUACUCAAAUGGUUUUCAGUGAAAUACAUCCUUCUAAUGCAUCCAAACUGAUUAAGGUGUGCUCGUGCAGGUGGAGUUGUAAGAGUUUUAUGCAUUUCCCCUCUCCUAUGUGGUGGAAUAUAGGAUUCCCGUUGUAUGCCAUAUUUGGGAUAUUGCCAAGAUUGAUUCGUUGUUACCGCAACUAAUGUAUUCUCCCACAUACGAGCUAGAUAAAAUGCCUCAUUAAUAGUUUCUGGUUGGCCUCUUACCACUUCAGUUUGCACUUCUGGUUUCAAACCAGAUAUGUAAACUUCUUUCAUUACCCUACUCGACAUGCCAUGUACUUUGGUUGCCAUCCCUUCGAACUUGGUCUGAUAAUCUUUUACUGAUUCUGUCUGGAUUAAUUUACUUAAUCUUCCCGCUGGUAAAGCAUAAGAACCCUCUCCGAAACGUUUCUGAACAUCUUCCAUAAAUUCACUCCACGAAGUCAGUUGACCUUCACCAUCCAUCCAUAACAGCCAUUUUAACGCCUCACCCUCCAUAUUCAUGGUUGCCAUUAAGAUUCGUUCUCCCACAGGUACACUAUGAAAACGAAAGUAUUUUUUUACCUUGUAUAACCAGCCUUCGACGUCCCCACCAUUGAACUUAGGCAUAUCCGUUUUCAGAGUUUUCUUUGCAUCCAUUAAAGGACCCCUCCCUAGAAUCGAUCCCUGGCCAGAGCUAAGAGUAUCCAUUCUUGUAGCUAAUUCUGAUAACAUCUUGCUCAUUCCCUCCAGAAUAGUUGUUGUGGUAUCAUACUUAAUUUGUAAGCCUCUGACCGUCUCUUCCACCGAUGUUAAUUCUGAAGACAUUGUUUAUUUUCGUAAUUGUACGAAAAUACAAACUGAAAUUAAAAUAAAUCUCUAAGAGAUUAAGCAAUGGAAUAAAUGCUUUCCUGUUUGAGAUCUAGAUUUAAGGACCUAGACCAUAUCUCGGCGAAUUAUUUGAUUGUACGGAAUGACCGAACUCAAAACGAUAAUACUUCCAAUCUGCCUCGGCACCCUUUAGUUAGCCUCGUCCAGAUCUUCACCCUUUUCCAAGAAAUACACAAUAGAUCAAGUUAGGUUUAAUCUUUGAGAAUAAAAAAAACUAGAAUAUGCUUUCCUAUUUGGGAUCUAGAUUAAGGAUCUAGAACAUAUCCUGAUAAGUUUUUUGAUUUUAUGGAAUCACCGAUCUCUCUGAGCUUAAACUUCACAGCCUCAAUAUUUCUUGCUUCAACGAUCCAGCACCCGAUCUGUUGAUGUAUGAAUUCAAGGAUGAAAGCACCAAUUGAUAGAGGGAGAUUUAGGAAGGAGGAUUGGAAUAAGAACGAGAAGAAUUUUUUAGGGCAAGAUAGAAGAGCAACUGCUCAUAAUUCAUUAGCUACCAAAAUACUAAAAGUUCAUACCUUAGUAGUUGUGAUUAAACCCUAACGGGCUUGGCCCAAUAGCAAUGGCCUUAAUUAAAAUGACAAUGAACUAAAUAAAUUUAACUUGGUGAGCCCAUGAUGUAAUCUUGAAAAUGAGUUGGCUUCUUACUCACGCGUUUAAGCUUCCCAUGCCUAUCAGAAUUCUGACGUACUUGCUGCCCAAGAUAUAAGUCUUUCUUUGAAGACUCUUCACUUCCAAACCUAGCUUCCGUAAAAACCAGCGGCGCCUCCUCCACAGCAACAAUUUCAUCUUCACUCCUUGGUUCCAUCUCGGUAAGAUCUUCUUCUAAUAUUUUAUUAUGUUCUUCCCUUCUCAACACCUCUCUCUCCAUGUCUUGCAUGCAACUAUUCUGGUCAAGUUCCACCAUAACAAAAUUCCAUCUUCCACGCAAAGACGAAACACGUGGCGAUACAAUAUUACUUCCUUAGAGAAUAAAUAGCAAGAAAAACACUGGAAACAAAGUUCAUCUCGUCAACGGAGCAGCUGACCGACAUAUUAACCAAGCCGCUUCAAUGCUAGAUGUUUUUUUUAUCUGUUUUCCAAGCUUAUGGAGUCACUCCCGAUAAGCUUGAGGGGAGGUACGGUAUUAAGGAAGCAUAGUUAGGUGGUGAUACAGUAUCCCGGACUGAACCACGACACCAGUUUGAGAUAACCUAGAAUGUGUGGAAGUACCCGUAUAGGCAAUGGGAGGCCCCAGUCGACUUUAUGGGGAAGUCGACCCCACCGAGCGACUUUUAAUAAGUCGACCUCUAAGGAGGUCGAGGGCCAAAAGUCGACCUCGAGGGAGUCGACCUCACAAAGUCGACCUCACAAAGUCGACCCAGGCCGGAUCUGGGCAGUUAGGCGGUUAGAGCCCUAAUGACCAGAUUACCCCAUGAGAACCCUAUAAAUAGGGGUCACCACCACUCAUUAGAGGAGGUUAUUUGAAGUGAGAGAGAACCCCUGCCAGAAAGAGCCUGAGUGACUAGAGUGUCCGAGCGAUUUCCGGUGGAGUUCACGGCCCUACACUUGUUCGAAGCGUCGUUCGAGCACUGAUCGGGUUCCACCCUUAUCAGUUGGCGCAGUCUGUGAAUUCAAGAUCCAAGGUAGAUGCGCAAGGAUCAAGUAAACCCUAAAUUCUGUUAAGCUCCUCGAUCUCUCCUUGAACAAAGUCAGCAAAGAGGCUCACUAGAAGAGCCAUGUUUGAGAAAAGUAGAGGAGAAAGACAGGAAGAUGACCAUAGAAGGUCACCCCAAAAGUCGAGCAGAAUAAGUCGACUUAAAAAAGUCGAGGCCAAUAAGUCGAGCAGGAUAGUAACCCAGGCAGGGGGUGUAAGAAAUACCUCUGGACAGUCACCCAGCCAAGGAGGUGUAAGAAAUACCUCUGGACAAUCUCCAAGCCAAGGGGUGUUAGAAAUACCUCUGGACAGAUAGACACCAAGCUAGGGGGUGUAAGAAAUACCUCUGGACAGACACCAAGACAGGGGGUGUAAGAAGAAAUACAUCUGGACAGUCACCAAGCCAGGGUGUGUAAGAAAUACCUUUGGACAGAUAGACACCAAGACAGGGGGUGUAAGAAGAAAUACCUCUGGACAAUCACCAAGCUAGGGUGUAUAAGAAAUACCUCUGGAUAGAUAGACACCAAGCCAGGGGGUGUAAGAAAUACCUCUGGACAGACACCAAGACAGGGGUAUAAGAAGAAAUAACUCUGGACAGUCACCAAGCCAGGGGUGUUAGAAAUACCUCUGAACAGAUAGACACCAAGCUAGGGGGUGUAAGAAAUACCUCUGGACAGACACCAAGACGGGGGGUGUAAAAAGAAAUACCUCUGGACAGAUAGACACCAUACCAGGGGGUGUAAGAAAUAUCUUUGGACAGACAAGCACUGAGACAGGGGGUGUAAAAAGAAAUACUUAUGGAGAAACACCAGGACAGGGGGUGUAAGAAGAAAUACCUCUGAACAGAUAGACACCAAGCCAGGGGGUGUAAGAAAUACCUCUGGACAGACAGGCACCGAGACAGGGGGUGUAAAAAGAAAUACCUCUAGACAGACACCGAGACAAGGGGUGUAAGAUAUAUCCCCGGAUAGAUAGACACCAAGCCAGGGGGUGUAAGAAAUACCUCUGGACAGACACCAAGACAGGGGAUGUAAGAAAAAAUACCUCUCAGUCACUAAGGCAGGGGGUCUAAGAAGAAAUACCUCUGGACAGUCACCAAGCCAGGGGGUGGAAGAAAUACCUCUGGCCUAAGGAAGUAAAAAACAAGGGAAAAAGAGAUCCGAGCAGGCUCGGUUAAAACGCUUAGGUGGACAAAGAUUGUAGGGUCAAGAACAAGUUCGCACGGAAAGCAGCCCAGGCACUUCAGUCACUCGAAAGAGGCACUGGCAGGGGGAGAAAGGGGGGGGUACCCCAUAAAAUGUAAGUCGUGCGUCCAACCUCGCAAAUACAAGAACGGGCCUCCCGUUGCUGCAAGGGGGGAACCCUGGCAACACCAGGAUAAGAAUCCCUACCAUCGCAAGCAAGGGAGAGGGGAGUAUUGGUGGUGCAGGACCUAAAAAUCAGAUAACACCAACUGGGAAGCAGUCCCCAAGAGCCUUAGUAUAUGUCGAAGGGGGGAGUACUGGUGAUACAGUAUCCCAGAUUGGACCACGACACCAGUUUGAGAUAACCCAGAAUGGGUGGAAGUACCCGUAUAGGCAAUGGGAGGCCCCAGUCGACUUUAUUGGGAAGUCGACCCCACCGGGCGACUUUUGCGAAAUCGACCUCUAAGGAGGUCGAGGGCCAAAAGUCGACCUCGAGGGAGUCGACCUCACAAAGUCGACCCAGGCCAGAUCUAGGCAGUUAGGCGGUUAGAGCCCUAAUGACCAGAUUAUCCCAUGAGGACCCUAUAAAUAGGGCUCACCACCACUCAUUAGAGGAGGUUAUUUGGAGUGAGAGAAAACCCCUGCUAGAAAGAGCCUGAGUGACUAGAGUGUCCGAGCGAUUUCCGGCAGAGUUCACGGCCCUACGCUUGUUCGAAGCGUCGUCCGAGCACUGAUCGGGUUCCACCCUUAUCAUUAGGUAUAAUAACAAUGUAUGGAACAAGUAACAAGAAUACAUAGAUAGUUAUAAUAGCAUAGUUAGUUAUAAUACAUAGAUAGCUAUAGAUAAACCUAUGUAUGGAACUAAAGAAUUCAAAUUCAAUUGAUACAACUUCCGCACUUUGAUACAGUCAACCCUUACAUUUAUGUCCCGGUGCAUACUUCUUGUCACAGUUGAAGCGCAAGCCCUUUGCGGUUCGUUCUUUAAUUUCUUUCUUCCACUGUGAGGGUUCAUCGGACGAUUGGAACACCCGACGCCGGUGGUGGGGUCUUGAUAAUCAGCUCUGAUUUUGAGUUAUAUGGCGGCCCUCCGUACUUGUAUGCCUUAUAGUCUUUAUUUGCUUCGUGCAUCUUGGCUAUCGCUAGAGCUUUUCUCGAUCAAUGUGUUUGGCCGAUUAAGUUUCAACUAUCUCUUUAUCUCCGGUACAAGACCUCCGAUGAAAUACGAUAUGAGGAUCUCUUCAUUCUGUCCAUCUACUUCGUUCAACAGGGCUUCAAACCUUGCCAUAUACUUCGCCACUGUCGACGUUUGUUGUAAUCUCGACAGUUCUCCUAGCUUAUCCUCAUACUCAGACACACCAAAUCGUUCUUUUAAGGUCUCCAUAAAUUUCUCCCAAGUCGUUAGGAGAUUGUUACGCCGUUUACCAUGAAUCCAACUUAAAGCCUCCUUAGACAUGUGAAAGUCGGUCAUCUGAAGACGAGCUUCGUCUGCGAUAUUAUGGUAUCUGAAAUACGCCUCAGCUUGAUAGAUCCAUCCUUGCGGGUCUUCUCCUGAAAAUCGAAUUAGAUCCACCUUCAUUGGUCGUGGUGUACACAUUCCGUUCUCUCCCGAUCGCGAUGAGCUCCCACCUUGCAACUCUUGGACCAUUCUUCUUAGUUCACUCAAUUCGUUGGACAUGGACGAUAUCAUCCCAUCCUGCCGCUUGGUCACUUCCAUCAAUCUUGAAUUUUGUUCUCCGACGAUCGCCGUUAAAGUACUACGUACCUCCUCCAUUGUAUUUUUUGUAGAUGUGCUCAUGAAGAAGAAAAAACACAGUUAUUAUCUCCCCAAAUUAAUUAGAAUAACUAGAUUCACCAAUGUCCCUCGUGAGGAUCCAAUUGAGGCUUGGGACACGCCGGGAAGAGUUUGAUAAAUUUUUAAAGUCGUUUCCGACUGUUAUUCCGUUCGCUGACGUCGCUUGAGUCCGCGUGGAUAAAAGCACCAAUGUAACCGUAGAAGCCAGUCGAGAGCGGAGCUGAACGAUUGAGUCGAGGAUCGGAGAGAUUUAAUCCCGUGAGGGCCGAAGGUAAGGUAGAUUUAGAGAUUUCCUAGAGGAAUCGGAGGUAGAGGUAGAAGACAAGUACUGUUUUGGAAAUUUGAUAAUUUUUUAUUCAUAAACGUUUCCCUAUUUAAAAAUACAGACUUCCCCUAACAUUUCCGAAAAUUAUAGAAAUAACCCACUAACUUCUCCCAUAUUUAUUCAUAAACAUUUCCGAAAAUUAUGGAAACAAACCCACUAACUUCUCCACUAAAUUCUCUUUUAAUUAAUUUCCAACGAUUGACCCGCCACCUAAUCGUAACUGAAAUCCGGACGUUGUGUAGAACGGCGCGUGCGGCCUGGCCGUGCGGGGUCUGGUUCUAUCGGCAUAUCGUAAUCUGGUUCCGUCUGGUCCUCGUUCUCCUCCGUAUGCUAACCCUGCUUCCAAUCUAAUUCCAAUUGAGCCUUAAUUAGCUGCCGCGGCAUCAAUGAGUAUUGUUACAGAGUGACCUUCAUCGUUUAGACCUCCAUGGGCACAUGCAAAUAACACAUCAAGGAAAGUGAUGUGAUCAGGCUUCUCAUUCGUUUUCUUCAUAUUGUUGAAUAACUCUACAUCUGUUGAUGCCUGACCAUGAGAACCAUAUGCCAUGAUCAUGGAGGUCCAAGACACUACAUCUCGCACUGACAAUCUAUAAAAAACAUGGCGAGUAUUAAAUAUUUAGCAAUAAUUAUAUAUUAAAUAUUUAGCUAUAAUUAUAUAUUUAAUAUAAUUAUGAUUAUAACGUUUUGGAAGUUAUAAUCUUCCCAUGUAUAAAUAUAAUAGCUAAAUACAUAGCAAAUCACAAUCUGAUUUAGCCAUUUUUCUCCUAUUAUCUUUUUGUUUUUGUUUUCUCCUUUUGUUAUGGAUUCCAUCGGCUCCACCUCCUCUGUCACUUCCGGUAAGGUCCUUCCUACCUCUCCAUCUCCAUCAGGUUUUCCCUUUUCUCAUAUGGUACCAGAGCGAACAACCGUUCCUACGGCCAUUAACGAUAUCAAAAAUAUGUUCGGCAAUAUUCUAUCUUUUGGUUCAAUCCAGAAUUUCAUAUCAGUGAAAUUAUCUCCAACUAAUUUCAUCCUCUGGAAGAUACAAUUCGGUCUGUUGUUGAAUUGUUUUGGUCUACAAGACCACAUCAGUACCUCUAUCUCGACCCCUCCGGCAAUGGUCGAUGGUGCUCUUAAUCCGUUAUUCUCCACAUGGUGGCAUAAAGAUCAACUCGUUAUGAGUUGGAUCUUAUCGUCUCUGUCUGAAGAAGUGCUUCCAAUCGUGAUCGGAUUAACAACUGCAAAAGAGAUGUGGGAAGCAAUCGAGACUUCCUACGGCAAGUUAUCACAAUCAAGAAUACUCCAGUUGCAGAUGAAUAAGUUCCACAAUCUGAAGAGAGGAACAAUGUCAGUGGCGUCAUAUCUCCGACAGGUAAAGAUGUUGGGAGAUGAACUUGCAGCAACCGGAAAUCCAAUCCCUCGACAAAUGUUCAAUGCAACGGUUUUUAGUAACCUCGGUGAUGAAUACGGUAAAAUAGUAUCGGCGUGCUCUGUUCAAUCCACGUCACUCACCUUCCCAGAACUCAUAAAUAUACUUUCUGGCCAUGAGGUUCGACUCUAGAUGUGUUCUCCCGUGGCAACUCCGGUAGUUCAUGCUACGGUCACAAAUCCAGGGAACGAGUUCAAUUUUCAAACAGAUCGUGGAAGAGGGAGUUAUCGGGGAAGGGGUCGGGGAAGAGGUCGUAGACCCUCUCCACGUAUAGACCCAUGCCCCGUAUGUGGUGGUUUAGGGCACAACCUGCAUACAAGUGUUCAAAAAGAUAACAAGGUCCGACCCAAACUGUCUCCUGAGGUAGUCCUUAAGGAGGUCAUUAAAAACAUCAGUCUCUCCUUUGAUUCAGUGUAUUACAAUAAGAGUUGUUGUCACCCUUUGAAGACAUUUAUGAUGGAAGUAUGGGAGACCAACCUCCUGAGGCAGCGUAUCUAGUUACUGUAUAACUAGACUACAUAGCUAAUGGGAGAGAGUCAAUGAGCUUUUUGCUCAUUUCUUUUUACUUUUAUUUUUAUUUCUAUUUUCUAUUUUUGUAAACUUGGCAUUAGCCUUAUUCUAAUGAAAUUUAAUUGCUUCAAAAAAAAAAACUAUGCUUUCUAGGAUUUAUCAUUGGGAUACACGGAAUGAAAAUGGAUCCAAAAAAGACUGAAGCACUACAAAAUUGGCCAGCACCUUCUUCAGUCACUGAGGUACGUAGUUUUAUGGGCCUAGCCUUCUUUUAUAGGAGAUUUAUAAAAAAAUUCAGUUCAAUAGCUAGUCCCAUAACAGACUGUUUAAAGAAAGGAAAAUUCAGGUGGACAGAUGAGGCUUCAGUCAGUUUUCGGAAGUUAAAAAGCUAGUUGGACUUGUCCUUGACAAGAAUAAGGAUGAGGAUUGGUAAUGGUUCACAUCUCACUAUUAAAUCUUUCGGUAAUGGUUCAAUUUCUAAUGGUGUUACUUCUCUUGAUCUUCGUAACAUCCUUCAUGUCCCUCUUUUGAAUACUUCUUUAAUUUCGGUUCAUAAGUUUGCUCUUGAUAACAAUUUCUAUUUUGUUUUUCAUCCUUUCUAUGUCUUUGUAAAGGAUCGAGCAACUCACAGGCUUCUUCUUCAAGGAACCCAUGAUGGAUCACUUUACAAGAUUAGAAAUCAAUCGCCAUUAGUUCAUGCUACUAGGUGCUCAAUAAAUGUCUGGCAUGAACGGUUAGGACAUCCUCAUGAGGCCAUCGUUAGAAAUGUUAUUUUAGAAAAUUAUUUGCCUAUUUCUAUUUCAAAACUUGAUAAUUGUCGAGCUUGUCUUAUAGGUAAAUCAUGUCAUAUUAAUCUUCCACAAACAUUUUCUAAAAGUUAUGUUCCUCUUGAAUCGAUACAUAGUGACGUAUGGGGACCAUCACCUAUCGAAUCUUUGGAUGGUUUUAGAUAUUUUGUCAUUUUCAUUGAUGAUUUAUCUCGCUUCAUUUGGUUAUAUCCCAUGAGACAAAAAUCGGAGGUGGGAAAUAUUUUCAAAGAAUUUCAUGUCUUAGUUGAAAGACAAAUCAGCCACAAAAUAAAAUCGUUUCAAUCAGACUUUGGGAAAAUUCACAAUAUCUACACAUGAUGGUUUCAACUACUUCUUAACAAUAGUUGAGGAUAAAAGUAGAACCACAUGGAUAUAUUUAUUAGAAAAUAAAUCAGCAUUAGAAGGUUGCAUUAAAUCUUUUAUAAAAAUAGUUAAAAAUUAUUUUUCAAAAAAUAUCAAGAUAAUUAUGAGUGAUAAUAGAGGUGAGUUUAUCUCCAAAUCUUUUAAACAAUGAUCAAAGAUCAUAGAAUAAUCCAACAGUUUUCUUGUCAAUACUCACCCAAGCAAAAUUCUAAGGCAGAAAGAAAACAUAGAUAUCUAUUAAGUGCAUGUGGCCAGAGAACACUACACAUACAAAGUCAUACUCCCAUUAAAUUUUAGAGAGAGAGAGUGUGUAUUAAUAGCCACACACAUAAUCAAUAAAAUACCAUUCAAAGUACUUAAUAAUAAAACUCUCUUUGAAAUUUUACAUAAAACCAUACCCAAUUAUAGCUUUGGGUGCUUAUGCUAUACAACAAUCGAUCAAUCUAAGAGAAUACAAGUUCUCUCCUAGAACUUUUAAAGGGGUUUUCGAUCAUGGGUUAUCCUUCGGAAAUGGGUUGCUUGCGGAAGCGUUUUUCUCGAUUGAUACUAUCUUAUUUUCUACUGCCGGAGAUGUCGCUGAAGUAUUGAAGAAGACCGGCGAGUGAGCUUGCCGGAAUCGUCGCUGGAAUGAAGUGCGCAAGAAGAGGGGGAGAAAGUAGGGAUUUCCGUUUUAACAGAAAUACCCAAAAAUGUGUAAACAGUAAUUGUAUUGAAUUAUUAUUAGUUUACAACUAUUAGUUUUAUAGGAAAAAUUUUACAACAAACCCAAAUUGACUUAUCAAUAUUUUAACCAACUAAUAACAAAAUCAACUAACUAAUUCAUUUGUUAAUUCCUAAAACACAUUAGAAAAUUAAUUCCUUUAGUGUGGUCUCAUCUGAAACUACUAUUGCUGAUUUGAAGAAACAAGUCGCCAAACUCAAGGAAGAGAAUACGGGACUUAAGAGUGAACUUGCUAGCGCUAAAGAGGAGAUCUCGGCGCUUUCGAAAGAUAGUUCUGUAUUUUCUGGGAAGGCCGAAUAGUUGGAGUUGGAUGUGAGAUAUCAAUCCGAUCAACUCCAAGAACUCAUCUUCUUUGGACCUUCCGUGUUUCCCUCUCUACCCCUUGACUACAUCACGGACAUCAUGACAUGGGUAGAGCAGCCUCCUGAAGAGCUCGAAAAGAACAAGGAUGCUUUGGAUAAGAUGAAGGACGAAGCUGCUAAAGAAUAGAACAUUUUAGUCCUUAGAAUUUUGUAACUUUUUAUAAUCUUUUUGUAAUCUUUUUGAAGUUAUUAUUAAUGAAUCGUUUUGUUUAUUUUAAUUAAUUGUUUAUUUAUUUCAUUUCUUUGGAUUGUAACUAAGACCCGAAACUAGAUUCACGAGUCGUAAUUUAGCCACUCUGGACGUAAAUUAGACUAACCCUAUCGCUAGCGCUCUACGUCAAAUACCUGCAGAAGAGGAGGGGAAUCGGCGACUCACGUGGGAGGCGACAAUUCGGGCUCCUGGAUGCUCUAGUGUUGAGUGUGAGUAGUCAAGUAAAGGUGCUGAUGGAGGAGGACCCCUUUUAUAGGGUCCUGGGGACGUUUCCCCCAUUAGCGUGAGGCCCACUCCAUUAUGGUGCCCAAUUAAGGGUGCCAUAACGACAUGGACCCUCUCAAGAAACGCCUGGGAGUCGGCGACUCAGGUAUGGGAGUCGCCGAUUCAGAGGUGGAGUCGCCAACUCCCUUAUGGUCAGGUCCUCGGUCUACCAGACCCGAGUGCCCUGUUCGGAGUCGGCGAUGCACCCCUGGAAUCGGCGACUUGGUAGUCCCAGUCGGCGAUUCCCAGGUGUUGCAUUGAGUACUUGACGUAGACACUUGCUCCGCACCGUGGAUGCCGUCCGGGGGUCCGGCGUAAAGCGACGGAACCCUAGUCCUUGUUGAGGGGCGUUGCUGGGAGUGACUGACGUAAUCAGACAUGUCUCACCACUGGGUGUCUCCGGUACAAGCUUACUUGAUGAGGUGGCAGUUUUCCUAAAAAGUCUCCAAGUGAGAGAUUGUUAGAGUGUGGGGACGUUUUUCAUUAAAGGCAUUAAUUAUAAUUAGAAUAAUUAAAAUUAAUGUAGGCCUUUUAUGAGCCAUUAGAAUUAACUAGGUUUAAUUCUAUUAAAUAGGCUUUAAGCCUUGUAAUGGGUAUUAGGGUUGCAAACACAAAACGACAACCCUAAUUAUCUUGUAAUUACUUGUACUCUUUGUGUGAGAAAAAGAAGAAGAGGAGAUAACCCGUGGACGUAGGCACAUUGUCGAAUCACGUAAAUCUGUUUUGUUCUUGUUUUUUGCUCAGUUUUCUCAGUUCGAUUUAAGAUCGAUCCUAUCAACCAUCUCUGAUUCUAUACCUUAUCAAUCACAUCUUGUUCCUUAUGACUAAACCCACUCGCUGCAAGUUCCUUGUCAAGGAGACUCUCGGAUUUAGUUAUGUUAGAAAAUGACAGCCUGUUGCUUCCCCCCCAAAAAAAUAAAAAAAUUUCAUAUGCUAUAUUGCGACUCCACCGUUUCAAAUAUAUUAAUAUAAUAAUAUAUUUUAUUUUUAUAACAUAAUGUAAUAUAGUAUAAUAAUAAUAUAAAAUAUUACUAAAUAGUUUUAAAAUAUUUUGUUUAUAAAUCAUUAUUCUAUUAAUAAUUUAAUUUAUUAUUAUAUUUACCCUAAUUUUUCAUAACUAUUCAUCUAUAUCUAGAGAUUUAGAAAUUUCGUUUUUUCCUUCUCUUCCAUCUCCACAACAUUCAUUUAAUUUUUGACUUCUUUUUCUUUACUUCACGUGAGUUUGUGACCAUAGUUUCAUAUAAAGAAAAAGAAUAAAGGUAUUUUUUAUCUACAUUCCUUAUUGUUAAAUUUGUUAUUAAUUUAAAUCCUUUUUUACAUAGAUAAUCAAUGGAUAAAUUUGUGAUCAAAAGACCUAGAAUAAACCAACCAAUUUCAACUCCAUCAUCCAAUCCACAACCAUCUAGAGAGUCAUUCCAUGUAAGUAAAUUACCAUCCGAUCUGGGAUUGCGAAAGAAGAUAAAUGACUACCAUCCAAAUGACCGAGAUCAAAUAAAAAGAUAUUAUUUGCAAAAAAACCUUGCCAACAUGAAUUUUCAUUGAAAAAGAUUAAAAAUCAAUUUAAAAGAUUUUGUGUAUUGUGGUUUGACAAAUAUGAAUCAUGGAUUGAAUAUAGCAUUUCAAAAGACGCAGUUUUCUAUUUAUGUUGUUAUUUAUUCCCGGAAAUAAAUGAAACUGCUUUUACUUGUAAAUAAAAUUUCGAAUUUGAAUAAAAUUGAAGAGUUGACCGUAAAGUUGAUUGUGUGCAGAGAAAAGAUAUUGUAUUUCCUUUGGUGUUUCGUUUGUUAAAAUUAACACUCACAUUACCCGUUGCGACUGCUUCAGUGGAAAGAUCUUUUUCAGUAAUGAAUCUUGUGAAAUCAAGUUGUCGCAAUCAUAUGGAUGAUACUUGGUUAAAUCAAAUCAAAUGAAAACAGAAAGGCUAACAAUAAUUUGCCUUGAAAAAUAAAAUUCAGACAAAUAUUGAAUAUCAAUUUUGUAUCAUACCACAAAAUUAAUAAAAAUCAAACCACACCACACUGUUAUUUGACAAUUUUCACUACCUGCACCCAAAAGGAUCGGAAGAUGAGUUUGUGGGAGCAGGAGGAGAACUAAUUAGCUAGAUAGACGACCUUGUUGUCUUCCUCGUGUAGAAGAUCGGACGAUGACUGGAGCUAACCAGCAUUGUAAAAGUAACGAGCAUUGAUGGCAGGAGAUGUUGAGUUGAUGAGUUGAUAGAAAUUCCCGACGUGAUGUGGAGCCGAUUUUCUUGUUUAGGCUGUGGAGGCCAAUUCACGUUCUUCGCAGAAACAAAACUAGAUCUUCUCGACGAUCGGUUGAUCCCUUUGAUCAAGUGCAUGCAUGGGUUCCGUGUAACAAAAAAAAUACAAUCAUAACACCGAACCCAUGCAUGCACGAGUAGGAACAACUCUAUAAAUACACCACGUGGUCUUUCCACAGACAGAUCAAUAUAGAACAUGGUACUUGAUUAGUUAUACCUAUCGGAGUAUCGAGGUCGUCGAAGACCUACCAUGUCGUCGUCACAAAACUCUAAGUCGAAGAGUAGGAGCAAGUCGAAUAAAGGAAGAGCUCUGUUUCUCGAAGAACGUGAAUUGGCCUCCAUAGCCUAAGCAAGAAAAUCAAACUCCACAUCACGUCGGAAAUUUCGAUCAAUUCAUCAACUCAUCAUCCGAUCCGGUCAUCAUUGCUUUAGUACCAACAAUCUACGAGCACCAUCCAAAACAAACACUAAAUGGCCAGGAUGAACGGAGAUGGCCUCUGGAUGGAACGACGGAGGCGGCGAUGCUUUCACGGUUAGAACGAAAAACCUAAAAUAGCUUGGGCGUGAGAGAGAGGAGUGAAAUGGGGAAUGAAAUUAAAUUUUGUCACAAUAAUAGAUGGAAAAGAAAAGAUAGAGUGAGGUGUACCUGAUCGAUCGGGUACGGGACCGGAGAAUUAUCUCACCCAUAAAGUCGUAGUGGAAAUAUACAUUGCCGUCGUCCUCUUAAUUUAUUCCGAACGAAAAACCUAAAAUCGCUUGGACGUAAGAGAGAGGAAUGAAAUGGGAAAUGAAAUGAAAUUUUGUCAUAAUAAUUGAUGGAAUGGAAGAGAUAGAGCGAGGUGUACGAGAUCGGAGAAUCUCACCCCUAAAAUAGUAGUAUAAGAAUAUACACCGCCGCCCCCUCUAUUCCGUGUUCCCUCUUUCAGGUUUACGAAGGUUCGUAGUUGAGUUUAUAUAGAUUUUUGAACGGUCUAGAUUAAUAUCUUAUAAGAUAUAGGGUUAUAUCUCAUUUUUAAUAUUCCAGCUAAGUUUAUAUAAAUCAAAAAGUAUAUCACGCACUCAUGCUCAAAUAAUGAAGAUAUUCUCUGGCAUUAGUCCUGGAUGACCAGAGAUUGCAAACUUGAACUCUUCGUUUUCUCUGGCAUUAACCCUUUCAACUUUCUCAAUAGUUUUCUCGAUCUAUUGACAAGAUGAUUUUAAAAAGCCUCAAAAACUAACUAGACAAUCCCAAGUUCCCAACUCAAUCGCACAGACAAAUCCUAAUGAACAUGGUGUGUGUUUAUAAAAGAUACUCAAAUUAUGAAUAAAAAACAGUGGCAAGAGUACUAUGAAUUACUUCACUUGAUUCAAGCUUGUGGUUAGAAAUAUAACUAUGAAUUUCCCUACCUUGUUCUAAAGCUGUGAAUUGAAAACAAGCCGAUAGAAUACUAGCAAAACUAAUAAUGCCAGGUUGUACUCCACUAUCUCUCAUGCGCCAGAAGAUAUCAAUUGCCUUGAAAUAAACAUUAUGACAUUCCAUGAAAUAAACAUUAUGACAUUCCAUGAAACAACAUUAUCUUUUGGCAUUUCCUUAAAGAUAAAUUCUGCACAAAGAAUGUGCCCACAAAUCUUGUUUCGAAGUAUAUAUCCAUGAACAAAUUUUCUAUUAUACAUAUAUGACGAUCGUGAGCAAGCCAUCAAAACAGUGCUAAUUGUAGUUGAAGUGGAUCGCAAUCCUUUUAUAUGCAUAUGGGAGAAAACAACUAAACAGUAAAGGAAUUAGUUCUGGUUCUAAUUAGCUCUGUAAUUAAACAGAGUCAUAAUCUGUUUCUAAUUACUCAAUUAUCAAAUUGAAACAGAGUGCAGAAUGUUUUAUAAUCUGUAAAGAGGACCUAAUUGGAAUAAUCAAUUACUUAUAAACUUUUAACUAAUUUAUUGUUAAAUUUUCACUAUGCAGGAAAUUGACCGAUUCUGAUGGGCUAAAGGAAUGGGCCGGUUUUAUAAAUAAAUUGAAACUUUAAAUGAUUUGUUAUGAUUGAUCGAUGGUAUCAGUAGGGAAUGAUGUGAACCUAGACCCCAAUUCCGCACUUGCAGGCUCUGGAAGCAUUGAAGAAUCAGUAAAUUCUUCAAGAAACGAUUCCAAGUAGUGGACGACCUCCUCUGAUUCUGAAGAAAAUAAAAGAUUUUUUAGAAGAAGGGAAAGACAGUCAGUAAAUAAAAAGAAAAAAAUUCACAAUGAAAGAAAGAAGUAUUAGGAAAUCACCUUACUUUCACUAUGCAGGAAAUUGACCAAGACUCAUACAAAGAGUAUUAAAGAAGUCGAAUGUCCAACUUGCAAAAGUUUAAAAAAAACGAACGGGCCAAUUCUGAUGGGCUAAAGGAAUGGGCCGGUUUUAUAAAUAAAUUGAAACUUUAAAUGAUUUGUUAUGAUUGAUGGUAUUAGUAGGGAAUGAUGUGAACCUAGACCCCAAUUCUGCACUUGCAGCCUCCGAAAGCAUUGAAGAAUCAGUAAAUUCUUCAGAAAAUGAAGUGGACGACCUCUUCUGAUUCUGAAAAAAUGAAAGAUUUUUUAGAAGAACGGAAAGAAAGUCAGUAAAUAAAAAGAAAAAAAUUCACAAUGAAAGAAGGAAGUAUAUUUCAAGGAAAUCACUUUACUUUCUAUCUGCUGGAGAUCACCUAGGCGCACAGAUGGUGUCUGAUAAAUUGACUGUGGAAGCCAAUUACGUGGCUUGGACCAAUUCAAUGAAAUUUUCACUUGUGUCAAGGAAGAAAACAGCCUUUGUAAAAUGGAAGAUCAAGAAACCAGUGGAUGAGUCUAGUGAAGAGUUUGAAGAUUGGGAAAUGGUAAAUGGUUUGGUUCUGUCUUUGGAUCAUCAAUGGAGUCAGUCCUCAGAUUGCUUCAACCCUAAUUCACACAAAAACAACUUAUGAAGCUUGGGUUGAGCUCUAAGAAAGGUAUAAACAAAAAAAUGCACCUAAGACAAGCUAAUUGAGGUAUGAGAUAAAUACAUUAAAUCAAGCUAAUAAUAUUGUUUCCAUAUAUUUUGAUAAGUUUAAAUCCUUAAGGGAUCAAUAUAUAGAAAUAGAAAAAUCUGAAUGUAGGUUUUGCACAAUGUGUGCACCAAUCUAUUCUAAGAAAAUAGAAAAGGAUAAGACCCAUUAAUUCCUCCUAGGUCUGAAUGAGGACUUCAUGACUCUAAGAAGUCAAAUUUUGGCAUAUUCAGAGUUACCCUCAAUGAAUUAAGUGUUUUCUUUAGUUAUCCAAGAAGAAAAACAGAAAUUGAAUUUUAAGGAGAAAAUAGGAGGUAGCUCAACAACUAUGUAUGCCAAAAGAAAUGAUAAGGAAGAAAAGAAAGAAGAACCAAAGAAAAGAGUUUUAUACAGUAAAAAUGGCAAGAAAUUAGACACUAAGUAUUACUGUGACAACUGCAAAUUUUAUGGUCAUCUUAGGGAAGAUUGCUUCCAUAUAGUAGGCUUCUCAAAGAAAAAUAAGAAAGACAACAAGAAGUCGGGUCCGGGUCCAACCGGGUCUGGCUAAUCUAGACCCGGACCCGGACCACUAACUGACCGGGUCCGGACUCGGGCCCGGCCAUCCGGGUCUAAACCCUUUGGCGGAUCCGAAAUUGGUCUCAGAUCCGGACCCAUUGACAGUCUUAAAUUUCAGUAAAUAGAUUGGCAAAUCAUUCAGAUCUAAACCUAAUUUUUAACAAAAAUGGAUGUGAUUUUCAGGAAAGCAGUCAGGGAGAGUGAUUGGGCAGGGUGAGUCUAAAAAUGGACUCUACUUAUACUAAAGCCAAAAUUUCUUGAUUUUGCAAACUCAUCCAUAGAAUUUGAGAACGGGCAUAAGAAGCUAGGACAUAUCUCAACAAAAAAAAUGAAGAUACUCAUCAAGACUGAGAGUGUAGAUCUUAAGAAGAAUUGUUUUUCAAAUUCUGAAAAUUGUAAAACCAUUGAUAAUAAUGUUGUUUUGAACAAGUAUUUUUCAAAAAUAAAUAAGAAUCUAAAGUAAAAAAUAAUUGUGAUGUUUGUGUAACCUCCCGAAUUUUUUUUAGACAAUAAUGAAAUCAUUGAAACAUGUUCAAUUAUACAACAAAUGGCUAACUGCCUUGAUUACAAUUCAAAGGGUUCAAAAUGCAAAUAACAAAGAAGCGAAAACGUUAAACUCCCGAGGGAACCAUGUACGAGACCACUGUUUUCGUUGCUCCCCUUAAUCUGCAAUGACAAACAUAACAAAGUGAGUUUUGAAGUCAAAACUCAGUAUGGAUAUCAUAUUACUUUCCUUUUUAGUUCUUUAUUUCUAGGUUGAUAAACAUACUCGUCCAAUCAAACGCCUUAGGGCUUCAAGCCCCCUCGUAGGAACGACUGCUGCCAUUCCCCAAACUAGACUUGUGUGGAGCACAAGCUCGUCCAGACUCGAAUUACUCCAAAGAAUGAUUCGACCAGACUAACCCGUUGGGCCUGUUAGCCUCGUCAGGCUCAAACUCGAAUUCCCACAUGGUUCACCCAACCCAUAUCCCCGAAGGGUCACAUUAUCAGACUUAGCCUCUCAGCUCAAAUUCGGGUUCCCCAUGGGUUCAUUCAACCAGACUCCCCUCGGGGCACGAUCCACCAGAUUUUUACUUUUCCAGAUUCAUUCUUUAAUUUUUUGGCCUCUGUAUGGUUCGUCUCAUUCAUAUCGAGAUCCGAACUCUCAAUCAUGGAUUCAGGUCGACCAUCUUCUUGGUCCAUUUAUUCCCAACGUACUAGCUAAGUGAGUGCGAACCAAAAUGAACCUUAAGGUGAAUCAAGGGUCCUCCUGGAGAAAUCAUUGAUUCAACCUAAGUUUCAUCCUCGUCUACUCUCCUGUUCUAACAAGGGAGGAGGUUGAGAUUUAUUGAGAGGAAUACUAGAGAGUUGUGUGUGUAAGCCCCCUAGCGCGAAUCCACAUACCAAUCAAUACCCCUGGUCCAUCAGACCAGGCUCACCCUAGACCAGGACUAACAAGCCCAUUUGGCUUAACAGGACAGGCGGACUCGUCUUGCCCCGACGGGCCAAACCCGGCCGGGUUAGUAGGGUGGGUCAAGCCCAUAAAAAGAAGGCCCAGUCCAGUAGGAAAGUGUAUAAAUAACCGUAGGGACUGAACGUAGAUGGGGGAGAGACAUUUGUAUUAGGAUAGAUACUAUAGUGAAAAGAUUGUUUGGUAUUCACUUGAUACUAAAUGAUUAAAAUCAUAUGAUCAUAAAUAAAUGGUUAAAAAUCUUAUGGUUAAAAAUUUAGGGGUUUAUUUAAAUUCAUCGAUUUUUUGUUAUUUAAGUUUCAUCACAAAUGGUCAUUUUCGUUAGGAAAGUUUUCUACCAUUAAGAUUUCAGACACAUUGAUGUCUCGUUUCACUCAUUCCCAUAUCAUCCCUGACUGGUCACUCCAUGAAAUGCUCACACUCGUCCUCGAAAUCAAAGUUGUCUACGACAAACGUGGCUCAAGUACUAUAUCGGGUCACCAAAAAUGGAAUAUCAUAGGCGAUCAUCUCAUUGCUCUAAACAUCUGCAGAAACUCGUCUCAUUGUCACAGAAAGUGGGAUUCAUUGAUCUCCGAACACUACACCAUCAAAGAUUGGGAAUCUCGAUCCCGAUACCAAACUGCAAGCACCAGCCGAAGCAAUGGUGGCGAUUCUUACUGGUGUUUAGAGUCGGAUAAAAGAAAGGAUUUAAAGCUACGGAUAGAAUUCGAUUGAAAGUUAUUCUGGCUUAUUGAACGUUUCAUUAAUAAAAAGGUCAUCAAAGCCAAAGAUCACAUGUGCCAGAAAUUGAUUCUCCUUCAUUACAACAAUCGUCGUCGUCGUCAAUAUCAAUAGUUCAAUACAUACAUAACAAGGCUUGAUGUUGGAUUAUGGUCAUGAUCUAAAUCUGUAAANNNNNNNNNNNNNNNNNNNNNNNNNNNNNNNNNNNNNNNNNNNNNNNNNNNNNNNNNNNNNNNNNNNNNNNNNNNNNNNNNNNNNNNNNNNNNNNNNNNNNCGUUACUGCACGAUGCAAUGGAGCUAGAUGGAUCUCCCUCAGCCUGUUCCAAACAUGAUUUGUAAAACAAUUAUAUCAUGAUACCAUGCCUCACAGGCCACAAUGACAGCCUAAAUUAUUAAUAAUAUUAUGGUUGAAUUAAUAAACAAAAGCACUUUACAAUUUCAGCAAUGGGCUCAUCUAAGAUUUUCUAUAACUUGCCUUGUCCUGACAUGAAAGAUAACUCUCUCACCUACCUCCUGAAGCUAACUGUUUUGACAAUAAAAACACACAAACUUUGCGGAUAGCAGAACUGUUUUUGUAGGUCUUUCCUGCAGCAAUCAGUCUCUUAAUUCCAAACCAUAGAGGGUCUACUGUGAAAAUAAUCCGCCAUUUUUAUGGCAUAUAAUCCGAUAAUUAAGCAAAGAUCUAAACAUAUUGAAUUAAAUUGCUUCAAAAAAAAAAAUAAACAUAUUGAAACAGACUUUCAUUUCACUAGGGAACUAAUAUCUAAAAAGCUUUUAAAUUUACAACAUAUUUGUUUCUACUGAAUAAAUUGCAGAUAUCUUUACUAAAGCAGUCUCACAUGAUUUGUUUAUUAAUCUUUGCAGGAGCACUAAUAUGCAUUUUCCUCUCUUAAAGGUAGGUAUAUAUCUAUGUGAAAAUACACCUCAACUUGUUUUAUUUUUUUUCACUAUCAUAGAUUGACGAGUGAGGUUGAAUACAGAUCAAGAAUUUAGUUGAUUUGAUAUUAGAAAAUGCAGUACUUGAUUUCAUAAGAGGGUUUUCCAGAAUAAACAACCACUGAUUUUUUGCCCCUUAUAUGAUCUCAAUUAUUCAUUAUCUAGAGUAUCUAACUCUCUACAACUAAUGAAAGUGUUGUUGUUCUAUAGAUGUUUUAAUUGUUGCUGAUUUUUCAAAGUCACAAUUUAUCAAUUCCAAAGGAAAGUCUCUCAAUUACGGUUCACUCAAUUGCAAAUUUGAGAGGGGGUGUCAUGAGAUAUAGUAUUCUAUGCUAAUUAGAAAUUGAGCUCACUAAGAGCAAUUGAUAUAUUGAUUUAGUAUUUUCUUCAAUUUGAAAACCUGAAUGAUGUGAAGUUUUGGCUCUCAGGCGAUUCGCAAAGCUGAUGAUUUGCUACUAGGAACCUCUUUGAAUACAAUUCAGUCAUCUUGUAAGAAGAACCAACCACUACACCGGUCUCGUACAUUGCCUCUCCAAAGAAAUCAAUAUCCUGUCUCUCUCCAAUGGCGACGGGAAGUGUAGAAAAAGCAGAAUGAAUGACAAUUGAUAUCAUGCUUAGGAAAAGAAUUUUCUGCUUCUUUUUAAACAAAAAAUUCCAUUGGCACUGAUACAUAUAUAUGACUUGUUUAGGUUUAGUUAGCUAGCUAGCUUAGGGGUAAUCGGGGAUGGAGAUACCCGACCAAAUUAUUGAAUUUUUUUAUUGAUUUUAAACAAUAAUAUAAAAUACUGAAUUAAAAAAUCAAAAAUAUAAAAUUAUAGUUCAAAUGUAAAUAAUCCAAAUAGUUAAAAAUUAAAUUUUUAAGAAUUUGGGAUUAAAGAUUAAGCUAAUAUUAAAAUGAAGGGGGUUAAAUAUAAAUUUUUUAUGUGUACAUUUUGAAUAUAAAUUUAUGUAUUUAAUAUAUUAUAUAGAGUUAUUUAUAUAAAUUAUACUUUAUAAAAUAUUAUAUAAAGUAUAAAUAUAAUUUAUAACUUAAAAGUUAAAAUGCAUAUUUAACUAAUUAAAUGUUAAACGAACCAAACUUAAAGUAUUCGGUUUGAUUCGUUUAUUUUUAAAAACAUUUAACGAACGAAUCGAACACUAUGAAUUUUAAUCUAAUCGAAUCUGAACAGUUCGGUUAAUUAAACGAAACGAACCUAAACUCAAGAAUAGACUCGUUUAUUUAAAUAAAUCGAAUACCUAAAAUAUCUGAUUUAACAUAUUUAAAAUAUGUUCAUUUUUUAAUUUUUACAAAACAUAUAUUGAAAACCGUACCUACCGAACAGAAUACUUAUAUUGAAACUAAAUUUAAACGACUCUACUCUUAAGUUUGGGUUCAGUUCGUUUAAUUAAUCGAACUGUUCGGAUUCGAUUCGUUUAAAAUUCAUAGUGUUCGUUAAAAUAAAUAAACCAAUCAAAUUUCAGUUCGUUUAACAUUUAAUUAUUUAAAUAUGCAUUUUAACUUUUAAGUUAUUUAUUGUUCAAAAAUAUAAUUAGUUCAUAAUAUAUUUUAUCAAUCUGCAUCAUGAACGACCGGUCGUUCCUGAGCAUAGCGGCGACACAUCCUAGUCUCGCUGUUAAAGUUAAAUCUGAAGGUCCUUAUUCGAGCUAAGGGUGAGAACGGGCGGGUCGCCCAGGUCCCGCCCCGUUUUUUCAUUUUUGCCCCGUUGCCCCGGUCAUAUUCCGGGGCUGGUCUCGGGGCAAGGCGAACCCCGGGCACCCCGGUUUUUUUAAAAAUUAAUUUUUAUGUUUUUUUUAUUAAUUUAAAUUAUAUUAUAUUAGAUAUAUAAUUUUUCGAAUUAAUUUUUUUAAAAAUCAAGGUAAAAAGUUUACCCAUUUUAAAUUUUAGAUUUUUUUUUUAUUUUUUUUUUUAAAUUUAUAUUUAAAAUUUAUAUUUAAUUUUAUAUUUUUUAUAUAUUUUUUUAUUUUUAUAAUUCAGGCGGGUCGCCCCGUUCCGCGCCCCAGUCACCGGGGUCGGGGCGGGUCUCGGGGUAGGAAGGUAGGGUACCUGACCCGUCCCGUUCCGCGCCCCGUUUUCCAGAGCGGGACCGCCCGCGACCCGCCCCGUUCUCACCCCUAAUUCGAGCUCUAGUCGUUCUGAUUGGUAUUGAAAAACAAUUAGUAGGCAGGCGCGGAUCCCGUUGGCUAGCCUUUGCUCUAGGUCGUAGAGAAAUGGGCUGCCCAGGAAUGUCAUUUCAUCACCAUACCGGCGACGUCAGCAUCUCGUCAGGUCACGAUGUCAAAUCUGUUCGGCCACCGUCCUCGCAGAACAGUCUGCCCAAUACUGCCACUGUUCGGACAUAGGUUUUAGUUGUAAUUGCGCAUUUGUCGGACAUAGGUUUUUUUAUACUAAUUUAAAAACCUAUAAAUUUUUUGGCAUGACCUAUUCAUAAAACUGAUUAUAAAAAACUAUAAAAAUUUAAUAUAUUCAUUCCAUAAUUAAUAUUCAAUACAUUCAUUUAAUAAUUAAUAUUCAAAUUAAAAAUAAAUAUAUUCAUUCAAUUAAUAAUAAAAAUUUCAAAUAUAUUUUACAUUACUUCAAUGUCCUACGAUGAAGACACAUAUCAUUAAAUAUUUUUAAAAUGACUUCGUUGUCUAUUAGUUUUAAAAAUAUUUUUCUCAAUAUAUGUUACUAAACAAUCAUUACAUUACUUCAAUGUUCUAUCAAUUCUAAAAAUAAUAAUAAAAAGUAACAGAACCUUGACAAAUGAGGAUCUUUUAAGCUUUCACAAAUGACAAAUCCAUAACCCUCAAACAUAGUCAACCUAAAAAAAGUCAGAAGGAAACGAUUUAUAAACAGAAAGAUAAGAAAAAAGAAUAAUAUCUAAGAAAAUAAGAACAAUUUAUAAACAAGGUGGAUAAGAUUAGCCAUUAUACUGAUGUUGACAAUCUGAUUUUAUCAGACCAAUCCUUAAUUGCAGUGUGUAAAUGUCAUUUAUAUGCUUUUAUAUCCAUGAUCAAACCCUCUUCAGAACUUGGGUUGCUGCUCACUGUUAUAUGCUAUGAGAUCAUUGAGCUUACAUUCCUUUUUUUUGUUAAUCACUCUACUUAAAUUCAUCUGUUAACUUAAUUAUCAUUCAAAUGGAAUCUAUAUGUAAUAAAAUUGAAAAAAAAUUGCUCUCCUAAAAGUUGAAAAAAAUUGAUGACCUAUAUGUAUUAAUUUGUCCCCUCUAAAAGUUGGAGAAGGGGGAAAAGAUUUGUGAAACUUGGGGGUGAGAAUAUAUAAAAUAAAAUAUUUAUAUAUUAACCAUUAAAAAAUAUUAAUAUAUUGUGAAAAUUACAUUUAAUACCCUAUAAAAAUUUUUAUUACAUAUGUAUCUUCAAUUUUUUUCCAACUUUUAGGGUGGGCAAUUGCCCUCCCUUGCCCCCUCCUAGAUACGCCCAUGGGCCUAACCAUGCCUUCCGACGGCGACGUGCUUUGGGCCGACGAUCGAUGACAGAGAUUUCAUCAUUACAGCGGUAUGGGUUUUGCUCUAUUUAAACAUUCGUCGGGGCUGUAUUUUGAGAACAUCGGAAAAGUUAUUCGGCCAUAAUAUCCAUCGAUUCAUCUAAAGGUUUCGUUUCUCCCAGGUUUUUAGUAUUAUUUUACCAAUAUCGAUUUUCUAUGCUUAGUUUUUUGUUUGUCUGUUUUGAUAUUAAAUCACAUUAUGUGUUCAAGGUUUUCGCCGACCUAGUUUUCAGAGUUUCGUAGAUUUUAUUACUACUUAAUUUGUUGAAAAUUAGACCAUGCCCAGCAUUGUUUUUUUUCCCUGUACAAAUUUUAACAUUACCGGUUUGACUAAAUUACUAAUUGGAUGAAGAAAAUCUGAAAAUUACUAAUUCCAGAUAAUUGUUUUUCGAUUCUAAUAAUUACAUUCUUCCAGGCUUGAAAAUGUAUGUUUGGAAAUCUAUAAUCGAUUUUUUAUAACUAUUUCUAGUUAAUGAGGUGUAUAUUAUUGUUGAUAUCUUCUUAGAUAUUAUAUAAUGAAGCCCUUAUGGUUACAUUUAUAUGAGAUUGUGAUGAAAUAUGUUACAUUUGUUGAGUAGGAAUGAGUUCUCGGAAGAGAAACGUGCAAGGCAACAACCCCAUGAGGAGGACUGAUGACGAUGUGUAUGAGGUGAUUAUGAUCAGUGAUGAUGAAUCAGAAAAUGGGACAAUUGCUAAUUCUCCGAUCCUGAUUCCACCUUCUCCUGCACAUAGGGUCCCUCCAACAACUGGAUCUUCCACGCGUCUUUCAGAAAUGCGGGGACAUUGGCCAUUCAAAAGGAAAUCAUUGAAUGAAGGAGAAUCUUCAAGGGGUAAAAAACGUAUUAAUUAAGUCUCCUAUCCACAUCGAUCCUUACCUGCCAAGGAGCGUAAUACAUCCACCACCCAUACCUCGACCAGAUUACGAGGAACCUUUGCAGCUAUCUCAAUAUCGUCUAUCACUUCCGUUCCUGAAAAGCGGAGUCCUUCCAAAAAAUCAGUGUUCUUGGUGCUUUCAGGAAAUUCAUUCAGGAAAUUCAAUAUAAAUUUUAAAUAAACAUGUCAGAAGAAAAGUAGAUAAUAACUAUGAUUUUUGGAUUCCCAAUUACAACUCGAAUUAGUUAUACCCCAUGCAUUUACUACUCGAAUUAGGCAUAAAAAAAUACCAAAACAUUUCCAUACCUGUUGAGUUUUACAUUUCCACAACUACUGAGUUUUGGUAAUGCACUGUUGAACUUAUCAAUAUAUAUUCAUAUUUCAUAAACUAUUUCCAGAUAAUCAGAUGCAAAUGAUUGUUCAGAUUGAGAUGUAAAUUAUCAAUUCCAGAACUGUUCUAACCCAGAAUAUCUAUUUUUUAACUGUGAUUUCGUAUUUCAAUACAUGAAAAUCAAGCUAUGCAUCAUGCCAUCAUAUGGUUUGAAACAAAAAUUUCUGCGAUGUUUCGAAUUUUAUUAUAUGUUUCUAAAUGAUGAUUCAUAUAGAUUUCCCCAAUUCAUUUUUUUAACAGGUAAUAUCAUGGACACCAUUAUUUCGCAGGUUAUCGUGAAAUAAUUUUUUUAUUUAUAUUAACUAUAUAAGGUCAUAACUAAAAUUCUUCGCAGGAAAACGACUACAUUACCGAAUCUGCAUCCUACGGUAAUAAUGAGUUAAUGACGUGUAUUUUCAUUCAAUUUUGAUGAAUUUUAUUGAAUACCCAAACUUGGAAAAUGUUAUAUAAUUACUAAAUUUCAAUUAGACGUUGGAGAAACAUUGAUGAACUUACAGAAUUACGAGGAAGAGAAAGAUCAUUGCACCAACAUGUAACUUUGUCAAUAUAUUCUAAGUUUUUUCAUUUCAUUAAGAACAAAUUUAUUUACAAAGGUAAAGAAUGAUUUAUUGCACAGGUUUAUGGAAACUAUUCAUAAUUUAUUCUUAAACAUCAAUUACAACUGUGUAGACCUCGAAAAUGAGAAUUCAGAUCUUGUAACGCCGAGGUAUUUCUUCAAUUCUAAGUUCCUAUUCAAUAUUUGUAUAUAAAAAUCAUUACUGACUAUUCCCCAAUGCGAGGAUGGUUGCAGUGAGGAACAUGUACCAGAAUCAGAAAUCGGCAUGUCAUUCGAUUCUCUUGAAGAGGCAGAGGCCUUGUACUACUCUUACGCUGGUUCAAUUGGUUUUUCUGUGAGAAAGGGAUCAACAAGGCAUUCAAAAUAAUGACUCAGAAAGAAAACAUAUGUAUGUUCCAAGGCGGGAAAAUCGAGGGUAGUCAUUCCAGUAGUAGACCAUAUGUUAGAAAAACCAAAAAAAUCAAGACACAUCAGAAAUCCAAGAACAGGUUGUAAAGCACUUCUAUCCCUAAAAAUUGUCGGCGUUAGAUGGGUCAUUUCAAUCUACAACAAUCAGCACAACCAUGAAUUAUCUACACCACCAAAAAAGAGGUUUUUGAAGAUUAACAGAAAAAUUACUCCAUACGUAAGAAAUUUAAUACAAGAUUUGGACGCCACAAACAUUCUGCCGAGUCAACAAUAUUCAUAUGUUGCAAUGCAAUCAGGUGGGUUUUCCCAUUUCUCAUUUACGAAGAUAGAGAGAACAUGAUAAAUCACGAUGUGGAUAUUCUCAUUCAGAAAUUUGAAAAACUAAAGGCAGAAGACUCAGAUUACUACUACAGCUACGUGUACUCGACGACCAAGGUAUUUAUUUCGAGAUAUUUAAAACUAGGAUGUGUAGUUACAAACUGAAAUUUAUAUGAGUUAAUGCUUAUUAUUUAGGAGCAAUGAAAUAGUUAUUUUGGGCAGACACUACAAGCAUCAAUGAUCAUAGAAAUUAUGGAGACGCAAUCACAUUCGACACGACAUAUAACACAAACAAAUACAAGCUUAUUAUUGGUAUAUUCUGCGGGGUUAAUAACCAUUUGAGAACAGUUUUAUUUGCUUCAGGCUUUCUUGCGAACGAAUCUACUGAUUCUUUUAUUUGGCUCUUUUCUGAAUUUAAGAAGUGCAUAUGGGAAGUUACCCAAAGACUAUAAUCACAGAUCAGGAUGCCGCGAUGAAGGUGGUAAUAUCUUGCGAAUUUCCUGACACAUUUCAUCGAUUGUGAGUGUGGCACAUCACACAUAAAAUGUGCGAUAAAGUCACCACAGUUUAUCGGAAUAAGGAAGAAAUGCAGAGAUUCAAUAAAACACUCAACACAUCUGAUACGAUCGAGAAUUUUGAAAGGGAAUGGAAUAAAUGGAUAAUUGAUAAUAACUUGAAGGAACAUAAGUGGUUGCAGGACAUGUUUGCGAUUCGUUCGAAAUGGUGUCCUAUCUACAUGACAAACUAUUUUUUUGGUGGCAUGCAAAGCACUCAACAUAGUGAAGGUAUGAACGCCCUAGUAAAACUGAAUGUGAGGCGAUCGUCAACAUUAUUUGAAUUCAUAUGUUCGCUUGAGUUGGUAUUAAGUGCUCAAAGGAAUCGAUUAGAGGAAUUGGAUCACAGAGAUCGUGAUGCUCCCCCACAUACGAUUACGCCUCUCACUAUAGAGUGGCAUGUGCAUUCAGUAUAUACGACCGAGGUAUUUCUUCUAUAUCAACAACAAGUACAAAAGGGCAUGACAUAUUAUGUUAGGGCGAACCCAGAGGUAUGCUAUUAGCUUUAGUGGUUUCAUUUCCUGAAUGUGAUGCAAUCCUCAUUUUAAUUACAGCAUUAUGUCGCAUUGAAAUGCAGGCCUCUAUAUAGAAUAUAGCGUAAUUGGAAUGUUCACCCAGGUCGAAGCUGCGAAGAUUAAAUGUCAAUCAUCUGAAGGCACUCCUAUAUGUAGUUGCCAUCUUUUUUCAAGGCAGGGGAUCCCGUGUCGUCACAUUAUAGCCUUCCUAACAUGGAAUAGCAGAACUUCAUUGCCAGAGGAUCUAAUGUGCAGAAGAUGGAAUAUGACACUACGGAAACCGCAAACCAACACACUUAUACAUCCGGAACCACGAAAAAAUAUACUAAAUCAGGUUUUUGACAGAUGUUGUCAAAUACUUAAUCUAAAUGGGGAUGCAGAGGUAGAACUCAUUCAAGGGUUUAGAGAAAUUCCUGGAUGGAUUUGAAUCUACUAACAAUUUACAAAAGGUACAACCAAUUCGGAGAUCAAUUACAAGAUUUGAGGAGAAAAUUACUUCAGAGCCGAUAAUAAGGAAUCCGAAGGUAGCUAAAAUGAAGGGAAGUGGUAAAAAUACAGGUAGACCAAGUAAGGCAGACCCUCGAUUCAGGUCUACUCGAGAAAUUAUCCUGAAGAAGCCGAUAUGUUGUAAAAAGUGCCACCUUCCGGGGCAUAACUCAAGGAAUUGUGCAAGUGAUUAUUUUCAAUAGUUGUCACUAUGUAAAAAACGUGUAUGAUUUACGUCUUUCAUAUUCACCAAUAUUAUCUGUGGGAGUGGUAUAAAUUUUAUUUUCAAUAUUCUUCAUAUACAAUCGCCUACUAUUUACAUUUACCCUCUAAUCACUACAUUGAAGAAGAAAUUUAUCAAACCCAAAAACUAGUGAUGCAGUCUUCAUUGGAAACCACAUAUCAAUAAAUCCGACCAAAUACAUAUCAAAAACUCAUAGUAUUUAAGUUUAGAGUUAGAGUUUUUUUUAAUGAAAUAGAUAUUUUUAGGUUAAAACGAUUGGCACUAUUGUUUAAGUUUUGAUAUAAAGCCUGAAUUUUGAACCUGAAUUUUGGUUGGAGGUUUUAAUAAGCGUAAAAUUUAUGAUUACGUUUUAUGUUUUGUUUUUACAUUGUCUAUGUUGGAGUUACUGGUUUAGGGUUAGGGUAAUAGUCAUGUUUUGGUUUAGGGUUAGGGAUAGGGUAUGGUAAGGGUUAGGGUUAAGGUUAGCGUCAGGGUUUAGGUUAGUGUUUGAGGUUAGGGUUACUACUAUUGCGUCGCAAGCAAUUCAUUUGAAUAUUAGGUAUUUCCACAUAAUUUGUCCAACCCUAGGAAAAUAUGGAUCAAAGGGGUAACCUUUUUCUUUGUAGAUAUAUCAUCCCCAAUUUCAAGUCUUGCGACGAUUACCUCAUUCUUCUACCUGUAGUGCGUUUCGAGGAAAAUUAUUUUUGAAAACAUACCUGAUACAAUAAUUGUGAAUGCUACAUAGUGCUCCCAGGUAAUUCUGAAGAUGUGCAAAUUCGAACUUGUAGUAAUGCGGGUUUACAUAUUUUCCCAACAUUUCGUAAUGUUCUUCUGCCUAGCUAGGUUUAUAGUUGGCGGUCUCAAUAAUUAUGAACAUUUAUAUUGUGGGUUUGGGUUAUGAUUUAUGAUACAAUAAAUGAAUGGGUGCAUCUCUUGGAUGAUUUCAACCAACAUUUCACACUAUAUAAACCGGGCGAAACCCUAUUUUCUGUCAAUCAAAUAACAUAAAAACAUCGAUCAUGGCAGGUCUACCAAAACAGGGCGAAUCUUCUAGUAGCGCUGCGGGUCAGACAAAUCAGGAGUUCGUCCGCAUUUUCAACAACCACCAAUGGACAAUGGUAUGGUAUAGGUUUUUUAAAUUUCUCCUCCACUGAUUAAUAUGGAAAACUACCAUUUUCACUAAUGUAUUUUUAACACUGUUCAACGAAAACUUAUGGAUAUUUGGGGUUUUCGUUUAAUCAUUGUCAACAAAGGCUAUGAACCACUUUUUCGAUUUUUUUAUACCAUCACUAGAACCAAAUCAAUAUAGAUUAGUUUAGUUUAGUUUCGUUUAAUUAAACUACCUAGUUUCUGAAUAGAUUAUCAUUUUAGUUCCUAUAAAUUUUCAACCGUUAUCUAUAAGUUUAUUAUAAAAAAAAAUUCACCAUGUUUUCCUACUAUAUUAAUUCUGAAACAUUAUUCUAUGAUGUAUGUAUUUGCGAUGUAGCCGAUUCCCACAUGGUUUCUACGAGCAACAAGACUAACAGGUUGGCGAGACAUUGAGUUGUACGAGGACUCGUUGAAGUUAACAUACAUUGUGAAAAUAUACACCGAAGGUAGGCGUAAUGUUAUGUAUGGCAAGGGAUGGUGCUUAUUUGUUGAAAAAAAUUGCCUAAUGAAGGACAUGGUAUUAGAAUUCCUAUACUACCCUAGUAUAAGGAGGAGCCUAAUUGUUCAAAUUACAAGAUUUUUCGUCCCUGCUUCAUUCAUUGAGGGAACAGUACGCAAGCCGAUUAAAGUACCAGCAUUUUUCAGUCGGCCACGUCCAACUACAAUUAAAGAAAAGACAGAGUUCAAGGUAGAGUCUGUCAACGAAGAAUCUAGUGACAAUGGGCCUGACAAUGAGAAUACAGGGGAAGAAGAUGUUGACGUAUCUGACCAGCAGGGGGAGCACGCAGCUGAGGAUGAAUUUCAUCAAGAUAUGGAAUGGACUGCGAGGUUAUCGAAAUCGCACGAGCUUGGUGGGAAUCCAUAUCUGGUAUGCUCAAUAACUUAUUUUUUAGAAUAUGAGAUUCAAAAUCUUAAUGUCAAUACACCUAAUGCAGAUACUGCCAAAAAAACUGAGUCCAGAAAAACUCUUCAAAAUUGGAGACCCGAUCUACUUAACGGCGGAUCCUGAAAAAAUAUUUGUUUCCAAAAUCAGCACAUUCAACUCUUACUGCCAUACAUGGUAUCGUGUACAGACAGGUUGGAGGCAUUUCGUAAAAGAACUGGAGUUCGAGGUGGGCGAUGUGUGUGUUUUCAAAAUAUUAUUCAAGUUCGUUCCAGACAACAUACCGGUGAUUACCAUUUUAACCAUGAAAAUGAUAAUAAACAAAACAUGUCAUUCGUUUGCAAUUACCAUUUUAAAGUCAAUAGAUUACAAACUCGAUUAGGUUUACAAAACAACAUUAUAAAGAAAUUACCAAGUGGAAGAGUAUAUAACAUUAUAACGACAAACUCGAUUAGGUUUACACAAAUUCAAACUUUCUUCUGCAUAAACUUGGCCAUUUUUGUGUGCCAAGGUCUAAAUUCCAUUCGCUCUGCUAAUCUACGAAACAUUGAAUUUCUGAUUUUAGGCACUUGUUGUUUCGUCCAAUUCAUCGUAGAGUCGAGAGUGUGCUCAUUAAAAAUACCAUCUUCGAUAUGUAAAUAUUCUACCAAACAUGUUAUGCCAUGGAGCAUAUACAAACCGCCGUUCAACUUGGGAUUGGUUUUCUGAGGAUAUGAAAUGCAUUGAAUGAAUAUUGGGUCAUCUUCGUGCAUAUCAGACCAUAGGUAUUGUGCAGACUAUCUUGUGGCCCAUUUCAUCUGAAAAUAAUUAACACAUUUCAUUAAAAUAAUAAACACAUUUCAUGACCAUUAGCAUCAAAUACUAUAUAUAUACUUACAGCACGUUUGGUAUCACCAAGGUUUACAGCUUGUCUUGGUAUGCGGUUAGAAUCGUAAUGAGUGAAUGUAUUUUCGGCCCUUGACCAUAGUAUGAAAUGUCAAUGGUCCAUUGUAUGUAUGGGAAUAAUAAAAUAUUUGGCAUCUAAAAGUACCACUCAUUGACCUAUUAAUAGUUUCAAGAACAAUCUCGACUUGCCUUUGAUGAUAUUUUUCUGGUAUUGCACUAGCAUACUGAUCGACACUGGCGUCGUUGAAAAUUUUUGGGCUCAAGAAUUGAAACUUAUCGGGGAUGACUAAUUUUUCUUUGAGCUCAACUAGAGUCACGCCAAAGAGCACAUUUAGCAGCUAAACCACAAGAGAAAUCAUUUAGAAGCAGAAAUAGGAAAUUAUUCUCUAAAUCUGGGUAAAUAUGACCACAUGAAAAAUAUUAAAUGAAAACAUACCAAGGCGUCAUAUGUCUUAUGCUGAAUGAUAUCCAGAAGAUCCCGACCAGCACAAAACACAGCAUCAUUCACUAUCAGGUAGAAGAACAAAGAACGGUACCUAUUGAUUAAUAACAAAUUUCGAAUCAGUCCUGGAAUAAUUCAUAAUUGUUAUGAAAAUUAUUAAAUUACAACCUACUCAGGUCUCAUUACUAAACACUUAGUUGUCUGAUUUUUCUUAGGUUCAUUAUCGUCUUUUAUCUCGGAGGCUUCCUGCGAUUCUUUAAGUUUUUUUCUUUCCAACUAGACAAUCAAAAUCAUUUACUAGUCGGCUGAACAAACAUUUCCUGUGAUUAAUUCAUUACCUUGUCGGCAUUCCUGUCCUUUAUUCUCUUAAUCAUUGAACAAACAUAGGGUGAAUCAGGGUCGGUUGAACUUGAAGGUGAAAAAUCUAAACACCGAACAACAUCAGCAAGGUCAUUUGGGUGAAGCUUUUGCCUGACUUUGAGAUUGUUCUCAAUUUCCUCUGCAGAUGCUACCGCACAAGGCCAAAAUUCUGGUGAUGACAGACCAGUAUUCGGGGAUUCAUAUCGCAUACCCGUAUUAGGUCGCUUUUUUCGAAUAGGAGUUUCGAAUAGUUGUGAACUGUUUGGACUAUGAGAAUUGGCUAAAAUUUCACUAAGAAGAUGCAAUUGUGUAGAUUCCAUCCCAUCUACACUUAUAACAUUCCGUUCAACAUGAUUGUCGUCAAUAAGCAUCAGAUUGUACAUAGACUGGUCCUCUUCGACAAGCAUUAUUAGGUUUGACUUGGAAUACGUAUAAGGAGUUGCGCUAUUCCGGUAAGAGUAUGUGUCAGUUUUCGGCGUUAAUGUGAAGUUUAAAUCAUCUAACCCCAAAACUCUACAAUCGACAAUGAAUUCUCCUAGCAAAUCAAACAAAGGUCUCGGAAUCGUUGGGGAUCUUGAUUUUUCCGGUGAAAUUCUAGAAACACGUUCAGUGGCAAUUUCAGUGCAAAUAUUCUGAUCCCAAACACCAUUAUCAAUACUAGAUUCGGGUUUGAAUUUGGUUUCUAGGUCAGUCUGUGGGUUUCUAGGCAUUAUACAACCUUGAUCAUCAUUGACAUGGUCUAUUUCAGGGAAAAUGUGAAUUUUUUCUAGAGCUUCAGGAAGAAUUUCAUCAUAUAAAUCCAAACCAUCAAUCAGGUAAGGACUAUCCAUUGAUGGAUAUGAUAGAUCGAAAAACAUGAUAUGGUCUUCUGGGUCUUCAAGAUUACACGGUACCGGCUUUUCAGAAAGGUUGUUAGGUCGGACUACAUGCGCAUUUUUAAUAGGUGAGGGGGUGCAUAGAUCUACAACAUUACAAAAAUCUGCUAGUGGUUCGGUAUUUGGACUACUAAAUGUAUUAGAUUUUCCUUUAUGGGACAGAUGGUUAUUUCCUAGAAAAAUAAAUUUCUAACUCGUCAAAAAUCAAUAUUUGACCAAAAAAAAAACUACUAACCGUUUGUUGCUGGUUCUGGAUUUAUCCUCGAGUUUUUUGACUAGGGAAACACAAAUUAUUAGAAGAGCAAUUAAUUAUACUAAAUUAGAAAGGACGACACACUAAUACCUUGCUAUACUUGCCAUAAUGUUUCUGAAGUCUUCGUCGAUGAAGGAAUUCGAUCAACGUUGGUUGAAUCAUAUUUGAAGCCAUUACCUAGCAAAAAUCGUGCAAAUAAAUGGUAGCCAGAUAUAUUCGGUUUAAUCAUCAUCCCAUAUCAAUAUUAUUAAAGAAAAAUAUUUUUGGAUCAUCCGACUAGUGUACUAAUACAUGUCAUUCAUAAAUAAAUACAUAAUGACAUUAAAUUUGGAAAAUGCAACUACUAAGAACCUUAGAAAGAGGCGAGUCUUGAAUGACUGAACGAGGAAUGGCGGAUAUGUGUUUUAACUUUUACUCUUUCUUGAACAUACUUCAAGUCAAUGGCUACAUGUUUUAACUUCGUGUGACAUACUGAGUUUGAAGCCACAUAUGUUGCACCUAAAUUGUCGGACCUGAGUGUCAUCGGUAACUGUGCUUCAAUACCUAAUUCCAACAGUAGAUUUCGUACUUAUUCAAGUUCUGUAAUUGUUGUGGCAAUAACUCUGUACUUGAUCAUGCCAUGGUAUUUUGUUUUCUAGACGUCCACGCAAUCAGUGAUUCGCCUACGUAGAUGAGAUAGCCUUUUUGACUUUUGCGAUCAGUAGUGUCCCCUCCCCAAUCUGCAUCACAGUAUCCGGUGAUUGUAAAUGAUGUUGUCUUUCGCAGCAUUAGACCUAACUUCUGUGUUCCGGACAGAUAUUGCAAUACUUUCUGCAUUGCUAACCAGUGUACAGGUUUUGGAGAAGACAUGUAUUGAGAUAAUUUGUUUACUGCAAACUGUAUAUCAGGUCUCGUGAUGGUGAGAUACUGAGUGAUUCAACGAUCCGUCUGUACUCUUUAUCUUCUUUGAUUGGUUUCUCAUCUGAGUGUAAGUCUUGAUUUGUUAUCAUCGGUGUCUUUGAAAUUUUGGAGUUUUCUACUCCACAGCUCUUGAGUAAAUUUCCCAAGUAUUGUGUUUGAUUUAAGUGUAGUCAGAGUUUAUCCUUUUUUACAUGAAUUCCUAGGAACAGUGAUGCUUCACCCAGGCGUCUGAGUGCAAAUUCGUCUUUUAAUGUGUCUAUCAUCUUUUCAACUUGUGUAUUGUCUGAACCUGUAAUUAUCAUAUCAUCGACAUACGACAGUAGAUAUUAUUAAACUGGUCGCGUGUAGCUGUCCGUAGAGUUUAGACGGAUAGUAACGAGCUCCGGCGAAGUCUCUUGCCGAAAUAUUCGAAGUUAAGAAAAAGGGCGGAAUUUGGAAGUUAUUUGACCUAACUUCCCAAAGUAGUUGCUACAGUAGAAAACUGAUUCUUCAAUUAAUUAGAAAUGAAUUGUUUACACUUGUAUUUAUUAGAUAACAACAUACUCAUUAACUGAAUUAACUACUAGCUAAUAUAACUGAAUUAACUACUAGCUAAUACUGAACUAAUUCCCUGAUUGCUCCAUCUUGUGUAUUGGGCCUCUGACAAUAAUUGGCCCAAUGCUUAUUUAUUAUUUACUUGUAACUUUGCAGUCUAGUCCUUGGUAUUAACUCACCUUUAAUCCUGCAACCAGAUAUACCUUUAAUCACAAGUUAGUCCAGUGAAUGUUUAUCAUCUAAUUACUUCUUUACUCCCCCCUCAAGCUCUGGAAUAAAUGUUAAUUAUUCCAAGCUUGUUAGAGGCUGAAGUAAUCUCAUUUUUACCCAUGGGUUUAGUAAACAUGUCAGCUUAGUUCCAAUUUGCCCUAGACUAAAAACUCCUUGAGUGAUUAAGUCUCUUGUAAAGUGGCAAUCUAUUUCUAUGUGCUUUGUCCUUUCAUGAAAGACGGGAUUAUUAGAUAAAUGGAUUGCCGAUUUGUUAUCACAAUAUAUGGUUGUUUGAUUUUGAGUUUUAAUUUUCAUUUCUUUAAGUAGUUGGUGAAUCCAUAUUAUUUCACAAGCUGUAUGAGCUAUAGCCCUGUAUUCUGCCUCACAUGAGGAUCUGGAUAUUAUCACUUGUUUCUUGGAUUUCCAAGACACUAUUGAGUCUCCAAUCAUGAUGCAGAAUCCAAUCACUGACUUUCUACUGAUUUGGCAUCCAGCCCAAUCAGAGUCAGAGUAAGCAUGGGCACCCUUGAGAUACCUUAGCACUUUGAACAAUGCUUUUAAAUGAAUCUCUUUAGGCUCACUCAUAAACUAGCUUAGCCAGUGUACUGCAAAACUAAGGUCAGGUCUUGUGAUAUUUAGGUAUAUGAGUUUCCCAACUAAUUUUCUAUAAAAAGUGGGAUCCUCAAUUUGUUUUGAUUUAUCAUUUUUGAUGUCCAUGUUUCUUUCCAUGGGUAUUUUAGAUUCUUUGGCUCCUAAAAGGCCACUUUCUUCCAAUAUUCCUAAUGCAUAUUUUCUUUGGGAUAGAAGAAUGCCUUUACUGGAAUAUGAUACCUCAAUCCCUAGGAAGUAACUUAGCUUUCCAAGGUCCUUUAGUUUAAAUUUAUUUCCUAGUUGUGCUUUUAACAAGUCUAUCUCCAACUCAUUGCUACCUGUAAGGAUUAUGUCAUCUACAUAAACCACUAAAUAUACAAUGUUUUUAUUUUUCUCUCUUAUGAAGAGAGAAUAGUCUGAUUUUUCUUGUGUAAAACCAAGGUCUAUCAAGGUGUUUCUUAAUUUCUCAAACCAGUUCCUAGAGGCUUGUUUAAGUCCAUAUAAGGACUUGUUAAGUUUGCAUACUCUCUUAUCUCCCUCUUUGAGGAGUCCUUGGGGUGGUUUUAAGUACACUUCCUCAUGUAAAUCUCCAUGAAGAAACGCAUUGUUAACAUCAAUUUGGUGUAAGUUCCACAUUCUUUGAGCUGAAAUAGCUACUAAGAUCCUUACUGUAAUCAUUUUUGCAACAGGUGCAAAGGUUUCAUAAAAAUCAAACUCUUCCUUUUGAGAGAAGCCUUUGGCUACUAGCCUAGAUUUAUAUCUCUCAACAUCUCCAUUGGGUCUAUAUUUAAUUUUGUAAACCCAUUUUGAUCCUACUGACUUUCUUCCUUUUGGAAGCUCAGUAAUGGUCCAAGUGUUGUUUGAGAUGAGUGCAUCCAUCUCUUUUUUCAUUGCAUCAACCCAUUUUGGGUCGCUUGAUGCUUCACUGAAUGUAUUAGGUUUAAUAUUAUUUGAGAUCUGUGUCAAAAACAAUUUGUGUUUGUCAUUUACUCUAUGAUAUGAUACAUAGUUACUCAUUGGAUAUUUAGUUUUGCUAGUGUGAUCAUUUCCCAUAUAGAAAUCAUUGAAAUGUUUGGGUUUUGUUAUUAUUUUCCCCAACCUUGUUUGUUUUGGUUUCUCAGUUUGCAUUUCUUUCUGUUUGUCAGCUUCUUGUAUUGCUGAAAUUUGACUUUUAUUAACAUCAUAUUCAUUGCUAUGUUAAUAUUCUCUUGAAUUAGAUACAUUGUUGUGUGAUCCCUGGGUCUGAGCUUUUAAGUUUUUAUUUCUGAAUCAACUGUAAUAGCUCCCUGCCCUGGGUCACAACUUGCUUUGUUUUCUAUUUCAGGUAUUGUAUUUAUGUCAGAGUGGGCAUUACCAGUUAUAUCCGGCAUAUGUUGUAUUUCUAAUGUGAUUUUAAGCUGAUCAGACUGGUUAUUUCCAGUUAUAUCUGAUCUGUCUUUAGAAAUUACAUCAGAUCUUUUAUUUUUAAUUUAAUUUUCAUUUUUAUUUUCCAGGCUUGCUAUUUGUUGCUAUCUGAUUUUAGGAUGAUGAGUUUCUGUUAUUUCGUUAAAAAUUUCCUGUAAAGGAAAAAUGUUUGUUAUUUUAUUUUCUUGAAUCUUAGAAGAUAUUUCAUGAAAUGAGAAAAUAUCUUCCCUAAAAACCACAUCCCUUAUUAUGUAGAAUUUUUGAUCUUCUAUGCCAAGUACCAAGUAUCCUUUUAUGUUUGGAGGAUAUCCCAUAAAUACUCCUCUGAAGGUUCUUGGGGAGAAUUUAUUUUCUUUAUUAUGUGAUGUAGCAUAACACAAGCAUCCAAAGGUUUUUAAACAAUUGUAUUUGGGUUUUUCUUUAUGUAAGACUUCAAAUGGAGUCUUAUUAUCUAAAACCUUGGAUGGAAUCCUAUUGAUUAUAUAUGUUGCAGCUAACACACAUUCUCCCCAAUAUUUUAGGGGCAUAUUAGCUUGAAUGUGUAAAGACCUGGCUAUAUUCAGCAGACACCUAUGUUUCCUUUCAACCCUUGCAUUUUGUUGUGGGUUGUAAGGACAUAUUACUUGAUGUAUAAUUCCAAGGUUUUCAAGCAUAUCUUGGAAUUUGAUGGAUUUAAAUUCUCCACCAUUGUCACUUCUUAUUGUUUUAAUAUUUUUGGAAAAAUGAUUUUUAACUUUUGUAAUAAAUCUUUUUAUGCAUUCAUAGGCCAUGGAUUUGUUUUUGAUUAAGUAGAUCCAAGUUAUUCUAUUUAAAUCUUCAACUAUAGUGAGAAAAUAUUCAUACCCAUCGUAGUUAGUAAUUGGAAAUUUACCCCAUAUAUCUAUGUGAAUUAAGUCAAAUAAGUAGUUACUUUUUGUUGUACAUUUUGUAUACUUAAGUUUGGUUUGUUUGGACAAAGGACAAAUUUCACAAUUUUUAUUUGAAAUUUUUUUAUUACAAUCAUUUAUUUCUGAAUGUUUUACAGAAAUUUUAUUUAAACUACAUUUAAUUUGUUGAUCUUUUAUCAGCAUAGCUAACUUCUCAGCAGAGAUGUGUCCAAGUCUAUUGUGCCAAAUUUUGGAGUCUAGGGAGGCAUAUGCAUGACCAGAGGGUAUUGAGCUAUAUAGGCAGAGCCCAUCUUGACAUCUACCCUUCCCAAUCACUUUCUCUGAUUUGCUUCCCUGAAAAUAACAAUUUUCACUAUCAAAAAGGAUUUUCAGAUUGUUAUUCAAAGUUAAUUUAUUUACAGAGAUUAAAUUAACUUUAAAUUUUGGAAUAUAAAGCAUAUCUUCUAAUAUAAUGUCUCUGGACAGAGUUAUUGUUCCAGUAGACCUUACCCUGCACACUUCACCACUUGGGAUGGUGACAAAGUGUUCUUGUUUUUCAGUUGGGGGAUUAUCAAAUUGGUGGAGAUUCCCAGUCAUAUGUUGGGAAGCUCCAGUAUCUAUAAUCCAUUCUCUAUCAAAAUCCAUUGCAUUGCAUACAUAGUUCAUGUUUUUAAAAUUUAAGACAUUAAAAAAAUGAGCCAUAUCAUUGGAUUUGUUUAGGAGAUCUUUUAGCAUUAGAAUUUCCUCAUUGGACAACUCUAUUGCAGUGGAUGUAGAGGUCUGGUUUGCAAUUUCAGUCUUGGCCUUCUUGUUUUUGUUUACUUUCUUACUGCUCUUUGUUUUUAUCAUUUGAAAAUCAUAUCAGAUGGUAGCACUCCUUCCUAAUAUGUCCAUAAUAUUUGCAAUUAUCGCAAUAUUUGGAAGUAUCUAAUCUCUUCCCAUUCUUACUAUAUGACCCUUUUUCCUCUUCUUUUUCAUUCACCUUCUUAGCAAGGAAAGCAGAUGAAUCUGUGUUUGGUUUAUCAACCUUAUCUCUGAAAUUAAAAUUUUGUUUCUCUUCUUGUAUGAUUAAGUAAAACACUUUACUCAUGCUAGGUAGCUCAUCAUAUGAGAGAAUCUGUCCUCUCAGUGUUUUAAAAUCUUCAUUCAGUCCCAAGAGGAACUGAUGAUUUUUUUCCUUUUCCAUUCUUACAUUGUUCUUUGGAGUACAAAUGUUGCAAAAAUCACAGUUCUCUAGCUCUAUUUUUUGAUUCCAUAGAGCUUUAAACUUAUCAUGAAAAACUAUAACACUAUCGCUACCUUGCUGUAAAUUAUUUAACUCAUACCUGAUUUGAUUUGUUUUAGGAGCAUUUUCUUGUUUGUACCUUUCUUGCAAAUCCUUCCAAGCUGCAUGGGCUGAAUCAGUGUGCAUUAAUGUGGAAGCAAUUUGCAGAGAAACUGCAUUUAUUAGCCAUGACAGUACUAGUCCAUUUACAGUUUCCCAAGCCUCAUAUUCUUUACUUGUAGUAUCUACUGGCUUCUCAAUUUUGCCAUUGAUAAAACCUAUCUUUCGCCUGGAUAGUAAGGAAAGCUUCAUAGCGCCAGCCCAAGUUGCAUAAUUUGAUUCUCCCACAAGUUUUUCCGAAACCAUUGACGCCCCUGGGUGAUCGCCGGAGUUCAGCUAAUAGACUGACUCCCGAUCAUUAAUAGCAGAGGUAUGAUGUGAUUUCUUUAUCUUGGAAUGACGUGACCUGUGGUAAGUUUUCUGUGAAUGUCUAACUGACAACUUUUCUCUUCGAGAUGGAGAGCGCAGAAUCGACGGAGGUGGUGAGCUGGAUUCCGACGCCGAGAUAGAAACAGAUCCUUUAGGUGACUUUGUUGCGGAAGCAUGGCCGGAUUUUCUGGCUGAUACCAUAUUAAACUGGUCGCGUGUAGUUGUCCGUAGAGUUUAGACGGACAGUAACGAGCUCCGACGAAGUCUCUUACCGGAAUAUUCAAAGUUAAGAAAAAGGGGGGAAUUUGGAAGUUAUUUGACCUAACUUCCCAAAGUAGUUGCUACAGUAGAAAACUGAUUCUUCAAUUAAUUAGAAAUGAAACACUUGUAUUUAUUAGAUAACAACAGACUCAUUAACUGAAUUAACUACUAGCUAAUAUAACUGAAUUAACUACUAGCUCCAUCUUGUGUAUUGGGCCUCUGACAAUAAUUGGCCCAAUGCGUAUUUAUUAUUUACUUGUAACUUUGCAGCCUAGUCCUUGGUAUUAACUCACCUUUAAGCCUGCAACCAGAUAUACCUUUAAUCACAAGUUAGUCCAGUGAAUGUUUAUCAUCUAAUUACUUCUUUAGAUAUAUCAUAUGUUUUACUGGUGUUACAGUUGACAAAAUGAAUAGCGAUGGAUCUGAACUUUCUUGAGCGAACCCUUGUUUUAGCAGAAAUUCUUUUACUUUCUUGUACCACAUGCGUGAUGCUUGUUUGAGACCGUAGAGUGCUUUAUUUAACAAGCAUACGUGAUUUCGUCGGUCUGGAUCAACAAACCCCAUUGGUUGUGACACAACUACCCUUUCUUCGAUUUCUCCGUGCAUAAAUGCGUUGGAUAUGUUGAUAUACAUGAUCUUCCAUCCUCUUGUAGCUGCUAUCGUGAGUACCAGCCUGAUUGACACUGGUUUAACUACAUGGUUGUACGUUUGAUUGUACUCAGUUCCUUCUAUUUGACGAAGUCCAUUAGCGACUAGUCUUGCUUUUUGUCUCUCAAUGCUUCCAUCUUCCUUUUGUUUGAUUUUGAAGAUCCAGAUCGAGUUAAUCACAUUGUCAUUUGAGUUGCGAGGGAUCAGUGUCCAGGUGUUGUUUUUCAACAGUUCCAUGUAUUCUGCUUUCAUUGCUUCCUUCCAUGCCGGGACUAGUAAUGCCUGUUUUGGUAAUUUUGGAAGCUCAACUGGUCUUGUGGUGCUUACACAGGCAUAUUUCAGAUUUGGUUUAACAAUCCCGUUUUUUGACCUGGUGCAUGGUGGUGAGAUUACGGAUGUUUGCACAACGUUUGGUUCUUGUAUUUCUAUAUCUUGACUUUGCUCGAUUUCGGGCUGUGUUGGACUUGGUUCUUCAUUUGAUAUAUUCAAUUUUGGAGUCUCUGAAUCUGUUGUGUGUUCGGGUGAGUCUUCAGUAGUUUGUUCUUCAAGAUCAUGGUUUGCUUCUUCUAAUAGUGAAUCUCCAGUAUCAGGUUCUUGUGUACCUGUAUUAUGCCUGCAUUGGUUAGUCAAUACGUUUUGACUUACCAGGUUAUCGUGUAAACCAUUCUUAUCUUUUCCUUUGAAGAGUACUUUGCUUAAUGUAAAAUAUUCUUCAAGAAAUCUGAUGCGUAAUUUGUUCAAUCUCAAGAUGGGUGAAGGAGCAAAUGUUGUUGAUCAUGUGAAUCAAGUAAAUGUGUUGUUGACACAGUUGUCUUCUGUGGAUAUCAACUUUGAAGAUGAACUUAGAGCACUUAUUUUGUUAUCAUCUCUACCAGAAAGUUGGGAACAAGUUGCUACAAGUGUGAGCAUCUCUCACUACAAAAAACCAGCGCAGUUCUGGCGCCCAUCUCCCGGCGGCCUGGCCGCCGGUAGAUACGGCCGUCGGCCUGGCCGCCGGAAGGUUACACUUGUCCGCCUGCAUAAUUUUCCCUCGUAAAUGAGAGAAAUUUUCUGGCGGCCAGGCCGACGAAAUAUUUUUUUGUAAAAAAUUCCAACGGCCUGGCCGCCAGCUCCAAUUCACCAACGGUCGGGAAGAAGUGAUCCGGCGGCCUGGCCGCCGGCAUACUAAAACCCUCAACGGUCGGGAGAAAAAUUUCUGGCGGCUUGGCCGCUGGAUACUUUUUCCCGCUUGUUUUUUUCAGUAGCCAGCAGCCUGGCCGCCAGGAUUUUUGGAAAACCCUAAAUUUACAACUUGCGCCGCCGUGGUCCCCCGUACAGUCAAACUAAGUCAAACUAAACUUAAGUAUUUCCAGAUUUUUUAUAUAAGAAAAGAAAAUUCCAGAUUUUCUUUUCCCCCAAAAUCGUCUCCACUUCUCCCCACUCCUCUCUAACCCUCUUCAAAACCCUCCGGCGAUCUUCUAGUCCGUCCUCCGGCCACUUCUCUCCGGUCAUCCUCGAAGGUCAUCCUCAAGGUAUGUUCUUCAUUUCAUUUGGGGUUUGGGGUUUGGGGUUUGGGGUUUGGGGUUUGGGGUUUGGGGUUUGGGGUUUUUGAUGCUUCUUGGGGUUCUUGUGGUAUUUAUCAUCUUUGAUUUUGCUGUUCGGAUUUUAAAACGAUGAAAUGAAACUUUGAUUUUGCUGUUCGGAUUUUGCUGAUCGGUUUUUGCGAUGAUUUUUUUUUUCUCUCUCUUUUCCUUUUCAUUUUCUUCUCUUUUGAUGUUUUUCUUCUUCUGUAUCGCGGCUCAUUUUCUUGUUUUGAUCGUUUUUUUGUUCAUUAUAUCUUUGUAUUUAAUCAGUAUUUAAUCAUUAUAUCUUUGUAUUAUAUCUUUGUAUAUCUUUGGUUAUAAGCACUGCAACAGAUACGGUUGUUUCUGUUGUAUUUAAUUUAAUCGUGGAUUUAUUUAUUUUUUGUAUUUUUUUUUACAAUGUAAUUAGUUGUAGAAUAUUAAAAUGUGUUUGGGAUCGUUAACAUUCAAGUGUCUUCCUCAUACCUAUGAUUCUGUUCUUAGAGACCACAGCCUUGUCUCUCCCUGUCGCUUUCCAAAACCCAGCGUUUGUUGCUCUGUUGGUUCUUGUUCCGGUCGGAUACUUCUUGUCCUUGUGGCUGAAGAAAUACCACUCAGUUUGAUCUUCGUCAUUUCCUUGUGGCUGAAGAAAUUAAAUCAUUUUUUUGUUCUGUUUUGACUUUCAAUUUAAAGGGCUUUAAUUAUAGUUCUAAAUAAAGUAAAAAAAACCUUGGAGAUCCCAUGGUUCGAUUCUGUAGAGAUCAAUAUCUGUUAUAACCUCGACAUCAAUCUCUUGGGAUGAGCAAACUUUUCUUGUCAAGUAAUAACCCACAAGCUCUUCCUCUGUGGAAUGAAACCUAAAUCCCGGCAGGACACCUAGUGAGGAGGAUUCCACUUCCAUGUGUGCAGACACAAACCCUGUACAGACACUUGGAAAUUAGACACACUUAUUACACAUAUAUUUGAAUCUUCAUGAAAGAAAUCCUAGUGUUUGCUUACCUAGAAACACGAACCUACUAACAGCAGAACUGCAGACAGUUUUGUAGUGUUAUAUAUAUUUCUUUAGAUCAUAGAGUGGUGUGUAUAUAUAUAGAAAGAAGGAUAGGAAAAGCAGAAGAAGAAAAAAAUAACAGCUAUCCAUAAUCUAUCUAUGGAUUGUGUACAUUCUAAGUUUGAAAGUUUGUUAUUGAGGUUUAAUUCAUUUUAAUUUAGUGUUUGUUUAUUUUAGGUUGAAGGUUUGUUUUGCGGAUUUGAAGGCCGGUGUUAGUUUAGAAGCUUUGCGGAUCAAUGUAAUAAUAUUUAUUCAUUUAAAUUUUUUUAAUCUAAUUAGUUAAUCUAAUUUGCAUGUUAGUUAGAAAUUAGUUAAUCUAAUUUGCAUGCCAAGUAAUAGUAAAAUGAAAUGCAUGUUCUUAAAUUGUGUGAAUUGAAAAUGAAUGCAAAUUUUUUGAAAUGAAUUCUAUAAAAUGAAAUGUCAUGAAAUGAAAUGAAUUAAAAUGCAUAAUUUUAAAAGAAUUCAUGAGUUGAAAUGAAAUUUAAAUUUAAAUAAAUGAAAUAAUUAUUUAAAUAAAUGUUUAGUAAUUAUUUUCUAUAAAUGUGAUUUUUAAUAAGUUUUGAAUAAAUGUUUAGUAAUUAUUUAUUAAUUAAAUUUAAUAUGAAAGUCAUUUAUUUAAUUAAUAAUGAAUUAAAUAAUUAUUUAAUUAAUUAUUUAAUUAAUAAUUAAAAUAAUUAACAAUCAGAUUUUCUCUAAGUGUGAUUGUUAGUUAAUUUUUAAGUAAUUGUUGAAUAAUUAAUUAAUAAUUAUUAAAUAAUAAUUAAUUAAUUAAGAAAAUAUUGGAAAAUCCAUUAAUCAGUUUUUAUAUUAAGAACUUGAUUUAAAAUCCAAUGUUGAAAACAAUUAUUUAAAAAUUAAAAUCAUUUAUUUAAUUAAUAAUUAAAUAAAUAAUUAUUUGAUUAAAUUUAAAUAAUUAUUUAAUUAAUUAAUAAUUACAAAAAGUAACAAUCAGAUUUUCUUUAAGUGUGAUUGUUAGUUAAUUUUUAAAUAAUUGUUGAAUAAUUAAUUAUUUAUUUAUUUAUUAAUUAAGAAAAUAUUGGAAAUUCCAUUAAUCAGUUUUUAUAUUGAGAACUUGAUUUAAAAUCCAAUGUUGAAAACAAUUAUUUGAAAAUUAAAAUCAUUUAUUUAAUUAAUAAUUAAAUAAAUAAUUAUUUAAUUAAAUUUAAAUAAUUAUUUGAUUAAAUUUAAAUAAUUAAUUGAUUAAAUCUAAAUAAUUAUUAGAUUAAUUAAUAANNNNNNNNNNNNNNNNNNNNNNNNNNNNNNNNNNNNNNNNNNNNNNNNNNNNNNNNNNNNNNNNNNNNNNNNNNNNNNNNNNNNNNNNNNNNNNNNNNNNUUAAUUAAGAAAAUAUUGGAAAUUCCAAGAAUCAGUCUAGAUACUGAGAACUUGAUUUAAAAUCCAAUGUUGAAAACAAUUAUUUGAAAAUUAAAAUCAUUUAUUUAAUUAAUAAUUAAAUAAAUAAUUAUUUAAUUAAAUUUAAAUAAUUAUUUAAUUAAUUAAUAAUUACAAAAAGUAACAAUCAGAUUUUCUAUAAGUGUGAUUGUUAGUUAAUUUUUAAAUAAUUGUUGAAUCAUUAAUAAUUAAUUAAUUAAUUAUUAAUUAAGAAAAUAUUGGAAAUUCCAUUAAUCAGUUUUUAUAUUGAGAACUUGAUUUAAAAUCCAAUGUUGAAAACAAUUGUUUGAAAAUUAAAAUCAUUUAUUUAAUUAAUAAUUAAAUAAAUAAUUAUUUGAUUAAAUUUAAAUAAUUAUUAUCCUUAUUUAAUUAAUUAUCUUUCGAUUAAUUAGAUUAUCCUUAUUUUAUUUAGAUGUAUUGGUUACUAGUAGCAUUCGUUAUAUCGGUUUUCAUGGUCGUCACGACUCCCGGCGAUCAGAGUGAUCAUUCAACUGAUGAACAAGAUUAUGAUCAUCCGAAUCUACAUGAGAUGAACAUGGCUGGUGAUCAAACGAAGAAACAAACAAGAGAACAAAACAAAGAUCAUGCUGAAUAUCAUCCGUCACAAGGACAACGGUUUGUAAUAAAAUUCAAAAAUGAUCAAAUUGUCCAUGAUAGCGUAGCAAAAAAACUAAACAAGAAAUGCGCAAUGAUCGCGAACGAUUUCAAACUACUACCAAUGGACGUACCGUGGUUUGAACAAGACCAGAAAAACAUAGAUGAGGCGAUGGCAACGAUACAGGUUUAUUAAUUAAUAUUUAAUUAUUAUUAUAGAUUUUAUAGUUAAUUAAUAAUUAAUUUUAUAAUUAUUCAUUGAACAGAGAGAAUUUGAUUACAGCGGAUCAACCUUUGGUUAUCGACGUGUCAAUGAAAGGUUAAACAAAUUAUGGAGAAGCGCUUAUAACUCUUUAUUGGAUAAAUAUAAUAACAAAGAUCUAACAGUCGAAGAGGUUAUGAGAAUAUUGCUCGACUACAUCAUCAAAGAACAAUUUCUAAAAAAGCUGAUUGAAAGAAGAUCACCGAGGGGAUUAGUACGUAUUAAUGAAUUUCUUCUUUUUAAUUACAAUUAAUUGCAUUUAAUAACUUAUUUUUUUUUAACUUAAUUAUUUUUUUUUAACUUAAUAUAGGAAAUUUCUGAAAUUAACAAAGGCAAUCGGGCUAAACAAACAACACACAGUUUAGGUUCGAAGAGUCUGGCGGAAAGAAAUUACGAAGCUGUAAGUAAAUUAUUUAAUUUCAUAUUUACUUUCAAGUUCUUUUUAAUUUUUUCUUUCUUUUCCUAAUUUUAAUAUUACAGGAACAAAAGGGACUAAAUGAGAUUGAAACUUGGAAACUCAAUAUAAAGGCAGCUUAUCCAAAAGACGAACGAGUGGUUAAAGCGGUUAAAUGGAUCGACAGUGAAGAAGCCAAAAAUAUGGCUCAACAAGAAAAUAUGACUGACACGGUAAUUAUUUCAUAUUUUUUCUAAUACAAUUCAAUAGUUAUAUUUACAUUAAUUAUUAUCAUGUUUUCUUUUUCAUUAGGCUCUAAUCCAAUUUGUUAUAACCGAAUUUAUCGGUCGAAGCUCGAAGAAAUCAAGAAUAUUAGGAACAACUGGUUCCUCAUUGAGCAAAAAGACAACGCAUCGGAUGAAUGUGGGGAACUUCUGCAGUGACAAAGGAAAAGAUGCAAUGACCGGAGCAGAGGUUCAAGAUCAGGUCAACGAGGCUGUCGAGAGAGCGAUGGCUCGUCAGAAAGAGGAGAUGGCUCGUCAGAAUGAAGAGUUUAUGGCUCGUCAAAUGGCGUUUUUCCAACAAUACAACUCCGCAAUGCUCGCUCAAAAUCCGAACUUGCGCUUACCGGAGUUUCCGCCAUUCUUCAACAGCGAUGCAGCGCAGAACAUUUAUACUCCUGGAGCGUCAUCUUCUAGAGCCGCCGCACCGCCUACUCAACUACCAACGCAAGAAACUACGACGCCACAAGAGGAGCACACCACUUCACAACCGCGUGGAAGAUCGAUAAUAUUCACGACAGAGGCGUUACGAAAGGUGGUCGCAACUAAAAAAAAGAAAAAGAGCGAAAAAAAGAAGAAGUAAAAUUAGUGAUUGUCGAAGUUAUUUUUUGUUGUACAUUAAUUAUUAAACUUCAAAUUCAAUUUCAAUUUCAAUAUCAAUUUCAUUUUUAAUUUUAUUUUCAAUUUCAUUUUUAAUUUUAAUUUUAAUUUUAAUUUUUUUUUUUUUAUUUUUCAAAAGUGAACCAGCGGCCAGGCCGCCAGAAAUUUCUUCCCGGGAAAUUUUUUUUCCUGCCGGGAAAUAUUGACCAGCGGCCAGGUCGUCGGAAAAUUAUUUUCCAAAAAUUAACAGGCGGCGGGCGGCCAGGCCGCCGGGAUAUAAUUUUCAAAAAAAAAUUUCGGCGACUAAGCCGCCGGGACAAUCUCUGUUAAAAUCGGAAUCCAAAAUUUUUUACCGGCGGCUUGGCCGCCGGUAUUUCAACAUUCCGGCGACAUCAACUCCGGCGAUGGAAUCUCGUCGGCUUGGCCGCCAGAACUACGCUGGUUUUUUGUAGUGUAUGAUAACUCUAAACUCUAGGGUUAGGGUUCAUAUAUAUAUAUAUAUAUACCUUUAAUUAAUCUACCUUUUAGUUGCUUUAAGAUUCCUUAAUAAUUAAGAUCUGACUGAAAUCUAGUAUAUAUAUAAACACAAUGGGUUUCAGGUGCGGCGGACCGUCGGAUGGCACGGAAAUGCCAUCCGACGGCACGAAAGACGAACCGCACGCCCUCCGUGCUCCGAACUUUUUGGUGAAGUUCGGGACCUCUGCGCGAACGCCUUGAUGGCGUUCGUGUGCCAUCUGAUGGUCUGUUCCGGUGAGGUUCUCGCCGACGCACCCAACCACACCGGAAGCGGAUCCUAUAUAAACAUACUGAAAACAUAAUAUCUGGUCUCUUGCAGUUUAAUAUAAUAAAGAUCCAAUCAUGCUUUUGCAGUACUUUUGUCUAUAGAAUUGAGUAUCGUGAUUUCAACACAUAUUUUGAUAUUAGUUUCUUUGCACGAUUACUUAUAAAUUAAGAUUUAUUUGUAAUCCUAAGAAAUAAUUUUUCUUUGUAGGGAUGUUGAAGGUAAUUUUUUCCAAGGAUAUAUUCUUUCAAGUAUCGAAAAUCUUAUCAAUUUGAAAUAUUUGUAAGUUUUAUCAUACAAAAAAUAUUUUUUUAAUAUUUGAAUUAAUACUUGUGUAAAAUUGAAUAUAUAUAGCAUCCAUUUUAUCUGUACAUUCUUCAUAUAUAAAUUACAUCAUGUUGCUCUCUUAAUCCUCUCAGUUCUAGAUCAACCACCUACCCUUUGUGAAUUUUAAUAUUUGAUAUAUAUAUUCACACUUGUUUUGAUAUUUGAAAUAAAAAAGGUAUCUUUCAAACAAUAAUUUUGAAGGAGAAAUACUGAACUCUCUUGGGAAUUUGAAGAAGUUGAGAAUAUUGUAAGUAUAUUUACAGUUAAAUUUUUCAAAUUAUCUUAAUAUGUAAUUUGAGUUUUUGACAAAGUUGGGAACAAUAUUUGAAAUCUAUUAAUAUAAAGAGUGGAAUUUGUAAAAAUUAAAUAAUAAUUUUACAUGUUCACGCUUGAAUUUUCGAUAUUUUUAUUAUCAUUACAACACAUAUAUAAUGGAUUUGAUUUUCUUUGUGUUAUAAUUUCCAUGCAUGCAUGUACGUCAUGUGCAUAUUUCUUACACGAUUGCAUGCAUAAUUCUUUACAUGAUUGAUAAGUCGAUAUUUUUACGCGCGAUACAUUUAUGUAUAAUUCUUUUUUAGGAUCGAUCUAUUCCUUUCAAUAUCGAUAAUCAUUUUAAUCUGUGGGUUUUAACAUUUGAAAAUAAUAUUUCUAUUAAAUCAUGUACAAUAUUGUAUGAUUUGAAAUUAAUGAUUUUUUAUUGUGUAAACAUUGAGAUUGAGUUUUAUUUGAAAUUUUUUAUUUGAAUCAAUGCAUGAACUUAGAAUUUAUUUAUAUAACGAGUUGAACUUUAUAUUACAAUAUAUUUCAUUCUUUAACAUCUAUCUUUGUUUUCAAGCUUAAUUUAUAAUAACCUUAAUUUACCUCAUUUGUUUUCUCAAUAUAUAUAUAAAAACUCCAGGAGUCUUUCUAAUAAUAAAUUUGGAGGAGAAAUACCAAAAAAUCUUUGGAAUCUGAAAACGUUGGAAGAAUUGUAAGUAGAAAUUGACAAUAUUUCCAUUUGAUAAUCUAGAAAAUUGACAUGUUUAUUGUUAUGACCAAAUUUCUGUUUACUAUUCUUGAAGAGUUAUACGUACGUAUCUAAUAUGUAUUCUUUAACAAGUUUGAAUUUGAAACAUGAACGCAGGUAUCUACGAAAUUGUAGUUUGGAGGAUUCCUUGCCUGAUGAGUAUAGUGAAAUACAUACACCUUUGAUAAUUUUGUAAAAUACUCAUCUCAUCUUCUUGAUGCAUGUCUUAUUUAGAUAUAUGUGAUUGUCAUGAAUUUCUCUUCAAUCUAAUUACAUUUUUCAAUGAAUUUAAUUUAGAGAUCUAGGUUUCAACGACCUAGUUGGGAAAGUUCCAAACACUAUUUUCAAUAUUUCAACACUUGAAUCCUUGUAAGAAAAAUGAACUUAAUUGAUGUCUUAUUUAAAACGUUGUUAAUUUGAUGAUUUACACUAACUAUAAUAUCUUUCUCGAUCUCAUGAUGCAGAUAUCUAAACAACAAUGGCUUUACUGGUGUUUUACCUGAUAAAAAGAGUGACAAUCUUACUAUAAUGUGCAUGCAUAUAUUUUUAACUUUCAAAAUCUUCUUUUUAUAUAUUAUAUGACAAACAACUUACUAACGUUUCGAAUCUUAAUAUCUUAAUUUCAGUGAUUUGUCCAACAAUAAUUUAGAAGGAUAUAUCGACCCAAAAUGGAAUGGAGUGGCUUUGUAAUUUUUAAUAUAUAUUAUUUAUUUUUUGAAUCAUAUUGCUAUUGUUAUUGAUGUUAUUCCUUUGUUUAAUUAAUUUGCACAGGAAUUUGGUAAACAACAAAUUCUCAUCGAAAGAAACUGAAAAGUAAUAUAUAUAUAUAUAUAAAACAUUCAUUUUUGUUUAUUAUAUGUAUAUUUAUGCAUGUUCGAUUCUUUUACUUUCAGAAUUCAACCUCGAGGAUUAGAAUGCUUGCAACAAACAUCAAAUUGUUUUAUGGGCGAAAAUUUAUGUAAGCCAAUUUUAUUAUAUUAUUUCUUCUUUCAAAAUAUAUGUUUCAUUUUUCAUUAAAUAAUAUAUAAUACAUUUUCAUUUUUACUUCAGUUACCUCACUUACAAUAAAUUGUGGUGGGGAGAAAAUCAAGUCAGAGGACGGAACAAUAUUUGAAGCGGACAAUAACAAUAAAACCAAUACAUACUUUUAUGUCGCUGAUAAAAAUAAAUGGGCAGUUACAUUUGGUGAAUGUAGAUUUAUUAAUUCUACAAAAAAUAUCACAGAUGCUCAAGAUCCAAAACUAUAUCAAUCAGCAAGAACAUCAACCAAAACAUUAAAAUAUUAUGGACUUGGACUGAAAGUUGGAAACUAUACUAUUGAAUUAAUGUUUGCUAAUAUUGAUGAUGAUGAUAAUACAUAUAGAUAUAUCUUUGAUAUUUAUAUUCAGGUAAAUAUUCUAGGAAUUUUUAAAUUUAUUAUUCAAUGGUUAUUUCAUCCAUUGAUAUUUGGCAUGGUUGAUUAACUUAAGAAAUCUUUUUUGUUUUUAUUUUUAUUUUUGUAGGGGAUUCUCCAAGAAAAAGAUUGUGAAAUAUUAAAAGAACCAUUCAAAAAGACCUACAAAGUUAUUGUCACCAAUGACACAAAAAAUCUUGAAAUUAGUUUCAGCCCAAAACUUUAUCCAAAAGAAUUGAAAUUGAUUCAAAAACAUUUAUCAACAGCAGUUUUGAUUUCGGCAAUCAAAGUUAUACCAAGUAUGUCGACAUUAAAAAAUAUAUAUUUUCAUUCUAAAAAUUUAUUUGACACUUUUGUUUUCAGCAAUCAAUGUUUAUAUUUCUUCUUACCUUUCUUUUGAUUCAGAUUUCAAAGUUGAAAAUGGUAGCACGAAGAGAAGUGCUGCUGUAAUUGGAGCUUCAGUUGGAGUUUCAAUUUUUAUUCUUUCAUGCAUCGUUGGAUAUUAUUUAUGGAAAAGACACAGAAAAUAUAGAGAUGAAGGUAGGUAAUUCAAAUUUAUUUUUAGUAUAAUUUAGAUCUGAUAAUUUGUUGGAUUAUUUUUACAGGAAAUAAUAUUGAAUUGAAUGGGCUGGAAGUAAAUACAUAUAGAUUUCCAGAACUAAAUACAGCUACUGAGAAUUUCAAGCCUGCUAAUAAACUUGGGGAGGGAGGAUUUGGUGUUGUCUAUAAGGUGAUUUUUUUUUUACCAAAACCACGAAAAAUAAAUUAUAUCUAAGUUGUGUACCAGGAUUCAUUUUUUUGAUUAAUUACGUUGUACAUAAGUAAAUAAAAAUUAAAGUAAAAAUACUGAGACUCGAACCUUGUACGUACCUCUAGCAACCUUAAUAAUGACUGUAACCACCAGUGGCGAAUCUAAGGGGACUUCCCCAAAAUAUUAAAAAAUCAUACUUAUACCCUUCACAUUUUUUAUUAUCAUGUCAUUAUAAAUUAAUUGGAACUAAAAAUCUUGAAUGCAUGGAUUAUUCAAUCCAUUUUUUAUUUAUUAUAUAUAAGUUAAUUGUGAGGUAUUCAUUUUUAUUUACAUUAUUUUGAUUGAUUAUACACAGGGAACAUUAUAUAAUGGAGAUACAGUAGCUGUUAAAAAACUUUUAGCAGAAUCGAUUCAAGGAAAUGAACAGUUUAUUGCCGAAGUUGCUACCAUAUCUGAAGUUAGACAACGGAAUUUGGUUAAAUUGCAUGGUUGUUGUUGUCAAGGAAAUAAAAGAAUGUUGGUAUACGAAUAUAUGAAAAAUGGAAGUCUUGAUACUGCACUCUAUGGUAAUUAAUUAGUACUCAUGAAAAUUCCGCACUUUUGCACGCAUGCAUGCUUUCAAGAAUAAAUAUGCCACAAUUAACGACUACUUAAAUACAAUGAUAGGAAGAACAGGUCAGUUGGAACUUGAUUGGGAUAUUCGAUUCACGAUAUGUCUCGGAAUAGCAAAAGGUCUUAAUUAUCUACACCAAUAUUCAAGACAUCGGAUAAUUCAUAGAGACAUCAAAUCCAGCAAUAUCCUUCUUGAUCAACAUCUCAAUCCCAAAAUAUGUGAUUUUGGUCUUGCUAAGCUCUACGAAGAUAAAAUGACCCACAUAACAACAAGAAUGGCCGGAACUUAGUAAGACUUUAAUUUGUCACCAUGCAUGCAUGCAUGCAUACACAACAUUUAUGAUUGCAUGUUAAUUCAUAAAUCAUUUUUUUUUUUAAUUUGCAGUGGGUAUUUAGCGCCAGAGUAUGCAUUGAGUGGUCAUUUAACCGAGAAAGUCGAUGUGUUUGCCUUUGGAGUUGUCGCCCUUGAAAUUGUCAGUGGAAAAUGUUGCGUCGACUAUAGCUUUGUUAGCUUUGGUUCUAACCAAUCUUAUAUUAUACAAUGGGUACAAAAACAAAUGCUAAAUGAUAUUCUACCACCAACUAAUAUUAUGAUUUUCGAUUUUUAUUUAGUUUACUUAUGAUCGAUUAUUUUGUAUUGAUGCAUGAUGAUAGGUAUGGAACAUACAUGAGAACAUGGAUGAUGACUUAGCAAUGGUGGAUCCAAAAUUGAAGUCAUUUAACAAAGAAGAAGUUUGUCGAAUCAUUCAAGUUGCUCUGUUAUGUACACAGAUGGAUUCAAUGAGUCGACCAUCGAUGUCUCAUGUCAUUGCAAUGCUAAAUGGAGAAAAAGAUAUCGGCACACUUCCAAGCAAACCAUCAUAUUUGAUGUUCUGGGAUAUUGGCAAUUCAAGUAGGGCAAUUGAUGAUAUUGAAUUUCAACCAUACCAGUUUGAUUCGCGUCAACAAAUUUCAUCUUGCUCUUAUUCUCAAAGCAUGCCUCUACGACAUGCACAAACAGGUCAUAUUAAUUGAAGAAAUUGUUUAAAUUUAUUUUACUACCCAUUAUUUCUUAAAAAUUUAUUUAUAUUUAAUUGACGAUUGUGAUUUUUUUAAAGGAUCGUCUGAGCAAAAAGAUGAAGAUUAUACAAAGACAUUCUAAAUUUCCAAGGAUGAAUGAAUUAUACGUAUUUUCGAUCUUUGAUACAACAAUGUAAUUAACUAUCUACCCUAACAUUUCUCAAAAUAAUAAUUUUUAUUACAAACAUUACAAUAAGGGGGAGGGAAAUUCUUAUUAUAAGUUUUAAAGGUAUUUCGAUCGAUCUUGGUCGUUUAUUUUUUAAGAUUUUUUUCGGGUUUAUAAUAAAAAAUAUAAAAUAAUGAGAAAGGUAAAAUGAAAUUCUCACGGUAUCUCGUGAGAACUGUUUUCUAUUGUAAUAUUUGUCAAAUAAAAUCUUGUAACAGUAUACUUUUCAUCAUGUGAAAAAUAAUAAUUAAUUUAUACAUUUAAGGUCUAAAAAUAAAAUAUUAUAAUUUCAGAGAGAAGAUGCUCCACAAAAAUAAAAUAAUACAAUGAAAAUUGAAUUUCUAAACUUCCAACAACUGUUACAAACAAUACUCUAAAUUCUAAAAUGAUAUAAUCAAAUUGAUAAUAAAUUAUCUUUAAAUUUUUAUAGUUGACUCUUUUCAUCAAUCAUUGUCCAAUGAUUACUAUGACGGGUACAUUUUAUUAUUUAUAUUUUGACUUUUGGUAUUUAAUUAAUUCUAAACAAUUAAUAAUAAUCAUUAUUUAAAAUCAAAUAUAAAUAAAUGUCUGUGGUUUUUUGGAAAUCAGAUUCUAAUAUAUUCGAAUAAUAGGAAAGACGCACCGUUGUGAAGAUCAACCACGCGGUAGCAAUCCUGCGAUAGGUUCAGCAAUACAAGAAAUGAAGAUAGAAGAAUAUCGUCGAUUGAGCAACAAUGAUAGCGAGACGAAAAAGAUCGUCGUCGAGCGAACCUGAGGAGGUUGCGAGGAGAUUAUAUUGGAAUCCACCAGAGAGAAAGGAAGAAUAACGUAUCACAAUAUAUAAUAUAAAAUAAUCUUAAUUAAAAAGAAAUAAAAACUACUUUAUUCAACAGUUUCCAUCUUUAUUUAUCCUCUUCUAGUCGACAAUGGCCAUCAGUAAGAGAAGGUGAGUAACCGGUAUUAAUGCACGUUACUUGCUCUACCAGAGAUAGGAGUAGUUACAAUGACGUGGCUAACCACAUCAUGCGCCUCUUCCAACUGGACAAUCGACUAUAAGAUUAUUAUACUGAAAUCCAAGGUCAAAACAACAAUUUACAAAUAAACAUAAGCUAAAUACCUAAGUGAAAUAAACGUAACUCAAAGGUUAUGAUAAAACAGAAUAAACUGUUAGUUAUUAACUAACAAAGUCUUAUUCAUAAAUAUUUUAAUAAAAACGUUAUUAGGACCUAAGCGUAAUAAAAUAAAUACUAGGUUAUGAUAUUAUAACUUAUAAGAUCAUGUUAUCGAAGGACCACUUCACAAAUAACACAGUAUUAUAAGUUAUUAAGUACACAAAUAUUAUGAAAUUAAUACAGGGGUUAUUGAGUAAAUAACCAAAAAUACAAACCAGGGGUCAAAUAAGGACCACCUGGUUGUUAUUUUCUGAUUGUUUGUGUGUUCUUGCAGGAAUAACCAAACCGAAUUAACGGUCACGAGCUGGCCUGAUGGACAAGGGCCACAAUGAAUAAGUCCAGCCCAGAAGUUUAUUUUUAGUUAAAUUAGUUAGUAGCUAAGUAGGAGAGUUAGUUGUUAAUCAUUCAAUAAUCAAUGUAUAAAUAAACCUUGUAAUAACAAUGAUUAAUUAAUUUCAAUACAUAGUUAAUCACAUAGACAGUAACUUUUCAAACCUUCUCUCUCUCAUUUCAUUAGCGACAGUUAAGUUGGGUAAUCGCCCCUUCUUCUUGGGCGGAAAACCCUAGUCGCCCUCCUGACUACUCCUCUCCAUUUCUUCCAUCCCAGGCUUGGGGAUUCUGCUGCAAUGUCGUCGACGGCCUUCCCACAACAAGAAAUUAAUAUGGUAUCUGCCAACAACUCUCCUGAUGUCCCUCCGGUUAAUCAACCGGUCACUUCCGCACUGUUCCCGGCCAAUCAUCCAGCCACGUCUGCUGCGCAGCCGCUCAAUCCAAUAGAGACGCCAGCAACAUCACAUGAAUCCUAGUCUGGGUUAACUGCAAAAUCUCGGCCAAAUAACUAUGAAGAAGGUUUGUAUCAAAGUUCCAUUUUCAAGAGGCAAAAAUCCGAAAGGUAUAUUUCUCCUUUACAAGAUCCUGAGUCUCCAUCUUUUUUAACCUCCGGUGAUCACCCGGGAGCAGUAUUAGUCCCUAAUAGAUCAGUUGGUGAGACCAACUAUAUAACUUGGUCCAAUGGGAUAAAUGUCUCAUUGGUUUCAAGAAAAAAGGAUGCUUUCAUCUCUGGACAAAUUUCAAUGCCCACAGACUUUGCUAGUAGAGAGUAUAACAUAUGGAAAAUAGUUAAUGGAUUAAUACUAGCAUGGAUUUUAAAUUCAGUCUUUCCUCAAAUCCAAUCAACUAUUAUGUACAUCAAUGAUGCACAUCAAGUAUGGUUUAGAUCUAUAGAGUAGAUAUAAACAAGGGAAUGCUCCCAAAGUAAAUCAAAUUAAAUACGAAUUAUGUUGCCUACAACAAGGGUCAAUGUCUGCAUCUAAAUUUUAUGACAAAUUCAGUUCCAUUUGGGAUCAAUUGGUACAAAUAGAUGAAAUUAAAGAAAAGUUUUGCAAAAGAUGCAAGAAACUUUAUCAACAGAAAGAAGAGAAUGAUAUGAUUCAUCAAUUCCUCUUAGGACUGAAUGAAAGCUUCUACAACUUAAGAACCCAAAUUCUGUCUACCUAACAUGAAUAAGGUUCUUGGGUUGGUUAUUCAAGAAGAAAAACAGAGAUUUAAGUUCAGAGAUCAUAGCAAUGAAAAAACUGAAACAGCCUUCCAUGUUAAAGAUAAAAAUCCAAUAGAAGGAACAAAGGGAAUGUACUCUAAAAAUGGAAAGAAACUUGACACUAGGUUCUACUGUGAUAAUUGUAAGUAUUAUGGUCAUACAAGGGAAAAAUGUUAUCACUUAGUAGGCAAACCUUAAGAAAAAUUUCAGAUCACGUUGCAUCACGGUCGGAUCCCACUCAGGUUUUGGGAGUUUGCCUUUGCAACAACCGCGUUUCUAUACAAUAGAACACCAACACCGGUACUCAAUUAAUGGGGACUCACCAUUCCAGAUACUAUUUCAAGAAUCUCUAUCAUACAACGGACUCCGGGUAUUUGGGUGCCGAGUCUACCCGAAUCAAAGACCCGUGAGAAGAAACAAGUUUGAUUACAGAUUUGACCUGCACAUAUUCUUGGGUUACCCAACUAGUCAUCGUGGGUAUCUUUGUUAUAAUCCUGCUACCGGAAGGUUUAUAAUUUGACGCGAUUGUAUAUUCCAUGAAACAGACUUCAGUCUUAACUCAACGUUAUUCGAAACAACUUAUAACAGGUCCACAAGUGACUAAGGGUUUGACCCUCCAGAAAUUGUUGACCCAAGGAAUAUCCAACCUCAAGAAUUGUUAACUUCGGAAAUUGAUGAAACAACCUCUGAGGCGGAAAGCGAACCAGCUCCACAUGAAGAUGAAAUAGGCCAGCCAAAUACUAUCUCACCAUUGCAUAAUCAACAACAACAAGGGAUGAUUACAAGGGAACAACAAGGAAUUCGCAAACCAAAUCCAAAAUACGUGUGUAUGAUCUCGGCUCCAUUAUCUGUUCUGACAGGUGCAUCAUCGGCACUACUUGACCCCGACUGGGCUAAGGCUAUGAUGGAAGAGUUCGAUGCACUACAAGCAAAUAACACAUGGGAACUAGUACCACGGUUACUAGAACAUAAUGUCUUAAGCUGUAAAUGGAUUUUUAAAAACAAGAUGAAAUCAGAUGACACUCUAGAACAUCGGAAGGCAAGACUAGUUGCCAACGGACUUCGUCAACGUGAUGGGGUUGAUUAUGAUCAGACAUUUGCUCCGCUAGUAAAACAAGUAACAAUUCGACUAAUUCUAUCUCUAGCGGUAACAAACAAAUGGCAAGUCUCCCAACUAGAUGUAUCAAACGCAUUUCUGCAUGGAACACUUGAGGAAGAGGUAUUCAUGCAACAAGCCCCAGGCUUUCCAAAUAAAGAAUUCCCGAAUCACGUUUGCAAACUUAAGUGUUCCUUAUAUGGAUUGAAAUAGUCACCACGAGCUGGUUCUUUCGACUCAGGACCGUAUUACUCCAGCUUGACUUCUCCGAAAGUACAAGUGAUCAUUCCCUAUUCAUGUUUCGACGAGGGAAUAUACAGGCAUGGUUGAUCGUAUAUGUGGAUGACAAAAAUUUUAUAAGCUCCUCAACGAAAUUUAUAGAUGACACAAUUAAGUGACUUCAAAAAUAAUUUCCGGUAAAAAAUUUGGGACGACUACAUCAGUUUUUGGGAAUUCAGUGCGACUGGGAAGAAGACAACUCUCUCUACUUGUCCCAACGUCAGUAUGCAAGGACUAUAUAUUCUAGAGAAAUGCGGCCUAAACACCUCGAAAUCAGCUCACACACCCAUGGAUAGUAGGAUAAGGUUACAUGAUGAAGCUACCCCGUCCGAGUCACCAACGUUAUUUCGCCAAAUAGUAGGAAGUCUGUAAUACUUAACUAUUACACGUCCAGACUUAUCCUUUUCCACUACAAGAAAACUGGGCUACGCCCACGGGAUUAGCCACGGCCAGCAGAAGCCGUGGCUAAUUUCUAACAAUUAGCCACGGCUUUUUUAGCCGUGGCUAAGCCCGUGGCUAAUCUUUAUAUUUAGCCACGGAUGCAAAAAUCCGUGGCUAAUCCUGUGGCUAAUUUUCUCGGCAAAAUUCCCUCCAAUUUUUCAUUGAAUAUUUAGCCACACGGCUGUUAAAAUCCGUGGCUAAUCCGUGUCUAAAAUUUCCGUCAAAAUUUCCCUCCAAUUUUCCACUGAAAUUUGGCCACGGAUUUAAGAGCCGUGGCUAAUUUAGUGACAAAUAAAUUAGCCACUGAUAUUAGCCACGGCAUUUAGCCCUGGCUAAUAAUGAUAAUAGGGUUAUGAUUAAUGUAAAUGUAAAUAAUUAGGGUUAGGGUUAAUGUAAAUGUAAAUAAUUAGGGUUAGGGUUAGGGUGAGGGUGAGGGUUAGGAUUAAGAUUAGGAUUAAUAGAAAUUAACAAAAAUUAGUAAAAAUAAGUAUAUAUACAUAUUUAGAUAGUGUUAGGGUUAGAAAUUAGGGUUAAAAGUAUGAGUUAGAAGUAGAAGUUAUGGUUAGAAGAAGUUAGAUUAUAGUUUUUUAGAUAUUAUAAAUUAUAAAAAAUUUAAAGUUAGAUUAUAAUUAGAUAAUUAUAAAAAUUAUAAAUUGAAGUUAUUUUAGAUAAUUUAAAUUUUAAAGUUAAAAAAUAAAUUUAAAGAAGGUAUUUUAAUUUUUAAUGUUACAAAUUCAAGUAUUAUAAAAGUUAUUUUAAAUUAUAAAAGUAGGUUAGGGUUAGAGUUUGUCUAAUUUAAUAUCAAUUUAAAUUUCUAAUAUAAAAAUAUCAAUUUCUAAUAUUUUUAAAUUAUAAAUAUCAAUUUAAAUUUAAUAUCAAGUUAUUUUAAAUUAUAAAAGUAGGUUAGGGUUAGGGUUAGUAGUUUAUUUAAAUUAUAAAAAUAUCAAUUUCUAAUAUUAACUUUAGUCUAAUUUAAUAAAUUUUAAUUUUUAAAUUCUAAAAUUAAAUUUAAUAAAUUAGAUAUUUUAAAAGUUAUAAAAUAAGUUUAUUUUAAAUUAAAAAAAAUUAAAGAAGUUAUAAAUUAAAGUUUUUUUUUUAUAUUUUAAAUUUUAAAGUGAAAAAUUAAAUUUAAAUGUUAUUUGAAAGUUAUAAAUUCCAAAUAACUUCUUUUUAAUUUAGUGAAUAUUUUAAAUAUAAAAAAUAUUUAUUAAAUUAGAAAGAUAUUUAAAAAGAUAUUUUAAAUUAAAAAUAUUUAUUAACUUUAUUUAUUAAAAGAUAUUUUAAAGAUAUUUUAAAUUAAAAAAAUGAAAACCCCAAAUCGUGUUCAAGUGAAAAAAUAAAACUAAAAUACCCUAAAUUAAAAUGGUGAUACAGUAUCCCGAACACGGUCACAACCUACCAGCAACUAGAAGUCCGGAUAGCCUAUGAUGAGUUGAGGUAUCUAUUCUAGGGUUGGGGAGAUCCCAGGUCGAAUCCUAGGAAGAUCGACUUUCCUGAGGAUCGACUUCCCUGGGAUCGACUUUUGAGUAAAGUCGAUCACCAGGAAAAGUCGACCCCUAGAAAGUCGAUCUCUGGAAAGUCGACCCCUGGACCCAAUCUGAUCAGUUGGGCAGUUAGGCGGUUACUGCCCAAAUGACCAUAUUGCCCCCAUAAGAACCCCUAUAAAUAGAGGGCACCCCCCACUCAUUAAAGGCAGGUCAUUUGGAGCGAAAGGAUUCCUAGCGAAGCAGAGCUCUGCGCACUUGAGUUCCGGUCCGGUUUCCCGCGGAGUUCCCCGCUUGGCGCUUGCUUGCGCGUCUUGGAGUACUGGUCGGGUUUCACCCCCAUCAGUUGGCGCCGUCUGUGACUCAAAGAUACUCACGACAUAAGCUCCUCGACUUUUUCGAAAAAAGUGAUCGACUUUUUUCCAAGUCGCCAGCUAGGAAGUCUUGCGAGGAAAUCAGCCAGCAAGGGAUCGACAUUUCAGAAGAUCGACUUUUUUCUUCCAAGGAAAAAGUCGACCCCUCAAGGAGCUAGGCUUUCAGACAUCGACUUCCAAGGAAUCCUCCAAGUGCACUAAGGAUCGACUUUUUGAAGAUCGACUUUUCUCUCCAAGCAAAAGUCGAACACUCCUUUCAGGAAAAGUCGAACACUCCAGGAUGGUGGUAACUAGAAGCACUUCCCAAGGAGGAGGAGCAAAUUCUCAGGAGGCGCCAGAGCAACAGCCUGGCAACUCAAAAACUAAAAGGCCAGUAGGUCGACCGCCCAAGGCCAAUCAAAACAAGAGGACUCCCACGGGACCUGAGGCUGACACCGAAGGCGAACCCGAGCAAACCCCCCAAGCUUCAGCAGGAGGGGAAAAUCUGAACAUCACAGUUCAGGCAAUAGCAGAGGCCAUCCGACUCAUUGCUGAAAAGGAGAAACCUUCAGGAGAACAGCCUCAAAAGGGGGGACCCACAAGCAGCAAGGAACCAAGGGCUGCUGCAUCAGAAUCCACUCAUGGGUUCAUAAAAAUACCCAUAGAAGAGCUGGAAAAAAUGAAGGAAACCAUAGCAAAAAUGAGCGAGAAGAUAAAGGAUAUUGAAAAGUCUAAGGCGUCAAUAUACCAGUCAAAAGCUCAAACCUCAAAGCAGGCCAAGGCGCAGCAGGAGGUGUCAAGUCAUAGGGCGGCACACUCAAGUGCGCCACUAUCUCACAAACCAGAGGGGCAACCCAAACCUCUUUUCCGAAAACCCGUACAGGAAGAAAGUACGGGAGACACAGAAGGAGGAGGCGAGGUCCCAAACUGGCUGGUAGGCAUGGAUGCUUUGCACAAAUCGCUGAUGAUAAAACCAGCACCUCUGAAAUUCAGGCUACCCAGGCUGCAGAUCUAUGAUGGGAAGAUGGACCCAGCAGACCAUAUAAACAUGUUCGUAGGGGCAAUGCAGUGGGCUACAUCAAGGGAUAACAUUCUCUGUAGAGCAUUCCCAGGAACAUUAAAAGGACCCACAUACAGAUGGUUCGUCGAAUUGCAGCCAGGGAGCAUAACGAAUUUCGAGGACUUAAAAAAGAAGUUCGUCGCCCAACAUUGUGGAAACACAAGGGUUAGAAAGGGCACGGAAUCGCUGUUCGCAAUCAAGCAGAAUGGAGACACGCUUCGGAAUUAUACAACUAAAUUCACGGAAGCCAUGCAGAAAAUCUCCGAUCUGAACACAACAAUCGCAAUAUGCGCAUACUCAAAAGGGCUAGACAUGAACACGCCAUUAGCAAUAAAGCUAAACGUCAGUAAUGUAAAAUGCAUGGAGGACCUGCUAACAAAGGCCCAGAAAUACAUAAAUUCUGAAGAGUAUGAAAAAGAAAAAGAAAAAGAGAGAGGUGCCAUAAGCAAUAAAAAAGCAUAUGAAGCACCAAAGAAAAAAUUCCAGAAAUUUGAAAAAGGAGAAUCGUCCUGGAGACCAAAACACGACGGAAAGGUCUACCAAACAUCUGAGGAGUUCGGAAAAUCAAGAUAUCCAAAGUACAAAGACUUGGGAUUUACGGUUUUCACCACUCCAAAAGAGGAAAUCUAUAAUAAAGAAAAAGGAAGAAUAAGGUUUCCUCAACCAGAAAAGUUGAACCCUGCAACGAAAGAGGCUCGAACAAGGAGGAACAGGUAUUGCAAGUUCCACAAGGAUUACGGGCACAACACGGAAAACUGCAGGGAGCUGAGCACCUUCCUAGAUACACAAGUAAAGGAAGGAAAGCUAAGGCAAUAUAUAAAUAAAGUAGAAAGGGGGCGACAAGGCUGCAAGGACCCAAAGAACAAGGGUAAGCGCCAACGCUCAAGAAGUCCAUAUUCUGACACUGACCACAAAAGAAGGGUAAUUAAUUUAAUCUUCGGUGGAGGAUCGGUAGGAGGAAGCAGAAGUUACUCGCGCAAAGUAAUGCAGACAACAACGGUACCAAAAUCUAAAAAAAGAUCGUACCCAAGCGAGGAAAUAAGCUUCUCUGAGGAAGAUCUGGACAACGUGGUCAGCCCACAUGAGAAUCCACUAGUGAUACAAGUGGAUAUAGGGGAUGACUUAAGUCUGAACAAAGUAAUGGUGGACAACGGCAGCUCAGUAGAUAUAUUAUACUUAGUUGCGUUCGAAAAAAUGGGCUACAAAGUGGAUCAGCUAACCCCGGCCAAGGAAGCCAUCUAUGGGUUUACAAACACAAAGGCCCCAGUAGUAGGAGCCAUCGAUCUACAGAUAUCCCUGGGAAAAAGAAACGGGAGAGUAUCACGUACAACACACUUCAUUGUGGUCAACAUAGACUCUCCGUUCAAUGGGAUCUUGGGCAGACCAAGCAUUCACGGUUUCAAAGCGAUACCAUCAUCCUACCAUCAAUGUUUCAGGUACCCAGGAAAAGAUGGCAAAAUGGCAACAGUUUUUGGAGCACAGAAAGACUCCAGAAAUUCGUACAGGAAGGCAACUAAAAUAGCUAGACCUAUAACCCUGUACAUUCAAGAAAGAAAGGAGGAAGAAGACACAACCUCAUCUAAUCAAGUUGAGGAGGUCAAACUCUCAAAAGGAGGAGUCUUGAUGGGGACAUCUUUAUCCUCCGAGUUAAAAAAAUCACUACUGCAGCUAUUAGAAACCCAUGUGCACACGUUCGUAUGGGAAGGGGAGGCACCCUCACAGGUACAGCGUACUAUAACGUGCCAUGAGCUCAACAUAGACAGUAGCUUUACUCCUAUACGGCAGAAGCGAAGAAUACUCGCAGCUGAAAGAAAGGAGGCAGCACAGGCUGAAAUUGAAAAGUUAAUCAAGGCUGGGCACAUUCGGGAAGUCAAAUAUCCGAAGUGGUUAGCAAACCCAGUUAUGGUCAAAAAAUCUAAUGGGAAGUGGAGGAUGUGUGUAGACUUCACAGAUCUCAACAAAGCAUGUCCAAAAGACAGCUACCCACUCCCAUCUAUCGACAGAUUAGUGAAUGCAGCAUCAGGAAAUGAGUUACUAUCUAUGAUGGAUGCACAUUCAGGGUACAAUCAGAUCUUGAUGAAAGAAGAUGAUGAAGAGGCUACAUCAUUCAUCACAGAAUGGGGGACAUAUUGCUAGAAAGUCAUGCCUUUUGGCCUACGAAAUGCAGGAGCAACCUUCCAAAGGCUGAUGGACAAAGUGUUCAAAAAGCAGGAAGGAAGAAAUGUCCUGGCAUAUGUAGAUGACAUUCUGGUAAAAUCCAAAAAAGCAGAUGAACACCCAAGUGAUCUGAAAGAAACACUAGAAACUCUGCAGAAUUAUGGGAUGAGGUUAAACCCUGCCAAAUGCAGUUUCGGAGUACAAGAAGGAAAAUUUCUUGGAUUCUAUGUAGGGCAGAAAGGGAUAAAGCCAAACCCAGAUAAAAUAGCAGCGAUACUAGAAACAGCACCACCUCGAACAAUAAAGGAGGUACAAAAGAUGAAUGGAAAAAUCAAUGCCUUAAGUCGGUUCAUUUCCAAAACAACAGACAAGUGCAAACCCUUUUUCCAGCUAUUAAAAACUAGUCAAAAAGGGGCAAUAACAUGGACCUCAGAGUGUGAUGAGGCAUUUUAUUGUAGACAUGACCCAGGAAAGCAAAGAAAAACCUUGGAUAGUAGAGGUCGAUGGCUCAAGCUGCAGUACAGGUGCAGGAGUGGGAAUAAAGAUAAUCACUCCAGACCAACGAAUAUAUGAACAUUCUAUCAGAUUACAGUUCUCAGCUACGAAUAAUAUAGCAGAAUACGAAGCUGUGAUCCAAGGAAUGAAAAUUCUCAGAAGGUUAGGGGCCUGUUCAGUAAUUAUUAUAACAGAUUCUCAAUUAGUGGCUCGGCAAUUCACAGGAGAGUUCACUGUUAAAGAACCUCUAAUUGUACAGUACGCAGACACACUGGAAAAAAUCAAAGAACAAUUUAGUAAGGUUGAAGUAGAGCAGAUACCAAGGAGUCAAAAUAACUCAGCUGAUGCCCUGGCGAAGCUAGCUUCUGCUUUCGAGGGGGGGCAGAGAGAGAUAUUGGUUGACUCAGCAUCUACACCUUCAUGUAACUUAGUCACGAUCCAGGCAGAAGACUGGAGGAAACCCUUGAUAGAAUACUUCGAGGGACAGAAACUUUCUGAAAAUAAAAAUGAAAGACGCAAGUUACAAACACGCGUUUCAAGAUUCUGCCUGAUCGGUGAUAUUCUGUAUAAGAAAUCCUACGAUGGACCUCUAAUGAAAUGUGUCUCAACAGAAGAAGGACAAUUAAUUGUGGAGGAGAUUCAUCAAGGAGUAUGCGGAAUACAUCAGGAGGGAAGAUCUUUGGCCCAAAGAAUAAUAAGGCAGGGAUACUUCUGGCCCACACUGAAAAAAGAUGCAGUCCUAUUUGCAAGAAAAUGCAAGGCCUGUCAAAUACACAAAAACAUACAGAGAAAUCCCGCAACUCAGCUAACAGGGGUAGAAAGCCCCAUCCCCUUUGCAAUGUGGGGGUUAGAUAUUGUAGGACCAUUUCCAGUAUCGACAGGUCAGGCUAAAUUUAUAUUUGUGGCUGUCGACUACUUCAUUAAAUGGGUCGAGGCACUAGCUGUACCCAAGAUAACUCAAGGAGCAGCAACGAAAUUUGUCUUCAAGUGCAUAAUGUGCAGAUUUGGUGUUCCAAUGCAUAUAGUGACAGAUAACGGUACACAGUUUACCGGUGGGGAGUUUACGAGAUUGUGCGAGAACAUGGGCACUAGAAUCCAUUUUUCAUCGGUAUACAGACCACAGGGUAAUGGGCAAGUAGAAGUCACAAACAGAGCCAUCGUUCAGGGACUGAAGAAAAAAGUCGAACAGGCCAAAGGUUCGUGGGCAGAUCUACUACCAGAGAUCCUCUGGGCGUAUAGAACCACUGAAAAGACACCCACCGGAGAAACCCCGUUCUCACUAGCAUACGGAAUGGAAGCACUAAUCCCAACAGAGCUAAGCAUUCCAACAGUCAGAGUGUUAUCCUAUGACAUGGAAGAAAACAUAAGAUCAUGUGCGAUAACUCUGGACUUAGUGGAUGAGCUUAGGGAUAAUGCACAGGCAAAGAAUGCAGCUUACAAACAAAGUAUCGCUAGAUAUCACGACAAGAAUGUCAAGGGUAAAGCGAUAAGAAAAGGAAGCCUAGUAUGGAGAAGAGCGAGUGUCGGCAGAAAAGACUGCUCUAAAGGUAAACUAGGCGCAAAUUGGGAAGGACCAUAUGUGGUGGAGGAAGAACUCCGACCAGACACAUACAAGUUAAAGCGGGAAGAUGGAACAGGCAUUCCUAAUACUUGGCACGCAGAUAACCUACAGUUGUACUUUUAAACAAUUAAGUAGGAUUAUAUUACUCUUGUAAUAGUUUGAACUACGUAACUAGUAUGUUAUUUAGUUAGCUAUUAGAACACUUGAAAAUACAUUUCAUAUAUUGAUUUAAAAAAGAAUUACAGAGGAAUGUAAAUUACAAUAGUUGAGAAGAUAAGAUAGAAGAUUAAUCUAUUUAGAAGGGGGGGUGUAUCUUUAGAGCCCUCUGCAUCGUUGUUGUCUUGAUCUUCUGUGGAGAAAUCUUUAUCAACGGCAGCAGCAGCAUCAUCCCCCGGAGUUUCUUCUUCUUCUUCAUCAUCUUCUUCUUCCGCAAGCGCCCGAUUUCGAACUUUGGUAGCUUCUUUGGGGUACUUGCGGGCCCAGUUAUGGACAUCCUCAGCUUCAAAACCCGGACAAACAUGAGGACCCAGGUCGACCAAGUCAUUAUAAUCUCGCACAUUUGCAAGAUAAUCGACCUUAAGUUUUUCCAGAUGAUCGAUCAUGCGUUGAAGCUCCUCAGUUGCAUAUCGAGCUUCCUCGGUCAGACGUUGGACCUCCUCAGUCUUUGCCCGGUCCAUUUCUUCCAGUCGCGUUAUUGAUUUCUGAUUAUCAUCCAGCGACUUCAACAGCUUCUUGUUCUCUUCAUGGCUUUCACCCAGUCGGUCGGAAAAUAUAGAGUUCUGUGUCCGACAGGAUUCAAGGUUCGCCUCAACAUUCUCGCGCUUGCGGUCUAGAUCGACAAUCAUUGAGUCUUUGAUUGAGACCUUAGCACGUUCAGCUGCUAAUUCCAGCUCUGCGGCCCCCAACUCCCCGUUGAUCUUAGAGAUUUUCUGCUCUUUAUCUCUCAAGAGAUUCCUUUGAGCAGCCCAAUCCGCAGCCAACUUCUUGUUAGUGGCAGACAAAGUAGAGGCGUCUGAAACCUUUUGCGAAACCUCGCCUUCAAGAUCUUUACAUCGGCGCUUCACUCUCUUCAACUCGUCUUCCAUAGACUGAUAGUCACGAAGACGAGACAGGGAAGAGAGGCGGCCCUGAAACAAAUAGGUGAGCUGCAAAAAGAGAAAAAAUGGGUAAGGACAUACUCAUAGAAAUAGUCAAAACAAAAGCACUCACGUUGCUCAGGUUUUGUCCGAUUUCUUCGACGGUCCGGUCCAUCGGAUACCCAGAUAUAGUCCGCAGUGUAGUCCGGGCGGUAUCCGUGUCAGGGGUCAGAAGAAACUUGGACCCGUAAUUCCGGGGGUGCGAACCUUGGUACCCCGGCAGUUGUGUCUCCCGGGUGGAAGAGUAAUUGUACCGGCCCCGGGAGGACUCCCCAGCAUAAUAAGUCCUACGAGGAGGAGUUCGUCGCCUGGGGGAGUGUCUCCUCUUCCUUGGAGGAGAUGAGUUGGUCCUGGGGGGAGGAGUUCGUUCUUUUCUUUUUCCCAGAGAUCUCUUUCUCUGUGGUUUUCUCAGUCUGCUCAGACUGAGCCUCCUUCUCCGGUGUUUUCUCUGUUGCUUUCCCUCGCUCCUCUUCUGACAGAGUAGGGAAGAAGUCGGAGAGCCUGGAAGCAGCAGGAGACUGCACAGGAGUAGUGUCUUUAGAUACCACCGGAGGUACCUCCCUUUCCUCAGUUCGUUGGACCUCAUCAGGAGUAGGGGAUUGCGCCAUUGAGUAGGCAUUCUCAAGGGCACGCUGCCUCAAAUGAUCAGCGUCAGAAGGCUUGGAGGCAGCUGCAUAAACCUUGGAGCCCGUUUCAUUUUGCCCAACGCGUUCAGGGACACCUCCGGGGUUAUGCAUGUAGAAAUCUGCAAGGAAUAAAAACAGAGUUAGAAGAUGCAUGUGUAUAGAAAAUAUAUAAAAAAACAGGCAAAGGAAGACCUUGUCGGUUAAAAGUAUCAUCAAUCGCGUGACCGACAGGCACAACGAUAGGAUGCAAAUAGGCCAGCUUUUGCACAGAAGCUCCCUCAUCCUCAGUCAGAUCAGGACGAGGAAUGGGCUUACGACCACUAGUGGAUGCAGGGAGAAGUCUGCUACCAGGGCAUAACCUGCAAUCCACAAAGAUGAACUCACUCUUGUUCCGCCUGGUCGGAGGAUCUUUCAAGAGGGCAGAGUGAGUAAUGGAGGUAGCACGGCUGGCACAUGCAAUAAAAGGGCUGCCCUUCUUCGGAUUUUGGAAUGUGAAGAAGUGGAAGAACAGCCGAGCAGUAGGGACUAUGCCAGCAUCCCGGAGGAUAUUUAUGAAUCCCCUGACAUAGAAAAAGAAGGCAGCACCCAUUUGAGAGAUGCACAACCCAGAAUACAAAAGGAUUUCACUAACCAAGGAAGGGAUCGGGAGGAUCGGAAAGUUAGUGAAGUAGAUUCGGUGAAGUGCCAACAUAAAAUAGGGGGGCACAUCACCAGUAUUCUCAGAGGGGUACGCCCAGUACACUCUCUCCCUAAGCUUUAACCCUCUCAAAAUUCUUUGGGCGGCAUCCAAGGAAAGGGUGUUAGAGCAGCUACCCGCAUUGGAGGAAAGGAGGUAGCCCGGAAUAUCAGUCAGAGAGACUGUACAGAAGGAACCAUAUCCAGUCCCAUACUCGCCCCGGUCGAGGAUAGGGACAACAUGGAAACCGUUGCGAACAAGAACGGACCACUGACGCCAAGAACCAUCCAUCUCCCGAUAGAAGGAUGGGGCGCUCUUCUCCUCAAGGGGAGAAGGAAAGGGGUAUUUGUCCCUCGUCUCAGGGGGGUAACCCAAUGGGGAACUCUCGAGAACAUGAAUGUUCUGACUACAGACUUCGGGAGGAAGUUGAAUAGAACUGUCUGUAGUCACGGAUAAAACCCCCGAAGUAGGAGUCUCCUCAGGAAUGGAAGGCAAAAUAACAGUGGGAGGAGGAGUCCUAACAACGGAGGGAGGGGUUCCUCCAAUAUCUACAUCCUCCGAGGAAGAAGAGUAAUAGGAGGAAGAACCCGAGCUUCCCGAGCUAGAUGUGGAAGACCCCGAACUGGAACGUGCGGGGGAAGAGUGGGGAGCACCUACAAACAAAAAGAAACAAAUAGAGAGUAAGUUACGAAAUAGAUAAUAAAUGAGUAACUUACUAGGUACGGGCUUGCGUGUACGACGGGAAAGAGCUUUCCGCUUACUUCCAACAGGUAAGGAGGAAGGCGAAGCUCUAGGUUCCGUUACGGCAGGUGCAGCUGGAACAGACUCCGGUUCAGCAGGAACAUCCUGAACCUCGAUGUUGUCAGGCACUGCCUCGGCAGUAGCAGCUUGAGAGGUCUGAGGGCUGGCAACAGUAGCCCGAUCCUCAUCAAGAGGUUCUUGUCAGAAGACAUUAUAAACCUGCACGAAGAACAGAGCAGUCAGGCCAAGCUAUGGCAAAAGUCGAUCCCAAGAAAAGUCGAUCUGGACUUCAGGGAAUCGAACGUGCAAUAUAAGGGAAGUCGAUCCCAGGGAAGUCGACCUCAGAAGUCGAUCCCAGAAAAGUCGACUGUCAGGAGACAAGGGUCUUGGGAAGUCGAUCCCAGUAAAAAUGGACCCAACUUUGAAAAGUCGAUGACAAGGCGUCAAACCUCACAAAGUUGGAUCACAGUCCAAUGGGGAACAACUUCAAAAGGGACCGACUUUCAGAAAAGUCGGACUCCAAGGAAGUCGAACCCGGUGCAACCUCAGAAGAGCCCGACAACAAAAGUCGGACCCCUGAAACUUGCACCUCCAAGGCUCAAGUCGAAGCCUUACGCACGCUGGAAGUCGAAGCGGAGAGACGGAUGUCGAAGCGAGAUGUCGAAGCGAAGAGAUCGGAAGUCGAUGCGCAGAAAGUCGAUCAGUCGGAGCGAAGGAAACAAGUGGGAAGAAAGUGAACCCCCCUCCGCUAUUUAUAGGGGAAAGUCGAAGACGAACCGUCGCGAGCACUGUUCAUCCGGAUCGACCCGUUGGCCCAGAAAGCCCACGGGCCCGGUAGGCCCACGACGGCCCAGUCCGUGAAAAACCCCAAAAUCCGACUAGAUGGCAUCGACAUUCCAGGAAAAUUCAUCGACAUUUCAGAAAAACCAUCGACAUUCCGCAGAAAAUUGAGUUCGACAUUCCCAAAAAGGGGGAUAGACGUCGACAUUUGGCAAGGAAUUCGACGCCUUCAAAAGAGAAGGACAGGAUCGACAUUCCGCAGGAAAUGGAGUUCGACAUUCCCAAAAAAGGGGGAUAGACGUCGACAUUUGGCAAGAAAGUCGAUGCCUUCAAAAGAGAAGGACAGGAUUGACAUUCCGCACUACUCUGAUCGACAUCCUCUGGAAAAGAUGAGAUCGACUUUUUGGGCAACAUCGACAUUUCCAGGGAGAAAUGAGAUCGACUUAUUGUCAAAAAUCCGACAUCUUCAGAAAAGGAUCAGCAGUCAUCGACAUCCUCAGAAAAAGAUAAGAUCGACAUUUUUUGGACAACAUCGACAUUUCCAAGGAGAAAUGAGAUCGACUUGUUGUAAAAAAUGCGACAUCUUCAGAAAAGGAUCGGCAGACACAUCGACAUCCUCAGAAAAAGAUGAGAUCGACUUUUGGAACAACAUCGACGUUUCCAGGGAGAAAUGAGAUCGACUCGUUGUCAAAAAUCCGACAUCUUCAGAAAAGGACAAAAGAAUAUGGUAUUGACCAAAAGAAAGCAUCGGUUACACUAACGUACUUCAAAGUAAAGGUUCCUAAUUAAAAUUGAUACGGCGACGUAAGCGACGAGGGACCUGAUGAAUGAAAAAUAUUACAGGUUCCUAAUUAAAAUUGAUGCGGCGACGUAAGCGGCGAGGAACCUGAUCCAGCGGAGAAGCACCGCGACGGGGACGCCUCCGACGUCGGCCACGAGGAGGGACAACAGAAGAAGAGGCGGGCGGAAGAUCGCCACCAGACCAUUCUUCAAAAAUUGACUCCCUAGCAGCAACAGCAACACUCUGCCGCUCAACAAUAAGCUGGCGCAGAGAAGGAAGAUCCAAGGUUGACAACCGAGGAUCCAAAAUAUUCAAAAUUCGAUCCAGCUCCUCAAUCUCUCCCUGAAUAAAAUCAGCAAAGAGACUCACAAGAAGAGCCAUGGAUGGAUGAAGGAAAAGGAGAACCUAGGGGUCCUAUUUAUAGACCCUAGGACAGCACAAAAGGACAAAAAUGGCAAAUUCGACUUUUUAACACAAGGGAUCGACUUUUGACCAAAAGCAUCAGGAAUCGACUUUUUGACAAAAGUCGACCAAACUCAACAAGGGAUCGACAUUUCGCAAAAGUCGACCAAACUCGAUAAGGGAUCGACAAGUCGAGCAAAAUCAACAAGGGAUCGACUUUUUCUUCCCACAUAAAAGGGAUGCAGAAAAAAGAACCCAGACAAGUUGGAGUUGCGGAGGCACACCAAGACAGGAGGGUGUAACACGAAAUGCUCAUGAGGAAGCGUGGAAGUCCACAACUCGGACGGGGAUACGGCAGCAAAAUGAGCUGAGCCAUAUAAAGAUAUUUGAACUCCUACUAUUACUGGACGCAGUAACAAAGUAGGACGCCAAAUUAACUCUACCUACGGAAGAACGUGGAUAGAGAAAGUCUUAAUGGUAACAGAGUCAGGAUGCGCAUCCCAUCCAAGGCAAGAGUGAACCUCACCUACGGAAACGUAGUGUUAGACGAGGGAUAUACUCAAAAGUGAACCCCACCUACGGAAGAACGUAGGUUAGACGGGGAACACAUCGGCAAAAGUGAACCUCACCUACGGAAACGUAGUGUUAGACGAGGGACGUAAUCAAAAGUGAACCCCACCUACGGAAGAACGUAGGUUAGACGGGGAACACAUCGGCAAAAGUUAANNNNNNNNNNNNNNNNNNNNNNNNNNNNNNNNNNNNNNNNNNNNNNNNNNNNNNNNNNNNNNNNNNNNNNNNNNNNNNNNNNNNNNNNNNNNNNNNNNNNGGAAGAACGUAGGUUAGACGGGGAACACAUCGGCAAAAGUGAACCUCACCUACGGAAACGUAGUGUUAGACGAGGGACGUACACAAAAGUGAACCCCACCUACGGAAGAACGUAGGUUAGACGGGGAACACAUCGGCAAAAGUGAACCCCACCUACGGAAGAACGUAGGUUAGACGGGGAACACAUCGGAAAAAGUGAACCCCACCUACGGAAGAACGUAGGUUAGACGGGGGACACGUCGGCUAAACACACACCCCAUUCUACAAAAAUGUAGACAGAGGGGCAAGUGUCCAAGAGUAAACCUCACCUACGGAAAAACGUAGGUUAGACGAGGGACGUACUCAAGAACAAUCCUCACCUACGAAUGAACGUAGGUAGACGAGGAGUCACACUUAGCCUCAGUCGCAGAAAGGCGAGCAAAAGGAGGGGGCAAGUAUUCAAAAAACAAUCCUCACCUACGGAUGAACGUAGGUAGACGAGGAGUUACACUUAGCCUCAGUCGCAGAAAGGCGAGCAAAAGGAGGGGGCAAGUAUUCAAGUAAUAGUCCUCACCCACGGAUAAACGUGGGUAGACGAGGAAGUAAUAGUCCUCACCCACAGUGCUCAAGGACAGCUCAGGCAAGGCGUCAAGGUGGGCAAGCAGGGUUCCGCGGGAGAAUCAGGCCGGACAGGUGUGCAAGGAGUAGGCUUCGGCUAGGACAAACCGGACAAUAGUUGGCAAAAGCGCGUGACAACCUCCGCGGAAGCAUAGACACAACCUCGCAGGCGUGGAGGGGGGGAGUACUGGUGAGAGAGGAUCUUACAUCCAGGGACAUCACCAGAAAUCCACAUCCCCGCACGCAAAGAGGGGGGGAAUACUGAUAGUACAUGGUCCGACACGCAGACCAUAGUACUAAAAGACGUAUCCCAAAGUAUCUAAUACGCAGAGGAGGGGGGAGUACUGGUGAUCAAGUAUCCCGAACACGGUCGCAACCUACCAGCAACUAGAAGUCCGGAUAGCCUAAGAUGAGUUGAGGUAUCUAUUCUAGGGUUGGGGAGGUCCCAGGUCGAAUCCUAGGAAGAUCGACUUUCCUGAGGAUCGACUUCCCUGGGAUCGACUUUUGAGUAAAGUCGAUCACCAGGAAAAGUCGACCCCCAGAAAGUCGAUCUCUGGAAAGUCGACCCCUGAACCCAAUAUGAUCAGUUGGGCAGUUAGGCGGUUACUGCCCAAAUGACCAUAUUGCCCCCAUAAGAACCCCUAUAAAUAGAGGGCACCCCCCACUCAUUAAAGGCAGGUCAUUUAGAGCGAAAGGAUUCCUAGCGAAGCAGAGCUCUGCACACUUGAGUUCCGGUCCGGUUUCCCGCGGAGUUCCCCGCUUGGCGCUUGCUUGCGCGUCUUGGAGUACUGGUCGGGUUUCACCCCCAUCAUAAAACUAUCCCAAAACAACCAAACCCCCCCCAUUCCCUCUUCCCUCCCAACGGCAAACGAGUUCCCCUCAUCAAUUUUUCUCCCACUCCCGUUUGUGAUUUUCUCCCACUCCCGUUUGUGAUUUUCUCCCACUCCCGUUUCUGAUUUCUGACCAACGACGAUUCCAACUUCUGACGAGCGACCUGUCCGGUGAGGGUGAUACUUCCAUCCGGCGAGGGCGAUACUUCCUGUCCGGCGAGCUGCGGUGAGGGAAAUACUUCCAUCCGGCGAGCAGCGGGCGAUACCUCCAGUCCAUUUCCAGGUAAGAGUUCCUUCACCGUUUACUUCCUGUCUUGCACACCUGAGCUUAACAUUUCCCCAAAAUAUCCAAUUGCUUCUUCCUCCUUUCCAUUUUGCCCACACCCUGCAAUUAUGGCUGUCCAGCACAGUGUGUCGAGCACACCAUUCGCAGCUCGAAAUAAAGUUAGACUGCUGUCAAUUUCACCACAUUUUGAGUACAUAUCAAUCAGAGAUGUUGUCAUUGCAGAUUCUAUUUCAAAACCUUUUUUAACUGUGUACCCAUGAAUUUGCUUUCCGUGGGAAUGAGGACUCCCUGCUAGAUUAGAGCACGAUUUUAGAACACUUGAUAAAACAAAGUGAUCUGGUUUGAUACCCAAUUCGAGCAUAACUUUGAAUAGAUAGAAUGCUGAAUGAUUCAAUCCAUACUGAAUACAACCACUGAUGAAUCCACACCAAGUGACUACAUCUUUAUGAGGAAGACCUGUAAAAAUCGCCAUGGCCUUGUUGAAGCUUCCACAAUUCAAGUAUAGGUCUACAAGAACACUCUCAACAAUAUGGUCAAGAUGAUACCCAUACACCACAAUUAUACCAUGCAUUUGGAUUCCAAAUCUCAAAUUCUGUAAUUUACUGCAAACCUUCAAACCACUGGAAAGAGUGAAUUCAUCAAGAACUAAUCCUGAUCUGUGUAUUUUGGAGAGAAGAUUAAGUGCAGGAAUGUUGUGGUUAUUACUGGAAAAACCAGAGAUCAUUGAGUUUGAAACGGCUAGCAACUGGAAACCAGUUCCUCUAUAUCCAUCAUAAAGCUUUUUUGCUUCGCCAAUCGAACCACACUUUGAGUACAUAUCAAUGAUUUAGCCACUCUUCACUUUCCACUCUGUUUCAAGGAUUUAGCCACGGCAAAAUAAAAUUAGCCACUGAAUUAUGCCGUGGCUAUUUUUUUUAACAUUAGCCACUGAAUUAUGCCGUGGCUAAUUUUUAACAUUAGCCACGGCCCAUAGCCGUGGCUAAAAUAAAUGGCCGUGGCUAAUAUUUAGCCACGGAAAACCAUUUCCGUGGCAAAAAAUCAGUAGCCACCAGACUUACAGCCACGACAGCUCCCGUGGCUAAUUCCCGUGGCUAAAUCAAUUUAGCCACGGAUUUUGCCAUUUAGCCAGUGAACUUGGCCGUGGCUGUUUCCCUGUUUUCUUGUAGUGUUCCGUAAACAAGGUUGCACAAUUCAUGCAAACACCAACAACUAUUCACUGGGCAGCACUUAACAGGAUCCUUCACUACGUUGCGGGGACAUUAUUCCAUGGAGUGCACAUCAAAGGCUCAGUAACAUUCAAACUGGUAGCAUUCUCAUAUGCGGAUUGGGCAGGAGACAAGCAUGAUAGUCGAAACCAGGGGGCGUAUGUAGUAUUUCUCGAGUCGAAUUUAAUCACAUGGGGAUCGAGAAAGCAAAGCAUGGUAGCUCGCUCCACAACCGAAGAAGAGUAUCGAAGUGUCGCACAUACGACAACAGAAAUGGAUUGGAUCAGGGGGCUACUGAAGGAUUUAGAUAUACAAAUUACAAUGCCGGCAAAAAUUUGGUGCGACAAUUCCGGAGCAAUAGCCAUCUCCAAGAAUCCAGCACAUCACAUGAAGUCAAAAUACUUCGCGAUGAACUAUCACUUCGUUCGAGAACGAGUAUUCGCCAAAGUACUUGAAGUUCGCUUUAUCAGCUCAAAGGAUAAGAUAGCAGAUCUGCUCACUAAGCCACUUCCACGACCAGCAUUCGAAACACUACGUAUCAAGCUCACCGAAGAACUUCCGUUAUGCUUGAGGGGGCGUAUUAGUGAUAUUAGUAAAGUUAGUUAAUAAUAUCUAGAUUAGUUAGUUAGAAAGCAAGUGUAAUACAACCCUAUAUAAAGGGGGCCCAAUGUAAUAAUAAAAGUCACUCAAAGAUUUAACCAAACAUCAAGGGUUAAAGUUGUAAAAAUGAGUCAUUUUUUUAAAAACUAUUCUAGCUUAUUCCAGAUCUCUCUUAAUUCCGUUGGCGGAGCAUCUGAAUCUUUCCUUCUGAAAAAUAAUGAAUAUUUCAGUUUCCACCUAAUCCAGUCCAGAUAUUAGAUUGGAGGAUCUGACGGAGGUUGCGUAAAAAAUUACGCACCACUCUCCCCCUUGGGGGCUACUAUGGAAUGUUAUUGGGUCCUUGUCGUGACAUAUAUGGAUAGAAAGAAAUAAAAGAUAUAGACAGCACGUUAGGAGGCCUCCUAAGGUAGUCUUUAAGGAGGUUAUUAAAGACAUUAGUCUAUUCUUUGAUUCGGAGUAUUAUAAUUAAAAAGAGUUGUUGUCACCCUUUGGAGACAUCUAUGAUGGAAGUAUGGGAGACCAACCUGCUGAGACAACGUAUUUAGUUACUGUAUAACUAGACUACAUAGCUAAUGGAAGAGUGUCAAUGGGCUUUUGUUCAUUUUUAUACUCUUUUUCUUUGUAAAUUGGGCAUUGCCCUUAUUUUUAAAUAAAAAAAAUAAUUGUUUUAAAAAAAAGAUACAUUUAUCAUUGUACUGCCCCCCCUCUGUUUGAAGGUGACCCAUAACUAUACUUAGAGAAUUUUUCAAGUGUCCAUAAAGAAGUGUUGUGGUUGUAGAAUUAACUUUUCUUGGCAUUUAUCUUUAAGACCUUGUACGAACCUAGCAAUAAGCUGUUCCAUGUCUCUCUUAAAUUAUUUCUUGAGGACAAUCUGUGAAAUUCCCGUGAAUAAUCAGAUAUACUCCUUGUGCCUUGGGUACAUUGAUGAUAUGUUGUAAAUAGAACCCCUUCAUAAUCACUAGGUAGGAAGCAUUGUCGGUGUAAUUUCUUUAGUUUCUCCCAACUUCGGACUGUACUUUUGUUGGACCUAACAUUAAUGUUCUUCACGGUCUGCUCCCACCAUGCAGAUGCAAAUCCCUUAAAUCGCAGAACCACUAGCUUAACCUUCCUCACCUCCUCAAUGUUCAUGUAGUCGAAGAACCUCUCGACUCCAGUUGAUGAAGUCUUCUAUGUGUAUUGAUCCAUUAAAGGACGGGAUGUCCAUCUUUAGUUUUAACUCAGAUUGACUACAACGGUGAUACACCCUAUUUUGGAAAUGGGAGUCACUGUCGUCCAUAUUUUCUUCAAAUGUACAGAAUGAUGGUUGAACUCUCCGAUGAUAGUGUUGAUCAGGAGUGAUUUCUUCUUCUAACAACUCGGUGAAUUGAUCCAGCACAUUGGUGUGUCGACGCUAAUAAGUAACUAUCGACGGAUCGGAGUGUUAGCGCUGGUAAGUCUACAUCGGAACAUCCGAUGAACGUCGCACGUCCUGGCGCUCAGAAAUGACGUUGUGUGACCGCCUCUGGUAAGUUUGGACGGGUCUCUCUUGAUUAGGUAGCUUUGGAGGAUUUGGUGGGACGGCCAGAGAUUCUACUUCCCUCCGCAGAUCUUGAAAUCUCUCUCUCAUAACGGUGGUCAGAUCGGCGAUCACUUUGUUCAUCACCUCCCACUCUUGUCGCGACACAUUGUCAGCCAUCGAAGAUCGAUGUGCUCUGAUACCAGCUAAUGCAGGAUUGAGAUACAAUCAAUGUACUAAUGUUGAGAAGAUAGCUUCUCAAUCGGGAUAGGGAGUUAAUUGAGGCAGUGAUCUUGGAAUCCUCCAAGAAGAUCAGAGGAAUGAGUGGAGUAAUGCCAAGGAAAAUAAGAAAAAAAGUAAGAACAAUAGACGAGUAAAGUAGAUCAAGAGAGCCAGGUGGUCCAAAAUAUCCAUGAGAGCUGACUGGACGGGUAGAAUGGGAGGGGGGAACACAGACUGCAUAUUAUAUGGGGGGACAUGGGAAUCGCAAGACCAUGUCUUCUUCAAAUGCAAGUUCUCCAAGAAUCUAUGGACAUAUAUUUUAAAUGCAAAACCCAGUUUGAUUACGUGUGCAGGUCUAUCUUUAGAACAGGUCAUGGCACAGGCAAAUGCAAGGACAAAGAACUCACCAUAUUUUACCGUGACUAAUUUUUAACAUUAGCCACGGAUUUUGGCCGUGGCUAAUAUUAGCCACGGAAAAUCAAUUCCGUGGCUAAAAAUUAGUAGCCACCAGACCUACAGCCACGGCCACUCCCGUGGCUAAAUCAAUUUAGCCACGGAUUUUGCCAUUUAGCCAGUGAACUUGGCCGUGGCUGUUUCCCUGUUUUCUUGUAGUGCAUGCUGGGGCCUAACGUGGACGUACACGGCAGCGAUAGUAUGGGGAAUCUGGACUGCAAGGAACAGGAGAGUGCAUGAGGACAGACGCACGAGCCCACAGGAGAUAGGGAGGAGGACAGUACAGGAUGUAACAUCGACAUUCAAGGUGGACAAGUAUAAAGCAAAAGGUACGAGAAGGGAACAGAGAUGGAUGGAUAUAUGGACCGGAGGUGCCCAGUUGGCGAGAACGUGAAACUAGUUUAAUUCUUCAUAUUUGAUAUUGAGUCUGUAAUCGUAUAUAUGGUGGGAUGGAGUUCAACUAAAAAUAGAACCCUGUCUUGCCAAAUACUAUAGGAGGGGACAAAUUGGUAAAUGGAAUGACCAAAAAAGUCAUAUCCAUAUAGAGCUCUAUCCCCCAGGAGGUGGACUCUAUUAUUAAAGUAGAAACGAUAUGUGGAAUCACUUAUAUGUAGUGGACCUAAAGGUAAUGGCAGAGUUUUCCCUUGGCAAAGGAAAAGAUGCCUUGGGCACACCAGGGUUUUUACACUCCCCAUUGGCUUAGGACCACUACGUAAGAACGAUGAGGCAUAGAUCGUUCUAGGAAACAUCGAGUCAGUUCCCCAAAGGUUGUGAAGGCCCAAACGAUCGUAAGAUCCGGGGUUGGAACAAUGCGGAGGGUGUGGGGUGGAUCGCAUGUGAUCACACCCUUUUUCUUUGUUUCGGAAUCUAUAUUAUCAGUUGGUUUUGUUUCAAAAAAAAAAAAAAAAGUAGAUCAAGAGAGAGGCGAAUAAUACCUUGAGAAUUCAAUAAUCAAAAAACAUCUUUCCCAAGUGAGGUCCAUCAUAAUUAUACUUACAUCAUGGGUGAUGGACAACCCUCAUGAUGUGAGUGUGAUGACUUUCUACAGAGAAGAUUGUGAAGUCCAACCGCCCAACCUUGGUUAUGCCCACCACACAUUUUUUGUAAAAUGUGCAUUGGGGUAUGUGGUAAUAUCAGUUUGAUGCUCUGCAUCAAUAACUUCAAUAAUACUAUCAUGGCCACCUACAGAUUUAGGAAUGACCACAUUUUUGUCACAAUUUGUGACAUUUUCACCGUCGACCUCAUUGGAAAUGCUUUCUGAUUUCUUGCUUCCUUUUACUGACAAAAGAAAUUCAACAACAAAUAAAUUAGCAAAACCUUUUUCUAAAAAUUAUUGCCCAAACUCUUAUUAUUUUUUACUUCUUUUUUAUGUGUUUUGAUGUUUUGAAUAUUAGAAUCGUGGAAAUGAAGUUCUUGUAGAUCUUCAUCCUCCGGUAAAUGUAGUUUCCACGCCUGCUGAAGAUGUCAUCCGUAGUCCUUUUCCUAUUCCAGUUGUGAACGAUACCAUGCUCGUUCUGCUUUUCUUUUCAUCGCCUAUGACAGUUUGUAACAGAUCAAAACUUGUUCAACUAUUGAAGAAAGAUUUAGCGAUUGAAGACUUCGGUUUCUGCUCAUCGGAAGAGAACUCGAUCGCCGUCAACUAGGUCGAGCCCAUUGAUUCUUCAAAGGGCCGAAAAUAGUUUAGGCCUAACCAAAGUAAAGAAUUUGUUAAUUGAACUACUUAAUCAUGUACUAAAUUCUAUAAAUAAGAGAAUGAUCUAUGUUAAGAUCAUCAAAGUAUUUUUCGACCAAUUCCUUAGUACCUCAGGUUCCUCCGGGAGAGUUCUCUUCUUAACCUUUGGCUCCAAUCUUGGAGAAUCUUUUCUCACCUCGGCCCUGAUCUUAGGGAUUUCUUAUUUCAAUAACGUCUUGAUAACCUCCGACGAAGGACGGUUGUUACAUUGGUGCUUUUAAUGGAUUUGGACUUAGUUGUUGAAGUUAUUGUGCGUGUGGAAUAAAUCAAGCAAUCCGUACUAUCGUUGCGGGAAUUGUGGAAAGAAGAAUUAGAUGAGAUUGCGAUAAUGGACAUUUUUGAGAAGUUUGCGAGAAGAGCAAAGAAGAAGAAUCAUGGUGAUGGGAGUUCAACAACAUCGACAAAGGAUUUCGAUCACACGAAGAAAAUCGUCAUGAUCUGCAACAACAUCGACAAUAACGUUGUUCUUACUCGUCUUACAUCGGUUACCACCAUAGAUUCUAUCAAGUCAUGGGGAAAUACUCUUUUAAAACUUGUAGAUCUCAAGGUCUCCUAUCUUAUCGAGCACGAGAAGCAUCAUCAAAGCCAUGGAAUAGAGUUGAUCACUUCUGAUACUUUCAGCUCAUUCGACAAUCUAAGAAGAGGUUUCAUCGGGAUUGACUCUUCUAUGUUCAUCGCCUACCUCUAUAGUUCAGUUGUCUCUUUUUCUUGGGACGUUUUCAUCUAUGAUCUUAUGAAAAAGAUGCAUGGUCUACUCUUCAAUCUUUUCGAUGGGGAAGGGAGAAUUUUAGUUGUUCAUAUUUUUCUUUGGGAUCCAGACAUCAAAAAGUGAAGAAACUGUGGAAGAAAGAUUUAUUACUGGUAUUCGAUAGAAUGUGUAAGAAGCAUUGAAUCUUGGAAUGUAUGGUUUCGUAAAGAUUAUUCAAACCCUAACCGUGUAGACAAGAGGUUAGUACGGAAGGUGGAGGAGAAACACAACAUUGCCAAUAGAAGAAAAAGCAUGGGAGGAUAUGACUGUGUCUGAAUCUUGAGGACAAGAUUCGUUUGAAAGAAGGUGGAGAUGUAAUAGAUCAAAACUUGUUCAACUAUUGAAGGAAGAUUUAGCGAUUGAAGACUUCGGUUUCCGCUCAUCGGAGGAGAACUCGAUCGCCGUCAACUAGGUCGAGCCCAUUGAUUCUUUAAAAGGCCGAAAAUAGUUUAGGCCCAACCAAAGUAAAGAAUUUGUUAACUAUUGUGGUUAGAAUAAUAAUUUGUUAAUUGAACUACUUAAUCAUGUACUAAAUUCUAUAAAUAAGAGGAUAAUCUAUGUUAAGAUCAUCAAAGUAUUUUUCGACCAAUUGCUUAGUACCUCAGGUUCCUCCAGGAGAGUUCUCUUUUUAACCUUCGACUCCAAUUUUGGAGAAUCUUUUCUCACCUCGGCCCUGAUCUUAGGGAUUUCUUAUUUCAAUAACGUUUUGACAACCUCCGACGAAGGACGGUUGUUACACAGUUGCACGUUGGAAUGCUGCGCCAGAGUUUGGUCUCCAUAAUUCGGAAUGGAGGAUUCUUCAAGCGGUGUCGUGUACCUCGCUGCUGGAGGGUGCUAUCAUUUCUUCUAUAAACGUGAGUUUUCUACUGUUAAAAAAUUCUCAUAGGGAUUCCAUUAUUCUUGUUUGUGAUUGUUUUUUUUUGUAGACUGUGAUGCCACUUAAAGUUGCACUUGCUCAAGUCAACUUCUUAGUAUCUGAAAGUGUUGGGUAUAUGCGCGCCUUAAUGCUAAGUGUGAUUCCUUGACCUUAAGACUUGACGCAGCUGUGAAGUACUGCCGAGAGUUGUCGCUUAAGCUGCAAGAACAGCUUGAAGCUGGAAAACGUGAUUAAAUCCUUGCUUUCAAGGCUUUUUGCAUGGAAGGUUUUUGUCUUUAGAAAAAAAAAAUGAACUUCAUGAAGUUACUUUUGUUGGGAUGUUUGUUUUUAUUGUGUCUGGCUUUCUUUCUUAAGAAAGAAAAACCGUUCAAACACUACAAAAAAAUGACAUUGUAUGGCGGCCUUUUGAUGGCGAAAAUCCGUCAUCAAUAAUUCAGUUCUUUUGGUGGCAGAAAUCCACCAUCAAUUGUUUUAGUCCGCCGAGGAAAGGCAUGGGUUCGACAACGGUUUUAAUUUAUUUUCGAUGACGGAUUUUAGAUGGCGGAUGAUGUUAUCUUGGCGGUUAUUAUGAUGACGGUCUUUAGAUGACGGAUUUCCGUCAUUGAUCACUUAUGACGACGGAAAUCCGUCAUCUUAAGACCAUCAUACAAUGCCUUAUUUCUUGUAGUGAAACUGUUUUGGGUUUAGCUUUUUGUAAUAUUGGAAAACUUUGCGUAUGUAAUCGCAAGUGAGAUAGGAAAGAACAUGAAUCGGGAACCUUAUCAAAGAACUUCAAUCAUAGCUUGCCGAUACUAAUAAAACGCUCUCUGCUACGAGACAUGGAUUGGGUUGCAUCCGGAAGAAGUUGAGAAACAACAUGAGACAUAGAAAUCGUACCUUCAGACACAUUAUAAUUGCACGAUGAAAGGAAGCCGACAUUUCGUCAAAGAACAAAGAAAUCAGACGGGAAUGUAAAACACGGAAUAAGAGAACUGCUGGAAUCCAACAACGAACAGAUAGGAAAUGUGGGAAGAAACAGAACGGAAAAAUAGCUAACAAGAUGAUGGAAUAAAAGCUACCCUCUGUUCUGGCCACUAUUAUUAGCUGACAAGCUUUUACAUGCGACCAUGCAAUGAAUCUGGUCGCAUGAACACCAAGGAUGGUCAUGCACCAUUUAGAUGUCGCAUAACUGUGUUUACCAGAGCUCACCGAAAACACAUUCGCCGAAGGUGGUCACCGUAUAUACUAGCCGGUCACCAAAGGUGGAGGAAAUUGCCUGAAAAAUAGGAUGGCUGGAAAUUUGGGAGAAAUGAGAAGAAAAUAGGAGAAAAAUGAGAGUUAGGGUUUUAAAACCCUAUUCCCUCAUUUUUUUAUAAUAAUUAAUGGGCAAAUGGGUUAAGCAGAUCCGCCUAACCCACCUAGUGUAUGAAGGCAUGCGCUAGGCCGCAUGAUCGCCUAGGUGAAAAACCUUUUGGCAGCAUGCAGCACUAUAAUAUAACAUUAUACAUGUUUUUCAAAAAAAUCAAAUUACAAAUUUAAUUUGUGCUAAAAAUGUGAUUUUUACUUUUUAUUUCCUUCUCUCAUGAAGACGCUAAAAACUUGAAGAUCUUCAUUCAUUUCAAUACAUAGCGGAGACUUCAUCAUCAUCAUCGAUAAAACCGGCAUCGUCAUUUUCAAAAUAGUCUUCAACCAGCAAAGAAUGUUGAGUAGAUACAAAUAUGUCCCAUUCUGUCUGGUUGGAACUUAACCGGAUCUGGACACAUCAAACUCGAUUAAUAAGAGCAUUCGUCAGCAAUAAUAACCAAGACAAACUUAAUCAGAUUGAAUGAAUGAAUGACUUACUCGCCUCUUCGAAAAUGUUUCAUAAUUUUCAAAGGAUAGAUACUUGAAUAUAUUGAAAAGUACGUCAAAUACAACUCCAGAAAGUUGGCAUGCUUUGAAAUCUUGCAGUGUCAAAAAAUCCUCGUUCUGCAGAAAAAUGUGUAUGAAGAGGGAGGAACAUAACUAUACAUAUAUAUAUCAUGGUUAAAAAAUUCUAAAAAAGAAAAUGAACACCCACCUCUGGAUGAAUAAUGUCAUAUAUCUGGCAUAAAACAUUCUCAAAUAACAAAACCACUCUAUUCAAGCAAUUCAUUCGAUGCAACUGUUCAUCAAAGAAGUAUUGCAGGUCAUUUCUUGUGAUGACUCCAAUACCAUUCAAAUCUAAGCACUUAAACCUGCUUAAUCCAAUUGUCACAAUAUGUAUGUACAAAUCAAAUCGAAAGGAAAAUACAAUAAAAUAAAUUCUGAUUGAAUUUUACCAAUAUAUUACACUAGGUUCAGAAGAUUUAUAUUCUUCUGCUAGCAUGAAAUAUAUAAAAUCUUCAUAGCCCAUUUUCCCUUCAAUUUUACAAGUGAACUUUCUUGGAAUCUAAGUCAGAAAGAUUGGAAAAAUCAUUUAAGAUGCAUACAGUUAAAUAUCACAAAAGUGGGAAAAAAUCCAAACCUGUGAAAAAAUCCUCUCAAUAAUUCUGGAAGAAAGAGCAUUGUUACCAUAACGCAUAAGAUCGUACUUAUCAAGUGCAAAAUCACAAUCUAAGUCGAGCCUACAGAACUUGCAGUAUAGCACAAAGAAGCAUUUGUAUGAAAAGUACCUGGAAAUUGGAAAUUAAGAAUAAAGGUCUGUUUUUAAAUAACCUGAAAAAAAAUUAAGCAUUAGGCAAACAAGCUAAAACAAAUUGGAACUUCAAACCCCCUUACUUCCUGGAUCUGGAUUUAUCCAAGUCUUUCUCAUCUUCAACAUGUUGCAGUAAAGGAAUUAGAUCCCCAUGUUUCAAAUUUUUAAGUGUAAUACAACCACACCCAGCUUUAUCCAAAUGGUAAAAUAUUGUGUAUAUAACUGUUUGAGCUGGUUAAAAAAAUCAUAUUUUGAGAAGACGAUUCAACCAUAACGAAACAUCCAUGAAAGAAUUACCAUCAAAUAUAGACAUAUAGUGUUCUAUAGACAUGAAAGAGGUGCAUUCAAAUUUUGACAAGAAAAAAUACCCAGUUGACUAACUCAUAAUUCUAAAGGAACAAAUCCCCUUGAAUUCCCAUCACAGCAAUUAUUAAAGGCCAUUCACAAUUUAAUCCUCAAGCGUUUUUACUUUUAAGAAUCAAUAAUUAUUUUUUAUUAAUAUCAAUGAUAAUGCAAUAAAUAAAAAAUUAAGUCAUUAAAAAUAUUUACCGUAUAUUUCUUGAAAGACCGGCGUUUUCUGUAGGAAUUGUAGGUAAGGAUGGACUUCUACAAAUUCAUCAAUAAUGGGUUUGAAAUCCUCCUACACACAUAAGAACUCCAUAAAGUAAUUAACAAAGAGAAAAAUACAAUGCUAAGGAAAAAUAGAAAAGAUCAAAAUCAAAAGAAAAAUGACAAACUUUGGUAAGAUAGUUAUUGUUUGACUGCUUCAGAAUUCUGUAUAUUUGAGUGGCUUUAUCCAUCGCCAUCAUGUUGCUAGUCACCCAAAACUGAAUGAACUCAUAACUAUGCAAAGGGAGAGGGAGAGAGAGAGAUUACAUUCAUUUAUAAUUGACACUAAAAUACAUCAGAUCUCAAAUAAAUGAUGUUGAUGUUGAAUAUAAAAAAUGAAUCAUUCCAUUUCCAGAGAUUGUACCUUCUUAUUGUCCCCUUACACUCAGUGUCAAUUCUUUUAAAAAGGGUACGACAAAAAAAGGAUGGAAGUUUACACAUCUUUUUUGUAACAGAUUUGAAGUCUGGAAUUUCAAAAAAUAAACAAAUAAUUCAACUGGGAAAAAAAUAAGACCAUACAUGCAGGCAGAUUAUUGUAAAUGCAUGCCAUUUUGUACAUACCUUCUACACCCAACAUAUCUGAAUAACAAUUGAAAUAUUGAAUAACUCUAUAUAACAGACGAUGUUUUACUGAACUUUUUGGUGGUGGUCCAUCCUUGAAAUAGAACUGCAUGGCAAUACAAUUUCAUAUCUUAUAAAAAGUGGCAUGUUUAGCUACAUUUAAAUUGCAUUUACCAAGUUUGUGUAAAAAAUAUUUGGAAAUAAGUUUGCAAUUCAAUAAUGUACCUGAGGUAUUUCCUUUAAUGAAGCAAUGACUCCACUAGCAGAAGGGAAAAGAAGUGAUGGAGUUACAGAGGCAUUUUCACAAUCAAAGCUUUCUGCAGCAUUGAAGAAUUCCUCAAGAGUUACAUUGGCAUCAUCAAUCAAGACGUUCUGAGAAUGAAGAUCAUGAAUAGGAUCCAUGAAUAGUACGCCUUCUGUUCUCCUGCACAGUAAAGUUAUUAAAGAAAAAAUUUAAAAAUAACAAUAGAAGAAUCUAGAAAUAAAAAACAGGGUUGAAUUUACAGACAUUGAUUUUAAAGAAAAUAAACAAGCAUCAGAAGUGAUAUUCCUUAGCAUGGAAAAAUUGUAAAAUCGACGAAGCAAAAAAUAUAGUCUUUUCUACCUUCGCUUCCUACUUCCAGAUUCCAGAUCUUCAAUACUGUUUGCAAAGACAAAGAAAGAUAGAUAGAGAAGGUAAAAAAAGAAUCAAUGAGUAAGUAAUAAAUUGCUGAGUAAGUAAUAAAUUGCUAUUCAAAUUUCAAAUAACUAUUUAAUAUAACACAAUUUUAAAAUAAACUAACUAACUAACCAACUAGUAACCACCAUUAUUAUAGAAGAAAAUUAUUUUAUUUAUAGAAGAAGAAAAAUUGCAGUGGAAAGCAGAACUAACCAGAGAACAAACCUGUGCCUCAUAUUCACGAACUCUAGUGCAUCUUUCUUUUCAAGUGUAUCAGGCUGUAAUUUCUAUGGCUAACCAAUGUAUGCAUAUGUGCAUCAGUCUGCAUAUGUAGUGCAUAUUAUGCAAUGUACUUGUUCUUGAGCUUCUGCUAAAUUGAUUUUAAAGAUAGUGAAUGCCUGACUGAUCUUUAAUCAAUUAUAAAUUAGUUCUUUACAGAUGGUUGAAUGAUGAAGCAAUUACUUCUCUAUAACAUACAAUUCUAAUCAAACAAGCCCAAAUAGAAUUAAAAUGGUUGAAUUUAUUUACAGCAUACAAAGUUACAAACUAACAAUUUAAAAGGUAAAGAUGAAAUCUUUAUUAAUAGAAGGGAAAAAAUUCAGUAGAUGCAGCAGCAAUAGAAAACGAAGAAGAAAUCCUGAACCUAAACCUAACCUCGCCGACCACCUUUUUUCGUCACCGCUCGAUCAUCAUGAUUCUUCUUCAGCACAGUUUUAUAACCACCUUUCGUCGGUUUCCCCCAAGGGCUCACUGACGGACGGCCACCACUAGUCCUCCCUUCUCCACCACCAUGUGGAUGAUCAACGGGAUUCAUUGCAACACCUCUCACAACCGGCCUCCUCCCUAACCAUCUAGACUGUCCAGCUUUCCUCAACUUCCUGUGCUUCCUCUCAGGAUUAGACACCCUUCCGAUGGUAGCCUGGCAUUUCGAAUCGAAGAUCUUCUCCCUUCCUGAUGGCAUCUUUAGAACGCAUUGGCCAUCUUCUCCAAGCUUCAUGAUCUUAGCAGACGUUCCCGCCGAUCGAACGUACUUCGCACCUUCCCCGGGACGAUGCUCGACGCAGUGGACGAAUGUGCCGAUCCUCAUAGACGAAAGUGGCAUGGAGUUUCCUACCUGCGAAAGUGGAUCGAUGAGGCCUUGGUUCCAUCCGGUGAGAGAGUUGCUUCUGUUCAUGAUCUUCAUACCGGGGUGAAGAUUGUCCGGAGCCACGAUGUAGCUGUAACGGAAAAGACGGGCGGUUUCCUUCGAGGAGGGUUUAGAGGUGGCGGUAGAGGCAGAAGCGGCGGCGGUAGUAGAGAAUGUGCGAAUACGAGUGAAAAGAGAACGGAGAGUUGCCGAUUUUACGGCGGCGGCCAUUGCGGAUAACUAGAAGAUUUUAGGGUUUUCACUUAAAGUUCCCGGCGAGAAAUUAUCUGGAAUGGUGACUGAGGGAGACGUUUGUAUUUUGGACUGAUGGUGGAAUAUGUUUGUAAUAUUGAUAAUAUAUUAGAUAUUAAAAUAAAUAAAUAACUUUGGAGGGUAAAAUACUAAAAUCUCAAAUAAAUCCAGUUGUAAAACGAAAAAAAGUUAUCAAUAAAAAAUGUGCGAAUGUCCGGGUCUGACCCGACAGGCGGUAGAAUCGGAUCCAAAAAUCAAAAUCAACUUUAAUAAGUCACAAAAAUUAGAAAAUUAAUUUUGAAAAUUAAUAACUUAUAAGAUCUUAAAGUGAUUAACUGACUGUUUUAUACUUUUAUACUUUUAUUUUAGGGUUUACUAAGGUUUUUUUAUAAAUAGUUAUCCGGAUUCGUUUUUCCAGAUAUCUGAAAAUUCAUCUGAAUUCGGAUUUGAAUUUUCCUAUCUGAAAAGUUAUCCAAACGGAUUCGGAUACCAAGAAUUGAAUUCGUCUAUACAAAUCUAAAUAAUAACAUCUUACAAAAUAUUUCAUUUUGAUAUUUUACCUGAAACGUUUUCUAUUUAAAAUAUCUGUUUCGGAUAAUAAAUAUAUCAUUGAGACUCGAAUCCUGAAUCCUCGAAAAAUUUAAUAGUAAUUGUGAUUAGAGUGUCAAACGAACCGAGCUUUUGCUUAUAGAGCCAGGUUCGGGCUCGGCUCAUUAAGGUAUCAUCUGGGCUCGGUUCGUCAGAGACUUUUCAGGCUCAGGCUCGAGUCUGAGCUCGAAUUAAAAGAAAUAAUUAUUUGGAGACAUGGGAGAUUGAACUCAUGACUUCUCACAUGCUUAACAAACGUUUUAUCAUCUGUGCUAUACUCCAUUCUCUCUAAAUAAAAUAGUUUUUUUACCUAUUUAUACUUUUUAUCGAGCCCACCGAGCUUAACGAGUUUGAGCUUCAGCUUAAACGAGUCGGGCUUUAUUUGUGAUCGAUUGAGUUAAUCUUUCAACCCUAAAUCUAGUUGAGGUAGUGCUUGCAAGCUAAUUAAGCUAGGUAACAAAAUAGUUGGCGGCCAAUCGGAAGAAAGAAGACGAAAAAACCCUAAUUGAGAUCAUCUUUCAACCCUAAACCUAGUUGAGGUGCUUGCAAGCUAAGUAAGCUAGGUAACAAAAUAGUUGGCGGCCAAUCGGAAGAAAGAAGACGGAAAAAACCCUAAUUGUAUAACCUACUCUUUUUAAACAAGCAUCACUUCAACUAAUAUCCAACUAAUCUUAUAAAUUAAGUAGCAAAUUUCAUGACAACUGGAUGGAAUAAUAUACCUAAUCUCACAUGCAACUUGUUUUAGAUUAGAUUAUAUAGACAGAGAUACUUCACACUCAGAGAGAAAGAUGAAGAAUUUGAGAGAGGUGGUGAUUUUAUGGGUGACAAUUCAAAGUGUUUUCCUUCUGUUUCCAUCUCCAAGUUCAGCUCAACUCAAGCAGAAUCACUACUCCAAAGUCUGCCCUAAUGUCGAAUUGGUCGUCCGAAACGCCGUCACUAAGAAAUUCAUGCAGACUUUCGUCACCGUUCCGGGAACUCUCCGACUCUUCUUCCACGACUGCUUCGUGAAUGUAGGGCUGUGUUUGAACUGAAAAGUUCAAGGUUUGUUGUUAUAUAUGUGUCAUGUGUGUGUUAAUGAAUUGAUCAACGGAAUUUUGAAGGGAUGUGAUGCAUCGGUGAUUAUCCAGUCGACGGGAAGCAACAAGGCGGAGAAAGACAGCAAAGAUGAUUUGUCGCUCGCCGGUGAUGGAUUUGACACUGUGAUCAAGGCGAAGGAAGCAGUUGACGCCAUCCCACAAUGCCGGAACAAAGUCUCGUGUGCCGAUAUUCUAGCCAUGGCUACAAGAGAUGUCAUUGUUUUGGUAAUUAUUAACAAUAACUAUAUAUUCAAGCUGAAUUUGAUCAUGCAUGAGGUUAAUUAAGUUAUCAAACAGGCGGGAGGACCGUGGUUCCCGGUGGAGCUCGGAAGACUAGAUGGACUCAGCUCGACUGCGAAAAGUGUCACCGGAAAACUCCCGCAUCCAGAUUUUAAUCUAAAUCAGUUGAUUUCCUUGUUCGCUUCUCAUGGACUCACACAAGCGGAUUUGGUUGCUCUCUCAGGUGAGCUUAAUUAAUUAGCCUAUUUUCUAUUAUUGGUGGUGGCCGGCGGUGGGGGUGCACCAUGUGCAUAUAUGCAAGUUGCUUUUUUUAUUCUUGAAAACUUUUAUCUUUUCCCCCUUUUUUUGUAUGGCAUCAAUUAUUGUCCAUUUAGGGGGUUUACCUUUUUAGGGUUUAGGGUGGAAAAUUUACAUAUUUGUAUGAUUUACUGUAUAUGUCUACAACAGGUGCACAUACACUAGGGUUUUCACAUUGCGACCGGUUUUCCAAGAGAAUCUACGGUAAAAACAAUAAAAUUGACGCGACGCUUAACCGUAAUUACGCAAUGCAACUACGAGGCAUGUGUCCACGGAAUGUAGACCCAAGAAUUGCCAUCAACAUGGAUCCUGUCACCCCGAAAAGAUUCGACAACCAGUACUUCAAGAAUCUACAGAUGGGAAAGGGCUUAUUCUCGUCGGACCAGGUUCUAUACACAGAUAAAAGGACUAAACCCUUCGUCGACGCAUGGGCACAAAACCCCUUUGCCUUCAACAAGGCUUUUGUUGCCGCGAUAACUAAGCUUGGUCGUGUUGGCGUAAAGACUCACUGGUCACAAGGUAACAUCAGGCACAGAUGUGACGCAUUCAACUAGCAGUAACGUCAGUUGAGUAUAAUUUGCAGCAGUAGUGUGUGCGCUAUAUAUAUGUGUGUGUUUUCUGACCGAUCUUGAGAUUUGUUCGCUUAAUUUUCCGGCCAACUCCAACCUAAUUAUUUGGGCAAAAUAAUAACGAACCGUGAAAGUUCGUAAUUAAGCUGCAAUGGAAAAUCUAUCUAUUGUAACAAUGAUAAUAAAAAAUCACGAAAGAUAUAUUCGGUGAACUUUUUUUUAUAUAACAGAAACUACCUCUGAUAUAAAAAUGUCUGCCUCUACAUGAUAUAACAAAAUCACAUAAUAUAUCGUCAGUUAAUUGGUUAUAUAUAUAUCAUAGUAAAAAUUUAAUUAAAAUACGUAUACAACAAGACUCGAAUCUUGAACUUUCAGAAAACUUAAUUGUUAUCAUAAGAAGUUGAGCUAAUCUCCUUCUAUAUAUCUGAUGAACUUUGGUAUAUAUCAGGUUUUAAUUACUUCAGGGGUCAAGUUAUAAUUUGUAAAACUUGAGGGUGUUUAAAUGAAUAUUGUGUAGAUUUUGAUUUGAAUACACAAUCUUUAUUCUUAAUCAUCAUUUUAAUAUUUUUUUCUUUAAUAUGAUCUUUUUAUAUCUCAAAUAUUAUCUUUAUUCCUAUUUUAUUCUCAAUCUAUUUAUAUAUAUAUCCAUAAAUCAUCCCAUGAAAUAUAGAUGAUCACAAUGAAGCUUCCAGUAUAUAUUGUUGCCAUUUUGAUGCUUAUGUUGGUAUCAGGUAAAAUGAAAACAGGUUUUUUUAUUUUUUUUAAUUCUCUCUUGAUCACCACCUGAACUUUCUGCUGCUGCUGUUUUUGUUGUAGGGUUCAUGGUAGAAUCAAAGGAAGAUGGUGUUUUUGUUUCAGGGCUAAUGAAUGACGAAGAUAUUAAGAACCACGAUGAUCCAGAUUGCUUCAGACUUGCGGAUCCGGACAACCCAAGUUGCACGGCUCACAACGCAGAUUGUACAAAUAAGUGUUUGAGUUCUGGCUAUACCAUGGGUGGCAAAUGUAGGGUGAAGUACAAUGGGAUUAUGUCUCAUGUUUACUGUUAUUGCAAGUUCUGUUAGUCGUUUUCUUAAAUGAAUAAAGAAGGUUCAACUGAAAUUUAAUCAGGAUUUAAAACAACGUAUAGAUAGAUACCAUUCCUUGAGCUUAGAUUUACAAGAUCAUUCGCUAAUUACUUUACAAGAAUCAUUAAUUAGUUAUAUAGAUAAUCCUGUUUAUAGUAGUCGCGCCUGAGGACAGAUCAUCAUAUCCACCCACCAUAAUUCAGAUCAGCAUCCGAAAUCGUAUGUCACUAACCCUUGUAGCUCCGAUUCGUUUAGACGGUUGUUGUUCGCGUAGCUGAAUUGGGAGGGAAUACAGAAGAAUUCAAUCAACUGUUUUUUCAGUCAUUCAAUGUAAAAAGAUGGAGAUGCAUACCUUCGAGGAGGGAAUGUGGAGAAAGGACCGUUGAUUGUCAUUGUUCGAAAUAUCACUGAAUUGAACAGUUCAAAAUUGCACAAACCAAUCAGAUAUAUAUAUGAAGAAGUAUAGUUACUAUCUCUAAAAAACUAUCAAGGGUUGCUCUAUCCAUCCAUCUCGACUUAUUCUGAUACCAUGUGAAGAAUGACGGAUAUUACCGUAUAAUAAAACCCAAGUAUUUAGGCGAAACACGCACAAUGACACAUUUAUACAUCACUAUAGAUUUUCCAAAAGAAUUGCUACAGAAAAUAUAUCACAGGUUGAAACAUUCAUCUCGAUUUGUUCUGAUACCAUGUGAAGGAUGGUGGAUAUCACCGUAUAAUAAAACCCAAGUACUUAGGAGAAAGACGCACAACGACACGUUUACACAUCACUAUAGAUUUUCCAAAUGAAUUGCUCUCAGAAAAUCGAUCACGGGUUGAACCAUUCAUCUCGAUUUGUUCUGAUACCAUGUGAAGGAUGAUGGAUAUCACCAUAUAAUAAAACCCAAGUACUUAGGCGAAUGACCACAACAACACAUUUACAUAUCAGUAUAGAUUCUACAAAGGACCUUCUCCGAUGCAAAACAAUCGAAGGAAACUGUUUCAACCCAUACAACGAUCUGUGCAGCAAACAAAUAUGAUAUGGGUUUUGAAUAUCAACGAACCCAAAUGGUUAUGAUACAACUAUCCUUUCUUUUAAUUUCCUGUGAAGGAAAGCAUUUGAAUAAUAUCCAGUUGUCGCAUCUUCCAUCCUCGCGUGACUGCUAAGAACAGAACAAGUCGUAUUGACAGAGGUCGCACUAAUGGACUGAAUGUGUCCAUGUAGUCUGAUCUAUGAAUCUGGCGCAUACCAUUAGCUACCAACCUUGCCUUGAAACGUUCGAUUGACCCAUCUUCGUUAGUUUUUAUCUUAAAAAUCCAUUUUGUGUUAAUCACAUUAUCUUCUGCUUUUCUUGGAACAAGACUCCAUGUCUUAUUAUCUUACAAUGCUUUAAACUCGCAUGCUAUUGCAUCCUUCCAUUGCGGUAUCGAAAAUGUGUACCUCGCUGAUUUUGGAACCGACACUUCAGUGGCUUCAUAAACAACACAUAUUUGGGAUUGGGUUUAUAUAUCCCAAUCGAUCCCCUUGUCACUAUUGAUGAAGUGCGAGUGCUAGUUGUUGGAAUUUCUUGUAUAGUAUCUUCAUCGGAAUAAUCAUCCGCAGCUACUUCGUCUUCAUCAUGAUCGAAGCUAUCCGAUAUUGAACCAAGGACGACGGCCAUAGGUUCCACCGAAAAAUCGUCUUCGUCGUAACUGUUAUUUGAGCGGUCUGGUUCGAUUGCUUCAUCAGAAUUCAAAUAUUCCUCCUGAUUACCCGAUUCAAUAUUCUCUAUCGGGUCACCUAAAUUAUUGUUAUUUGGUUCAACCACAACUAAUGUUCAUUUUUUAAUUGGAUCUUCAUUUUGUACCCGAUGCCCAAAUUUAUUUGGUUGUUAAUUUUCUUCUCGAUCCCCAAAGUAUUUUUCAUUGACCGAAAAAUCCUCCUCGUCGAACACGACGUCCCUUGACGCAUAAAUCCUCCGGCUUGCCGGAUCCAGACACAAGUAAGAAUUCUGAGAUAUUGAAUAGCCGACAAAUAUGCAUUGUGCUGAUUUUUCAUCAAGUUUGUUACUGCGAUAAGGUCUAAGACAUGGAUAACAUGAACAUCCAAAUACCUUGAAACGAUUAUACUCCGGUGACUUACUAAGAAGAACUUUCAGUGGCGGUCUGUUCUUUAGCAAUGGUGUAGGAUUUCGAUUGUAAAGAUAUCCUACUGUGAGGACUCCAAAAUCCCAAAAAUUGGUUCGGUAGAUUUGAAUGACGUAAGAGAGUUACCGUCGUGUCGACUAAAUGACGAUGUCGGCGUUCUACACGACCCAUUUGUUGAUGUGAAUAUGACACUGAUAACCGAUGAGUAAUUCCCACAUCUGCUAAACGUUGACCAAACUUCGGAUACUCUUUUGCAUUAUUUGCAACGCCAAAAUUUUUCUCCCAUAUUAUCUUUCGGCCCAGGACUUAAAUUUCUCAAAGAUUUGAUAGAUGUCUGUUUUGUGAACCAUUGGAAAUACCCAAUUGAAAUUACUUCUUACGUCGACGAAAUUAACGUAAUAAUGGUAGCCCUGGAAUGACGUUACCGGAGCUGACUCUCAUAUGUCAGAGAACACGAGAUCCAAUGGCUUGUAAGACGUUUUUCGGGAGGGAUGGGGGAGUGCGUGAGAUUUACCCAACUGACAGGAAUUACAAAGUAUUGAAGGUUUUGAAACUGAUUUUAUUAUACUCUGUUUCUCAAGAAUAGACAUGUAAUUUGAAUUUAAAUGUCCUAAACGACAGUGCCAGAAGAAGUGGGAUAAUUUUUCACAUAUAUUUACAUAUCCUUCACUUGAUUUUGUCUUUAUCGAAAGUUCAUAUAAUCCUCCGCGAACUCCCCCCUCCAGUAUAACUGCCUUAGUAUCCAAGUCUUGGACUCGUAAUCUCUACGCAUCAAAGUAAACAGAUACAUUAUUAUCACAAUAUUUUCUAUUUACUGAAAGUAAAUUUCGUGUUGCAAUUGGCACAAGUAAUAGAUCGCCAAGAUGCCACACUCCAACCAGACUUGGUAAUUGGAAGUGGAGUCCCGUCUGCCGUGUAAAUAUAGUCUUUACCGGUGUAUUUCUGUGGAUGUUGAAUGUUAUCUUUGGAACUCGUGAUGUGUGAUAUGGCUCUCGAGUCAGGGUGCCACAUCGUCAUUGCUUCCGAUGAGUAAUUUGUGAUAGCAUUUACCGACCCUCGCUUACUUCUAUUUGAUCCUCGAGGUAACAAUGUGCGAUUGUGGUUCGGUGGAAAUUUUGUUAGGUUUAGUUGAUUAUAACAAUCACUCGUACCGUGCCCUCUACGUGCGCAAAUUUGACAUCGUAAUUAAUUCUGUUUUGGAAACCGACCCAUUUUCUUGCUGCAACGUGCACCUCACUGGGUUCCAUUGCUCGCGAUAUAUUCCGUGCGCCCAUCCUCAAUUCGUGAUCCAUCAAUACCUCUCCAAGUUCUGAAAACGAGAGACUCGGAUCAUAGCGUGUAGUGUGAGUGAUGUCACAAACGCCUCAUAUUCGUCGCUCAAACCUCCAAGCACAAUCAGUAUGACCUCCGAUUCUUUCAAUUUCUCCUUAGUGGCAACGAGGGCGUCUUUGAGUACCAAUAUUUUUAAUAUGUAAUCGGCCAUGGACGUUCCCCCUUUACGAACCAACUGCAACUGUAACCGGAGAUGCAACUGUUGUGUCUGUGUUCCUGACGCAUAGAGACGUUGUAGGCACUGCCAGACACUGGCAGAGGUUUUAUACGACGUCACUUCCAGAACAAUUGAAGUUGAUAUCCCGGUUAGAAUCCAGCUUAAUAUCAAUUGAUCAUGUUGGAUUAUCUCCGGUGAAACCAGCUCUACGUCUCCACGAACGUAGCUUAUGAGAUCAAAUCUACGUAACAUCGUGGAAAAUUGUGCCUCCCAUGAGAAGUAGUUAUCUUUCUCCAGAAGAACACAUCAAAUCGGCUUUAUCACGACCUUGAACGGCCUAACCAUUCACAUCGGAAAAGAAUGGUGUUUGAUUUUGAUUCAUCAUCGGAAAAGAUCUUCUUUCCUACCGAUGUUAACCCAGCGAAUGAUACAAUAUAUGAAAUGUAUUAAACUGAAUCAAACUUGUAUUAAAUUGUAAUUACAUUUGUAGUGUAUUUAUAGGUGUAAUUUGUAUUAGUUAUAAUCAGUCACUGAAAACAAUGGUCCAUUUAUAGACAGAGAGAAAGAACUCAAGAAGGGAGAAGAAAGAUGGAUGAAGAUUAAGCAAAAGAAAUCAGUUGAGAAUGGCAGUCGUAAAAGAAAGAAGAAGAUAAAGUUUAAAACCCUAAAAUCUCAAAAUGAUAUUUCAUUAAAGAGAGGCUUCAAAACUUGUUAAUACUUUAAAACAUUUUAGUCUUAUAUAGGCUAAACUAAAACCGGUGUAUUCACACAUAAACCCAUUAAUAUUAUAUAUUUAAUAGUUACAACUUAUAACCAACGUUAUACAACAAGUCUCGAAUCCUGAACUUUCAGAAAAUUUAAUAAUUAUCAUAACAAGUUGAGCUAAUCUCCUUCUAUAUAUCAUAUGAACUUUGGUAUAUCAGGUUUUAAUUACUUAAGAGGGUCAAGUUAUAAUUUUUAAAACUUGAGGGUGUUUAGAUGAAUAUUGUGUAGAUUUUGAUUUGAAUACACAAUCUUUAUUCUUGAUCAUCAUUUUAAUAUGAUCUUUUUAUAUCUCAAAUAUUAUCUUUAUUCCUAUUUUAUUCUCAAUCUAUUUAUAUAUAUAUAUAUAUACCAUAAAUCAUCUCAAGAUACAUAGAUGGUCACAAUGAAGCUUCCAGUAUAUAUUGUUGGCAUUUUGAUGCUUAUGUUGGUAUCAGGUAAAAUGAAAACUGUUUUUUUUUUUUAAAUUCGCUCUUGAUCACCACCUGAACUUUCUACUUCUGUUGUUUUUGUUGUAGGGUUUAUGGUAGAAUCAAAGGAAGAUGGUGUUUUUGUUUCGGGGCUAAUGAAUGAAGAAGAUAUUAAGAACCACGACAAUCCAGAUUGCUUCAGACUUGCGGACCCGGACAACCCAAGUAACCCAAGUUGCACGGUUCACAUCGCAGAUUGUACAAAUAAGUGUUUGAAUUCUGGCUAUACCAUGGGUGGCAAAUGUAGGGUGAAGUACCAUGGGAUUAUGUCUUAUGUUUACUGUUAUUGCAAGUUCUGUUAGUCGUUUUUUUUAAAUGACUAAAGAAGGUUCAACUGAAAUUUAAUCAGGAUUUAAAACAACGUAUAGAUAGAUACCAUUCCUUGAGGUUAGGUUUACAAAAUCAUUCGCUAAUUACUUUACAAGAAUCAUUAAUUAGUUAUAUAGAUAAUCCUGUUUAUAGUAGUCGCGCCUGAGGACAGAUCAUCAUAUCCACCCACCAUAAUUCAGAUCAGCAUCCGAAAUCGUAUGUCACUAACCCUUGUAGCUCCGGUCCGUUUAGACGGUUGUUGUUCGCGUAGCUGAAUUGGGAGGGAAUACAGAAGAAUUCAAUCAACUGUUUUUUCAGUCAUUCAAUGUAAAAAGAUGGAGAUGCAUACCUUCGAGCAGGGAAUGUGGAGAAAGGACCGUUGAUUGGAAUUGUUCCGCAGAUGUCAUUGUUCGAAAUAUCACUGAAUUGAACAGUUCAAAAUUGCACAAACCAAUCAGACAUAUGAAGAAGUAUAGUUAAUAUCUCUAAAAAACUAUCAAGGGUUGCUCUAUCCAUCCAUCUCGACUUGUUCUGAUACCAUGUGAAGAAUGACGGAUGUUACCGUAUAAUAAAACCCAAGUAUUUAGGCGAAACACGCACAAUGACACAUUUAUACAUCACUAUAGAUUUUCCAAAGGAAUUGCUAACAGAAAAUAGAUCACAGGUUGAACCAUUCAUCUUGAUUUGUUCUGAUACCAUGUGAAGGAUGGUGGAUAUCACCGUAUAAUAAAACCUAAGUACUUAGGAGAAAGACGCACAACGACACGUUUACACAUCACUAUAGAUUUUCCAAAUGAAUUGCUCUCAGAAAAUCGAUCACGGGUUGAACCAUUCAUCUCGAUUUGUUCUGAUACCAUGUGAAGGAUGAUGGAUAUCACCAUAUAAUAAAACCCAAGUACUUAGGCGAAUGACCACAACAACACAUUUACAUAUCAGUAUAGAUUCUACAAAGGACCUUCUCCGAUGCAAAACAAUCGAAGGAAAGUGCAAAAAUAUAUCGAUGGACGAUCAAAAGUGCUGGGAUACUUACAAGAUUUUGAGGUUAGUAAGCAAUGCAAGCUCUCUAGGAAUCGAUCCGGACAAUCCAUUGUUGUUCAAACGCCUGUAAAUAAAACAAAAUAUAAGAAAGACAGACAGAAAGAAAAACACACACACACCAAGAGAUCAUUCAUCAUUGACAUAAAACCAAUGUCCAUCGAAAAGAACAAUUACAUGAACCGAAGCGAUUUCAAUCUUGCAAAUGACUUGGGGAUCUCUCCUUCAAAAUUAUUUUCAAACAAAUCCAUGCCGAUCAACUGGUUCAAGUUGCCCAAUUCCUCCGGGAUCUUUCCAUGGAAGUUGUUUCGGUAUAAUUCUCUACAAACAGGUGUUAAAAAUAAAAUCAAGCCCAAUUGAUCACCAAUGGAGAAGAAGUUACCAAAAAAAUAACAUACAAAACACAUACAAGUACUGAAUAUGUUGGAGCUUUCCGAGCUCCGGUCCGAGCUCACCGGAGAUAUUUGAGUUAGCCAAAUCCCUGCAACAACACAACAUCAUCAUCAAUAAUAAUAAUAAGAUGAUCAUGGAGGUGGUAUGAAGAUGAAGAAGUUGGAUUAUACAAGCGAAUAACAUGGUUGUGAGAAUCACAGGUGACGUGAAACCAAGUGCAAGGAUUCACUAGAGUUGGAUCCCAACUCUGCAAAACAUUGGUCGGAUCUGAAAGCCUCACUCUAAGCGCGUGCAGAGCUUCACCUGCAAAAAAAACUAUUUUUUAUUUUUUUUACCCAAAUUUAAAAUGAAGAUGAGAGACGGAGAGAAAGUGGCUGUGGCCGGUACCUUCGAUGUUGGUGGAGGUGGCAAGAUAGUAAACAUCGGAGAGAAUAACGAGAAGGGCAACGGCGGACAAGAGCGUGGAAGGUGCCAUUAGAGAGGAGGAAGGUGGUGAUUAAAGUUGGGUUUUUUUGGGUGGAGGUGUGUGAAAAGUGGAAAAUAAGAAAGAACACACGAUCCGACCAGAAGACUAUGAAGUUUGGUGAUCAAAAAAGUCAACAAAACAUGUCAGAAUAGUGUUACUUAGUCAAACACGGUUGGUUUGACUUUGACUCAGAAGCCUUACGAGUUUAACAAAAAUGCUUCUACUCUCUACUGAGAGAAUCUAGAAUUUGAGAGUAGUAUAUAUUUUAAUUAAGGUUGUAAAUGGGUCGGGACUCUAAUCCGUUUAAAUGGGCUAAAUCCGGUCCGCAAAGGUAUGGUCUAAGUGAUAUUCGAUCCAAAAAAGUCGAGCAAAGAUGGUCCAGGUGAUUCAAAUCUGAUGCACCAUCCCAAAAUAUCUACCCAAACCUAGUUACCUAGGGACGAGAACGGGGAGGGUUGCCACAGACCCACCCUGUUCCGUGUCGGUUGGAACAGAAAUUUCGUCCAAAAAAACUUUUCCAGUGCCCCGGUCAUUUUUCGAGAUGGGUCUCGAGACGAGAAAAGAUGGAAAAUUCUUUUUUUUUUGUCAUGUCUGCUGCCCCGGUCCACCCUAGUCAUAUUCCCCGUCCGUCACCCAUUCUCAUCCCUACCCAUACUAGUACCCGCACCCAACCUCUUCAGAUUCAGACUUUACCCAACUCAUGUCUACCCAUGUUACAUUUACAUAAUACAUAGUCAUACAAUAGUAUCAGACUAGUCGAUCAACCGGUCAAUCGUCUGACUUUACAAUGCAGGAAAACCGGAAACUUUGAAUGUUGGUCGCAUUUUUCACUCAUUUGUUCUGAAAGAGGUCGUUCACUUAGUAUUAUAUGUAGAAUGAUGGAUUUACACACUAUUUGUAGAUUUUUCAAAGGGUAGAUUGGUCAUUUCACCUUGAUGGAGGGCAAAAUGAUCUUUGCCCAUGAUAGUCGGUCGUCUUGAUUGUUGGUCCCAUUUCCAGUCGGUCGGUCAGGAACGAUCGAUCGGAUUGGGAUCGACCUGAGUCGACAAUCAACCAUUCUGGAGAAAAUUGACCACGGUUCAGGACCGAUUUUUAGUUUAAAAAAGGCGAGGACCCAUACCUACUUGUGAUGUUCGAUCUUUCUUGAGAUUCCGAGACCUCAAGUCUUCUUUAAGACUCCUGAUGUCCUAUUCUACCGGAUUGUACUCUCGGUGUAUCACCAAUUUGUAUUAAUGUAUUAGUAUUACAUAUUUAUUGGUCCGUAUUACGAGUGAAAACGGGGCGCGGAACGGGGUAGGUUAGGUACUCUAUGUCCCUGUCCCGCCCCGGACCCGGUGACUGGGGCGGAUCCGGGACGACCUACUUAAAAUUAUAAAAAUAAAAAAAAUUAUAAAAAAAUAAAAAAUUAUAAAAUAUAAAUUAUAAAAAAAUAAUUUAAAAAGUAAACCUAAAAUUUAAAAUGGGUAAACUUUUUACCCUAAUUCUUAAAAAAUUUAAUCUUAAUAAUCUUAUAUCUAAUAUAAUUUAAUUUAUAAAAAAAAUUAAAAUUAUUUUAAAAAAAAACCGGGGCGACCCCCGCCCAGGUUUUGCUCUGCCCCGAGACCCGCCUCAGAAUAUGACCGGGGCAAAAAAUUUUUAAAACGGGACAGAAUAUCUGCCUCAUCCCGGGCCCGUUCUCAUCCUUAGUCCGUAUGUUAAUAUUUUAAGUUACGUUGAAAGUUAAAGUUCAAACUUGAAACUUGAUUCAAACACAAAAACUUUCGGAAUGAGCAUGGGUAAUGUCUACUCAGACAUGGUUAAAGAUAUAAAGCCUUACCUUGGGCAGCCCUACUAAGAAGAGUUACAAGUUUAACAAAAGUCGCCAUUGAAAACCGUUUAAAUCUUUUUGUGGUGGUUAACAAGUAAUAUUAGUGACGGUUUUAACAAAAGAUAAAAUUAUUGGCGACGAAAUUUCACUAUACAAGUUCAUUUUUUCGUCACAAUAGUCCACCAUAUAAUGUCAUUUUUUUUUAUAGUGAGUGUUUUUCCUGAAAGAACCCAUAAUUUUAUAGUGAGUGUUUUUAUAGGGAUGGGAACGCCCUCCGCAGAUGCUCCACCUCUUUCCAAGACGUUUCCCUCUGAUCGCGUCCUGCCCAGCGGAUUAGAACCUGUUCAGGCAUCUUCCCUUUCCCCAGCAAGGAUCUUCUGUCGAGUAUUGCCUCAGGGUAUAAGAUUGGCUGAUUUCCUACUAAAAUUUUGGGCAAAGCCCCAAUUUUGUCCGGAGGUAACUUCCCUUUGUAUUUCUUGAGAAAACUAAUAUGAAAAACAUCAUGAAUCAAACAAUUAGGUGGUAAAUUAACCUUGUAAGCAACUUCACUUCUUUUAUGUAAUCUUGUAUGGUCCAUAAAAUGUUGCAGAAAGUUUAUGGUUGAGCCUCUGUGCUAUAGAUAUUUGUCUGUAGGGUUUUAAUUUGAUGAAAACCCAAUCCCCCACAGAGAAUUCAAUGUCUCUUCUAUGAAGGUCAGCUUGGCUCUUCAUUUUCUCCUUUGCUCUGUCUAGGUUAACCUUCACAGCUUCAAUCAUUUCCUGUCUCCUUAGCAAUUCUUCUUUAGCCUCUAGGUUAGAUGAACUCCCUUCCAUCUGUUCAAUAAAAGAGUUAGCUUCCCUUCCAUAAAGAGCCAUGAAGGGUGUCAUUCCUAUUUACACAUUAAAAGUGGAAUUGUGCCACAAUUCUGCCCAAGGAAGUAAUUGUAGCCAUUUCUUUGGUUGGUCAUAAACUAAGCAUCUCAAGAACAUUUCUAUACCUCUGUUAACCACUUCAGUUUGGCCAUCUUCUCUGGAUGAUAAGCUGAGGAUAGCUUUAGUGUAGUCCCACUCAAUCUAUUAAUUUCCUUCCAGAAGUUGCUAGUAAAUACUUUAUCUCUGUCAGACACUAUAGAUGCUGGAAUUCCAUGGAGUCUGAUAAUCUCUUGAACAAAAUAGUUUGCCACCAUCUUAGAGUUGAAUUAUGCUGGUAGAGCCCCCAAAUGGCAGAAUUUUGAUAAUCUGUCAACUACCACUAUAAUUACUGAUUUUCCCUUCACUAAUGGCAGGCUUGUUAUGAAAUCAGUAGAAAGAUCCUUCCAAACUGAAUCAGGUGUAGGUAAAGGUCUUAAAAGACCUUGGGGCUUCAUAGUUGGUGUCUUCAUUCUUUGGCAGACGACACACUCAUCAACAUACUUUCUGAUUUUUUUGGGCAUGCCUUUCCACCAGAAUAUUAAUUUUAUUCUCUUUAUAGUUCUUUCCACCCCUGAAUGACCCCCAAUUAUACUUUCAUGAUAUUCUAUCAAGAUUUCUUUAAUGAGGUCUGAAUUGUGUGACACUAUGUAUCUGUCUCCCAUGAGUAGUAAUCCUUCCCUGAUAUUCAUAAAACUAUUUUUUCCAGUCCCUUUAAGGAUUGCUUCCUUCAUUUCUAACAAAUCUGCCCUUGAAUUUUGUUCCUCCUUUAUCUUUUCAAUUAGUUUACUUAUUACAGCACACAAAUUCAGAAUUGAUCCCUCUUGAACCUCUUUUUCUAGUUCCUCACUCUCAAAUUGCCUUGAGAGAGCAUCUGCUGCCUUAUUUUCUUUCCCGGGCUUGUAUUUAAUUGAGUAGUCAAAUCCCAACAGUUGGCAUAGAAAUUUCUGUUGAUCUGGAGUUUGUAUGAUCUGGCCUAUCAUAUUUUUUAUGCUCUGGCGGUCUGUGUGAAUCACAAAAUGGUGGCCUAAUAGAUAGUGCCUCCAUUUAGCAACAGCUUGUGUUAUAGCUAGCAUCUCCUUUGCAUAUGUUGAAGCUAAAAGCAUCCUCCCAGUAAUUUUAGAACUAAAAAAAGCAAUGGGAUGGCCCUCCUGACUAAGAAUUGCUCCCACUCCAUUAAGACAAGCAUCAGUCUCAAUAGCAAAAGGCUUAGAGAAAUCAGGGUGGUGUAAGACUGGAGCUGAAGUGAUAGCUUUCUUUACUUCCAUGAAGCUCUUCUCUGCUAAACCAUUCCAUAUGAACUGGUCUUUUUUUAACAAGUCAGUCAUUGAUGCUGCUAGAUGAGAAUAAUUUUUAAAAAACUUUCUAUAAUAACCUGAUAGGCCUAGAAAUCCCCUUAGUGCCUUGAUAUUCCUUGGUGUAGGCCAGUUCACAAUCGAUGAUACCUUUUCUGGAUCAGGGUUGAUUCCUUCUUCUGAUAUGAUAUGCCCCAGGAAUUGUAACUCAGUUUGAAAAAACAAGCAUUUGGAUUGCUUGGCAUAUAGCUGAUGAUCUCUGAGUGUUCCCAAUACUGUUUUGAGAUUGCCAAUGUGAUCCUCCUUGGAAGAACUGAAAAUUAAGAUAUCAUCAAAAAAAACAAGAACAAAUUUUCUUAAAUAUGGUGUGAAUAUUCUGUUCAUAGUGGCUUGGAAGGUGGCUGGUGCAUUGGUGAGGUCAAAAGGCAUCACUAGGAAUUCAUAAUGCCCUUGAUGAGUCCUAAAAGCUGUUUUUUCCACAUCAUUAGGAUUUAUUAAGAUCUGAUGAUAGCCAGACCUUAAAUCCAGUUUUGAAAAUACUUUAGCUCCCUUUAAUUCUGCCAGAAUUUCAUCUACUAUUGGUAUAGGAAAUUUGUCCUUGACAGUGAUUUUAUUCAAGGCCCUAUAAUCAACACAUAACUUCCAACUUCCAUCUUUUUUUUUAACUAACAAGACUGGGGAAGAGUAGGGACUGCUGCUUUCUCUAACUAUUUUCUGCCUUAACAUUUCUUGCACAAUAUUUCUCUCAAUUUCAUCUUUUUGAAAUUGGGCCUGCCUGUAUGGCCUUACACUAACACGGUCUGCCAAUUUUUCUAGUGUGAUUUUAUGGUAUUGGGAUCUAGGAGAUGGUAAUCCAAUAGGUUCCUCAAACACAUCAGAAAAUUCAGAUUUGAUAGAGGAUAGAAUUUCCUCCCUGUUUUCAAUUUCAGACUUGUCAUUCUGUUUAUCAGAGUUGGUCUGCCCAAUAUACUCAAACCUGUAGAAAAAUGCUCCCACAAUAGUGGCUGCUAGACAAUUCAUCUCAUUCUUUGAUAGUUGUUCAUCUGAUAAAAAUUGGUUCCCCCACCCAUUUAAUUAUUUUACCUUUCCAGUUGAACUCAAUGUUCAUAUCAAUGUAGUUGGAUAAAACUGAUCCAACAGUUUUAAACCAUUGAAUGCCCAAAACAAGGUUAGCUCCUUCCAUAUUUAGAACAAACACAUCAAUUGUCAUUGUGACACCUUGGACAAUCAUCAUAACUUGUUUACACAUUUUAUCACACCUCAAAGAGACCCCACUUCCUGUUGAAACUAAGAAUGAGGGAAUAGGAGUUAUUGGUAGUCUCAAAUGCCUAACCACCUCUUCCUGAAGGAAAUUGUGUGUGGAUCCAGAAUUCAGCAAAACAGACACUCUCAAGUUAUUAAUACUUGCUGAUAAUUUCAGAGUUCUUAGGCUUAGUUGGCCUUGUAGUGAGUGGUAGCUUAUGUGAGUGUGCUCAGCCCUUAUCUCCUCCACAACAUCCACAAAUUGUUCUUCAUCUUCAUUAGGCUCUGUAUACUCAGCAAAACACUCUCCAUCAGUUGAUAGAAGGAAUAAUCUUCCUUUGCACUUGUGACCUCUUUCCCAUUUUUCUGUACAAUUAAAACACCCAUUUUUUGAUCUUUUUAUUCUCAUCUCAGCAGGGGUGAGUUUCUGUCUCAACAUAGGUCCUUUUUGAGGUUCAGUUGGUGGUAGUGCUAAUAUCUUUCUGUGUGGUGGUAUGUGAGACUGUAACGAGCUAGAUGGUUUAGAAUUAACCUCUGCCACUAUAGAUCUUGAAGAUGGGCAGUACCUCACAAUAUCAGUUGUCAUGUCAUUUCUUUCAUACAGUUGGGCCAGAGCAAAUGCCUCCACUAAAUUUUCAGGUCUAGCUUUAAUAACAUCCUUCUGAAUUUCAUUCUUUAGUCCAGACAUUUCUUUCAUAACCCUUGGGUUGACAUCAGUUACUUUGUUAGACAAAGCUUCAAAUUGAUGUUGGUUUCACAGAGCCAGUCUGUAUCAACUUACUCAAUCUGCCAGCAGGUAUUUCAUAUGCUGAAGUCCCAAACCUCUUCACCAGAUCAUCAAGAAAAUCUGACCAUGAUUUUAGUGCAUUAUUAUUAUCUGCCCAUAGAAGCCACUCUAAAGCUUCUCCUUCCAUAUUAAAUGUAGCCACUGUAAUUCUCUCCCCAUCGGGUAUAUUAUGGUACCUCAGAUAUUUUUUUGCUUUAUAAAUCCAGCCUUGGACAUUCUCACCAUCAAACUUAGGCAUCUCUGUCCUGAUUGAUUUGUACUUUAAUUCCUGUUUUUGCUGUCCCUGAGUUUGUGGAUUACUUAUGAGUAAGUGUCUUACUCAUCUUUGACAAUGUCUGUUCCAUGUUUCUUAGUCUCUCGGCUUCAGUGUCCUGUUUGAUCUGUAGUCUCUUGAGUAGGACAUCCAUGGAUUCAGCCAUAAAAAAUUUUUGCUGAAAUCAAUUUUUUUUUUUGUAUAUAUAUCACUGAAUAGAAGAACAAAAGUAAAUAUAGGGAUAAUUAAAUUACGUCCCUGAUUCGGAUCUCUUAAGCAGAGAACAAGCUUUUGAAGAGUUUUUUUGUAGAUUUAUAGGUUUACAAAACCUUCUUCAGUUCCUCCCCAAUAGUGUUCAGUGAUCUGAAAUUUAAGUUAUUGUAUUUAAUAACUGAAUAUUUACUAAAUGUAAUGAGAUUUAUACGUUCCUGAUUGGGAUCUCUUAAGCAGAGAACAUGCUUUUGAAUUGUUUUUUCUUUUCUUCAGGAUGUAAUCUCCCUCUUCUAAAGAUCUUCAGAUGAUCCCCAGAUUGUAAGUUGAAACCAGUAGGCGAGAGGACUUGAAAGCAUCAAUGAUGGAGUGUUCUUGGAUGAAAGGAUUGAGAGAAAGAGUUGGCGGCUGGAAAUUGAUGGAACAGUACCUAGAUUAGGGUUGCUUCAACCCAUAUCUGUUUUAAGUAAUUUUGUAAAAUAUUGAUUGCCAAUAAAAUAAAAGAGUUUUCCCUUUUAUAGGGUUACACGUUUACAGUUCUUCAAUAACUAAAUAGAACUUGCAGACUAACUUAACAAACGGAAUUAACGAUUACUAACAUAAACUAUAACUACUCUAAAAUAAAACCCUUUAAUCGCGUGGACAAGGUCUUGCUCCUGGCCGGCCGGCAGUUGCAAUCCGGUCAUCGUCGUUCUCCUUCUCAGCCUCUACCUCGCCGCUCUGCUCCACUUGUUGCUGGAUAUCUCUCAGAUUCUGCUCCUCCAACAGGCCUCUAUCAGCGGACACUACAAGUUCCUUUAGCCUCCUUUUAAUUGGGAUUUUUAAUAUCGAUGAACCAUUUUUGGUCAAGGUUUAAACGAUCAUCGAGUUGGAUCAAUCUUUCAUGUGUAUAAGGUUUCGAGUGGGAUUAGGUUCUCAGGCAAAAAAAUUGACAAUUGAUUUUUUUGAUGACUCAAAUAAAAAUAAUUGGAUUAUUUACUUCAAUAAAGAUAAAAUAAUAUUCCAUGAUAUGUUGACAACUUGACAUAACAUUAAAUAACACACAAGCAUAUUGACCUUAUUUUAAAUAGGGCACCAAAAUUGAGUGCGCCAGAAUGCGUCAUACAACGUAAUAUUGUAACGACUCGUUGUACAACUUGAGGAUAAUGUAAUUACAUACAACGUACAACUCGUUGUACAAAGUUUAAUUGUUGAUGAAUAAUGCAUUGUCAACAGGUUCACACAAGCAUAAUGAAUAAUGCAUUUUGACACAUGGAAGGUUUGAUGCACAUGAAACUAGCUUAUUUUAAAUAAUUAACAUAAUAUAAUAGUAAAUAAAUAUAAUUUUUCCCUUUACUACUUUAGGAAAGUAUGAAAACCCUAGAGGAGUAAAUUGAUACAAACAAAUCAUUCACUCAAGUUCCAUUAAUUGCUUGGAACUUCAUUAACACACAUAAAAUUGGAAGUUAGUGAUACAGUAUCCCGAACCUGGUCACAACCUACCAGCAACUAGAAGUCCGGAUAGCCUAAGAUGAGUUAAGGUACCUAUUCUAGGGUUGGGGAAGUCCCAAGUCGAAUCCUAGGAAGAUCGACUUUCCUGAGGAUCGACUUCCCUGGGAUCGACUUCUGAAUAAAGUCGAUCACCAGGAAAGUCGACCCCUAGAAAGUCGAUCUCUGGAAAGUCGAUCUCUGGAAAGUCGAUCUCGGGCCCCGAUCUGAUCAGUUAGGCAGUUAGGCGGUUACUGCCCAAAUGACCAGAUUACCCUCAUAAGAACCCCUAUAAAUAGGAGGCACCCCCCACUCAUUGAAGGCAGGUCAUUUGGAGUGGAAAAGUUCUAGUGAAGCAGAGCUCUGCGCACUUGAGUUCCGGUCCGGUUUCCCACGGAGUUCCCCGCUUGGCGCUUGCUUGCGCGUCUUGGAGUACUGGUCGGGUUUCACCCCCAUCAGAAGUGCUUUGUGAUAUUUCUAUGUCACUUGGUAGGCAAGGAGGUGUUGCAAAUAAUGGAAUAGGCAUCCUUAAUGGAAAAUUAGGCAGAGGAGAUUCAGAAUUAAGAACAGCAAUAGCUUGACUCAUAGAAGGGCGUUGCAUUGCAUCAGGAUGAGCACACCAUAAUCCCACCAUCAUCAAAUUUUGAAUUUGUUUCUUAUGGAAGUGAAUAUUGUCGUCCUUACAUAACCUGGUAUCAAUGGAUUCUAAGAGUUUUCCCUUUCCAUGGAGUGUCCAAACCCAAUCAAGUAAUUUUGCUUUGUCUUCUUCAAUAUUAUUUUGGAUGCAUUUUCUACCACAUGCUAUUUCAAGCGCAACAAUACCAAAGCUAUAGACAUCGGAUUCUUUACUGCCCUUUCCUGUAUUGAAGUAUUCUGGCACCAUGUAUCCUAUAGUUCCAGCCAAGAAUGUUGUUUGCAAGCCACACCCAUGUUCUGAUAAUCUUGCAAGACCGAAAUCUCCAAGCUUCGCUUUAAAUGUUCCGUCUAACAUGAUAUUGCCACACUUGAUGUCUCUGUGCACAAUACAAUGGUGUCUAUCGUCAUGUAGGUAUUGUAAAGCCGAUGCCAAUCCUCGCACAAUGUUGAAUCUCAAAGACCACGCCAAAGAUUUGUUGGUGUUAAAAAUAUAAGAAUCCAAGCUCUUAUUUUCCAUUAACUCAUAGACAAUAAUAAAAGUAUCGUUCUGAUGACACCAUCCUAUGAGUUGCACUAGAUUUUUGUGUCUGAGUUGACUAAUAAUUUUACCUCAGCGAUAUACUCCUUUCGACCUUGUUGAGAUUGAUUUGAGAUUCUUUUCACAGCGACAUUUAUAUUCAAGUCUUUCAUAAACCCCUUGUAAACCGACCCAAAUCCUCCUUCCCCUAGCUUUCCACUUUCAUUAAACUUGUCUGUUGCAGACACCAAUUCUGCAUAAGAGAAUUUUCUAGGAUAUUUUGGUCUUCAAACUCAUCAUCUAGAUCAACAUCAUUGUGCUCACUAUUCAGAUCUCCUACCAUCAUUUUUUUCUUUUUUUGCUUCGAUAUAUACUUUAUAAUUACUACUUCUAAAGAAGAACAAACAAAUACAAGUGCUAGAAUUGAAACAGAGCCAAUGAUCACUAACCGUUUUUUCGUACUUGUAUUGUUUGGGUUUACACCAUCUGCCCGUUGAUUCAAUUUGUUGUAAGAAAAUUUCCACGAUUUGAUUCAAUUCAGAAUAGGUACCUGUUGUGGAUAUGAAACCAAUGGACACAUUUUCGGGAACUAUAUCCCUGAUAUCAACUAUAGUUGAAGCUUUUUAGGAUUGGGUAAACUUGCGCUUUCGAUAGAAACUGAUAAAUUGAAUAUCUUUGAGUUGUAAUCCACUUGAACCACGAUAAUAGGACCUAUCAAGUGAUCUUUUGAAAAGUUCUUAUGAACCUCAGAUCGAAUUGAGUUAAUAUCAAUCCCCACAUGCAGUGAACUCCGACCAACUUUGUUUUUAUAUGUAUCCAACCUCUACUGCAAUAAAGCUAUUAUUUUUGUACUCGUUGACCUCAUUAUCAAUGCUAACCAGUCCAAGUUUUCUACCUCUUGAAUCGUUGGAUAUAUUGAUUGGGAAACGAGAUAUGAAGAAAGCAAGACCAUCACCAUAGUGAGGAUAGUCUGGACAAUUCUGUAUGAUUUUGAAGUAGAAUUGAGUUUGGAAACUUGCGACUUCUUUGGUUCCGUAGUUCCAUAAUUGUAUUGGUUGAGAAUAUACCGCCGAUCCCUUGCCAUGGAACAACCCACAUUCAUUCGAUGCAUUUUUCCUUGUGAGCUCUAUAUCUCCAUUUCCAGUUGCAUUUGCAUUUCCAGUUGCAUUCCCGUGAAGACAUAUACCUUUCCAAUCCGCAUAACAAUGAUCUUUUUUGGACACACCAAUGAAAUUCUUGUAGUCGAACAAGUGUUCCUGCACUGUAGGGAGAAAAAUGUUGAAUGAUAAAAACAGGAACAAAAGAGGAUGAGCGAAAUUUAAAGAAACUAUUCUCAACAUUCUGCCAAACUUGCUAUUAGUUUGUAAUGAGGCUAAGAAAGAAGAGAGACAGAGACAAUGGAUAAACAAGAAGAAUGAAAUUGAUUUAUUCUGAAAGAAAAUUAGAUUAUAUAUAACAUAGGUUUAGUGCCUUUGUUGCUUGCAUAUCACCAAUAAUCUUUAUUUUAAGAUUGCAAAUUAAAACUUUUAAAACAUAAUUAUCAGUAUCUUAUUACUAAUUAGUAGAUGUGCAAAAGAGUUAUAUAUGAAAAGAGUAUGAUCCACGGUCAGGUGGUCCCAUCAUGAAUUAAACAAAGCCCCAGUGGGUCCGCAAAGUCUAGCUAGGCAUGUCUAGGCUUAUUAUAAAUAGGGUCCUAAGUCGUCUUAGAAAAAGGUCGAUUCUUAAAGAGUGAAACUAUAAUCUUUGUUUUGAUUAUCUGUCAUUAUAUAUAUUGGCUUAGGCUUGGUGUCUUAGUUGCUUCCAUGCAUAUAUAUUACCAAUAAACUUUAUUUAAAAAGUAUGAAAGUACUUUUAAACCUUAAAUUAUCAGUAUUUAAUUACUAUAUGGAUUACCUAGUUGUGCAAGAGAGUUAUAUAUGAAUAGAUGUCUAAUUUCUUAUUUUGCAUUAAUAUUAAGAAUUCUGGUAUGCUAAACACGAUUUUAUAUGUUCUGUAAAAAAUAAAAAUAAAGAGAAGUGAUGACGCAAGGUCGAUGAUGUAGCCAUUACAGUCGAUCCUAGAUCUAUUUCUCUCACUCUUUUCUCUCUCUCUUACUCCACUCUAAUAUCUAGUGUAGACUCAUUAAAUUAACUUAGUGUCGAUCCCAAGGUGAGCAGUAUUAAUAGAAGUAUUAUCCUGCUAAUGGAGCCGGACUUGCCAGAUACUGAUCUGGGCUUAAGCCCAGACCGUAGUCGGGUCGGGUCCCUAGAGUCAAUCUGUAUCGUAGUUGGGUUGGGCUCAAGUUUGACCCGAGUCAGAUCCUUGCUGGGUCAAGGGUUGAGUUACUAUUGUUAUCCUUGGGCCACAUAUAGUGGGACGAGGGUAUCAUCAGUAUUCCCCCCUCUUUUAAAUUCUUUGCAUGUGCUUUUCUACUUCCAUAACUCUGCUAAUCAUGUCUUCUUUCGCAGUUCUCGAAGAGUUGGGUCAUGAGUUAGUGCAUCAGCAGUCUGUUUGGUCAGAAUGUCUCAUCUUGUCUGAGGUUGAAUUUAGAGCUCUCGCUGCUACCGAGAGUCACCGCAUUAACUCUCUACUUCUCUCCGUGCAUCAUCGAUUGGCUUCUCACCAUCAUACCGGCGUCGAUUCGCUCCUGGUGGGUUCUGAAGCUCGUGCAGUUCCGUCGUUGCCCCAUGGUUCGAUGUUCCUGCUUCUGGACAGCCCGUUGGAUGCUCGUGUCCCCUUCGCAGCUCUUCUUCUGGGAUGCUGUCGGUUCUUCCAUGGCUCCCCCCUCUCCGGCUCAGAGACGUCGAUCUUAGUGUGCGUUGUCCGAACUACCUAUGACUGACCUGUGCCACUACAUAACGCGUGGAGCCACUUGAUGGUCGUCGCGGCCUUUCGCCUGGGGCACUCACCAAUUGCUGGACUUUUGUUGCUGCUCUUUCUAAUAAUAAUUUUGUUUAUUUAUCCUCUCUUUUUGUAACUUCUCCUUUUAAUUUUUCUGCAGUCUUUGUUUUGGACUCGCCCUCUUCUGUAAUAGCUCGUUUUUUAAUGCAACUCCGUUAUUCGCUUGUUCUUGGAGAUUUUGUCUUUGUGGGUGGUUUGGCUUCUCCCAUACGUGAUCUUGGUGGGUAACUGGGAAACUCUUUACCUGGGGAUCCUGGCCUGCUAGGGGCUCGAACCGAUAUUUCGGCGUGUCCUCUCGGGUUGGGUCCGUGCCCAAACAUGCUUCUUCCUAGGCUGGUUGAGUGGGGCUCCGAUCCUCCCCAGGGUCGAGGGUCUCCCCACGUCCUUGCCUCCUUGGGUACGUCAUCUUAACUUCUUUUUUUGACAAGACAUUUUUUUUAAAAGACACUUUUCCCGCUCUUUUUCCUCUAUAAAUACGUCUUCACUCCUUUUCCAUUUCGUAUAUUCUAAAACCCUUCUUCUUUUUCCUUAAACCUCUAGUUCUUCUCCCGUCUUCCGAUGGUCAGUCACGCUUACCUUGACACCAUAGAUCUCAACGGUAUCCCCUCGCGACACAACCCUCUGACCAUUCUUACUAGGAACGAAAUGCUGGAGUUGUGGGGAGACUUGCCUCACUCGCGUCCUCUAGACGUCAGCACUUCCCUCCGCCUGCCUGGUAGGCAAGAAGGUGUUGCAAAUAAUGGAAUAGGCAUCCUUGAUGGAAGAUUAGGUAGAGGAGAUUCAGAAGUAAGAAUAAUAAUAACUUGACUCAUAGAAGGGCGCGUUGCAUUGCAUCAGGAUGAACACACCAUAAUCCCACCAUCAUCAAAUUUUGAAUUUGUUUCUCAUAGGAAUGAAUAUUGUCGUCGUUACAUAACAUAGUAUCAAUGGCUUUUAAGAGUUUUCCCUUUCCAUGGAGUAUCCAAACCCAAUCAAGUAAUUUUGCUUUGUCUUCUUCAAUGUUAUUUUGGAUGCAUUUUCUACCACAUGCUAUUUCAAGCGCAACAAUGCCAAAGCUAUAAACAUCGGAUUCUUUACUGCCCUUUCCUGUAUUGAAGCAUUCUGGUUCCAUGUAUCCUAUAGUUCCAGCCAAGAAUGCUGAUUGCAAGCCACACCCAUGCUAUUGCCAUACUUGAUAUCACAAACAUCUGAUAAUAUUGCAAGACCGAAAUCUCCAAGCUUCGCUUUAAAUGUUCCGUCUAUCAUGAUAUUGCCACACUUGAUGUCUCUGUACACAAUGCAAUGGUGUCCAUCGUCAUGUAGGUAUUGUAAAGCCGAUGCCAACCCUCGCACAAUGUUGAAUCUCAAAGGCUACGCCAGAGAUUUUUUGGUGUUAAAAAUAUAAGAAUUCAAGCUCCCAUUUUCCAUUAACUCAUAAACAAUAAUAAAAUUAUCGUUCUGAUGACACCAUCCUAUAAGUUGCACUAGAUUUUUGUGUCUGAGUUGACUAAUAAUUUUUACAAUGUAUUCCUUUCGACCUUGUUGAGAUUGAUUUGAGAUUCUUUUCAUAACAACAUUUAUAUUCAAGUCUUUCAUAAACCACUUGUAAACCGACCCAAAUCCUCGUUCCCCUAGCUUUCCACUUUCAUUAAAGUGUUCUGUUGCCGACACCAAUUCAGAUCUCCUACUAUCAUUAUGCUUCCUUGUGAGCUCUAUAACUAAUGUGAUCGCGUCGGAAUAGAUGGAGUCGCGUUAAUUAAUGUGAGCGCGCCUAAAUAGAUGGAGUCGCGUCGGGAUUGAGUCGGAAGGAAGUGGAAUGGAAGUCGGUCGAUAGGGAGGAGAAGAGGAAUGUCAGAGGGGGAGUAGAAGACAAAAUUGGCCAGUAACUUUAUUCAAUAGCGAAGUGAAAUUACAGAAAUUCAAGAACAGAAAUGCGGGAAACCGUCGUCGAUCGGGAACCUCGGGGCAUCGAUCGUCGACGGUUACUGGCGUGGCUUCCUGGAACAGAUGCGACACAGGGGAAUUAGGAAGAAGGAGAAAACAGAAAAAUAGUUGAGAAGAAGAGAGUGGGAGGUUACCAAGUAGUGGAGAUCAAAAUGAUUUUAUGCCUUUCUCCAUAGGCGUGCGGGCGCCUUUAUAGGGUGUGAUGGCUUUCCUCCUUGUUGAGAUCGGAGGUGGAGAUGGGAUGGGCUCCCAUGGGCUGGAUCACAUUAGUCGCUACUUCCUCGGCGGCACUUGCCCACAAGUGCGGAUUGUGUCCAAUGUCUGGUGCACAGAAUUUGGACAGGUCUUUGAUGUUGAAGGUCGAGGAGAUUCCCAUGCCAUCCGGGAGGUCUAUAACGAAGGCAUUGUCGUUCACCUUCUUUUUAAUUUGGCAAGGUCCGAAAUGUCUAUCCCGUAGUUUGGAAUUUCUUCCUGGUGAAAAACGUUCUUUUCUCAUCUUAAUCAUUACCCAGUCGCCGACGUUUAGAUCUGUCUUUUUUCGAUGUUUGUCAACAUCCUCCUUAUACUUUGCUGUGUUACGUUCGAUCUGAAUGAGAGCUUCUUCUUGGGUGGUUUGAAUGUUGUGGAGUAGUUCUAAAAGAAGUAAUUAAUCCUGUAAUUAACUCUAUUAAAAACAACUUGGACUAAUCUGUAAUUAAAUAGAAGUAAAAGAUUAAUGUAAAAUAACAUGAAUACAAAGGUUGGACUCAUAUGCAAUUACAUAUAAAUAAGAGUUCAAUCCGUAAUUAUGUUAUUAGAUUAAUAUAUAAUUAACUGUGAAUGAGAUAUAAAUCUAUAAAUAACACAGUUAAUAUUUCUACUCAGAUUGGAUCCAUGUGUAAUUAUUUAUAACUCAAGGUGCAGGUUCGUCCGAAACUAAGAACACAGGGGCGAAGCUGCAAAGUUUUAAGUAAACACGUGAAAGGUGAAAUUAAUUGAGACUGCAGGGACAAAGCUGCAAAGUUCUCAAUACACACGUGAAAGAAUUAGAUUAAUUGGAUUAAUUAGAAUUCAGUUAAUCAUGAUUAGUUUACAGUUAAUUAGGUUUUGUUGUAAUAAUAAAAAUUAGAAUUCAAACUUGUUAAAUACACUGUAAACUCGUCAUUAAAGUAAUAUACAAUUUGUUAAUCCUUGAUUAAGGAUAAUCUUUCUACUACAGUGUUAACUAACAACGGUAACACUAAAAUCCCCAAAUACAUUCGAUUUCUCGCCGUCCGGCGAUCAUUGCAUAAUCGCCGACGACGACCCUUCACGCAGAACGUCAGGAAAACCUCGCCGGAAGCCCCGCCUUCGCUUUAACAUGGUAUCUGCUGGAAAAUCCGGUCAUGCUUCCGCAUCCAAGAACGUAGAAGGCAUUGAUGCUUCUCCGGCCAGGGACUCUUCUUCUGAGUCCAGUUCUGCUAUGUCACCCCCUUCUAUCAUGCUGUCACCUCGCAACAAAUCACACUUGUCUGUUAAGCACAGACGCAAAUCACCCCAGCACAAGAUGCAUCACUCCACCAAGAUCAAGAAGUCCAGUCACAUAUCUGAAAUUAACAACAAAGAGUCCAUAUAUUAUCUCAACUCUGGAGAUCACCCAGGGGCACUAAUGGUGUCCGAUAAACUAAUGGGUGAAUCAAAUUAUCCAGCAUGGGCAAAUGCUAUGAGACUCUCAAUGCUGUCAAGAAGAAAAAUUGCCUUCAUCAAUGGCAAAGUACAAAAACCAGAGGAUAUUUCAGGCAAAGAAUAUGAAGCCUGGGAAGUGGUAAAUGGUCUAGUGCUCUCCUGGAUAAUUAAUUCCGUAUCUCCUCAAAUUGCAUCAACCCUCAUGCAUACUGAAGAUGCACAUACAGCCUGGAAAGAUCUCCAAGAAAGGUACAACCAAGGCAAUGCACCUAAGGUAAAUCAACUAAGGUAUGAACUGAAUAAUUUACAGCAGAAUAGCAAUUCAGUUACUACCUAUUUUGAUAAAUUCAAGGCAUUAUGGGAUCAGAAGGUAGAACUAGAAAACAUUGAUUUGUGUAGUUUAUGCAAUCCAAAAUAUAUUAGAAAAUUAGAGAAAGAUAAGAUACAUCAGUUCUUACUUGGACUGAAUGAAGAUUUUAAAACCAUAAGAGGGCAAAUUCUCUCCUAUGAUGAACUACCCAAUAUGAGUAAAGUUUUCUACCUAGUUAUGCAAGAGGAAACACAGAAAGCAAGCUUUAGAAAUGAAGACCACAAUACUGAAUCUUCUGCCCUAUUUGCUAAAAAGGGUAAUGAAAAAGAAGAUGAAAAGAAAAUGUAUAGCAAAAGUGGGAAGAAGCUUGACACAUCAAAAUACUGUGAUAAUUGCAAGUAUUUUGGACACUUCAGGAAAGAUUGCUACCACAUUGUAGGCUACCCAAAUGACAGCAACAAGAAGGGAAACAAGAACAAAAGGCCCAAGGUUGAAACUGCAAACCAGGCUUCAACCUCCAUUAUCCUAAAUAGUAGAAUUAAAGUCAUUUUUGACAAUAAAAACUGCUAUUUUCAGGAAACCAAUUCAGGGAAAGUGAUUGGGAAGGGUAAUUCACAGCAUGGGCUCUACAUUUUCAGCCCAACUACUCAUGAAUAUGCAAAUAUCUCCCUAAAUUCCAGAAUAUGGCACAACAGGCUUGGACAUGUCUCCAAUGAAAAGCUUGCUAUGCUGAUUAGAAAUGAAGAUAUAGAUUGUGUUCUAAAUGUAAAACAAAAUAAAAAUUUAGAACAUAUUAUUUCAAAUAAAGAUUGUGAUGUAUGUCCUCUUUCCAAACAACCUAAACUCAAAUACACUAAAAGUAGUACAAUUAGUGAAAAUUCAUUUGAUUUGAUACAUAUAGAUAUUUGGGGCAAAUUCCCAAUUGAAACUCAUGAUGGAUAUAAAUAUUUUCUAACUAUAGUUGAAGAUUUAAGUAGAGCAACAUGGAUCUACUUAAUAAAAGAAAAAUCCAUAGCUUAUGAAUGCAUAAAGAAGUUUAUUCUCAAAGUUAAAAACUUCUUUUCCAAAGAUAUAAAAGUCAUAAGAAGUGACAAUGGUGGUGAGUUUAAAUCCCUUAGAUUUCAAGAAAUGCUUGGAAACUUUGGAAUUACACAUCAACUAUCUUGUCCUUACAACCCACAGCAAAAUGCAAGGGUUGAAUGAAAGCACAAAUGCUUAUUAAACAUUGCUAGGUCACUCCAAAUACAAGCUAAUAUACCUCUGAAAUAUUGGGGAGAAUGUGUAUUAGCUUCUACUUACAUAAUCAAUAGAAUACCAUCUAAGGUGAUGCAAAACAAAACCCCAUUUGAGGUCUUACACAAUAAAAAACCAAAAUACAACACCUUAAGAACUAUUGGAUGCUUGUGUUAUGCAAUAACACAUCACAGAGAACACAAGUUCUCUCCAAGAACUUUCAAAGGAGUAUUUAUGGGAUAUCCUCCUAAUAUAAAAGGGUAUCUAGUUCUAUCACUAGAUGAUCAAAAAUUUUAUAUAACUAGAAAUGUUGUAUUUAAUGAAAAUAUUUUCCCAUUCAAAGAAACCAAAAUUACAGAAAAUAAAAAAUUAUCCAACAUAUUCCCAGAACAGAACAUAUUUAAUGAAACAAUGGAUUCCCACCAAUCCAGAAGAGAAUCUGUUCCAGGAAAAUUGGAAAAAGAAACUAGAAUAGCUAUAGAAAACAGUUCAGGCAUAACUGGAAAUAACCAGGCUGAUCUGCCCCAAGCUAUUCUAGAAAAACAGCCUAUUUCAGAUAUGAUUGGUCAUACCCAAACUGAUAUAGACUGGAAUUCAGAACAACAAGGUUCUAUAGAAGACUCAAAUUCACAGAGUCACACUGAAAAAACCUUAGUUCAGAAUUCUGAAAAUAAAAACCAAAUUAAAGAUCAUCAUAUAAUCAUAGAUCAAAAUGAAAUAUCAAAUUCCAAAAACAUUGAAAAUAACAAAACAAAAACUAUAGAAAGCAAAAAUAUAAAACAAACUAGAUUGGGCAGAAUUAUAAUUAAACCCAAACACUUUAAUGACUUUCAGAUGGAGGAUGACCCACCAAUAAAAACAAAAUACCCUAUGAGCAAUUAUGUCUCAUAUCACAGAAUUAGCAACAAACACAAACAAUUUCUUAGGAAAAUAAUCAAAAACACUGAACCUACAACAUUUAGUGAAGCAUCAACCAAUCCAAAAUGGGUGGAUGCCAUGCAAAAGGAAAUGCAAGCUCUCAUUUCCAAUAACACUUGGAACCUAACUGAACUUCCUAAAGGAAGGAAAAUAGUGGGAUCCAAAUGGAUAUAUAAAAUUAAAUACAAGCCAGAUGGAGAAAUAGAGAGAUAUAAAGCAAGGCUUGUAGCCAAAGGCUUCUCUCAAAAGGAAGGAAUAGAUUUUUAUGAAACUUUUGCACCUGUUGCAAAAAUGACCACAGUAAGAGUAAUAAUUGCUCUUGCAGCCCAAAAGAAGUGGAACAUAUAUCAAAUUGAUGUUAACAAUGCUUUUUUGCAUGGUGACCUACAUGAGGAAGUAUAUCUUAAACCUCCUCAAGGGUUAUUAAAAGAAGGGGACAAAAGAGUUUGUAAACUCAAUAAGUCUCUAUAUGGUCUAAAACAGGCCUCUAGAAACUGGUUUGAGAAAUUGAAAAACACAUUGCUAGUUUUUAAUUUUUUACAAGCAAAAUCAGAUUAUUCAUUCUUCAUAAGGGAGAAAAAUAAUAAUAUCAUUUACUUAAUUGUAUAUGUAGAUGAUAUCUUAAUAACAGGAAAUAAUGAGCUAGAAAUAACCUUCUUAAAAACCCAAUUAGAAAAUAAAUUUAAAUUAAAAGAUCUUGGCAAACUAAACUAUUUUCUAGGGAUAGAAGUCUCCUACUCUAGUGAAGGAAUCCUUUUAUCACAAAGAAAAUAUGCUUUAGAAAUAAUUCAGGAAAGUGGCAUUUCAGGUGCCAAAGAAUCAAAAAUACCAAUGGAAAGGAACAUAGAUCUCAAAACUGAGUCUAAAUCAAUUGAAGAUCCAACUUUUUAUAGAAAAUUGGUUGGGAAGCUCAUAUAUCUUAACAUCACCAGACCAGAUAUAAGUUAUGCAGUUCAUUGGGUCAGUCAAUUCAUGAGUGAUCCAAAGGAAGUUCAUCUAAAAGCCUUGUUCAAAAUAAUAAGAUACCUAAAAGCAGCACCAGGCCAAGGUAUCUUAUAUAAAACAGGGGGUAAUAUGAAUAUUCAUGCCUAUUGUGACUCUGAUUGGGCUGGAUGUCAGAUAACCAGGAAGUCUGUUACUGGUUUCUGCAUUCUAAUUGGAGAGUCAAUAGUGUCCUGGAAAUCUAAGAAGCAAGCUGUAGUUUCAAGAUCUUCCUGUGAAGCUGAAUACAGAGCAUUAGCUCAAACAGCUUGUGAAGUAAUUUGGAUACACCAAUUACUAAAAGAAAUGAGAAUUCAAAUGGAAUUCAGAACAUCAAUAUCUUGUGAUAACAAAUCAGCCAUCAAUUUGGCCAAUAAUCCUGUAUUCCAUGAAAGAACUAAGCAUAUAGAGAUAGAUUGCCAUUUUAUAAGAGAGUUAAUCACAAAAGGGGUGUUUACAUUAAAGCAAAUUGGCACAAAAUACCAAUUAGCAGAUAUGUUCACUAAACCCAUGGGGGAAAAUGAGAUUACUUCCACUAAUAUCAAGCUUGGAAUAAUAAACGUUUACUCCAAAGCUUGAGGGGGGAGUAAAAGAAGUAAUUAAUCCUGUAAUUAACUCUAUUAAAAACAACUUGGACUAAUCUGUAAUUAAAUAGAAGUAAAAGAUUAAUGUAAAAUAACAUGAAUACAAAGGUUGGACUCAUAUGCAAUUACAUAUAAAUAAGAGUUCAAUCCGUAAUUAUGUUAUUAGAUUAAUAUAUAAUUAACUGUGAAUGAGAUAUAAAUCUAUAAAUAACACAGUUAAUAUUUCUACUCAGAUUGGAUCCAUGUGUAAUUAUUUAUAACUCAAGGUGCAGGUUCGUCCGAAACUAAGAACACAGGGGCGAAGCUGCAAAGUUUUAAGUAAACACGUGAAAGGUGAAAUUAAUUGAGACUGCAGGGACAAAGCUGCAAAGUUCUCAAUACACACGUGAAAGAAUUAGAUUAAUUGAAUUAAUUAGAAUUCAGUUAAUCAUGAUUAGUUUACAGUUAAUUAGGUUUUGUUGUAAUAAUAAAAAUUAGAAUUCAAACUUGUUAAAUACACUGUAAACUCGUCAUUAAAGUAAUAUACAAUUUGUUAAUCCUUGAUUAAGGAUAAUCUUUCUACUACAGUGUUAACUAACAACGGUAACACUAAAAUCCCCAAAUACAUUCGAUUUCUCGCCGUCCGGCGAUCAUUGCAUAAUCGCCGACGACGACCCUUCACGCAGAACGUCAGGAAAACCUCACCGGAAGCCCCGCCUUCGCUUUAACAAGUUCUUCCACUCCCUGGAGUAGUGGGUCACCACCUGAUAGGUCCGUGAUCUGUUUCGGAAUCGUGCCAUAAACGAUUAGGAAAGGACUUUUCCCGGUUGUCCGAUUGACGGAAGCGUUGUAAGCAAACUCCGCCAUUGCCAACAUUCUUUCCCAUCCUCCCGGGUUUUGAGUUAUUAGAGCCCAUAAUAGGUUGCCAACUGAACGAUUUACCACUUCCGUGAGCCCGUCGGUUUGAGGGUGUGCCGACGUGCUGAAUUUGAGGGUGGUGUUCAGCCUUUUCCAGAGCGUCCUCCAAAAUUGACCGAUGAAUUUUGGGUCUCGGUUGGAUACUAACGAUAGUGGAACUCCGUGCAAUCUCACUAUUUCUCAUAUGAAUAUUUCUGUGAUACGUAGUGCGUCGUCGCUUUUCUUGCAUGGUAGGAAGUGAGCCAUGCGGGAGAAUCGGUCGACAACGACGCAAAUGGCGUCCUUUCCUUCUUGGAAUCGUGGUAAUCCGGUGAUGAAAUCGAGUGAUAGGUUUUCCCACGGUCGUGUGGGUGUCGGUAACGGAGUGUAUAGCCCUUGAGUUGACGAGCCGCUCUUAGUCCGUUGGCAUAUCAGACAAUGCUUUACAAACUUCUUUACUUCUUUUCGUAACCCCAGCCAAAAAAAUCUUUCUUCGAGUAGGUGGUAUAUCUUGCUCAUACCCACGUGACCGCCUAGAUUGUUACCGUGUAACUCUCAGAUUAACUUCAAUCGUAGAUUGGACUUGGGAACGCAUAGUCGGUGGUCCGUGAAGAUGAAACCAUUCUUCAAUUGGAACCCUUGGAAGGUUGUUUUUGUCUGUAGUUCAUUCCAAAUGGACUCGAAGUCGUCGUCGCCCUCGUAGUAAUAACUUGUGAUCUCAUCGAUUUCUGGAAUUUGUAAUUUAAUAUACGUGAUUACCUCACCUUGGCGACUCAAGGUGUCUGCCACCUUGUUAAAUUUACCGGGCCUAUGGAUGAUGGUGAAGGUAAAUCGCUGCAGAAAUGUGAUCCACCGGAGGUGCAUCCGAUUAAUGGUAGUCGCGGCGUCGAUGCCUUUUAGUGCGAGGUGGUCGGAGCAGACGAGAAAAUCUCGUUGUAGCAGGUAUGGCUCCCAAUUUUUAAAGGCCCGUACGAUGGCGUAUAACUCGAUCUCGUACGUGGUCCAGUGACGUCGUCCUUCCCCAAGUUUCUUACUAAAGAAUGCCACCGGAUGACCUUCUUGCGUGAGGACUCCCCCGAUCCCGGAAUUACAGCCAUCGCAUUCGACGAUAAAUAACUUGUCGAAGUUGGGUAGUGCGAGUACCGGGACGGAGGCUAUUUUUGCCUUUAUUGCACUGAAGUUGUGGCUGGCUUCGCGGGUCCAAUCGAACGGUCCCUUCUUAAGACAGUUGGUCAUACUGCUUGCGAUGGUGCUGAAAUUUGUAAUAAAGCAGCGAUAGAAGAAGGCAAGCCCAAGAAAACUUCUUACUUCGGUCAACGUUUUAGGUUCCGGCCAAUUGGUGAUGGUGUCCACCUUACCUUGGUUCGUAGCUAGACCUCGAUCACUGAUCACGAACCCGAGGAAGGAUAACUCGAUCACCCCAAAGACACACUUGUCCGUAUUUAGGCGUAGUGAGUUUCUUUCCAACAGUUGCAGUACUUCGACGACAUCGGUGUCAUGUUUAGAUUCCUGCCGACUAAAGAUGAGGAUGUCAUCGAAAUAUACGACGGUGAUACGCUCGAUGACCGGUCGGAGAAUCGUCAUAAGCCGCAUGAACGUGGACGGAGCGUUGGAGAGACCGAAGGGCAUCACCACCCACUCUAACAACAACGUUGGAGAUUUGAAGGCCGUCUUCCAUUCGUCGCCGGAUUGAACUCGUACUUGGUGGUAGCCGCUUCGAAGAUCGAGUUUCGUGAAAAUUCUUGUUCUGGAUAAACAGUCCAACAGUUCUUCCACCCUUGGUACGGGAAAUCGGUAUCGAAUUGUGAUUUUGUUUAUGGCACGGCUAUCGACACAAAACCUCCACUCGCCGCUCUUUUUGGGUACGAUGAGAGCGGGCAUGGCGCAUGGACUGGUGCUAGGCCGUACAUAACCUUGCUGAAUUAAUUCGUCGUCUUCGUUUGCAAGAUUUCGGCUUCCUUUGGACACAUGCGGUAGUGUGGCAAAUUUGUCAAUAAGGUCCCGGGAACUAAGUCGAUCUCGUGAUCAAUCCCACGAUAUGGGGGUAGGCCGGCCUCGUGAUCUGGGAGUGACAACCGAGGAUGGGCGUUCAGGAACUCCUUGAUUACUUGCGGAACGGUGGUUGUCGUAUCUGUCCAAAGUGGCUUCGCCGUUAAUGCCCAUCCGAAACCUUUCUCCUUAAUAGCUAGUGAAAGCACUGCUCGUGAGACAAUAGUGACCGUGGGUUUUGGCGUGAGGUGUAACGGGCCAGGCGGCAAUGUGGUGAGGAUUAAUUGUUUGUUAUUGGCAUGAAUGAUGAUUUGGUUGGUCUUGCCUCGGUGAGUGUAAUCGGUAUCGUACUGCCACGGUCUGCCGAGAAGUAUAUGGGCCACGUUCAUGUCAACCACGUCGCAUACGACGACCGUUUGACAUUCCUUCCCGAUAGAGAUCGGAACACGGCAUUGCUCGUGCACCUUUUUGACAUUGGCUUCGUCAAUCCACGAUACCGAAUAGGGCUGUGGGUGUUGCAUUACGGGUAAUUUUAGAGCUUCGACUGCCUUUCGGGAUAUAAGAUUAUCGGUGCUUCCUCCAUCCACAAGUAUAUCACAAAAUUUCCCUCGGAUGGUUCCUCGUGUUCUGAAUAAGGUGUACCUCUGAUUAUUGUCUACCACUCGGGGAGCCGUGCAUAGCCUUUUGAACAUGCAAAUUAGUGGCAACCCGGAUUCAUCCGGUGGUAAUGUUAGAUCGUCGGACUCAACGAACUCGUCCUGGUUGUCCAAUUCUUGAUGUUCAUCGACCACGGCGUUAAAACGGCGCCGGUGGCAAUCCGAAGAUUUGUGACCGGGCUGCUCGCACUUGUAACAUAUGAGGGGCGGUCGGAUGUAGGUAUCAGUGGUAGCCUUCUGUCGUUCCCCAAGGCCAGGAGACCUUUGCCGCUGCCCGGUGUACUGUCGUGUGCUAAAUUAGUCCGAACCGGGGGUGUAAAGGAAGUUCGAGUGGGUGGUGUGCUUCGGGAGAGUUGCUUCUCGAUCUGAGCAGCACGAUUCAUCGAAUCCUCCUUCCCCUAGCUUUCCACUUUCAUUAAAGUGUUCUGUUGCCGACGCCAGUUCUGCAUAAGAGAAUUUUCUAGGAUAUUUUCGUUCUUCAAACUCAUCAUCUAGAUCAACAUCGAUCAUUAUGCUCACUAUUCAGAUCUCCUACUAUCAUUAUGCUUCCUUGUGAGCUCUAUAACUCCAUUUUCAUUUUCAGUUGCAUUCCCAUGAAGGCAUAUACCUUUCCAAUCCGCAUAACAAUAAUCUUUUUUGGAUGCACCAAUGAAAUUAUUAUAGUCGAUCAAGAGUUCCUGCACUGUAGGGAUCGAGAAAAAUGUUGAAUAAUAAAAAUAAAAACAAAAGAGAAUGAACGAAAUUUAAAGAAACUAUUCUGAACAUUCUGGCAAACUUGCUAUUAGUUUGUAAUGAGGCAAAGAAAGAAGAGAGACACAGACAAUGGAUAAACAAGAAAAUCAGAAUAUAUAUAAUGGCAUAGGUUUAGUGCCUAAUUAGUUGCUUGUAUACAAAAUAGGAAAAUAUUCAGGUGUGUCAUCUUUAUUUGCGUUGUUAUGCGUCAAAAAUAUCCACAACACACGAUUGAGAUCCAAUGAUCCCAAUUAUGUUAUAUAUUUAAAACUAACUUACGUACGACAUCUAUUUAUAUUAUGUACUUAAAAUUAAAUUACGUACGAUAUCCAAAAAAAUCUUAAACAUCUAAUGGUGAACAUCAAAAUGGCGCAUACAACGCAUUUUGAUACGGCUUAUAUGAAGUGUGUUCAUAUAGGGGUGGGCCGGUGGCAAUCCCGAAAUUGCUGAAUAAAUACAGUGAUCAUCUGGUCAUUUUAAGUAGGGGUGGGCCGGUGGCAAUAACAGACACGACACGACAUAAUUUUAACAAGACCCGACGACACGUUUAUAAUAGUGUCGGAUUAGUGUCUAAAGUUUUAACACGGUUAAUAUAUAAUAGUGUCGAAUAAAUCACGGCGUAACGUAGGCAUGCACGAUCUUUCGUUAGAACAUUUUAAUGAUCGAUCUAUUGAUCGAUCUUUGGUGGGUUGAUUCUUUUCUUUCAUCUUCUAUUUUCAGCAGAAACUCCACGAUGAAACAACCAUGGAGUGUUAACAUUUCCACCAACUCUUCUAUUAGAAGUAUAACCCCAUAAGACUUAAAAAUUAAAGAUAUACCCUUAAUGUAAAUAUUAAUUUCAAAUCCUUAAGUUACACAGAUAUUAUACAUACAUCCUUUUUAUAUAUAUAUACAGAUAUAUCAAAUCCAUUGACUCUUCACAUUCCUUUCUAGGAAUUCCCAUACACAAUUAAUUCCAUAUCCACCAUAGUUAGUUCCAUAUUAGGAUUUAAUACUAAACACCAACAUAUAGCCAUUGGGUGUUUACUAUUUAAAUCUACCCAAACCUUCAUCACAAUUUACGUUCUUACAAUCUAUAAUUCACAACACACACACUGAUCUUCAUCAACACAUUCUGCUGCUCAACGCUUCCGCACAACUCCAUCAUCAAACCUGCAAAUCAUUUGUUGGAUAAUCGAGCUACACUCCAAUCAAUCGAUCAUCCAACAGUAUCAAUAUCUUUACAUACAUAUACUUAAGCAUCACAUAUUUCAUUCAUCAUUCAAUUGCAUUGCUUAAGUAUUACAUAUCUAUAUGAUUGUUUGAUCAUAUCAUCUAUAUCAAAAUCUAUCAUGGUAUCAGAGAAGGUCUUAUCCUGACCUCAAACAAUUCUUCUAUUUUUUCUUUCUCUACAAAAAGAAACUAUAAAGAGAAAAGAAACAGUUGCUACACCAAAAAAGAGCAAGCUGCUCCAACACACACAAAACAACACAAAAAAGGGCAGUCAGUCAAGUUCUUCAGUCAUCAAAAACAACCCUAUUCCUCCAGAUAUUGUCAAAGAAUUCCUGUGGAGGACGAGGAGGUAGUGGAAUCUCCACAGCCAAAACACCAUUGGCUUUCUCCCCUUCAAAAUUCAAACCCACAUCUGGAUCACUCCACACCUCAUAGUCAGGAACAGAAUCAUCACUAUCAUAAUAAUAUUGUUCAUAUACUUCUCCAUCUUCACCAUCACUGUCUUCAGGGAAAUUGAUAUUCCACACAGGAGGAGGUCUUUCAUACUCAGAAUCAGAGGAAGAAUAUACAUCUUCCACAUCACCAAAAUAUUCCAGGGCCUCCACAUCCAUAUUCUGCUUCCUCAGCUCCCUCAUUCUUCUAAGGUUCCUGGUGUGCCUUCUCAUCAAUCUCCUUGCUCUCCUCUCAUUUUUAUCUACAAAUGGAAACAAAAAAUGAUGAGUUAAAAAUAAAAGAUGGAAGCCCAUACUACAUAUCAGGUAGUGACAACCCAAGCUCAGGCUUGGUUACAACUCCACUCAGUGGACCAAACUAUCAAACAUGGGUAGUAGAGAUCCAAAGAUCACUAUCUACCAAAAACAAAUUAGGAUUCAUAAAUGGAUCCAUCACCAAAC
rnacentral:lncRNA from 1 species